UCUCUUCUCUAAGGUGGUAAAUGCCUUGCUAGUGGAAUUUCCCUGAGGUCGUGACCUAUUGGUACUAUCAGAGGCAAUAGGUCUAAUCCAAGUAUGGGCCUUUUCUGCUAGGUCAUCUAAGUAUUCAAUAGCCUCAUCUAGAUCUUUUUGUAGAAAUUUACCAUGACACAUCAUUUCAACAAAUUGACGUUUCCUAGGCAUUAACCUCUCAUAGAAAUAACUCACCACACUCCAACUCUCGUAACCAUGGUGGGGAUAAAGGACUUGCAACUCUUUAUAUCUUUCCCAGGCUUGGUAUGAGGUUUCACUAUCCUUUUCAGCAAAUGAAGAGAUUUGCUUCUUAAGGGCACUGGUUUUAUGAUGGGGAUAGUAUUUGCCAAAGAAAACUUGUGUCAUUUUAGCCCAAGUCCCAAUUGAAUGUGGUCGAAAUAAAUAAAGCCAACUCUUUGCACUUUCUUUAAGAGAAAAUAGGCUUGAUUGCAUCCAUUGUAUCACGUUGAUUGUGAAAAGUUGCAGCCACCUCUUCAAAUUCCCUAAUAUGCACGUAUGUGUUUCAUUUUCAAGAUUAUGAAAGGUGAGAAAAAGUUGGAUCAAUCCCAGUUUAAGGUCUAUACGUGGCAUAUUAGGUGAAAAUAUAAUGCAUGAUGGCGUAGAUGUGCAUGUAGGGUAAAAAUAAUCAUGUAAAGUCCUAGUUGGUGCCUCUUUCUGUUCACUAUCAGUCAUCGAGUUGUGUGAUGUGAUGUGUGCACCAAUAGAUUCAGUAUCAAAGAAAGGGUUAGGAAGAGAUUCAAACACUGGUCGCAACCUUGCAAUGAAUCGUCCUCACUCGUCUUGAUCUCUGUUCAUAAAACACCAAAAAAAUAUGGAAUUUCAUGAGAAAUAAUAGAAUAAAAACCAAUAAAAUUAAACUACUGAAAAUUAUUUGUACCGUCUCCUCGACAAUGGCACCAAAAUUUGAUUACGCCCAAAUUAUAACACGGUGGUUGUGGUACAUUUUUGGGGUAUCGUAUCCACAUGAAGAUGGGAAAAUUACUCAAAGGAUCAAAAGCUAGGGUUUUCGUUGUGAUUUGUAUAAAAACAAAUUAUCAAUUUGAAUGAAUUGUAAAUAUCAAUGUGUGAAAUAAUGAAGCACCAGAAUUUCCUCGAUUGGUUCAGAUCAAUCAACGUUAAUUACGCAAUCAUGUACUCAAUUAAAGAUAUUUGUCCUAGUACAUUAAUUGGAAAAUAUAUAAUUAAAGCCCAAUUUAACUCUAUGGUAAUUCUAAAAUCCAGAUUUCCUAUAUCACAUUCCCACUCUAAUAUAUUGAAAUCAUAUCUAAAAACAAUUAUAUACAUAGGGGAUAAAAUGAUAAAGAAUCACACCAAUAAGAUUACAUAAAAUGAAACUCAACAAAUAAUUUAAUUUAUGAGAAACCUAAUAAAUGUUAAACCAAUCUCACAAUAAUGCUUGGUAUUGAAAUUCAAUAAUUUUUUUGAUUAAUUAAUAGAAAAAGCUUGACUGAAUCCAUAAUAAAUCUAAUAAGAAUUAAAUUAAUCUCAAAACAAUCUCAUUAAAAUAGGAAAUCCAAACCUUAAAAUCAUUAAACAAUGAAAAUUAGAAUUACAUGCAUAAAAGGAUGUUAAAAUCACCGAUACCUCCUUCAUGGCUUCACCAAAUUCCUUAGUUCCUCAUAGUGUUCUUGAGCCAAAAACCCAAUGAAAUUAUGCCUAGAGGAGAAGAAUAGCGUUCUUCCUCGAAUUAGGGCUUAAAAUCGUGUGAAAAUCGCAUUUCCAUAAGUGGUUGUAUCAAAUUAGGAAACUAAAGAUUCAGGUACCAAAAUGAAUCAUGCAUAUGCAUGGUUCUAAUGGUGCACAUGCACCGUAGACUUGUUUAGGCCUCUGUAGUGGAUUUUUAGAAUCUCACGUAGGCUUUGCGUAUGAAUAGUAUAAUUUUUUCUCCUCCGGACAGCUUUCAGUAUUUUGAACAUAUCUUCCUCUACUGAUGUUCAAUUGAGGUGAUUCAAGUUGCGUUGGAAAGAUAACUUAAAGAAAUAACUUUUCUUCAGAUAUUAUCUUCUAAUUCGAUCAUUUGUCAUGUCAAAAAUGGGUCCCAAUAUGAGGCUAAAAAUGGAUGUGUAACUUUUUCGAUUGGGAAUUGAUUGUGAUCAUACCUUGACGAUAUUUCAUCCCUUUGACCUCUUUUUUCAUCCACUUGAUCACUAACACUUUCAAAUCUUCAUCAUAAGGUUAGGCACAAGUUUGGAGUAUUUGCACUUUAGUCCCCGAACUUUCAUUUUCUUCUACUUUGCUCAUUUUUCGCUCUUUUCUUCCAAAUUUCCCCCUUUUUACCAAAAUACAACCUCAAUCAAAAGUUUAAUCGGAUAAGUUAGACCCGAGAUAUUACGUUUUAUAGAAGUUGUUAUUAUUUGAUAUGUAAAUAAAUAAAUAAAAUAUAUAUUAUAUUUAAUUUGGGAGUAAGCCACAUGUGAUUUAAAUGGAAAGGGUGGUUAUGAGUUAGUUUUUCUUUUUUUUUUUCCUUCCUAAGAGUUGAUAUGAUUGGUUGCUAUAUGUAGGCUGGAUAGGGAUUGUUGAAAAACUUAUCAAUUAGUUAUUAUUUUAUUUUAUCGAAAAUAUUGGUGUUAAAUUCGUGGCAAUGUGAUGAAGUUUAUGUGGAGGAACAGGCAUUGGCAUACAUGGAAUGGUUGGAUGGUCGGCUUUCAAAGAAAUUGAUGUAACUUUUGCGUUUGGUGUCCGUUUUGGGCCCAUAACCCCAUUUCGGAAAGGUAGCGAGCGUUUCGGAUUGAACUCACCACUUUUCCGUGACAUACGAGGGUUUUUGGGCAUUUGAAGUUGUUUAGUGUGUCAAAACAGCAUUUUAAGUUGUUGUGUUAUUUAUUUUCAGCAUUUGUUAUUUACAUUUUGUAGCCCAGUCCAUUUUGGGACUGCUGGCCCAGUAGGUUAUCUUUUCUUUAAUAUUUAAGACGCUGCAAGACGCCUCCUAGGGUUUUCUUGGUUGUUCACAAAAUAAUAAAACUUUGUUUCUGAAUUUAAUCCGUUUGGUUAUUGUUGUCGUGUGUUUUUAGAUUCAAUCUACAUCAUUUUGGUAUCAGAGCAUGGUGCGUGGGAGAGGACGUGGUGGUCGUGGUGGUCAGAUUGAUGAAGUUGCAGAUCUGCGUAAUCAAGUUGAGGCGUUGACAAUUCGAUUUGAUCAAUUCAUGACGUGGGCGGUAGAGGUUGUGCAGAACGGAACACCUCCUGCUCCUCCACGUCAUGCCCCAGUGAGUGAUGGUGGAGGUGGAUCUGAAUCAGGGGAGAGGUCGGAUGAGGAGACCUUGUCAGAGGCACGUGGCGAUCGUGUUCAACAGCCUCGUGUGCAACAGUAGGACGCAUUUCAGCGAUGGGAAUCCGAAUUCAAGGUUGAUAUACCUGAAUUUCAUGAUGGAAUUGAGGCAGAUGAAUUCCUUGAUUGGCUGGCGACAGUAGAGGAGAUCUUGGAUUACAAAGAAGUGCCCGACAAUAAAAGGGUACCUUUGGUGGCGACCCGUCUGCAUGGUCGUGCUGCUGCGUGGUGGCGGCAAUUGAAGCAAAAUCGGAUCCGUCAGGGUAAGGCGAAAAUCCAGUGGUGGGAAAAACUGAAGAAACAGUUAAAGGCAGCGUUUCUUCCCUUUAAUUAUUCCAGGACUUUGUAUCAGUGCUUACAGAAUUUGAGACAAGACAAUCGAUCUGUAGAUGCUUAUUUCACAGAGUUUUACCAACUGAUAGCGCGAAAUGAUGUGGGACAAUCAGAAGACCAGUUGGUAGCGUGCUAUAUUGGUGAACUACGAUUGAAUUUGCAAGACGUCCUAAAUAUGUUCUCACUGGUAUCUGUUUCUGAGGCUCACCAACGAGCACUUCAGGCUGAAAAUCAACAACAACGUCGUUCUGUAGUAGGCAUUUCUGGUGGUCCAUCUGGAGGUGGGGGUCGACAAUUAGCCCUAAAUCCCACAUCUGGUCCGCCCCAAUCCUUUACAUCUGGGGGUCGGGGCAUUGAUCGGAACACUCGGCCAGUGGUUCCUCCAACCGCUAAUCCGGGUGGCUGGGCUCCUCCUGGUUGACGAGGGCGUGGAAGUCAGUGUUUUGGUUGUAGUGGUUUUGGGCAUUUGAGGAAGGACUGUCCAUCUCAUGGGCAGCCACGCCCAGGUUUGUUCAUUGGAGGGACAACACAAGCCGAUGUUAACGAUCCUGUUCAUGUAGAGAAUGAAGAAGAAGAGGCUGAAAUUGUGCAUACAGGUGACACGGGGCCUCUUUUGGUAGUCCGAUAGGCGUGCCUUACACCUAAGGGGUCGUCUGAGGACCUACAGCGAAACAAUAUCUUUCUGUCUACGUGUACCAUUGGAGGAAAGGUGUGUAGGUUCAUCAUUGAUUCGGGUAGUUGCGAAAAUGUGAUAUCUGAAGCGGCCGUGCAGAAGCUGCAGUUAAGCAUCGAACCUCAUCCUGCUCCCUAUAGCCUAGCAUGGUUGAGAUGAGGUAAUGAAAUUCGUGUUACUAGCCGUGUGUUGGUAUCUUUUUCUAUUGGCAGUGUGUAUCGUGAUAGUGUUUGGUGUGAUGUGGUGCCGAUGGAUGCGUGUCAUUUGUUGUUGGGUCGUCCAUGGCAGUUUGAUAGGGAUGUGUGCCAUGAAGGGCAUCGAAAUGCAUGUACAUUCACCUUUUCGGGUAAAAAGAUUGUACUACUACCCUCCAAAGAUACGCAGUGUCUGUCUUCGGUAGGGGACAGUAGUAAUCUACUUUCCCAAUCUUUGUUUGUGCGUGAGAUGCUGGCAGAAGGUAUUGUACUAUUGUUAGUGGGAACUGAGGCGAUAGGAGUGUCGACUAUUCCUAUGGCAGCCGAGGGGACGGGUCUUCACCCCAAAGCUGCCGCCUUGGUGCCUGAGUUUCAUGAUGUGUUUCCGGAUGACCUUCCACAGGGUCUUCCGCCUUUGCAGGAUAUGCAACAUCACAUUGAUUUGGUACCGGGCGCGUCAUUGCCUAAACACCCACAUUAUUGAAUGAGCCUAGUGGAACAUGAGGAGUUGAGGAGACAAGUAGAGGAAUUGGUGCAGAAGGGGUACAUCAAAGAGAGCCUCAGCCCGUGUGCAGUCCCCGCACUCCUAGUGCUAAAAAAGAUGGGAGUUAUCGAAUGUGUAUAGAUAGCAGGGCCAUCAACAAAAUAGCAGUUCGUUAUCGCUUUUCGAUACCGAGGCUAGAUGACUUGCUUGAUCAGUUGGCCGACGCAACUGUGUUUACCAAACUGGACUUGAAAAGUGGUUACCAUCAGAUAAGAGUCCGUCCUGGUGAUGAGUGGAAGACAGCAUUUAAGACACGGGAGGGAUUAUUUGAGUGGCUAGUUUUGCCGUUUGGACUAUCCAAUGCACCGAGCAUGUUCAUGCGGGUGAUGAACCAAGCACUUUGACCAUUUAUUGGUAAGUGCGUUGUUGUAUACUUCGAUGACAUAUUGGUGUACAGUAGGUCGGAGGAGUCUCAUGGUGUGCAUCUAAGGGAAGUCCUUACUGUUUUAUGCAAGGAGAAGUUCUUUGCAGCCAAUAAGAAGUGCGUGUUCUAUACAGAUAGUGUUUUGUUUUUAGGGUAUGAUGUGUCAGCCGGUGGGGUAACGGUGGAUGCAGCUAAGGUUGAUGCGAUUCGGCAGUGGCCACGUCCACAGUCAGUUUCUGAUGUGCGGAGUUUCCACGGUUUAGCGUCGUUUUAUCGACGAUUUAUUCAGCACUUCAGCACCAUCAUGUUUCCCAUGACUGAUUGCAUGAAGGAGAGUAAGUUUCAGUGGACACUCGAGGUUGAGAAAGCGUUUUUGAUCAUUAAGGAACGUCUGACUUCAGCCCCGAUACUUGCAUUGCCUGAUUUCACAAAACCUUUUGCAUUACAUUGUGAUACCUCUAAAUUGGGUAUCGAAGCUGUCCUCAGUCAGGAAGGAAAACUAGUAGCUUAUUUCAGUCAAAAGUUGGCAAGGGCUCGUGGGAGGUAUAGCACUUACGAUGCAGAGCUUUAUGCUGUUGUUCAGGCCAUUCGCCAUUGGCGACAUUAUCUGUUUCAGCGAGAAUUUGUCUUAUACAGCGAUCAUGAAGCCCUCAAGCAUUUGUCAAGCCAGGAGUCUGUCUCUGCCCGUCAUGCAUCAUGGGUUGCCUUUUUGCAGCAGUUCAACUUUGUCAUUAAAUAUCAGGCUGGUUCUUCUAAUCGUGUGGCAGAUGCGCUCAGUCGACGGCAUGGGUUAUUAGCGCGGCUGGAGGUAGCGGUCACCCGGUUUGAGACCUUUGUCUCUCUUUAUGCUGAUGACCCUUAUUUUGGCCCCAUCUAUCAGAGUUUACUGCAGGGACCCCAUUCCUCUUUUCUGUUAGAGGAUGGGUAUGUGUUUAGAGGUGUUUAGUUGUGCAUACUAGAUUGCAGCCUUCGUCUGAAAUUGAUUGAGGAGUUUCAUGGUGAAGGUCAUGUUGGGCGAGAUCGUACUUUGGCUUUGAUUAGCGCUUCAUUUUUCUGGCCUACUAUGCGUCGUGAAGUGGAGAAGUUUGCCUCACGAUGCAGGGUGUGCCACGUGGCAAAGGGGAAAGCCACAAACUUUGGUCUUUAUCGACCCUUACCAGUGCCUUCAGCUCCAUGGACUGAUAUUAGCAUGGAUUUUGUCCUGGGUUUACCACGCACACAACGUGGUAAUGAUUCCAUCUUUGUGGUUGUAGAUCAUUUUUUUAAAAUGGUGCACUUCAUUCCCUGCAAGCGCACCACUGAUACUGUCAAGGUUUCUUAACUAUUUUUCAGAGAGAUUUAUCGGUUGCAUGGGUUGCCCACUACCAUCGUAUCUGACAAAUACACGAGGUUCAUCGGUCACUUUUGGUGGAGUUUAUGGAAGUCAGUUAACACGUCGCUCAAUUUUAGUAGUGCUUAUCACCCUCAAACUGAUGGGCAAACAGAGGUAGUUAAUCGUUCUUUAGGUGACUUGUUGCGGUGCUUGGUUGGGGAUAAUCUACGCUCAUGGGAUCAGCGGCUUAGCCAGGCAGAGUUUGCGUAUAAUCAUGCUAGAAAUAGAAGCACCGGUUUCAGUCGGUUCCAGGUUAUGUAUAGUAUUCUGCCCCGCAGCCCUAUUGAUUUAUUGACUCUGCCCUCUAAGACUCGGCUGCAUGGGAUAGCUAUUGACUUUGUUCGUAGUUUGCAACAAGUUCACGAGGAAACACGAGCUAAUCUACUCGAGUCCAACCGUAAGUAUAAAGAGGCGGCUGAUCGGCAUCGACGUCCUGUUGAGUUUGACAUUGGGGAUUAUGUUUGGGCGGUACUGACUAAGGAUCGAGUGCCAUCUCAUGAGCAUUCGAAGUUAUCACCUCGUACCAUUGGUCCAGUGGAAAUUGUGGAGAAGAUCAACCCCAACGCCUAUCGCCUUCGACUUCCUUCUCAUAUACGGACUUUUGAUGUGUUUAAUGUAAAGCAUCUUUUGCUAUACCAUGGAGACAACGUGGGAGAUAGUGCUACCGGUUCUGGUUUGAGGGCGAAUCCCAUUGAUCCCGGGGAGAAUGAUGAGGUUUAUGUGGAGGAACAGGCAUUGGCAUACAUGAACUGGUUGGAUGGUCGGCUUUCAAAGAAAUUGAUGUAACUUUUGCGUUUGGUGUCCGUUUUGUGCCCAUAACCCCAUUUCGGAACGGUAGCGAGCGUUUCGGAUUGAACUCACCGCUUUGCUGUGACGUACGAGGGUUUUUGGGCAUUUGAAGUCGUUUAGUGUGUCAAAAAAACAGUAUUUUAAGAUUUUGUGUUAUUUAUUUUCAGCAUUUGUUAUUUCCAUUUUGUAGCCCAGCCCAUUUUGGGACUGCUGGCCCAGUAGGUUAUCUUUUCUUUCAUAUUUAAGAUGCUGCAAGAUGCCUCCUAGAGUUUUCUUGGUUGUUCACGAAAUAAUAAAACUUUGUUUCUGAAUUCAAUCCGUUUGGUUAUUGCUGUCGUGUGUUUGUAGAUUCAAUCUACAUCACAAUGUGCCCCAUAAAAUUGUUGGAGAAUAUCUCAAUUUUAGAUGAUAGAGACGUGUGCUUGAUCUUCUACACAAAGUCCAAUAUUCUUAUCCCACUUUUGUAUAGAGUUUUAUCAUAUAAUAUAAUAUAACUUAUGAAGGCAAAAAAUUUUCUACAUUGUAUGUAAAUGCAAAAACAAGGCAGAGACAGAAAGAAUUAAGUGAAAAUUAUUCUUUUAGUUUGGUCUUCUAAAAAUUAAGGCAAUUUAGCAAGGUAGGAUAACGAGGUGUAGUUGUUUUAUCUCAUUUAAAUUGUUUAUUUUUAUGUAGUUGAAUUAUUAUGCUUAUGAAAGUUUAAAGAUAUCAUAUGAUAUAUAUGUUAUGCCCAUAUGGUACCAAAGAUAUGAUGCUUAUCGAGCUCUUACGAUUUUUAAAGAUAUAGUGACAGUAUGACAUUUUGACACGUGUAUUUAAAUAUUUUUAUUCGAGAUUGUACCAUGAUUUUUUGUGUCCUACUGAGUAUUCCUAUGUACUCACCAUUUUUCCCUACUUCUCAUAGGUUAGAACUGGUCAUUAGUUGGCAGACGAUGUGGUAUAGUCGUGGUGCAAGGAUUCUUUGGACUUAAUAAAUCAAAUCUAGUGUAACGUGACCUACGAUUUUAUUUUCAUGUUUUGUUUUAAUUUUAUUAUUAUGUGAAUUUGUGAUUUAGGAUUUGGGACAUGGUUUAUUUGGUUAUGUUUUAUGAUUUAUUUUCAUUAUUUUAUAUUGGUGGAACCAAGUUUUAUUCACAAUCAAUUACUCAAAAUAAAAUGUAAUAGAGUAUAUUUGAUUUUAUCGCAAGAAUUGAGAUUUUUGGAAGUUGGCAGGGGAAUUGGGUCACUGGAAAUCUGAGUUGACUGUGAAAUGUCUCACAAGUUAUUACUCAUAGAAAAUUGAUUAAAAAAGUAGACGAAAGUUCCUUUUAGUAAAUAAUUUGUGCUCGUUGGUUUCCAUGUACUUACAUUAUCAUAUCAAAAUAGGUGUUAUAUUUAGUUAAACUUCAUUCAAGAGAUAAGAUUGUUAUAAAUCAAUUUUUUAUUUAAUUAUAUUUUUAAGUAAAUUAAUGGAGUAUAUGGCUAUAUUAAAUCAAGAGAAUAAUUAUUAUACGUAUUCCAAUUUGGUCAAUGAAUCUUUAAAUGGUUGGUUAUAAACCUUAGCUCGUGUUUAAUUAUGUUUUAAUUCAUGAAUUUUAGAUAUAAAUUUAUUGUAUCUUUCUAAAUAUAUAGGAAAAAAAAAUAUGACGUAGAUAAGUCCUUGUUCAUUCCUUUUUUUAAUAAAGGGUAUUAAAAUUUUACUUUGAGUAAACCAUCUUCAAAAAAUUUAUAAAUAUUUAUUUGUCAUGUUAAAUUUGUUUAAAAGAAAUUUUCGGUAGCGAUUCAAAUUUAUAAAAGUUGGGUUGUUACAGGCUACCCUAGAAAAAUACACUUUCUAGCUCUUGGUUAGAGCUUUCCCUCACUCUAAUGAGAAAAAGUAGCAUGGCCAAAAGUUCUAAGUACAGAAUAAUGACUUAGUUUACCGGACUAAUUUACAUAAAGAGUGUCACCAUUCAAUGUAGCAUAUAGAGUCAAAUUAAUCAAAUAACAACCAGUCAUAAUAGCUUCACACUAAAACAUCUUUGGGACACCAUAACUUAACAUCAUGCAAUGCACUUUAUUAAGUAUGGUUCUAUUCAUCCUUUCCACUACCUCGUUUUGCUGGAGAGUGUAGGGAACAAUCUUAUGCCCUAUUAUUUUAUUGUCUUUGCACAUAAUGUCUAACUCAGUGCUACAAAAAUCUAGACCAUUAUCUGUUCUCAAGAACUUAAUCCUUUUGCUAGUUUUGUUCUCUACUUGUCUUUUCAAAUUAUUAAAGUUAUGAAAAGUGUCAGAUUUAUCCUUUAAAAGAUAAACCCACACCUUUCUCAUGUAAUCAUCUUAGUGUUACAAAACUCGAGACCAUUAUGCGUUCUCAAGAACUUAAUCCUUUCACUAGUUUUGUUCUCUACUUAUUUUUUCCAAUUAUUAAAGUUAUGAAAAGUGUCACAUUUAUCAUUUAAAAGAUAAACCCACACCUUUCUCAUGUAAUUAUUAAUAAUAGACAAGAAAUACCUAUUUACAAAAGAGGUGGGAUUACUAGCAAGAACCCUACUUAUUUGAAUGGACAUAUUCAAGCAUACAUUUAUCUUUAUGAACACUAGCAGAGAAAGAAGUAUUAUGAUGCUUACCAAGUACAUAGUGAUCACAUAAUAAAAAAUUAGAUAGACAGUUCCAAAUGUACCUUUUUUAUUAAGAAGCUUGAGUCUCUUAAUGCCAACGUACGCAAGCCUAUUAUGCCAUAUAUGUGUGAGAUCAACCUUGACAAAAGAGAUAGAGGGGUUUAAACAUCUAAUCACUUCUCCAGUAGUGAUAUAAAUGUCGUUUUUCUUAGUUUCCUUAAUGGAGACUAGUACCUUAACCAUUUUUAAUGUUCCAUUUCCAAUUUUACCGAUGAAGUCAUUAUUUUUUUCAAGUCUUCCUACCGAAAUUAAAUUCCUAGAUAGUUCAGGAAUAUAUCUGACAUCUUUCAUGGUGCACACAAACCCAGCGUCAAACUUUAUAUUAGUGUCACCAAUUCCAGCAAUAGUGUAGGCAAAAUUCUCACACAACACAACAUGCCCAGCAUUAGAUUCAUGCAAGUUUUCAAACCAAUUCUUUUUAAAUGUCACAUGAAAAGAUGCACCACAAUCAAGUAUCCAUUCAUGCAUAUGAGAAUUAUCAGCUAGAUUCAGUUCAGCAGUAUAAACAAUAGGACUUGUAAUCAUAUAAACUUCACCGUCAUCAACAUCGAAAGCAGAAGACAACAUGUUUACCUUAUCUCUUUCUUUAACAUUUUGCUUACCCUUUUCAUUAAAACAGUUUUUAUAAAAUGCCCCAUGUUCUCACAGUCACAGCAUUUUCUAAGCUUCGUUCUAGACCAACACUCACCCUUCUUUUUAACUCCAUUACUACUUGACUCUCCACUACUUUGGUAUACAUCAUGACUAUUUUGCCUAAACUGAGUUCUACUUUGUAUCAUGUAAAUCUCAUCGCUUUUCUUAUCAUGUUUUUUAGCACUAAUUUAUAUCUCUCUAUUUCUAGUGAGUCAAUGAUAAUUUUAAAUGUAAAAGUGUCCCCACCAUACAUAAUCUCAUUUUUUACUUCCUUACACGUGCUAGGAUAGAAUUAAGAAAAAUUAUAGCUUUGUAGGUUGCAGACACCAUUUUUUCAUAGUUAACAAUAACUUGGACAAAUUUAUUAAACACGUAUAAAUUGUCAUCAAGAUCUUUUCAAGGACCAUUUUAAAGCUGAAAAAUACUCAAGUAACUUAAGCUUGUUCGGGGUAGAUUUAAGCAAAUACAAGUCUUUCAAUUUUUUCCAAAGUUCUUUGGCAGUUUUUAGUUUACCCAUCUUUCUCAAAACAGUGUCAAACAAGUGUAACAUUACUGAGGUAUAAGCAAGCUCAUCGGCUUCUUCUUUUUAUUCUUUUGAAAAUCAGAGGAAAAAUUGCCUUCAAUGGCUUUUGAAACUUUUUAUUGGACCAAAAUGCCCUUCAUUUUUUCUUGCCAGAUUUAAAAAAACUUUUUUUUGUUAAAAUUCCGCAAAUCAAAUAUGUGAGUUUUCAGUUUUAUGAAUUAAUAAAAAAUGCCCAAAAUCGCAGUCAAACCACACAAAUUAGUCCUAAGCUCACAGACAAUAGACUCCAUUCUAGAUUCUCAAAAUUUCGUAAGACUUACAAUCUUAGAUCAAAGGAAUGUUCAAACGGGUAAGAUCUAGGUAUUCUAAAGUGUUAACGACACAACGGAAUUGACAAUGCAACAAAAAUGUAUGUCCAAUAAAAAAAAACGAUUUCAUGCACAAUAACCACAAUUAUAACAUAUAGAACAAUAAGCUAAUUUAUCAAAAUAAGUACUCCAUCGUAGCAAUUAAGAGCAAGUAAUCCUAAUUUCUAGCACAAGCAAUGUUUACGAUAACCUCAAUCCUACUGUCACCCCACACGGUGACACACUAACGCUGAAAUUUAAUGGGACAAGACAAUUUAUUAGAGCGGACAUAUCUGAGUCCAUAAAUUACGAGAGAUGCAAAUCUUCUGCUUUAGGGCAACCACCAUUCACCCUAAAGAUUUAUCAAACGUACCAACACGACUGUCCAGCAAUCACUUGCCGAGCGUCCAGGGGCAAAAUUGUCAAAAUUUUCCUAUGUAACCCUUGUUGGGUCUGCCACAACCGCCACCACUGCUACGCACCUCACCAUCGAAUACCUCUACCUACUGGUUAUGGGUCUAGCCUCUGUUCGUCCGACAGAGGUCUCGUUUAGCUAGAAUUGUCAAAUUCGGGUUUGGGUUAGUUGAAAGAAUUAUAUUUCUCUUGCUAUUUUGGUUGGAUCUUUUAACCCAAAGCUCUAAUACCAGAUGUAGAGCAAUAAUAUGAUGGUCACCAAGGCUUUGCAACUCAGUUUCACAAUCUAAAUCAACACCUCAAACUAAAUGACCCAAAACACCUCAAAACCCUCACUUACGAUUGCCAAAGGUUCGCACACUUGGAAAACCACUACUAAGGAGGCUAAAUCAUAAUAAAGACCACAAAGGCUAUGAUGGUCAAACCAGAGAAAGAGCCAAGAAAUCACCCAUACAUACACACACUGCCUUAAAGAAGCCAAAGGGAAACACAAGAAUAUAAACAACCCAAUUUUGUAAAUAAGGUAAGUUCAUUAGGUCACAGUAACAGGUCAAGGGCCAAUUAGUGGUAAAUGGAUUAUUAAGUGGAUCUCAAAAAUAUUUGCCAUCCAAGUAAGUGAAGAGCCGGGCCAUGAGUAGCACAAAUUAAUUUGGCUGCUUCAAAUCGCCCAAUUGACUUUUUGGUUUGGGUCGUUUCAAUUGAGGUGUUGAUAUACCAUUCAUCCAUCAAGUCAAUGCCGACUGAAAAAUUAAACCGAGUUAACAUCAUAUCCCAAGAGGCCGUUUGACAAUAAUUUUCCCAAUACUCUCAUCAAACUAUUUGCAGUGGGAGAGAGAGAUGGAGGGGAUCCAAGAACCUACAAUAGCUUACUAUGAAAGUGCAACUGAUGACGAAAAGGACACAUCAAGAGAAUACUUCAAAAGGUUGGAUCAAAAUGGGGAUGGAAAAGUAUGCUUAUUGGAUUUCAAGAAGUCUAUGAGUUCAUGGUUAUCAAGUGAGAAAGUAUUCAAACAACUUGAUGCAAAUUGUGAGGGACUAUGGAUUUUAAUGAAGUUUUAGCCAUUUACUACCUGGAUAAGAUAAAGUUAUCUCUUUACUGCAUUGGUUGCCGUGAUUUACUACUUGACAAAUUCUUUUCUUGCUUUAUAUGUCUACCGAAAUAUCCCAAUUUAAUUGACCUUUGCUGUGAAUGUUAUCAUGAAGGGAAAUUCAAAUAUGAGGACUCAAUAAGCAACUUCUUCAAUUACUAUUCUCUGCUUAUGUGGUUUAUGAAUCAUCAAAAAAAUGAAGAAAGGACUCAAGAGAAGGUACAUUAUAUAAUUCAUACAACUUGAGAUUCAAAACAAUAAUCUAAAUGUUUUUUUAAGUUCCAAUGAGCUUUUCUGUGAGCUAGGAUAGAUGUUUCUAUUAAGAAUAAUUCUAUUUAUUAUUAGUAGUUGAGAUUUUCCAAAAAUAAGUAAAGCACUAAUACGGUAUGAUGUUAUCGUUGUUUAGAUCCAAAUGAGAAAGUAAACCAAUUAAAAACAACAAGUCACUUAUUAAUUAUUUCUAGAUGGUUGAGGUAAUUAAUUCAAUUAAAUUAAUCCUAAGCGUCAAUCAAAUACGUAUUUAGAUAAAAUCAAUAAAAUAAAUAACAUCAAGAAUUGAUCAUGGAGGAAGAUCCUCGGGAUAGAAUAACCUCCUCGCAAACUUGCUGGUAAACGAUCCAAUAAAAAAGUUAUCUUAUAAUUAGUCCAAAUGCUGAUGAGCAUGAUUCUAGCCACCUAGCUUGUAAAUCACUGAGGAACUCUGUUGGUUGUGUACGUCCACACUUCCUAGAACUAUGGGCUACUUUUCUCCUAUUGGACCACCAAGAUCGAACCUUAUUCUUCAACACUAGAACUCUAAGCACCUCUUCUCAAAGCUUAAGAUUUCUCAAGGUUUAUAGAUGAAGGUAAAGGGUUGUUUAGCGCUAAAGCAAGAGAUUUAUUAGAAUAUGUAAUGGAUCUUCAAAUUAAUAAUGUUCUCUUGAUUUAAAACAAAAACUCAACCAAUGGAAAACAAUAAAUGUGAACAAAUAUUAAAUAUAUUUGUGAUUGAAUCAAUAGAUCUUUUGAAAUGUGUUUAUGAUCUCUACAAUGAAUAUAAUUUUCAACCACACUUUGGAACAUUCCAUGGUUUGUGUAUUUAUAAUGGAUAGUGUUUAGGGUGAAAAGGGAUUGAAAAUCACAAUUAAAAUCGAAUCAAGAGUCUUGCUAGAUAAUAUCACCUCUCGAGCACCAGGUAUGAACCAAGUGAGCGGCAGCCCACCUCAGUUGCCGCCAAGCAAGCACCAAUGAUCCUGCUUCAAUUUGCAUUGCACCGCUAGAGCGCUGAUCCUACCAUUUAACUGCUGCUAUAGGUCCACGUUUCUUGAUCUUCUAGUUAUCUUCAACUCCUAUUAGGACUCUGUCAACCCUCAACUAUUUUUACUAUAACAAAGACUAAAUAACUCCUAUUUUAACUUUGAUUACAACUUGAUUAACUCAUAAUACAAUUCAACUAAUACAUGAUUUUGAUUAAGUAGCUAACGAAUUUGGAGCUUUGCUAUAGUGUUUUUUUUUUUUUGACAAAUAGUGCUUAUAUUGCAUUAUAUGAAUUGAUAUAGACAGAUCAAAGAGUUGCGUGAGAUUGUGAGAGCUCUAUACUACAUCGUAAAAAGCAGAAUGCCAUGAUUUUUGUGGGAAUUUUGUACCAGGAAUAUUUUUCUCGUGUGUUGAAUGCUCUUUCACCCUAUGCCUUGAUUGUUAUCGGUCUACUAGAUAUAAUCAUACUCACAAUGGUCGCAUUCAGUUUUUGGAUAACUACACAUUGCUCCAAGCUAAACAAAAUUCAUCACAGGCAACACGGUAUGUCUAACACAUUUCAAUAAUGUCCUAUAAAAGUUAAUUUUCAUUCCACUAAGGUGUCGGUCAGGUCAUACCAUUUUCAAUAUUUUAAUCUCGAGACUUUGAUUGUUCAUGCAAAAAUAUCUUUGAUUUUCAGUGUGUUAAUUUUUGCAAUUUUAUUGCUAGAUAAAGUUGGGUUUGACACUAAAUAAAUUGUUAAUACAAAAAUUUGAGAUUGUACAUACUAUCAUACAAUAUCUUCUUUAGCUUACAUUGAAGAAAUCUAAAUAGAUCAAAUACUAGUCACAUAAUACAAACAACUUACCAAUUUGACAUGAAGAAUAAAGUAAAAUUUUCCUGAUAAUUGUUUUUUUCUGCAGCCAACUUACAGCUCAUACUGUGUACAUCAUCCAAAUCCAAGCCCUUGUGCCUUAACAGCAAUUGUUUUAGCAUCUAAAGUGUUAGUUUCUGCAUUCUUUAGUUGUUAUAUGCUUGAAAAAGAAAAAGAUAAAGAAUUUUUUUUUUACUAAACUCGGACAACUUAGAAUUUUUUUUCUUAUUAUAUCUUCUGGACAAAUGGAAUGCAGCAUUUAAAGCAUUUGAGGUAGCCCUGGCCAUUGAAAAUAUCUCUGGCACUAUGUGUACAAUUUUAUGAAACCAGAUUCUGCUUCAGUAAAUGCCAUGGCAAAAUGUACAUUUCCGACAAGGGUUGGAGGAUGUAGAUUCAUGCUACUUUAAGGGGCUUUGAAGUGUUUGUUUCCUUUUUCUUUCUUUCUUUUUUUUUUUUUUUGGCAACUCCGGUGUCCGAGCUUUGAAGUGUUUGUUUCUUUAUAGGAUGGAAAGCAUCAAUUGCACAAAACAUUUGUGUACAUAUAUUUGAGUUUUAAACGAGUACUGUAUUGCAACUAUUAUUAAUGUGAAUUUUUUCAUAUGAAAUUUUUCGAAAAUAUUAUGCCCUAUCUCGUAUCGAUUUUAUUUUUGGAUUUUAUUAGAUUUUGAUAGAAACCAAUGUGCAUGUUAAAUUUUUUAUUCUAUUAGUUUUGUUCAAUUCCCAAAACAUACUGUAAAAAAUGGUAGCUGAAUAAUUAAAUUCAUGUAAAUUGUCAUUACUAACCUUUGAGUCAAUAAAAAAAGUGGCUAAAUCAAUUGUUACCUUUAAUAUAAAAGGAUUUAAUAGCACAAAAUAUCCUUACAUUUGGUCUGUAGUGUCCAACUCAUCCACAUGUUUUAAAAUUUUGCAUUUUCACUCAUAUUUCCACAUUUCAUUGCAGAAAACCUUUUCUCACCAAUUUUUAAAGUAAAAUGAUCAAUAUACCCUCCUAUUUAAAUUUAAAAAAAAAAGAAAAAGAAAGAAAAAUAAAGAACAAAUUACAACUAUUGGCCCAAAUUUUCAAAAAAAUAUAUGUAAUUAACCCCACCCAAAAUAACUUCACCUUCUUCACUCCUCACCCCACCCCACUCAUUAUUUUGGAGAUUCAUGGGACUUUCGGCCUCCAUCUCACCAACCACCACCCAACCGCGGCCUAAAACAUCAUAGCUCAAGCCACAAACAACUUCCAUCAACCCCCAAAUACUUUGCCAAAUACAAAUUGAACAAACAAUAUAUUUAUAUGGCCAAAAUUAACCAAAAAUGCAGCUUAUCAUGUGUGCAACAUGCUUUUUUUUGUUAAUUUCGGUGCUGACAGUGGUUCCCAUCAUUACGAACCACUCAUUUCGACUUCACCAUAUCAUGCCACACCUACUAAAACAAUAGACUUCUAUCAAUAUCAUUCUAGUAUGUCCUAGAAUUUUUGGCCAGUUAUUAUCCAAUAAGAAAUUGAAAGCUAUUGCAAUAGAUUUUGAUUUUGUGCAUUUGUUGAUGUUUUAAGACCAUGAAGAGAGGCGCCAUGGUGAAUAUAGUCGAAUGGUGUGUUGGGAAUGGCAUGGGUCUCAUCGGAACUGGUGGUGCUGCAAGUAUUUGCUUUCCCGAGUUGGGUAUUUUGGCUUGCAAUUUCGACCAAAUCCAUUAGCAUGAAGAUUGGAUGUUGGGUGGUUGUGUAGAGGGGAGUGAGGGCUUUCUAGUGGUAUAGAGGUCCAGUGGUUUAGGCGAUGGUUGGCCAAAGUUUUUUGACUUCUAAGGUGGCAGACUAAUAGCUCAAUUAAAAUUUUAGGGCUUGAUGAUGGAUUUUUCAAAUUCAUUCCUUCAACUGUACUCCUGCAUGGGUAGAAUAUCUAUUGCAGAAAUGCCAGUGGAGGGGUGAAAUUCCGAUGGUUUUGGUGGUAGUGGAGGCGGCGGAGGGAGGGGAAGAAAAUAAUAGAAGAGAGAGAGUUUUUUUUUGUUAUUUUUAAUAUUUUGCUCUUUUCAAACGUUUAGGACUAAGAUUGAAAUUUGUUAUUUAUUUUUCUUUUUUUUUUGUUUCAUUUAAAUAUGAGGGUAUAUUGGUCAUUUUAUAAUAAAAAUUGGUGAAAAUGACGUUUUCCACAAUAAAACAAGGAAAUAUAGGUGAAAAUGCAAAAAAUUGAAACUUAGGGACAUUUUACACAUUAUAGGCCAAACGUAGGGACGAUUUGUGCUAUUAAACCAAUAUAAAAUGGUAAAAUAGGCAUUCAGAGUAAAAUCCAAAAAGUGAUGUAACUACACUUGACAUUGCAUUAAAAAAUUAAAAGGGGUCCCCACGUGUCACAUGUCACAUACAUACAUACAAUUGUCCUUUCACCAUACGGAUUUUAGUAUGAAAUGCACACCCAAAAGACUCAAUCACCCUUUUUUUUUUGUUUCAAGGAUUAUUCAUUCUUCACUCUCUUGGUUAUGAAUCGAAUCCAAUUUUUGGGCUGAACAUUGUGAAAAGCUUUCCUCCUAGAAUAUCAGUCCUCCUGUUCGAAAAGAUUCCCUCAAUUCAAGAAAGGAAUAAAAGAAAAAUAAACUUGAAUUUGAGACAGCUAUUCGAAAAUGGUUCUUAUUCGAAAGAAGCAUGGGCUUGGUGCUUCACUUAAUAGAAGUGUGGAGAAAGGCCACUCGUCGAGAUCUAGAGCGCGCAUCGCUUUGAGAACUUGUUAAACUAGCAUCUGAAUCCAAUUGCGGUUAAGGUAAUGACUUUCAACAUGGCUGGUGCUAUAGUGUAACUGGUUGGUGUUGUAAAACAUUGAUAUGCUCUUAUGACGUAAGUUUAUAAUCAUAUUGCUCCUAGUUGUUCAAUCGUUUGAUUCGUAGGAUCUCGUUUUCAAUUACAAUUCGAGAACAUCCAUUGUUAAAUUUGAGUCAGGACUCAGAAGCAUUUUAAUGGGUAGAGAUUUCUUUUUAAUUAGUGUGACAAAUUGUCUUUGUGUCCCUUUUAGUUAGUGCUGUUCACGUAAAUUUACAUUGCCUUUUCUUUAAUUGCAAUAACAACCUGUCAUUUUCAUAUGUUCGCCAAGCGUGAGUCAUUGACUAAAAAAAUAAUCCAAGUCGUCUCCUCUUACAAGUAGUUCCUUAAAAAACGUUACCAGCAUGUUUGGUUAAGCAUAAGAAGUUUACAAAGUUCUUGUUUGAUUUAUCUAAAAAGUUUGAUUGGCAACGAUUAAUUUUAACCAUGCAUUUCAUAAGAUCUAUAACUUUUUCAACCACACAUUUCAUCAAUUUUUAAAUAAAAAAAAAUCUGAUUUUUAUCUAAACCAAAAUGGGGGGCUAAGUAAAUUUACAAGCGAGAAAGUAAAUUUUGAAUUAAGUAAUAUUUUCUACUAGUGAAAAGGAAAGAAACUUAUUCGAAGAAAGUAACUUUGUGAUUAGAACGUAAUAAAAAAAUUAAGUUAUCUAAAGAUGUUUGAAGACAAAAAAUUAUUUAGAAGUGAAUUUUUAUUGGGCUUAACCGACUCUGUUCUAAAUAUUCUUUGAAAAUAGUAGAUGUGAAAAUCCUAGUAAUAUGUGCAUGCUCAUACAAGAAGAACUUCUAACUAAAACCUUCACAAACAUUUCCUCUGCUUUAAUCAAUGAAGGAACUGUUAAACUAUUUUGCAAGAGAUUAGUAUGACCACAGAGCAAGUGAAGAGGAAAAGAAUUCAGCACUCAAAUUCUUCAAAAGCCUAGAUAAAAAUGGGGAUGAAAAAGUAGGCCUUUUGGAGUUUAAAGGAUUCAAGCUCGUCGUUACCAUAUGGCAAAGUCUUAAAGGUAAACACUUAAUAAGUUAAUUAUGUGAAUGGUAUAUGAUUUUUUUCUCAAAAACUAUACAUGAGCGUUUGAUGUAGUACAUAAUCAUGAUUAUUAGUUUCCUACUACAAUUGUGUUUUAUCUUUUCUAGUAGUGUUUAUCUUCUUUAGUUUUCUUUUCUAGUCGUAAUAUGUUUUAUCUUUUUAUUCUUAAUUCUAGUUUAGAAUAAGAUUUCUAUUUUCAUUAUUGAUUAGAAUAGAAUUUCUAAUUUCUUAUAGAUUAUGAUUUUAUUAGUCUCCUUAUUUUGGUUUUCUAGUAUUUGUAGAAAUAGAAAAUUAUUUUGCCUAUAAAUAUAUAGGCAUUGUACACUUUUUGUGUAACGACCCAAAAAUUUUUGUUUUCGAAUCUCUACCCAAAAGAUUUAUUUAUACAAUGGUCAAUAUUAUUUUAAACCACUUAUGGCUCAUAAAUUUAAAUUUCUAACUGGCACAUCCUUAAGACUCAAAUAAAGUAGGCUUUCUGGCAACUAAAUUUGUAAAUUUCAUACUAUUAGAAUAUUUUCUCUUAAAAUAAUCAACUAUUUACUGUUAAAAAUCUCUAUAGAUAAAAUAGAAAUAGUAUGCACAAAAUAAUAGCUAACCAUAUUUUUAUUUCUUACUCAAUUUAAAAUAAUGAUAAUAAGGCAUAUUUUAUUUAUUCCCUUGCAGUGAGUAAAAAUAAGGCAUCAACUUCACCAAUUUAAUAUUAUUAUUGUAGUUUUAUUAAUUUGACAUGCAUGGGAAUGCUAGUUAACCCCCAAUGUUUAAAUCUCCAAUUUUUACAUGUUGGGCACCCAAGAAUAACCUAUGGAAAGUGAUGUGACAACUGUUUUGACCAUGUGUCAUAAAUUAUGGGAAAAUUUCAUAGUAAAGUACAUAAAAAUAGUAUUUGACAAGGACUAGACAGUAAAGACAUAUCUAAAUACUCUUAAGCAGUGCAACCGGUAGAAAAAAAUAACAUUCAAUACAAACUUUAUUUAAGGUGCAAUCUACAUAUAUUCAAGUGCAAAUAAACAGGUACGAGAAUUCAGUUAUAAAUAAAUGUUUAUUGUAAUAAACAUAAAAAAAAAAUUACGUGCUAAAAUUCUAGAUUUUUGUCCAGCAAGACGAGGCACAACCACUCAAUCGAAUCACCACGCUCUGACACGACCUGAUCUAACUUGUGAGGUGUAGGGAAAAAAGGUAAGUACAUGGGAAUACUCAGUAGGAUAUCAAAUUUAAUAGUGCAAUCUCAAAUAAUAAUUUUAAACACAUGUCAGAAUAUUAUACCGUCUCAUAUGUUUAAAUCCGGUAAGAGCUCAUAUCAUAUCAUUUUGUUGUACCGGAAUGGCCAUAUCAUUCGUAUCAUAUCAUACCUUUAACUUUCAUGAGUACAAAAAUUCAUCAACAUGGAAAAAAAUAAUAAUUAAACGGGACAUAAAAACACCGUACCUCAUAUCCUACCUUGUUAGAUGGUUUUUUUUGAAGACAAAACCAAAGAAAUCAUGCUCCAAAUUCUUCUUGCUCCUAUUUUGAAUUCCAAUACCACAUGUAUAAGUAUUUAUAAAUUUUUAAGGUACAAAGUAAGAUUUCUUUUACACUGCAUAAAAUAUGAAGUUUGUAACUUACCUGAUUUCAACACUCUUCUCUCUCCACAACCGUGUACUUAUGCACAUGUCUCCUUUUGAUGUACGUCUAUAAAUAUAUCCCCAUGAUCUAGUCUAACAAAGUUGGUGUGAAAUUGGGGAAAUGUGUAGAGGUAGGAUAGGAGUAUGGAUAAAAAUUGGAAAACAAACUUUUUGAAAUAAAAUAAUUGAUAGUCUUGUCAACCAACUUUGCCACUCAACAAGCAGUACCUCUCCUACACGUGGCCAACAAAUUGAAUUCUACACGUGACCUACCACAAUUUUAGAUGCAUUAAAUAAUAAAUUAAAAUAUAAAUUUAAAACUAUAUCUUUCAACCUCGAUAACUUGGGCUCCACUAAUCCAAAUUAACUUUUUCUCGAGCCUAACAUGCAUUAUUAAUUACGAUCUUUCCAACCAGCCCAAUAUUCAUAUACUUAUCAUCGCUCUGUCAACAUCUACAUUUUAACAUCCGAUAAUAUUGAAAUUUACUUUUUAUAUAUUUUAGUCCCUAAACUUCCAAAAUAUUAAAAUAUAGUAUGCAUAAAUUAAAUUAUAAUCUAUGAAAUUUUGGGACAUUGCAUUUUGAUCACAAUCAAAUAUUAUUCAAUUUGUACAAAUCAAGAUCAUUCUAAUAUCGUUCUUCAUUGCUACAUUAUUUUUAAUUACUUAACAAUUCUUAUUACAAGAAAUUUUACAAAUCAUUCCGCACCAAAUUGGUAUCAGAGCCAAGGUUCAAUAGUCCUAGGGGAGCCAGUUUGAUUUCAUUUUAGAGAGAUGUUUGAUCAACUCAAAACGAGGUUUGAUUGUUUUGGAAUGGCAAGUAUGAAGUUUGAUAUUCUAUUUUUGGAUGGCAAUACCAAAUUUUUGUUAUGGCAGAUUAUAUUUUUGGAUGCUAGAGGAGAAGCAACAUAAGUAGUUAGUUGUGAUCAUGUUGCUCAUGGUGAUAAUUCUAGCAAAUUUGAUAACUCAAAUGGAGUUAGUUGUAAACUUAGUGAUUUUUUUUAGUAGUUAUUCAAGCAAGUUCGGUUCCAAAGGUAAUUCUACUGGUAAUUAAUGCUUGGAUUCAGUUCACAAUUGUUCAUAGAGGCUUUGUAGAAGAAGUGGAGUGCUCUGUUUGAAAAAUUAUUUUAGAGUUUGUUGAAUAGUUAAGUUUAAUUUCUUGUAGCGAGUUUCGUGUCAAAUUUAAGGUUAUAAGUUGACAAAUAAGUGGGCAUAAGAAAGUGAUGUAGAACAAAAAGACCGAGUGGAUUGAGGUAGUAAAUUAGAGAUUUGACGUUUGUGCUCUGUUUUGGCCACAUAAUACUUUUCGGAAAGGGAACAACGAGUCGGAUUGGAUGCACUAUUGUGAUGUAUGGUGGGUUUUGGCCAACCGAGUUCGUUUAGAACUUGAAAACUGGUUUUAAAUUUUAGUGCUAUUUUUGUAAUUUAAUUUGUUUUGGAUUCUUUAUAAUUUUAGUUCCUUUAGGCUAGAAAAUGGUUAAUUCUUUGUUUUGGGCAUCUUGGAAUUAAUAAAACUUCUUCAUUUUAUCUUUCAUUUCUGGUGGAUUCCAGCUUUGUGUUAUUAAAAAAUAUAUAGAUAUAAUUUUUCCUCAAAUAUUUUGUUUAUCAUCGAUGUUUUUUCUACCAAAACUCCAAAUAUCAAAAGAAAGGAAAGCAAGAAGAAGAAGUGUUUGAUGUAAAAUUCAAAUUUAGAUUGUAGCCUUAUUUUUCAUUAUGGUAUAAUUGGUUAUUGGUAAUUAUCAUAUCUAUAUAUAUAUAUAUAUAUAUGAUGAUUUUGGGCAAAAAUUUUAACCUAAAAUAGGUAUGCAAUUUUUUAUUUUUUUAACUCAUAAUGAUGUUCAAACCGAUGGCUUGGUUUGGUUCGGUUACAGUAGCUGGAUUAGGUUUAUUUGGGUUAAAAUUUACCCAAAUCGAUUAAGUCGGUUUCGAUUUUGAUUUCAAGUUGGACUUAAAUCGAAUCCAACCCAAACCAUGCCUAGGCCUCUUUGGGACAGGCAAAAAUGGAAAUCAAACCUAUUUUUAUGUGACGGAAGUAGUACUUGUUAUUAGUAAUGAUAAUAUUGUUUAGCGGCGCUGAAUGUUACAACACCAGUUUAUGUAGUACUAAAUGAUAUUAGAUGACAGAUUCAAUUAAAUAGUCACAUAGUUUUACAUUAAUUGAACAUAUCAAUAGUUUCACUAGACUCGUAUGUAAGAUCCGUUAAUGUAAUAUUAGAUGACAUUAAAUGAUAGAUACAAUUAAAUAGUCACAUAAUUCUACAUUUAAUUAAACACAUCAAAUAAUUUCACUAAACUCGUGUUGUAACACAUGCUAGAUAUUAGAAAACAUUAGUGAAGUCAAUUCAAGCACCAAUGGAUAAGAACCUACCAUCUACACAUCUUAUUUAUAUAAUUAUAUGUAUAUGAACCCAUAAGCCCAAUGAAAUUUCUGCUUGCAUAAAGAGAGGCGCAGGAAAUAGCAGCAAUGGUGGUAAAGGUAUAUGGUCCCGAGUGUGCUUGUCCAAAGCGUGGGAUUGUAUGUCCUAUUGAGAAGGGGGUCGAUUUUGAGGUUGUCCCAAUUGACAUCUUCAAAGGAGAGAAUAAAACACCUAUCUAUCUCCAGUUGCAGGUUCAUUAAUUUAACCGGAAUAUUAGUAUUUCUAUUUAUAUUAUAUAUGCUCAAUCAAUUUAUUUUAUUACUUUGACCUGCAAACUGGCAGCCUUUCGGGCAUGUUCCCGUUAUUCAAGAUGGAGAUUACACUCUUCUUGGUAAUUAAACUGAAACCCUUUAUUGAAAUUUCCCUUGCCUUUCUUGUUUUGACAAAUUAGUCCAACUGGCAAUUUUCGACAAGUCUUUCUUUAUUUUUAGAGCUAGAGGGAAGUAAAUAGAGUCUGUACUUGUGCAGAAUCCAGGGCUAUCAUGAGGUACUAUGCAGAAAAAUACAGGUGAUCUCAAGGAACUGAAUUGUUGGGAAAGACGUGGGAGGAAAGAGGUCAAUAGAGCAAUGGCUAGAAGUUGAAGCACAUGAAAUCAGCCCCCCAGUUUACAAUUUAGUAAUUCAUAUAAUGUUAAGUUCCAAACUGGGGAUUACAGCAGACCAAAAGCUCAUCCAAGAAAGUGAAGAGAAGCUUCACAAAGUUUUGGACGUCUAUGAAGAGAGGCUAUCAAAGAGCAAGUACUUUGCUGGUGAUUUCUUUAGCCUUGCUGAUUUAAUCCACCUUCCACUUGUUCAGUACCUUAUAGAUCCUCUUGGAAAGGAACAUGUGUUUAGGAACAGGAAACACCUGAGUGCAUGGUGGGAUGAUAUCAGCAAUAGGCCAUCUUGGAAGGAGGUCCUUCAAAACUAUCCCCCUCCAAAUCUAUCCUAAAGUACUCCAGAUAUCUAUCCGAUCAUCGGCCGACUAUGUUUUGUGCCACCUUGUAGCUGUUCUAGCUUUGAUGUUGUCUUGGAGUCUCGUGUAUCUUUUAUUUUAAAUGAGUGGAAUUAUAAGGCCAUCCAAUCAAUUAUUAAGAGAAGUAUAAAAUGUUUAGAUAAUGUUGGUGUUUGAAUUCAUGACCAGUUCGGAUCCACCAUAAUUUAAGGAGGAGAGCUUAUAAGAAAACGAUAACUUAGAGAGAACAGACUAAGGAAAUCAUUGCAAUCGCGAACAUAGGUCUCCUAAAUGAUAUCAUCACCACAUAUACGAUCACCCCCAAAGUUAUAAGUGACAUCUGUGACAUUAGCAUCUCACAUCAACCAAAAAUAAGCAACAAUAACCUACGUGAUAUAUAAUAAUGAUCUAUGUCACAACUACAACCUAGGUAGUAUAAUGAUCUGAUUGGCUAACCUCAACAACCAAUUAGAAACCUUACAUAUGGACAUUGGCACGGCCUUCGAGGUCAUUAUUGUAGUUGAUGCCACUUUGAAUGGCCAAAUUGCUUAUUAUAAAGGCCUAUUGAUCGGGGAAAUGGUCCCUCCUAGAGGUCAAAUUAAAUAAAUUCUAUCUAUUACAAUUCAAAUUUCAACCAGUGAAAGUUGGGUCUUUAUUUUAUGGCAUAUUCUAGCAGCUACUCUCCAGUAAUCAUGUGAAGUUGAUCCACAUUUGACACAAUUUUUAGUCAUCGAGAGAUAAGAUUGCCAGAAAGUUGCAAGCUAAGUGCAUUCGAAGAUUAAAAAAAGGAAAAAUCCAAAACGUCAAUAAUUAAUAAGGAUUAAAAAAUGAUGGGCCCACCUCUGCCAAUACUAGUAAUCCAAAAUGUUAGUGAUGUCACACUAGUGGCAGAAUUAUAAAAAUAAUUGAAGUACACAAAAUGUCUUUGCAGUAAUUCUCGUCGUUGAUGUUUCCAACAGAUGCAGUUGAAGAAGUUUAUGGAAUGCGUUGAGAAAGUACUCAAUAGCACGAAAAGAAUUAGAGAGGCUAUUAUGGAACUCCUAUUGAGAGGAGACUGAUUUACAACUAACAAUUUUCAUGUUUUAGGAUCUCAACCGUCAAUGAAUUGCAAUUAAACCAAUGACUUUGAUCCCGUGCUAUUUUGUAACAGAUUACAAACUUACUCUAGAAACAGUCAAGACUAAAGCUAACGGUGGCACUACAGUAAAUUUCAUUGCAUUCAAUGUGAAGAUAAAAAAAAAUGAAAAAUUGAUUUUGGCUCUCAGGUUCGCCAUUCCAAGAAGAUUAUACAGAACGAAAAAAUUAUUGUAGGCUUCUCAGUAUGUUACAAGUAAUUUUGGUUUUCUUUUAUUGUUACACCGUCAAUGUAUAUUUCAUGUUUGUAUGUGCACUUAUCAAACCAAAACUGCAUUUUCAAAGCCAUUGGUUUGAAUCCAUGUAGAUUCAUCAACAUUUUGAUUUUGGACCGAACCAAACCGCAUAUAAGCGAUUUAGUUUAAAUUUUAGUUAUUAGAAAGCAUUUCAAACCGUCAAUCCAUUUACAAGAAAGAAUCUAAAAGUAAACUUAUUUAAAUUUUAUUAACUCAAUUAAAAUUAUACACAUCCCAGUUAAAAAAAUACACCCACAUUAGACAUAAACCUAUAAAAGCCAAUACCUAAGUAGACAACUAUACAUCCUAAUUAAGUAAUUAAAUGAAACUCAAACAUCAAUCAAUUAUAAUAACAGUAAUUGCAAAACCCUCAAUUUGAGUGAAUUGUUGAACUAUAGUUGUUGAACCAUAUUCAUCGAUUGCCAAUUACAAUUGAGUAGAAUAUUAAAUCCAAAUUUUAAUUCAAACUCACACAUUUCUUUUCUUUCUACUAAUAAUUUUCUUGAAUUUGGAAUAAAUUUUCAAGUUAGAUUAUUUAAUUUUUAUUUUUUUUAUAUUUGUUUGCUAUAUAUUAUUAGUAGUUGUGAUGUUUUAUUCUAGUUUAUGCUGAGCUCCCUUAGAUUUUCAACGGACAAGAUUUUUUGUUUCUUUGCAUCUCAAUUUCCUGAUUAGGUCAUUCAAUUAAUUGUUUAUAUUAUAAAUUACAUUCUGUUAUGAAAAGAGAGAAAAGAGAAGAGGGAAUAAAAGUCAAUAGACUUCUGUAUUAUAAUAAGAACUAAGCCCCAUAUUUAUAGGGAAGGAUUAAGGAUAUAAUGGUAAUAAUUUUAAGGGCUGUAGGUUACAAUUGUUAUUUUCUAAUAAACAUAUUAUUUAUAACACUCUAAUUUGAAGGACACGUUGCAAAAUAUUUGCCUCCUUAAAAACUUAUUUGAUUAAAACGCAACGGGAGAAAAAUAUAAAAUGAAGAAAAAAGAAUACAUUUAUUUUGAAGUAUUAAAAAUAAAUAUUGUCUCAUUAAAGUCUUGUUAGGAAAAUCCAGUUGAAUAAAACUUAAACGAAAGAAAAAUAGUACAGCUACUCCCUCUAAUGUUAAUCACUAAAAAUCUUUAAGUCGAUGCAUUUCAAUCUACUGAACCAAUUUCUUGAAUGUAGAUGUUGGUAGUUUUGUGAGUAAAUCAUCCACUUUGUUACUUGAAUGAAUUUGUUGAACAUCAAUGUGGCCAUUUUUGUGAAACUCACGUGUAUGAAUGAAUUUUGGAGAAAUAUGCUUCAUCUUGUCGCCUUUGAUAUAGCCUCUUUUGAGUUGAGCAAUACAAUCUGCAUUGUUUUUCAUACAAAAUUGUUGGACUAACUUUUUUGAAGUUAAUCCGUAUGAUUCUUGGAUAUAAUGGGUCAUGUUUUUCGAUCAUAAACAUUCCUUGCAUGUUUCAUAGAUUGCAAUAAUUUCAAACUGAGUUGAAAAUGCAGCUGUCAAGGUUUGUAGAUUUCAAUGAUAUUGCGAUUCAUCCACAUGUAAACACAUAUCCUAUUUAUGAUUUAUCUUUAUGUGGAUAAUCAGAGAGACAAUCUGUAUGUGCUUACCCCGUUAAAGCAGUCCCCAUUUUUUAGAAUAAAAUAAUCUCAAAUCAGUAGUACAUUUUAGGUAACGAAAAAUAUGUUUAAUAUCAUUCCCAAAUCUUUGAGUUAGUGUAGAGUUAUAUCUUGUGAGGAGAUUUAGAGAAAAAAGCUAUUUCUAGUCAGAACGAUUUGCGAGAUAGGUUAAUGCUCUAAUUAUACUAAGAUAUGAUAAUUUAGGACCAAGAGUUUUUUACCAUUUUUAGAUAGAUGAAAUAGAUGAUUUUUCACGUCAAGCGAUCAAACAACCACAAGUGAUGACAAUCGAUGUACAUUAUCCAUAUAAAAAAUGUUUUAAAACAUUUUCUGCAUAUGUAGAUUGAUGAAUAAAUAAUCCUUUCGAAAAGUGUUCAAUCUGCCAAUUGAAACAAAAUUUGAUUUUUUCCAAAUCUAUCAUCUUAAAUUCAUUUUUCAAAUAACCUACAAUUUUAUUUAGCUCUUAUGUAGUUCCAAUUUAAUUUAAAUCAUCAACUUAAAUUGCCACAAUUGUGAAUCCAAUAUUUGUUUUAUGUAUGAAAACACAAGAGAAGAUAUUACUAUUUUUAUAAUCCUCAUUCAACAAAUAUUCGCUAAAACGAUUUGACUAUUUCACUCUUUAUAAUGAUCGUUGCAAUUUAAUUGGAACAUGGUUUUCGAGCAUGUAUCAUUUAUUCUUGACACCUUUAGGACUUAAUGUAUAUCUCAUUAUCAAAUGAACCAUACAAAUAUGCAGCUACUAUAUCCAUAAGAUGCAUAUCUAGCCUUUGUGACACAGUCAAACUAAUUAAGAAUAUAAAAGUGAUGGUGCCCAUUACGGGAAAAUAUGUUUCCUCAUAAUCAAUUCCUUGGCUUUGUGAGAAACCUUGAGCUACGAUUCAGGCUUUGUAUCCUGUAAUAUCAUUAUUUUCAUUUCCCUUUUGUAGAAAAAUUCAUUUUUAUCCUACAUGAAUUACAUUUUUAGGUGUUCAAACUACAGGUCCAAACACUUUCGUUUCUCUAGGGUAUUCAAUUCUCCCUGUAUGGCUUCUAUCUAUUUUAACCAACCAUUUCUAUGUUAACAGUUUUUAACAAAUUGUAGUUUAUAAUCCUCAUUUUGCAUGAUAUCAAGAGUCACGUUAAAGCGAAAAAUACUGUUGAUUUCUUCGAAAGUUUUCCAUUGGUCUUUUUCUUGUACUUUUUGCGAGGUACAAAGUCUUUUGAACCAACUCCUCGACCACGCUUCUAGUGUGUUUGACAUCCAUUUGCUACUGUAGCUUUAGACGCAUCUUAGCACUCCUAGAUUUUCAGAAAGUAUUCAACGUAAACUGUGAUGCAUCUAGAAUUGGCAUUGGUGGUGUUCUGAGUCAAGAAGGGUGUCUAGUAGCAUUUUUCAGUGAAAAGCUAUCGGGAUAAAAAAAAAUUAUUCGACCUAUGAUCUGGAGUUCUAUGCCAUAGCUCAAACUUUGAAGCAUUGGCGUCAUUACCUUGUACAGAGGGAGUUCAUCCUUGUUACUGAUCAUGAGGCCUUGAAGUACACCAAUGGUCAACACAAGCUGAGUAAGCGACAUACAAAGUGGGUGGUAUACUUGCAGGAGUUUACAUUUAUGCUAAGACAUCAAGCAGGGAGUUUGAAUCGAGUAGCAAACGCAUUGAGCCAUCGCACAUUACUCCUCACCACCAUGAGCACUAGAGUUUUUAGCUUUGAAGCGUUUCCUAAUAUGUAUGCUGCAGAUCCUUCAUUCGGGAAGAUAAUUCAGAAGGUAACUAAUAAUUAUUAACAUGAUUUUAUUUUGCAUAAUGGUUAUCUGUUUCAUGGAUUGCAGUUGUGCAUUUCAGACUGUUUACUAAGGCAGCAGAUCAUUAGUGAACUUCAUAAUGAGGGACAUUUUGGACGAGAUAAGACAUUGGCGUUGGUCUCUUCUGAUUAUUAUUGGCCCAAAUUGAGCAGUGACAUAGUGCAUUAUGUGGAACGGUGUUAUAUAUGUCAGAAGUCCAAAGGAGCUCUCACUAAUGCUGGACUGUACACGCCAUUACCUAUACCUAAGGCUCCUUGGUUUGAUGUGAGCAUGGAUUUUAUAUUGGGCUUACCCCGUACACAACAGGCGAUGGAUUCUAUUCUUGUUGUGGUUGAUAGGUUUUCAAAGAUGGCUCAUUUUGUGGCUUGCCAGAAGACGAUGGAUGCUACUCGGAUUGCCCAUCUUUAUUUCAAGGAAAUUGUGCGUCUACAUGGUGUUCCCCAAUCAAUCACUUCUGACCAAGUUUAUGAGUCAUUUUUGGAGGAACUUGUGGGAGAAACUAGGGACGAAGUUGAAUUUUAGUAGCGCUUACCACCCCCAAAUAGAUGGUCAGAUAGAGGUGGUAAAUCCAAGCUUGGGAAAUCUUUUGAAAAGUUUAGCAAGGACUAAAUCAAAGCAGUGGGAUUUGGCAUUACGUCAGGCAAAAUUUGCCUAUAACCAAUCGAAGAAUAGAACCAUAGGAUUGAGCCUGUUUGAGGUUGUCUAUGGUCGUAAACCAUCCUAAGUACUUGACUUAGCUCCUAUCCCAUGUGUGGGACGUUUCAAUCACAAGGCUGAUGAGAUGGUAGAACAUCUUUAGGGUAUCCAUGAACAGGUGAAGUUGUCCAUUUAGGAGACUAAUUCCAAGUACAAGGCUCAGGCAGAUAGUCAUCGUCGUUAGGUACUCUUUGAUGUUCGUGAUUUUGUGUGGGUAGUAUUAACACGUGAUCGUUUUCUAGCUGGGGAGUAUAAUAAGCUUAAGGAGUGAAAGAUUAGACCGUGUGAAGUGCUCUAGAAGAUCAAUGAUACCGCUUAUAGGCUGCGUCUUCCUAGCCAUUUGAAGACUUCCGAUAUCUUCAAUGUGAAACAUCUAAGUCCAUGUUUUGUGGAGUCUAAUGAAGCUAAUGUGAACUCGAGGGCGAGUUCUUUCCAACCUGAGUUGAGUGACACUGAUAUGUCAGAUAGCUCAAUGAUGGCGCUGAGAUACCAUGAGAUGGCGGAUAGGCGCAAAGAUGGAAAAUAAAUGCAAUCUUUCCUUAAUCGAGGUAAUUUGACACGUCUUUGGUAAUUUGGCCAUAACUUUGGCUACGGCUAUCAGAAUCGCUAUUAUGACCCCAAUCUGGAAAGAUCUCUUCGGCGUGCACGUCGUGCUCACCAAGGCGUCAAUUUCGAGUCCAAAAUCCACUAUUUUCCUUUCCGAAAUUCAAUUUUUAGUUAUUUUUUACUAUUUAUGGUAAUAUUUUGUUUCCCUUUUUCUAGAUGUUAUAGAAUCCGAUUACCCAAAUUUUUGGAAACUUCUUUUAUUUCAUACUUUAUUUUGGUGUGAUUGUUAGGAUUUUCUAUUUUUGGUAAUUUUUCGAUAAUUUCGUAUUUUUGCAUCUAUUUAACCCGGCUUGUGGGUCAAUCUACAUCAUUCUUGAUUCAUAAUAAUAUUGAGUGAAGAUUUCAGAGAAUUCUCUUUGUUUUUGGCAUUUCUUUCUCGUAAUGCCCCAAUUUUCUAUAGACUCCUAAACGUUACAAAGUACUCAUUUUUCUUUAUUUUAAGUGUAGAGCUAUAAAAAUAGAAUUUUUAUAUUAAAUAAAUAACUGCAACAUUUAUAAAUCUAAAUUUAAAAUAUGAAAAUUUUGUCUAAACAUAACAUAAACUCUUAACUAAUUCAAAUAACACGUUUGGAACAAAAUUUAAACUAAUUGAUAAAUUUAAAGAUGGCAAACUCCUUUAUUUUUCUUUUCAUUUGAUUCACUUGGUAGCCCAUAUCACCGUCCUUCCACAAUUUCAAUCGACUCGAACUAACCGGUAAAAAUUUGUAAGAAUGAAUAUUCGAAAACACCUAGUAAGAUACGUGCAGUUUUCAUAUAUAUAAUAAUAAUAAUAAUAAUAAUAAUAAUAAUAAUAAUAAUAAUAAUAAUAAUAAUAAUAAUAAUAAAUUACAAUUCAUACCAUCUGAUCUUAUUGAUUAUAUCAGUGACCAAGCGGCACACCCAUCUUAGGUCCUCUUAUAAUCCUGUAGGAGUUCAUAUCUCUUUAAAAGAAACGAAUGUCUACUGGCAAUCUAUGCAUACUUUAUUGAUCAUAAACGCAUAAGGAAACAAAAACACUUGCACUUAAAGUAUCUUACCUCGUUAAAAAAAUCUGAAGCACGUUCAAAAUCUUUUCUCCGCUUUGAAAAAUACGUGAUUAAAACAUUCAAUGUAUGCAAACUUUAUUUCCAAUGCUACCUUCUUUCUCUUUCUUUCUUCUCUCGCUUCCUCUCCCCCCCCCCCCCCCCCCCCCCCCCCCUCUCUCUCUCUCUACCUACCGUAUGUGUAAAUUGGUAUGAGUAAAACUUUUCAUCACGCCUAUAUAUAUAGGUGUAGGGUAGAGUAGAUAAACCAAAAUUUGAUUUGAUAAGGCCAAAUCUUGCAACCAAUGUCUACUCACAAUGUACUUUAUUAUUAUCUUAUUCAACUACAAGAUAUCCGCUAUCUCUAUCCAACUGUAUAUGGGUGUAUAGUGAAUUUUGCUGUGACUAGUAUAGUAGAAGAGUGAUAACAUGUGCUAUCCUAGGAAUCUCUAAAUCAAAACUAACAAAUAAUGAUAAAAAUCCCACCUCAUACAUUUUCUUUUUGGAGAGAGAAAAAAAUAAAUUGAUUUAUAAUCUAUAUAAAAUUACAUUUAUAGCAUUUUCUUUCAAUUGGGUCUAACUUAAUGUUUCCUUAUCCAAAAUAACUUUUUCUCGAGUCAAAGACUUCUAAUUAAUUACGAGCUAUCCAACGAGUACAAUAUUGAUAUACUUAUAAUUGCUCUGUCAAAAUCUAAUUUAUUUGACCCAGAUAAAAUAGGAAUUUAUAUAAUUUACCAAAUAAAUAAAUUUUUAUCUAUAAAAUUUUUGGGUUGCUACAAUCUACCCUCCUUAAGAGAAUUUCGUCCUCAAAAUUUACUUGCAUUAGGAUCUUCUGUGGCCUGUCCUUGGGUUAAAGUAAAAACUCUGGCAUUUCCUUUCCUUUAUAGCUCGUCAUUCUUCUUCGAAAGGUCCUCUUUGCAGUUUUUAGAAAUAUGCCCGAUUUUACCGCAUCUAUAGCACACAUGCUUCCCAUACAGACAUUCAGCCCUAUGCAUUUUCUUGCACUUUGGACAAGGUGAAACGACUUGUCCAAAACCUGGUCUGAAGUUAGCCUUCUAGUUUGGUCCUUCUCUUUUCUCUUCAUUGGACCCAUUCCAUUUCCUCUUUCCUGAAGACUCGGCCCCUUGCUGCGGAGUUUGGUCAAUUUCCAACUUAUUUGAGAUUGCUUAGGCAAUCUACAAUACUCGGCUAUAGGUGGUGAAUUGGUAGGAUGCUAGUAUUCCACCAGUCUCAUGAUGCAAUCCCAGUUCGAGCUCCUUGCUUUCUUUGCUUCAGUUUCCACUAGGUGUGGAGCAUACCUUGAUAGUUGUUCGAAUUUUCUCUCAUAAUUCUCAAGCUUCAUUUUUUCGUGUUUAAGUUGAAGGAAUUCUAUCUCCUUUUGAUUUCUCAGAGCUUGGGGAAAGUAUUUUCCCAUCACUUCAUCCUUAAAUUGUUUCCACAUCAGAGCACGUGUUGUGCUUCUGUUCUAGUGCGAGAUGCUGACUCCCACCAGUGGCUUGCAGCGUCAACCAACAUGAAUUCUGCACAUAACACCUUUUGAGCAUCAGUGCAAGCUAGAUGUUUGAAUAUUCGCUCCAUUCCUCUUAUCCAUUCUUCGGCUACUAGUGGGUCUGCCUUGCCAUCGAAGGCUGGGGGUUUGUAGCAAUGGAACUGUUCCACAAUUGAGUUGAUGUUGUUAGCGUUUGCACCAUGGGGACCAGCCUGUGCUUGUUGCCUACCCAAGUCUUGUACCGCCCUUAGCAAAUCUCUAAUGAUUGUAGCUUGGUUUUGUUGUUGUCUUGACAUUUUCAUAACAAAAAUAAAAUUUUAAUUUAGAAAUAUUUAAUAAAACAACAUAAAAUUAUUAAUAAUCUUUGUAAUAACAAAGAAUUUUAAAAAUAUAAAUUUUCAAAUCCUUACAUAUAGUAAUGUGCUCUUCAAAAUCAACUAAACAAUUAAACUUUUCCUAAAUAAAUAAAUAACACUUAAUCCUAAUCCCUGUGAGUCCUUAAAAAAAAACCUUCUUUUAUGGCAUCUCAUCAUCUGAAGAAAUGCAUGACUCUGACUCGGAAUCUGCAAUCAAAUCAACAAAUUUUUGUGGUUGGAUUUCCUGCUCAGGGUCUUCCGACUCUGGUUCGAUAUCUUCCUCUGGGUCCUCUUCCGGCUCCUCCUCCGAGUCCUCCUCUGGCUUUGGCUCUAGUUCGAGUUCUUGUUCGGGCACUGGUGCUUGUUGUCUGUGAUUCCAUAAAAUUACGAUAUCCUCACAAUAUCCUUUAAUAUCAAUCUUGUCCCAAUCUUCUUCUAAAUAUAACUCAUAAUCCAUAUCCCUCAUGAAGUAAGUCACAUCUCUCCAUUAAGGUCGUAUAGUGCUUAUAAGGUGGUAUAUUGAGAGGAUUGUCCCCUCAUUAUUUCCGAAUGAUCUUGCUCACUCCCACUUAGAAAGGAAAUCUUUAACAUGUUCAACAAAAAUUCGAUCCCAUCUUACUUCAUAAUUUAUGUAGUUCUCAAUGGCCAUUUCAACACGCUGGAGGUAGGUAGGGUAAUUCCUAGUCAUCCUAAUCACGUGACAAUUAUAAUUUCGAUUAUGUUUAAUCUUGCAUUAUCAAUAUUUUUUUUAUUUUUUUUUUAAGUGCAUACAUGAUGUUCUUGUAAAAUGUAGAAAUGACAAAUAUAUUAUACGAGGUGAACAUGUUUAUACAUUUCAUAACAUGUAGAAAUAUGACUCAUAACCAUGCUAGAAAUUAAGAAUGAAAUGAAUUCAUUUCAUACCCGGGAUCAACUGGAGAGUAGUCGAAUGGUGAGCGCCACAUGCCAAGUGUUCUUAUAACAUUAUUUAUUUUUAAAAAAUUAAAUUAUCCUUUAAACCCCCUAUUUUCGUUUCCUUUCUUCUUCUUCUUCUUUUUUUUUUUAUAAAUAAUUUGACUAUAAUUAUUUAUGAAUUUCUUAGAAUAGAAAAGGUCAAGAAGUAAAAGUUCAUAGCAAUGGUAUCGUUAUUUAAAAUCAUGUUAUAAAUGUUUAUUUAAACACAAACAUAUAUUACAUACAUAUACAUUCUUGAAAAUAAAAUCAUAGUAAUAACACAUAAGUACUAAUAGAGCUAGAUAACAACCAUGUAGUAUUUUAAGAAAUUAACUUAUAUUAUAAAAACUAAUAUAUACUUAAAGGUAAUUGUGGGCUAACAUUUGAAAGGUUGGUUUCAAAGUAUGUAUACAAUUAAUUAAGGCAUGUAAUCUCAUUUUACAUAAAAAUGUUCACAAAAUCUCACUUUAUAAUAUAUUAUUAUUAUUAUUAUUAUUAUUAUUAUUUUUUUUUUAAUUUUACUACUACUACUACUACUACUACUACUACUUACUACUACUACUACAUGUAUACAUCUUUUAAUAAAAUUUUCUCAAAAUAGAAGUUUCAAAAUUUUAAAUUUUCUUAAAUUUAGAAUUAUCCAAAAUAUUGUUUUUCAUCUUGUCGAUUUGAAUAACGCACAACUAAAAGGCUUCCAGAUGAGGAGGGGGUCACAGACGGACUGCUUAAAUCCCAAACUCUUCUUAAAUAGUUUAGGUUUUUUUGACAAAGCCUUUCAAUUUUGCAAUUACGCAAUUCAACAAAAUUCAAACAAUAAAUCGAACGUGAAAUCUCUUAAAAUAUCAAUUUUUCAAAGGUCAAUUUUUUUUUAAACAUCUCCAAAGGCUAAAGUUAAAACAAAUAAAAAUUUAACAUAUGUAAGAUUUAAAUCAUAGGCAUGAAACUAUAACAAUUUAAAUUCUAAACUACUAUUACUCAAAAUCAAUUUAAACAAUCAUUUAUUCUUCAAAAUAAAGAGACAAAUGCAUGAAAAUAAAUGGGUAUUGAUGUGAAUGGUAAUCCAAACUACUACGAAAUGAGACAAAGUCUAUAAAAAAAUUUGCAAUAUUCAAAGUAUGUCACAUCAUAAUUAAAAUCAUAGAACUCUUUGCCAUGUCAUGUAAAAGAUUUUUUUUGGGUCUUUUCUAUUACGUGAACAGUAACACUGUUCAAUUUUUCUAAAACUUUUUAAAAAAUUUUUUUGAACUGUUCACGUGAACUGUUCAAUUUUUUUUUCCAAAACAAGUCUACAGAAAAGUCAAACCGUACUUUAAUACCAAGUUGUAACGCCUCAAUUUUCUAUAAACUCCGGAACGUUACGAAAAACUCAUUUUUCUUUAUUUUAAGUGCAGAACUAUAAAAAUAAUUUGUUUAUUAGACAAAUAACUGCAACAUUUAUAAAUCUAAAUUUAAAAUACGAAAAUUUUAUCUAAACAUAACAUCAACUCUUAACUAAUUCAAAUAACACGUUUGGGACAAAAUUUAAACUAAUUGAUAAAUUUAAAGACUUACCUCAUUUUUUUUCUUUUCAUUUGAUCCACUUGGCAGCCUACAUCACCGUCCUUCCACAAUUUCAAUCGACUCGAAUUAACCUAUAAAAAUUUGUAAGAGUGAGUAUUCGAAAAUACCCAGUAAGAUACAUACAGUUUCCAAAUACAUAUAUAUAACAAUAAAAAUUACAAUUCAUACCAUCUAAUCUUAUGGAGUGUAUCGGUCACCAAGCAACACACCCAUCUUGGGUCCUCUUAUAAUCCCGUAGGAUUUCAUAUCUCUUUAAAAAAAAAUGAAUGUCUACUAGCAAACCAUGCAUUUUUUAUUGAACAUUAACGCAUAAGGGAACAAAAACAUUUGAACUUAAAGUAUCUUACCUUGUUAGAAAAAUCUGAAGCACGUCAAAAUCUUUUCUGAGCUUUGAAAAAUACGUGAUUAAAAUAUUCAUUGUAUGGAAACUUUAUUUUCAAUGCUACCUUUUCUCUCUUCCUUUCUCUCUCUCUUUCUUUCUUCUCUCUCUUCCCCUCUCUCUCUCUCUCUCUCUCUCUCUCUCUCUCUCUCUACCUACUGUAUGUGUGAAUUGGUAUAAGUAAAACUUUUCAUCAUGCCUAUAUAUAUAGGUGUAGGGUAGAGUAGAUAAACCAAAAUUUGAUUUGAUAGGGCCAAAUCUUGCAACCAAUGUCUCUCACAAUGUACUUUAUUAUUAUUGUCUUAUUCAACUACAAGAUAUCCACUAUCUCUAUCCAACCAUAUGUGGGUGUAUAGUGAAUUUUGUUGUGACUAGAAUAGUAGAAUAGUGAUAACAUGUGCCAUCCUAGGAAUCUCUAAGUCAAAACUAACAAAUAAUGAUAAAAAUCCCACCUCACACGUUUUUUUUGGAGAGAGAAAGAAAUAAAUUAACUUAUGAUCAAUAUAAAAUUACAUUUAUACCAUUUUCUUUCAAUUGGGUCUAAUUUAAUGUGUCCUUAUCCAAAAUAAAUUUUUCUGGAGUCAAACACUUCUAAUUAAUUACGAGAUAUCCAACGAGUAUAAUAUUGAUAUACUUAUAAUUGCUUUAUCAAAAUCUAUUUUAUUUAACCCAGAUAAAAUAGGAAUUUAUAUAAUUUACAAAAUAAAUAAAUUUGUAUCUUUUAAAAUCUUGGGUUGCUACAUUUCUUCUUCUUUCUUGCGAAUCGUCUCUUGCAACUAGCUUUUAGGAUAAUCGCUAUCCUACCCGGCGUCAGAAAUCAAUAUCAAGAAACAAAAUGAAGAAAUAAUAAAUUGAUAAAUUUCAAUGGAACUCCGUUUGGGAGUUAUUUUAAGUGCUCAGUUUGAUAGCUAUCUUCCAUGAAGGCAACUCUAUAUAUCAGACUAAAGACCGAAUCCAAAUUGACCCACAAAAGGUUCCAUAAAAGGCAAGGGACAAGGCACCACAAAGAUAGCAAGCAGUUGGCUAAGGAGGGGGAGAACGGUGGCAGUUUUAAGAGUAAAAAGAAAAUAGCCACCAACUACAAGAAUAGCUAAGAAUACCCACAGAAGAGAGGUAGUCGUGAAGUACAAUGAAGGGGAAGCCAUGUGUCUUGUAUGUAUUAAGGCAAAAAAAAAAUAACCCUUAAAUAAUAAUCCAACUAGGUUAUUACAUGGAAAGUGGGCUGAAUAGAUUAAAUCACUGAACAACUGGAUCGAGCCCGUUAAUACCUCCAAGUGAUUUAAUUAAGGAAGCAAAAUUCGUAAAUCAAGUAUUAAGUAUGGACAAUUCAAAAAUUAGGUUUUAAGUUUAAAAAUGCGUAUAUCAGUUAUUAGCUAAUUAAUUAAAAAUAUUUACUAAUUAAAUAUAAUAAGGUAACAGUUAUAUAAUUAUUGGUCACAUGUACAUAAUUAUAGGUCACAACUUAUUUAUUGGUCACAUAUUGUCAAAUUAAUUGGUUAUAGAUUAUUUUAAGGUUACAUAUCAAAAAUUUUGUAGGUCACAUUUUAUUUCAUUGGUCACAAAUAAAAAAACUAUAGGUCAAAAUUUAUCUAUCGAUCACAUAUUUUCAAAUUUGUGGGUCACCGAUUAUUUUUUUAUUCACAAAUUAUUGAAUUUUAAGUUAGUCACAAAGAACCAAAUAAUUGCUCAUAUAUACCCAAGCAACCAAUCCCGAUCCACCACCAAUAUCUAGUUACAAAUUGACCAAAUAAUUGGUCAUAGACACUCUUCGUCCCAUCCCGUCCCUGCCGCCACCACCUCUACCUCUACCAUCACAAUUGCCACCAACAAUGACAAUAACACAAUACCACUGCCACCAACAUCACUAUCUCAUCACCACCACUAAAACGUCUAGAAAACUUCAGAAUAAAAAAGUAUUUUUUUAUAUGAUAUAUUUUUAUAUUUAAAAAAAAAUUGAGGACUGAAAUGAAAUUUGUUUUCAAUUCAUAUUUUUUACAUCAAAUAAUAAAAUUUUGACAAGACUAGUAUAAGUAUAUCAACAUUGGGCUUGUUGAGUAGCUCAUAAUUAAUUACACAUAUUAGGCUCGAGAAAAACUCAAUUUGAAUAAGCGAAUUCUAAGUUAUUGCACUUUAAAGAAGAAGUUAGUAAUAAGUUUUUUUUCAUUAAGCUUAUUUAUUUAUAUAUUUUUUUAGUCAAAAGGGAUAGAGAUGGCCAUGUAUACCAGUUGAAAUGGAAGAGUAUUUUUCUUACAUGGCUAUGACUUGAUUGAUGGAGAGAUAAAGUAGCUUCAUCUUUUCUAUUUCUUGAAGUUUGAAAUGAUUUAUUAUAUAAUAUAUUCCUUGGACAAAUUUCUUGGCAUGAUACAUGGCAAUCAUGAUCUUUGUUAUAUCAAUGAGUCAACUGUCUUUGAAUUAGAAUUGAAUAAAUUGCCUAAUCUUUAGGCAUAUGAACGAGUGAAAAGGGCAAUUAGCAAUUUUAGCUAUUUUUAUGGGAAAACAUGUAGAUUACAGUAUAAAUAUUAUGGAUUAUUUUGAGUAGAACACAGAUAUAGUCACGGCUAGAACUAGAGAGACUGCUAGGAAGACAACGACUUGUAUUAUAUUCCAUAGGGAAAUAGUUAUCCAAGCCUAUGAAAAUUAUGAAACAGACCUAACUCACACACUUAUUGAACAUGUAGUGAAAGUCUUCGCUAUAUGGGGUUCAGCAAGAGGGGUAGGACAUGAAAUCACACCCCCUCCAAGCUAUUAACAACCUUAUCCGUACACAACCACCUCAGUGGGGAGACAUUGUCAUUUUGGUUAGGGACAAAAUACUAGAGGGUAAUGAUCUAGAGCACCCAGAAAGAAUCGAGUUCGAGCUGUAUUGUGAAAUUUUCCUAGAUAGGUGGAUUUCUACUCUCGAGCCCGAACCCGAUCCAGAAGAGGACCCGAAUUAUGAAUCUAUGUCAGAGCCAGAGAAUAAGCAGGAGUACAUGCUAGGACCAGAACUAAAACCAGAACUAGAACUAGAGUAUGAGCAUGAGCUAGGGCUCGAACUAGAACCUGAGCUAGAGGUUGACCAGGAAUCCGAGCCUGAGUCAUGUAUAUCUAAGGAUGAUGAAACAUCUUCAUUUAAGCUUUAGGAUUCAAAAUGGUUGGACAAGCGAAGAUGAAGACUAGUAACCUAGAGAUAGUUUAGUUUAAAUAAAUAAUUCCAUCCCCAAAAAAUAAAUAAAUUGGGGGAUGUAAUCCGCAUUUGAAUAAUCCAUUGGUUUUUCUUCAUUGUUCAUGCUUUAAUCCUUUCAAUCAUUCCUCAUGUCCUUAAAGAUUUAAAAUUUUAUGAAACUGAGUUGUUCAUUCGAAUAUAUUGAGAUGUUGUUGAUUAUUUGUAAAACGAAAUUUAUUUGGUUGAUUUCAAGGAAAUGGCACGUCAACCAGCACAAACAGCUAUGUUUAAAGAUUUGUUGAGAGCUAUGCAAGAUCUUGGUAGGUAGCAAUCACAAGCGCCUUCUCAGAAUGUACAAACUAACUCCAACACCACGAGCUCGGUUGUGGAACAAUUUCAUCGUUAUUAGCCCUCUACUUUUAAUAGCGCAAUAUUAUAAUUUUUUUUACGUAAAUUUUUUUAUGAAAUGAUAAUUGACCUGCGGGUCUUAAAGAAAUGAAAUGUGAGAUCUCCUUUAGGUUUUCUCAAUUGUUUGCACAGAAAUGUGUUAGAGCAUUCGAUUGAUCUCCGAUCACUCUUGACGAAAUGGUGGUAUGAAAUGACGGUUUCUACUAAGUUUAAAUUACCCAUUCCUUCAAAUUUUAACAUUUCAGGUUAGAUCAACCAAACUUGGAUGGUGGCUAAGCAGUGCGUUGGUUGCCAAGUAAAAAUUUUUUGGAAAACAUUCAACAAUGAAUAUGUUAGGAUAUCUUGUGUUUUCCCUUAUUUUCGUUAAAUGUUCUUAAUUUCGUGACACUACGUUUAUUUAAUUUAGUAUAUUAAUGUUUAAAAAAUUAAGGGUUUAAAAUUUUCAAUUAAAUAUCUUUGCAUCAAGUAUGUUUAUGAAAUUAUAUCGGUAACAUCUCAAAAUUUAAUUCAAUAAAGUUUGGAGUAUUACAACCACGACCACCACCACUCAAAUCUGAACCCACACCACCAUCACCAUCAUCUAGCCACCGCUACAGUCACCACCGCCAAACCAACACCAACUCACCAUGCCCUGAUUACACCCAACGAUUAACGCGGUGAUUGUAGUAUAGCAUUGGGGUUUCGUAUCCACAGGGAGAUGGAAAAUUAUUUAAAGGAUAAAAAACUUUGGGUUCUUGUGGUUAUUUGUGUGAAAAUAAUUUGUCAAUUGGAAUAAAUUGAAGCAAGAGUUUAAUAUCAAUAUAUGGAAUAGUGAAGCGCUAAAAUUCCCUCGAUUAGAUUGAUUCAAUCAAUGUCAAUUUUUGCAUGAAAAUACUCAAUUAAAGGUUUUCAUCCCAACACUUUAAUUGGAAAAUUUAACCUUCAAACCUAUUCAAUUCCACAAUAAUUCCUCAAACCUAGAUUUCUUUCAUAAUAUAAUUCCACAAUAAUCCAUUCAAAUUAGAUCCAAAAGCGAUUAUAUACAUCAAGCAUAUAAUGGUAAAGAAUCACACCAAUAGGAGAUUUAAGAUUGAAAUUCAAUAAGUACUUGAAUUAAUCGAUGGAAAAAAGGUGAUUGAAUCCACGAAAAUUUAAUACAAAUUAAACCAACCUCAAAACAUGUUCAUAAGAAAAAGAAAUCUAAAUCUAGAAUUGUUUAACAAUGAAAGAACACAUUUAAGCAAGAAAAGACAUGAAAAUUUCAAAAUCUAAUCGAGUUCCUUCGUGGCUUCACCAAUAAGUUUAGUUCUCCAUGGAUUUCUUGAGCUAAAAACCAAAGAAAAGUGAUAGAUAAUGAAUGGUAGGCAUUCUGGUUGAGAUUAUGGUUUAAAAACGUGUGGAAACCAUGUUUCCAUAAGUGGUUGAGUUGAUUAAGAAAAUAGAAAUUUUGACCUCGAGGAAUAACCAUGCGACCGCAUCGUUAUAAGUGUUGUGGUCACAUGGUAGAAAUAUUUUGGCCUCUGGAAUUCCCUGGAGGUACUUGUGCGACCGCAUGGCUUUAUAACCAUGCGGCCACAUGGUUAUUGCCAUUUUCUCCGCCAGACAAUGUUAAGUAUUUUAGCCAUAACCUUUCCUCCCGAUGUCUGAUUAAGGCGAUUCAAGUUGAGUUGGAAAGAUAACUCAAAGGGAUACAAAUUUGAUUCAGACAUCAUCUUCUAGAUCGAUUUUUUCAAUGUCAAAAAUAGGUCCCAAUAUAAGGUUGAAAAUCGAUGCGUAACUUUUUCUAUUAGAAGUUGAUUUGUGAAUAUGUUAUGAUCAUAUUUCACUUCCUUUGACUUCUAAUUGCACCAAAUUGACCCUUAGCAUUCUUGAAUCAUCAUUUCAUCACCCGUCUCAUCUUUGAAUUAUUUGCAACAUGGUCCCUAAACUUUUGCUUUCUUCCAUUUUGGUCCCUUUUUCGCUUGUUUCUUCCGCAUUUCAUCUUUUUCACCAAAACGCAACCUAAACCAAAAUAUAGGAUUAAUGAGUACAUUUUGACAUAAUAGAUUGUAUGAAUGCAACAAUUAAGAUGGAAAACUAUCAUGUUUUACACUCUUAUCACAACCCCAACUUGCUUAUUGCUAGUCUCUAGCAAGUCAAUGCAGAACAAGCAAACGAAUGACUAGACUGUAAUAUAAAUGAAAUUAUUAUGUUCCAAAUUAAUUUCAAUUCAUGCUCUUUUCAAACUCAACACCACAAGAACUUAACAAUGUCAUGAUCAUCAAGAUAUCAAAAACACUUGCUAAAUGUGUGAGUGUGUAUCAAGCCAUAGCCAUCUUACUGCAAACCCUAACACAUGCAAUAUCAAGUAUGUCUCGAACUGAAGGUUCAACUCCACAACUCACGGGUAUCAAAGUAUUUAGUGCGGUUUUCUCUCUAUGGAGCUGAGAAAGGGUAUACACUCAGAACUUGGCUUAAAUGUUUCUGAAUAAGCAACACGCGAGCAUUGAUCAUAUGAUAGAUAUACUGUCAAAUGAGGAUUCAUCACUUUCUUACCACAAUCAUACUUAGGAUAUAAAUAGUCAAUGUAAAGGGUUGAAAUGUGGUUUGAGUUAGGUUAUAUGAAAAGGAGGAUAUAAAGAUUCAAAGACUUCCAAGCAUGUAGCUAGACAUCUCAUCAAGCAUCUCAAUAGAUUACAUCCUUCGAUUAAUACACUCUUCAAUAUUUCAACCCCUAAAUCAAUAUUUUUUUUUUAUUUAUUUAAGGGGUGUCUUGUUUGAGCACAAUGUUUCACUUGAGCACAUACUAACUCUUGUCAUUUUCUUGCUUCAAUUUUUCACAAAUAAGCAUUCAAUACUUACUACAUGCUUAGAAGUAAAAAGUUGGGUAAAUACAUGGAUAGACCAUACUCUAACGUGGAGAAGUAUGUCUAACAUGGGUGUAUGAAGAAAAUGCUAUACAUGUGUGUAUGGCUCAACAUGGAUACUAGGGGUUGUAAUUAUUGAAAAAGAAGUCUUGACAGGCUUAUAUGUUAAUCCUAAAUUGACCUUCUUCAGUUCCCAAGUAAUUUACCAUCUUACCUCAAACCAUAUAUAUUCUCAAAAGAGUUUCCAAUUCACAAAAUCAAUGAAUGUUCAUUGCUAUUUUAGUGCAAGGAGGCUCUCGAUCCUUACUAACUCUCACAAGAAAACUUCAGCAAGAAACUACUCUAGCUACAUGUGUGCACAAAAUGAUUCAGUAAAUUUCUCAACAUCUAGACUCACACGAACAAUAUCAACUCCUAGUGGCAUAUUUUGUCUUUCAAGAGCAUGUAGUGAAUUAGGGACUUAAAAAAAAAUUAGACCACAAAAGUCCUUGAAAAUCAUGUAAUUCACAACAAAAUUUAAGUUAAACUCUCCCUCCAACUAAACAUUGCAUUGUCCUCAAUGCAAAAACAUGUUUGCCAAAUAAAGGUAAGAAAAAAUGUCACCUGAGUGCCGAAGUGAAUCACAUGAGUUGAAGUAUAAGAAGUUUGAAAGUUUUCAAUGGAAAGGGUGAUGCAGAAAAUGAAAAUAAAAGGAAUUCAAUGAAUAAUGCAUGGACUAAACCUAGAGAGAAUGCAUAAAUGAAAAUAAAAAGAAAGAGAAAGGAACGAACUCCCCUUGGGUUCCCUCCCAAGCAACGCCUUUGUUUAUUGUCGUUGGCUCAACCCAAUAUUGCCUUCUGCAGCCCACAUCUAGCUAGGGCAUUGUUAACUUUCGGCACAUUGCACCAAACUCAUUGGAAGUAGUCACCGAUGGUAUCCCAUAAUCCUGAAAAUUAUUAAAAGCAGCAUCUAACACGACCCAUCCCUAAUCACCCUAUGGACCCGAGACUUGACGUGCGUCGAUGGUAAAUGCUGACUAGACACCAAAUCCACCAUCAAGGCUGACUAUGACUUACUACAAAAUAUGUGCCAAAUCAAAUGUUUAUGAAAUAUAUAGUACAAUGGACCCAAAAUGAUUACUUUAUGUUUUGCCAAAAUGAAUCGUAUCACUCAAUAUGUUGUGUGGCUCUAAUUCUAAAACCACAGGCUUCUCAAGCUACCAGGGACCAAUACUACCUAUAAGAAAAAUCGUGGAAAAAUAUGAGUUUAUAGCUCAGUGAGUGGAAAUGUUCGAAAAUAAUUAUACUUUCUCAUUUAAACAUUUUUAUCCAACAUCAAGUUCAUAUCGUUUAGUAAUUCAUACGAUACUAGUCAAAAAAUGAGACAUUCUCAUAACUCUGUAAAUAUCAUCUCAUAUCCACAAUAUAGUCAUCAGUGAUAUCUAUACCAUCAUCUCAUCACAUCACAUGUGAUCCACCAAAAAUGUACCUUCUGACUAAAAUCUGUAAUUCGCCCCUCAAGUUAAGCACUUUCGCCACGAACCUUUGGCCCCCUCCAUGAACGAAAGUGGGUCUCAUGACCUUUGGUAAUCAAUUCUAGAACACGAUCAAUGCCCCUCUGUGAACUAUAUGUACACGAUCAAGACCAAUAUCCGGUCAAGACCCCUAUGUGUAGAAUAGAACACGACCAAAGCCCCUCAGUGAACUAGAAGAAAUAUAUAAUGAUGGGUACUUUUCUGGUCGAUCUCAAGAUCACAUAAUUCAUAAUGUACCACAUACAAUUUUUGAAAGUCCACAUGUAUCAUAAUAAAAGAUAUUUUUAUAAUAACCAUAUAAGUCGAACCAUAAUUGCACAUACUUUAAUAAUAUACUUAAUUCAAAUAUUUUAAAAAUAUAAAUAUUUUUCCACUCACAGAUUCAUAGAUAGAAAUCUGGCUAAAUUGACGAGCCAUUCCAAGCUUUCAUGUCUCUACCUGAAAUAACGGUAUAAUUUCUCAAAUUAAAAUCAGACAAUUAAAUUAAUACAAUUCUACCUCUCAACUUCUCAAUUUCUAUAUUUACUCUUACAUCUCCAAUUUUCCAACUUUUCUCCGCUCUAAUGAUUUAUCAACUAAUCACCAUUCAUUAUCAAUUCCAUUAAAUUACUCACACUUCCUUAAAAUCAAUAACUUAUACAUAUAUAAGCCCAAUACGUAAUUUAUUCCAAUACAUAAAUUUCAACACUUGUCAUAUAACUUCAUUCAACCCUUUAAAAAUCUGAAAAUAAGUGUUUUACAAAAACAGCAUUAAAACCCCAUAAUAUUAAUAUCUGGCUGCAAAACCUUUGACAGAAUUAGCACUAUUCUGGGCAUAUUUUAAGAAUUAACACCUGCACAUGAAUUUUGCACGAAAAUUGCUUAUAAAUACCAAAAUAUAACCUUAACUUCAUAUCUCACUAUAAUAAAUCACAAAUAUGGUGAUUUAUAUCAUAUACACCCAAUAGAUCAAAGAUUCAAGCUCUAAAUUACAAACCCAUUUCAAAAUUUAACUUUCUUUAAUUUCAGUACUCAAAUAACAUUUCUUUGAUAUGUUAUUUCUUAAUACCUCAAAAAUAUAAUAAUAAUCUCUAAUUCUUGCUAAAUUUUGAAUAUAAAUGAAUGGUUCAUAAACCCUAAAAAUUUAAUUAACUUACCUCUUUAAAAUAAGGAUAAGUUGAAGAAAUGAAGAAUCCAAUCUUACAAAAAUCAUCAACCUCUUUCAUUUCCUUUCUUUGCUUCUUCUUUUUUUUUUCCCCUUCAUUUUUUCCCCUCAUUUUAUCCAGUUUUGUUCUUUACUUCCUCUCUACAUUUUUCGCCCCAAAAUGAGAGAAAAUGGAUAUGUUCAAGGUUUUAAAUGGAUUAGUAUGAUAGAAUUGCAAAUCAUGUCCCCACACUUCAUGUAAUAUACCAUUUACUCCUUUAAUUCCAAUAAAUAGAAACUAAAUCCCCUAAGGUUCUUGUAAUUACAAAUUGAGCCCCAUAAAAAUCAUUUGUUCAACUUGAGUCCGCGCAUGUGCUUCCUCCUCAACGAGUGUAUCAAUCAUGCAUGUUUGAUGACACUCAUCAUCUUCCUCGGGCUAUUUCCUAACGUGAAAGAUGUUGAUGUCUAAGGUCAUGCUCCUAACAAAUAGCUUUAUCAAAUCAUUCCUGCAAUUGAUAAAAGUGUUAGCUAUAGUGAGAAAAGGUCUACCAAGAAUAAUGAGAAUUUUGGAGUUAACAUUCACAUCUACUUUCACAUCCAAAACUAAAAAAUCCACAGGGUAGCAAAAUUUGUCAAUCUGUACUAACACAUCCUCAUCUACCCCCCUAGGUCUAAUAGUGGACCGAUCAGCCAAUUGUAGGACCACUGUAGUAGGUAUGAUCUCACCCAGACCUAACGCCGAGUAUAUAGCAUAAGGUAUGAUGUUGACACUAGCCCCUAAGUCGAUGAGAGCUUGUGAAAUCUCAGGGUUCCCUAUGAUACAAGAAACAGUAGGACAACCAGGGUCCUUAUACUUUGGUGGUACAUUUUGUUCAAUUAUGGCACUCACAUGUUCAGUCAAGACGACGGUUUUCUUGACAUGGUGCUUCUGUUUUACAGUACACAAGUUCUUAAGGACUUUAGCAUAUGUGGGGACCUGGGAAAUCACAUGCAAGAGAGAUAGAUUGACUUUUACUUGCUUGAGAUGCUCUAGGAUUUCACUGUGUUGACUAGAAGAUUUCGAAGUCGACUUGAGGGCUUGAGGAAAGGGCACUGUAGACUGAUUUUUCACUACCUCCUUACUAGGGGUGCUCUCUUCUAUGCUACUGGGAUCCUUCUCACUUUCCCUAUGUUUGGGGGUUGGUUCUAUGACUUUUCCAGAUCUACUGGUUACGGCAUUCACUUCUUUCAAGUUGGUCUCUCUUGAUCCUGAAGUUUGUGCAACGUGUUGCCCCUUAGGGUUCGGUUAAGCUUGCACUGGGAAUUUUUCCCGUUCUCCUAUAGAUAAGUCAUUAGUUAGUUUGGACAUAUGAGAUUUUAUUUUCUUGUUUUCUUCAACAAUUUUGGUGAUCAUAGUCUCAAACUUUUGGUCAGUCUUACUCUGUGCCUUUAUAAAUGUAUGUAGAGUGUCUUCUAAAGAGUUUUUAGAGGACGUGGGCUGAUAUGGGGUACAUUAUGAGCUUUAUUUUUCUGGCCUUCAGAUUUUCAACUGAUAUUGGGGUGAUUUCACCACCCCGGAUUGUAUGUUUCAGAAAAGGGAGAAUAAGGCUUUUGGUACGUGUCUAAGGUAUUGCAGUGUUCCUCAUAAACUCCCCUCAUCUCAGCGUAGGUAGCGCACUCUUGAGCUGGAUGAUCAGUUCCACCACAAACAAAACACGAUCCUAAAGAUUCAAUAUGUGAUGCAUUCUGUGUAGGCUUUGAGUCCUUAGCACGUAAGAUUUUUGAGUUCUUUAGUGAGGGCAUCUACCUUGGCUCUAAGGUCAUCCUCCUCCCUAAGAUGAUAAAUACCAGUGCUAUUCGGGUUUUCAAUGGGUUGUGACCUAUUAGUACUCUCAAUGGCACUAGGUCCAGUCCAGGUAUGAGCUUUUUCAGCUAAGUCAUCUAGGUAGUCUAUGGCCUCAUCCGGAUAUUUUUACAAAAAUUCCCCAUUACACAUCAUUUCAACAAAUUGACGCUCUCUAGGUAAUAAUCCCUCAUAGAAAUAACUUACAAUGUGCCAACUUUCAUAACCAUGGUGGGGGCAGAGGGCUUUCGAUUCUUUGUACAUUUUCCACGCUUGAUAUAAAGUUUCACUCUCCUUUUGAGUAAAAGAAGAUAUUUGCUUUUUCAAUGCGGUUGUGUUGUGGUGGGGAAAGUACUUGCCAAAUAAUGCUUGAGUCAUUUUAGCCUAAGUCCCAAUCGAGCGUGGUCUCGAUGAAUAUAGUCAGCUUUUUGCUCUUUCUUUAAGAGAGAAUGGGAAAAAUUUAAGUCUCGCUGCAUCCAUUGUACCACGUUGAUUGUGAAAAGUCACAAUAACCUCUUCAAAUUCUCCAAUAUGCACGUAUGAGUUUUCAUUCUCAAGACCGAGAAAGGUGGGAAGAAGUUGGAUCAUUCUCGGUUUAAGGUCCAUACGUGGCAUAUUAGAUGGAAAGCUUAUGCAUGAUGGUGUUGAUGCGUGUGGGAUGGUGACAAUCGUGCAAAGUCCUAGUUGGUACCUCUUCAUGUUCACUAUCAGUCAUGGUGUUAUGUGAUGUAAUGUGUGUGUCAACAGAUGCAGUAUCGAAAAGAGGAUUAGAAAGUGAUUCAAACUCUAGUUGAGGUCUUACAAUGAAUCGCCCUCGGUCGUCUCGAUUCCUGUUCAUAAAGCACAAAAAUACAAAAAUGUGAGAAAUAACAAAAUACAACUAAAAAGAUAAAAGAAGAACGAAGUCACCCUUUUGCUCAAAAAUCCUUUAGUUAUUUGUACCGUCUCGCCGGUAAUGGCGUCAAAAUUUGAUUACACCCAAAGAUUAACGCAGUGAUUGUAAUACAACUUAGGGUGUUGUAUCCACAGGGAGAUGAAAAAUUAUUUAAAGGAUCAAAAGCUUAGGGUUUUUGUGGUGAUAUGUGUGAAAAUAAUUCGUCUAUUGGAAUAAAUUGAAGCAAAAGUUUAAUAUCAAUAUAUGGAAUAAUGAAGCGCCAGAAUUCCCUCAAUUAGAUUGGUUCAAUCAAUAUCAAUAUUUGCAUGAAAAUGCUCAAUUAAAGGUUUUCAUCCCAACACUUCAGUUGGAAAAUUUAACCUUCAAACCUAUUCAAUUCCACAAUAAUUCCUUAGACCUAGAUUUCUUUCAUAAUAUAAUUCCACAAUAGUCCAUUGAAAUUAGAUCCAAAAGCGAUUAUAUACAUCAAGCAUUUAAUAAUGGUAAAGAAUCACACCAAUAGGCGAUUUAAGAUUGAAAUUCAAUUAGUACUUCAAUUAUUCGAUGGAAAAAAUGUGAUUGAAUCCAUGAAAAUUUAAUACAAAUUAAACCAACCUCAAAACAUGUUCACAAGAAUAAGAAGUCUAAAUCUAGAAUUGUUUAACAAUGAAAGAAUACAUUUAAGUAAGAAAAGAUAUGAAAAUUCCCAAAUCUAACGGAAUUCCUUCGUCGCUUCACCAAUAAGUUUAGUUCUCCAUGGAUUUCUUGAGCCAGAAACCAAAGAAAAGCGAUAGAUAAUGAAUGGUAGGCAUUCUAGUUGAGAUUAGGGUUUAAAAACAUGUGGAAACCAUGUUUCCAUAAGUGGUUGAGUCGAUUAAGGAAACAAAAAUUUCAACCUCGAGGAAUAACCAUGCGACCCUAUGGUCAUAAGUGUUACGAUCCCAUGGUAGAAACAUUUUAGCCUCUCAAAUUCCCUAAAGGUGCUUGUGCGACCGCAUGGCUUUAUAACCAUGCGGCCGCAUGGUUAUUGGCAUUUUCUUCGCCAGACAACUUUUAGUAUUUUAGCCAUAAUCUUUCCUCCCAAUGUUCGAUUGAGGUGAUUCAAGUUGCUUGGAAAGAUAACUCAAAGGGGUAAAACUUUGAUUCAGACAUCAUCUUUUAGAUCUAUUGUUUUAUAUUUCAAAAAUAGGUCCCAAUAUAAGACUGAAAACCGAUGCGUAACUUUUUCGCUUAGGAAUUGAUUUGUGAAUAUGUUAUGAUCAUAUUUCACUUCCUUUGAAUUAUAAUUGCACCCAAUUAACCCUUAGCAUUCUUGACUCAUCAUUCCAUCGCCUGUCUCAUCUUUGAAUUAUUUGUAAUUUGGUCCCUGAACUUUCCUUUCUUCCAUUUUGGUCCCCUUUCGCUUGUUUCUUCCGAAUUUCAUCAUUUUCACCAAAAAAUCAACCUAGACAAAAACAUAGGAGUAAUGAGUGCAUUUUGACAUAUUAUGAUUGCAUGAAUGCAACAAUUAAGAGGGAAAAAUAUCAUAUUUUACACUCUUAUCAUGCCUUCAAUAACUAAGACUUACCUUUCCAUAGUCUCGAUUGAAACGCUGUACAAGAAGUCACUAUGAAGGCCGCAACACUUCCAUUCAACAGGCACCAACACCACUAAAAUAAACCAUUUGCAAAACCAAAAACAAGUAAAACCACACACAACUAACAUCAAAACAAUAACAAAUAACGAACACCCCCACCAAUCUACGCUAUAGCGACGUUCCAUAAGAAGUCACUACAAUGGUGCUGUGCUAUUUGCGAUCAUUGUGCGGAGGAGAUUGCAAUGAGCGCUCGUAGUGAAGCACCACACACUGCAACCUUCGAAGGAGAUAGUAGUAAGUGUCACUCGCUACUCGUCGGCCAUGUGGGAGAGGCAAUAGAGAGACAAAAAUAGGGGAAGAAGUUGGAAAGGGAAUAUAAAUUAGGGUUCUAAUUGGGUGGAGAGAGUAUAUAAAUUAAUUUGUUAAUAUUAUUAUAUAUAUUUACCAGAUUUUUGAAUAAGUAAACUUUAAACCUCAUUUUUGAAAUUCAAUCUUUAAAUACCCGUAUGGAUGUAAUUUCCACUUUAAUUAACAGUCUUUAGUUUAUCUUUGCUUUGGGCCACUUGUAUGUGAAGACGGGUUGUUUAGUUAAUUCUUCAAUCCUCGCUAAAAGUUUGUAAAGUUUAUUUCUAGCCGUUUAACAUUAUAGCCCGUAAGAUUUUGUUUGGGACCAAUUUCCCAACAACAUCAAUAAUAGGUUUUCAUUAAAGUGAACUCCAACAUGAUAUUUCCUUCUCCUUGAACAAAUGCUGUAGGAUAAUGUCCUAUGUAAAAAUCUUUUCCAUCUUCAUUGAGAUCAUAAGUUGUGAAGAGACUUCAAUCUUUGCCACGUGACUAAUAUCAACCAUAUUGGCUCACUACUCAUUAGAAUCUUCCACAACAAAAGGCUUCACUAAUUUAAAAAAUUGGAAUUGCAGUCUUCUUUUUGUUUCUCCCAAAAUAAGAUAUUUCCAUUAGAUGCUCCUAUUUUCCACAAUUGUGGCAAUGGUCUUUCUUCUUCUUCGGAUCUUUGUAUUUAGAUUCAUGCUUUCUCUUGUUAUUGUCUAGAGCUUGAUCUUUUCUUUUACUUUCCAUUUAGUUUCUUUUCCUUCCUCUAUUUGGAGUAAAUUCAACUUUUGAUUGAUAAAUCAAUCACAAAGUUAGGCAAAAUAAAUUUAUAAAUUACGAAUGAACAUUGUAAAUUAAGCAAUAAAUCAAAUUCCUUUUCAAAAUGGAAUUGGCACCCAAAGAUGGAUAAGAUAGGGCUUAGAUCAAUACACAAACCACAAGGCAACUACUACACAUAACUAUCCCAAAGUGUCUUAUGUCACAACCACGAAUGAAUCACCUAAAUGAGGUCACGAAAUUAAGGAAGAGAGCUACCAUAAUAAGUACCGAAUGGGGGCAACUGAAGAAAAAAAGGGUCCAGAGACAGACUUAGGCAGGGAGACCAAUAGCCAAUCACAGAGAAUGAAAGAGGGUGGUCGAGGUCUUAAAAAUGGGGCAAAAGGACACAAAAACUGUAAGUAUUAUGCCCUAGGUCCAAUCAACUUUGGACAUAAAUACUUUUAUAUAUAAUUAAUGCAAUUAAAUGGCAGAUCUAUUAUUUAACUAAUAGACAAUUAAAUAAAUAAUAGAGUCCGUAGAUUCAAAUCUUCGUAAUUUGUUAAUCACAAGGAGUUGUGAUUGUGAGAUACAAAUUACAUCUGAUUGAAUCUUAAAUCAUCCAUGGUCAUAAGUAAUAACGAGAUACGGAUAUCGUUAUCACAGAUAGACCAUCACGUGUGGCAUUUCUUACUUGUGAAGUAAGUAGCUGAUCUCACAAGUUAAAGUGUGGUGACACUUAAAUGAACACGUGGAUAUUUUGUUAUAGAACAGAACAUUGGAGACCCGUCGAGAGAUUCCACAUGGAUAACUAUCUGAGUGUCAGUGGUUAAUCUCAAACGUUCGAUAGUGGAAUUGAUCCUUUGACUUGAGGUCGUCAUAGUACCUUAUAUGAGGACAGUCAUACUUUGGCGGUGUUGGAUGUUGCUCUGAAAAGGGCCGCUAAUACGAUAUCGUUCGGGUACGUCAAGAAUCGUAUGAAGGUUGUGAUUGAUCAAUAAAGGAUUCGUCACUCUUAGAUAGUAGGAGAUUAUGAUCUGCGUUUUAUUCAAUUAAGUCGAUGAUGAAAUCCUUGGCCAAGGUGUACUCAUAAGUCGAAAAGGAGUUUUCGACUUAUAUUGACUUAAUAGUGGAGUGAAAGAUAUAAUCGAUGAUCGAGAUUGACACAACUCCAUAUCUCGUAAUUGAUCGGAUCAUAUUGACGAAGGGGUUAUAGUUUCACGGUAAAUGAACGAAUUUGAUUGCCAAUUGGUUAAUUUAACAAUCGUUGGAUAAAUUAAUUAAUUGGAUUUGUUAUUUAUAUUUUCGAAUUGAUUAAUUGGAUUAAUUAAUUGGAUUAAUUAAUUAUUGGACCGGACCGGGCCGAGCCUGUUUGGGUUUAUAUAAAUACAUAACUAGGGUUUGAGGUCCAUAAGGUUUUCAUUUUUCUUGCUGGCACAAGAGAAAACCCUAGAGGCUGCAAUCAUAUUCUCUGUGUGGAUCACCGUUGGAGGCUGGGCAAUUGGACAACUGUGGUGGCGAAUCAAGGUUGUGGAACGAUAAGAAAAGCAAAAGGAUUGCAGAUCUGAAAAAGGUACAAUCUUAUCACAAUUUCUAUCUAAACACAAAGGCGAUUCUUGGUGGGAAUCGAAAAUUAUUUUAAAUUUCGUUGUGCAUGUAUAAGUAGAUUCCCAACAGUGGUAUCAGAGCUUACUUUGUGUUUGUUAGAAGUUGCUUUACAUGUUGGAACAAUUAAAUGUUAAUUGUUUUUUUCCUUGUUUUAGCGAUUAACGAAAUAAAUAAUUUUUGUUCAAAAUUGUUUUGAAUAGAAAAUAAUUUGGAUUGGAAUUAAAAAAAAAGGGGGGGGGGAGGGAACAGGANNNNNNNNNNNNNNNNNNNCAUGGCCGGCAGCCACUGGCGGUGCAGCGGCGUUGACGCCGCUGCGCUUGGAAGGGUCGGGCGCUGCUGCUACAAGCAGCAGUGCCGGCGCUUGUUGCAGCAGUGUCGAACGUUGCUGCAACAGCAGCGUUCGACGCUGCUGUUGCUGCCUACCCGGCAGCGGCUGCAGUGGUUUUUCCAAGGGCGGCUGGCGCCGCCGCCCAUAAUAAUAAAAAAAAAAUUUAGGGUUACAGACAGUUUUGGGCGUUUGGAGGCGGGGGCAUCAUUUGCAAUUUCUGAAAUUGCAGGCCCCCGCCUGCAAAUAUGAUAUCUGGGGUCAUUUUGCAAUUUUAUAACUGAGGGCUGCAGUGCAAUUUUAAGUUUGGGUCAAAUUGAUGUUUUCAAAAGUUGUUUUGGAUUUAGAUAUUAAAAAUGGAUUUAGAUUUGAAAUUCAAAUGGAUUUGUUCUAUAAUUUUAAUUUUGGCCCAAAUUAAAAUUUUAUUUAAAAUUGACGACAUUUUAUAUUUUCGUUAAAAUUGCUUUUUGACUUAAAUAUUAAAAUUUGACCCUAAAUUGAAUUUUUUUUUAUUUAGGAGUUUUAUCCUAAAUUAAAAUCUUAAUUCAAUUUAAGUUAGAAUUGGAUUCUAAUUUAGUGUUUAAUUAAAAUUUGAUUUUAAUUGAAUUAUUCGCCCAAAGAUAUUUUAGAAAUUAGAAUUGGAUUCUGAUUUGACGUUUGAUUAAAAUUUGAUUUUAAUUAAAUUGCCUCGCCCUAAAUUUCUUCCUGGAGUUAGAGUUGGACUCUAAUUUGGUAUUUAAUUGAAAUAUGAUUUUGAUUAAAUAAAUCCGCCCUAAAUAUUGGAAUUAGAGUUAGACUCUAAUUUUGCUAUUUAAUUAAAAUUAGAUUUUAAUUAAAUCAAUUCACCCUAUAAUUUGUUCCAAUUAGAAUUAGACUCUAAUUUGAUGUUUAAUUAAAAUUUGAUUUUGAUUAAACAUGUUCGCCCUAAAAUCUUAGAUUUAGAGUUAGACUAUAGUUUUGUCAUUUAAUUAAAAUUUGAUUUUAAUUAAAUUCAACUGCCUUACAUUUUGAAAUUAGAGUUUGACUCUAAUUUGAUAUUUAAUUAAAAUUUGAUUUUAAUUAAAUAAUCUCGCCAUCUAAUUGUUGAAUUAGAGUUGGACUCUAAUUUGUUAUUUAAUUAAAAUUUGAUUUUAAUUAAAUAUUCCCGCUAAUUAAAUAAUCGAUUAAUAUGAUUAAUUAAUUAUUUAAUUAUUCCGAUCCAUUUGUCUAAAAGAGUUUAGACGACUUAAUUGCUAGAAACUUGAAACUUAUUUGCAUAUAAUAUUAGAUAUUAUAUAGGUAUGCAUUUAUGUGAUGAAUGUAUUAUUAGUGGACGAUUAUGGACUCGACCAUAUGGAUGUGUUGAAUGGUUAAUUUUUAUUUUGUCGUUUUAUGGGCCUACGAGCUCUUAAUUGUUUUGGGUAUGCGAGCCCGUCAUUUAUUGUUAUUAUUUUGGACCUGCGAGUCCAUUAUUAUUAUUGUUACUAUGGGCCUGCGAGUCCAAUUUCAUUUAGGCCUGCGUGCCAACUAGUAUAGGAUACGUGUUGGAAUUGGACUAAUUGAAGAGACAAGAAGAGGUGGAGACCAUGGAGAUGGUGCAUUGACACUGUUCAAUGCCAUACCCCCUAGGAAUUGACCAACUAGUCUUCCUUAUAGCUCGGGAAGACUAGAUAGUAAAAGUCCAUUAUCGUCCACACUAUUAUAUUAUGUUAUAUAUAUAUUUAUUUGUAUAGUAGAUGUAUAAUAAUAAUAUAAAUAUGAUUGUAUUGUUGUUGAUAAGACUCAUGAAUGCAAAAUCCCUCCAUAAAAUAUUAAGUCACAUUUGUAAUUGCCUUCCAUCAUUAUAGUGAAAAACCAGAGUUGCAAAUCGUCUCAGCUUGUUGAGUACACUCAAGGCUGGUCCAUUAGGGAUAUGUUUGACACUAUGAAAUAUUUGAUAUUUCUGAAUGAUGGGUUUAAUUUAACUAAAAUUUAUCUUUUGUUGAGUACACUCAAGGAGAUAAAUUUUAGAGGCAUGUUAAACUAACACAUAAGAUGUGUGAAAACAAAGAGUUGUCAGCUUAAUGAUCUGGGAGUUGUAUGGAGAUACAAUUGAUAAUAGUAUCUACCCAAAUAUUAUAUUAGGGCUUGUUGAGUACACUCAAGGUUUUAAUAUAAUAGAUGAGAUCCCAGCCCACUGGGAGUCAAGCAUGGACUCCAUAAAUUUAUGUGAGAGGGUCAUAAAUUUUAUUUAAACAGUGGGAGCAUAAUUAAUUUAAUAAAAGUCCAUGUUAAAUUAAUUAAUGCAUUUUAUAUAUUUUAUUCUUUUCCUUUUCGUCAUUUACAUUUAUAUUGAAUCUGAGUAACCAUAUGUUUUGAAUAGCAUACUAGAUGCCAACAACCAAACUAUUUUUUCUUAAUUGACACUGCAAUUUGAGAAUUGUUCUUAUACAUGAGAAAAUUGGUCACGUCCUUGAGUAGCCCUUUCUAGAGACACCUGGUGAUGACUCGAUUAAAGAAGAGGUGACUACUGUAGUAAACGAAGUGAUGAUAAUAGUACUACAACGUAUGUGAUACUUGCAACUACGUCACUGAGUUACAAAAGCAACUUGAGAGUAUAGAUGUUAACACAUAAUUCUUCAUUACAAAGAGUUGUAUGAUAAUAAUCAUGUGUGGAAGGAUAUGAGACUUCCAAACAACUAUACCGGUGCAAAAUGACAGAGUAAUCUUCAAUCGAUGCUUAGAUACUGAAGAUGAUUGACGUUGAGAAAUGUCUCAACUGUAUUCAAUCAUAAACUAUGAACUAAGUAGUGACUUGGUCCUGUAAUCUCUGUCAGCUAAAGCUAUUCACAACUAAUUAUGAAUUUAACGUGAAUAAGCUCGAAUGCAAAAAAUUUUGAGUUGCUUAACAUGCUUAGGACUGUUAACCCCUUUAUCGAAGUUGGUAGUGGGCAAACCAUUGAUUCCUUUUAAGAUAUUAAGAGGAAGUCUAAAGGGGCUUUGUGAAAGCACCCAAUAUGGUUAAGGCAGUAUAAGCGAAAGGACAAAUACCAAAUCUAAUGACCCUUGGUUUCAUUAUAGAAUGAAAGGUCAUUGGAAGGAAUAUUGUAUGGCUUACGUCUACUUCACGAGUUUCUUAGGUAUAUGAUACCAGAUGUAAAUAUCGUAUUUAUACAAAUAUGGAGAAACUAUAAAGAAGUAGACCACUGCGAAAGGGAGAAGUUGACAUACACGUUGGAGAUGAGCAAAGGUUGCCACAUUACCUGUAUGAAUAUACUUCUUACCAUUGCCUUUUGGUUUAGUAUUGAAAUUAGAGAAAUGUCGUUUUAUGCCAACUAUAGCUGGAACAUUAAAAUGAAUUUCAUGUUCAGACAUGAACUAUUUUAAUGUUAAGGACAAUUGUUAUUCUUGUUUAUCUUGUUAAAGAUCCUAAUGGCUAUGGUAAAUUAUAAAAGGACAUUUAUAUUCAUUAAUACUAAAGAUUCUAUAAUAAGUAUAGAAAUUAUAAGGCAUAAAUACUAUAAUCUAAUUAUUACCAAAAUCUGACAUGACAGACUUUGUCAUUUAGAUGAAAUAUAAUUCCAAAGUUACAUAAAGAUGUAUACUUGGGAUUAAUUCCAAGGUUGUAGUACAAAUUAUGCAUGUCUGGCACAAUAACCAAAUCUUCUUUUGCUUGAAAAGAAGAAAGGUCAGCAUAAUUACCAGUCUAAUGCAUAGUGAUGCAUAUGGAUUCAUGUCAAUCAAUGUCAAGUAAUGUUUCUCUUAUUUCAUCAAUGAUCAAGUAUACUUGAUGAAAACUCAAACAUGAAACUCUUGAAAAGUUCAAGGGAUUCACACUAGAAUUAGAGAAACAAAGAGGUAAAGAUACCUUCACAUUAAGAUUCGAUCAAGUGAAAGUAUCUUNNNNNNNNNNNNNNNNNNNNNNNNNNNNNNNNNNNNNNNNNNNNNNNNNNNNNNNNNNNNNNNNNNNNNNNNNNNNNNNNNNNNNNNNNNNNNNNNNNNNNNNNNNNNNNNNNNNNNNNNNNNNNNNNNNAAGGAGGAAUCGUUAAUUAUUACAUAUAAUGCGAUUAAUAACAAGCCAUGCAAAUUUUUCAAAAUUGUUUUGAGGUCACGCAUUGAUUGCAGUGUACAACACACUAAACCAUGUCCCAUCUAAAUUGGUUAACAAAACUCCAUACGAGUUAUGGAAAGACAAUAGUCCCAAUUUAUCUUAUAUGAAAGAUUGGGGCCAUGACGCUUAUUUGAAGCACCUUAAAUCGGAUAAGUUUGAGACACAGUAAAUCUGAUAAAUAUGUAUUUGUGGGGAUAUUCAAAUAAGACAUUUGAAUAUAAAUUCUAUCAUCAUGAAGAAAGUCUUCGUCUCACGAUAUAUCGUCUUCUUAGAGAAAAUGUUUACUCUAGGAGAGGACAGUAGGAGUAAAAUAGAAUUUUGAAAGAGUUCAAAAGUCCACAGAUAUAGUUAACCAAGUAGAUAAAUCUGAGUUUGAUCCCAUAUCUGAUAUGGGACAUACUUUGGAUCAGGAAGUAAAGACUCCUGAGGACAUGACAGCUCUAUGUGAAUCUAGUAGGCUCAUUCGACUUUCAAGAAGGUGCGAAUCAUUAAUCAGUGAUCCAGGAUAAUGAACCUGCUAGUUGCAAAAAAAUAAAGUCAAGUGUUGACUUAAAGGAGACAGCAAGAGGCCAUGAAACUCAAGAUGAAACUCGACGCAAGUGAACAAGGUUUGGACCUUGGUCAAGCCUCCUAAUGGAAUAAAGCCCAUAAGCCUUUGUAAAUAGUUUACAAAAGAAAAGGUCGAUAUGGAUAUGAAUAUCCAAAUAUACAAAGCAAUGCUAGAAGCAAAGGUUAAAUGUUGACCUUGGUGAAAUANNNNNNNNNNNNNNNNNNNNNNNNNNNNNNNNNNNNNNNNNNNNNNNNNNNNNNNNNNNNNNNNNNNNNNNNNNNNNNNNNNNNNNNNNNNNNNNNNNNNNNNNNNNNNNNNNNNNNNNNNNNNNNNNNNNNNNNNNNNNNNNNNNNNNNNNNNNNNNNNNNNNNNNNNNNNNNNNNNNNNNNNNNNNNNNNNNNNNNNNNNNNNNNNNNNNNNNNNNNNNNNNNNNNNNNNNNNNNNNNNNNNNNNNNNNNNNNNNNNNNNNNNNNNNNNNNNNNNNNNNNNNNNNNNNNNNNNNNNNNNNNNNNNNNNNNNNNNNNNNNNNNNNNNNNNNNNNNNNNNNNNNNNNNNNNNNNNNNNNNNNNNNNNNNNNNNNNNNNNNNNNNNNNNNNNNNNNNNNNNNNNNNNNNNNNNNNNNNNNNNNNNNNNNNNNNNNNNNNNNNNNNNNNNNNNNNNNNNNNNNNNNNNNNNNNNNNNNNNNNNNNNNNNNNNNNNNNNNNNNNNNNNNNNNNNNNNNNNNNNNNNNNNNNNNNNNNNNNNNNNNNNNNNNNNNNNNNNNNNNNNNNNNNNNNNNNNNNNNNNNNNNNNNNNNNNNNNNNNNNNNNNNNNNNNNNNNNNNNNNNNNNNNNNNNNNNNNNNNNNNNNNNNNNNNNNNNNNUGAACUUGGAGUAGUUCCUGAUAUUGUUGAUCACAUACAAUAGUAUUGUGAUAACAAUAGAGCCAUUGCGAAAGCAAAGGAACUAAGGUCUCAUCAAUUCCAAACAUGUAUUAAGGCGGUAUAAUCUUAUAAAAGAGAUAAUACAUAGAAAUGACGUAAAGAGAAGAGCAAAUUUCCACAUUUAAUAAUAUUGCAGAUCCACUGACAAAGAGUUNNNNNNNNNNNNNNNNNNNNNNNNNNNNNNNNNNNNNNNNNNNNNNNNNNNNNNNNNNNNNNNNNNNNNNNNNNNNNNNNNNNNNNNNNNNNNNNNNNNNNNNNNNNNNNNNNNNNNNNNNNNNNNNNNNNNNNNNNNNNNNNNNNNNNNNNNNNNNNNNNNNNNNNNNNNNNNNNNNNNNNNNNNNNNNNNNNNNNNNNNNNNNNNNNNNNNNNNNNNNNNNNNNNNNNNNNNNNNNNNNNNNNNNNNNNNNNNNNNNNNNNNNNNNNNNNNNNNNNNNNNNNNNNNNNNNNNNNNNNNNNNNNNNNNNNNNNNNNNNNNNNNNNNNNNNNNNNNNNNNNNNNNNNNNNNNNNNNNNNNNNNNNNNNNNNNNNNNNNNNNNNNNNNNNNNNNNNNNNNNNNNNNNNNNNNNNNNNNNNNNNNNNNNNNNNNNNNNNNNNNNNNNNNNNNNNNNNNNNNNNNNNNNNNNNNNNNNNNNNNNNNNNNNNNNNNNNNNNNNNNNNNNNNNNNNNNNNNNNNNNNNNNNNNNNNNNNNNNNNNNNNNNNNNNNNNNNNNNNNNNNNNNNNNNNNNNNNNNNNNNNNNNNNNNNNNNNNNNNNNNNNNNNNNNNNNNNNNNNNNNNNNNNNNNNNNNNNNNNNNNNNNNNNNNNNNNNNUGAUCAGAUCAUAUUGACGAAGGGAUUAUAGUUUCACGGUAAACGAACGAAUUUGGUUUUGUCAUACCACGUGACAUUUCCCGUCACAUGUAUUGCCCUGACACAUUGCUAGAUGUCAAUCAGGGACGGCGAAUGUGAAUUGACGAUAAAUUAAAAGGGUGUUUUAAUUUAUCAAUUUUGAUUAGAUCAAAAUAAUAUUUCACGUCGUUAGGCAUCGUGGUCGGGAACCUAAUGGGUCACACACAAAAGAGAAUUGGAAGAUUGCAAAUUGCCAAUUGGUUAAUUUAACAAUCGUUGGAUAAAUUAAUUAAUUGGAUUUGUUAUUUAUAUUUUCGAAUUGAUUAAUUGGAUUAAUUAAUUCGCAGACCGGGUUUAAUUAAUUGGAUUAAUUAAUUAUUGGACCGGACCGGGCCGAGCCUGUUUGGGUUUAUAUAAAUACAUAACUAGGGUUUGAAGUCCAUAAGGUUUUCAUUAUUCUUACUGGCACAUAAGAAAACCCUAGAGGCUGCAAUCAUAUUCUCUGUGUGGAUCACCGUUGGAGGCUGGACAAUUGGACAGCUGUGGUGGCGAAUCAAGGUUGUGGAACGAAAAGAAAAGCAAAAGGAUUGCAGAUCUGAAAAAAGGUACAAUCUUAUCACAAUUUCUAUCUAAACACAAAGGCGAUUCUUGGUGGGAAUCGAAAAUUAUUUUAAAUUCCGUUGUGCAUGUAUAAGUAGAUUCCCAACAAAAACGAGGUAGGGAUAAUAUAUAUUGGUGCCACAAGAAAUAGUUAAGCAAUAACAAAGUAAAUCGGGCCUUGCACAUAUAAAUUAUACAUAUAUAUAAGAGCUAUGUCGCUUCUCCAAUAACUAGGUUGUCGAUUGUGGAUUUGGGUCGACUAUUAAUUAGAGUAUCAAUAAUGGGCUUCUAACGAAGCUUAUGAAUAUUAUUCUGAACUGAGUAAUCGUUAUAGCCUCGGGUCUAUUUGGUAUCAAAAUAUCCAAUAAACCUCUACCUUGUUGCUAUACACCUAUAAAGAGAUAAAACUAGUUUAGUAGUCACAUAAUGUUAUUUCAAAUAAAAUUAAAACUUCACAUAUGUUUAUUGAUAUUUAGAAGUGUAAAAUAACUUCUAAACUUAACCAGAAGGUGUACCUUAGUGCUCAUAUCUACAGGGUGGUUAUAAGCUUAACGUUUAUAUAUUUAGUACGUUUAUGAAACAUUGGAUUUUUACAUAAAUCGAUUGCACAUUGACUAUCAAAGUGUACAAUCACAUUAUCACAUAAAAAACUUAGUUCAUUAAGUAAACCCCUAAACCCCAAAUUACUUUAAUAGCUUUAGAAGCAGCAAUACAGUAGUAGGAAGAGCAGCAAUAUGUUGGAAUUGAGACUUUCAACUGCUAAAAAAGUCAUACAGAGUAAGCACAUAAGAAGAAAUAUACUUCCUUAGUGUCCAUAAAACUUUAAGUUUCACAUCCUUAUCAGUAGUGUAUAAACUAAACGCACGUCAAAAGUACUCUUUAAGUACUUAACCAACUAUUUUAACGCUUCCCAAUGUUUGGAAUUAGGAUUAGACAUGUAACCUACUUUUUUUAGCAAAGAUAUCCACACAUCCCUAGUGAAUUUCUAGGCUCCAACAAGGAAGGUCGAUAAAGAUUAAGGAUUUCCAUACACACACACACACACAUGCAUGUGUGUGUGUAUAUAUAUGGCAAAGGGAAUAGAGAGAUUGUUCCGAUCAGAGAAGCCUGGCCCAUACCCCUACCUUAAACGACCUGUUCAACGCGUGCUAUGGACUACUAUUGUCCCCUUAUUACGGAGAUUUUUUUUAGGGCUAGAGUAGACUUCUCACUUAUUCAACUGAGUAAGGCCAAUACUGCUUCAAUCUAAUCCCUCGGGGGGGGGGUUCACAACUUGGAGCUCUCGCCGGUUUGUAGAAGUCGAAUCAAUGAACAAGCGAGAAAAUGGAAGGUUUGGCACCCUAAUGUAUACAUUUAUCUAUAUAUAUGUAUGCAUGUGUAUAUAUAUAUAUAUAUAUGUAUGUAUACAUAUAUGUACGCACGUAUAUAUACAUAUAUGUAAGCAUGUAUGUGUAUAUAUAGAGAAUAAAUGGAAAUCAAAAAAUUGAAAAGAACUACUUCCCAUAUAAAGAAAAUCAAUACGAAUGAAAACUAGCCUAUAAACCUCCAAUGUUGGGCAGUCCAUGUCUAUCACUCUACACAUGUUCGAGGUAGGUCGAGUAGUCCAUACUCUUAAUAGCGAUGCUAAUCUCAACUCUUUGAAGGAAGCGUGUCUACAACCUAGUUUUCUUCUCUGUAGAAGUGGGAAAUCAUGUCUCUAUUGAAAAAGAUGAAUUAUUCGAUAUCUUUAAGAACGCUCUGAAUCUUCCAUGGUCUUCCACCAUUGGUAAUGCAGUGAAAAGCUACGUUGAAUUUACCUCAACCCAAAUAGCUGAAAUACCAAGUCUCCUAGCCAGUACAAUUCCAUCCUGAUAGCUCUAAGCUUGGCUUCCAAAAUCAUAUACGGGCUAUAUGAUGAUUAAAAUACCCUGAUGUAAUGCCUAUACCUGCUUAACAUACUAGCAGUGAAAGCCAAAUUAGGUGUAGUACAGACCAUAAGAAUAAGGAAUUCUAUUCUUAAAAUCUUUUUCUUCAUCAUUAGCUAAUGAUUGUUCUUCUGUCAAAAUAAUAUAGUAUUCAGCAGCCACAGAAAGAGGUUGCAGUCAAUCAAGCCAAAUUUCUUCAAAGGUUUAAGCACAUAGGGAGUUUGAUACACAUAUAAGCAAGAAUUAGACCUAUCCAUGUUAAUUAUCAUACCAAAUAUCCUCCUAUCAUGGCCUAGGUCUUUCAUGUCAACCUCUUUACCUUAUUUUUAAUAUUGUUUACCACUUUCAUGUUAGGACCAACUAAUAACAUACCGUUUGCAUAAAGUAACAAAUACAUACUAUAAUAUAGGUAAUACAAGCAAUGAUCAAAUCACUCCUCUUAAAACUAAUUGACAACACGUAGGAAUUGAACUUUUUAUACCAAUGACAUGGAGACUAUUUUAAAAAAUAAAGAGAUUUCUUUAAAUAAAUACAUGAUCAGGUAGCUUUACUUUCAAAACCAUUGGGUUGAUUUAUAAAAUUCUUUUCAUUAAGGUCACCAUGCAAUAAAGUAGUUUUGACAUCGAAUUGUUGAAGUUCGAAGUCGUAGUUAGCAACAUGACCCUAAUAUGGUAUACUUAACAAUGGACAAAAUGAUCUCAUUAUAAUCUAUCUUUUCCUUUUGUGCAUACUUCUUAGCUAUUAACCUAGCCUUAUAUCUCAUGGACUCACUUUCAUUGGUUUCCUCUUUAAUCUUAUAAACCCACUUGCAUCCUUCGAUGGAUUAAUCCUUAGGUUUAGAAAUUAAAUCCCAACUUUUAUUUUUAGCAAGAGAACUCAACUCUUCUCUCAUGGUGCCUAGCAAUUCUUCAUAUUUUUCAGUCUUUGUAGCCUUUACAUAUAUGUUUGGCUACUUAUCAACUAGUGUAGGCUAUGAUAAAAUCAAACAACCUUUCUCCAUACUUGGAAUCCUCCCUCUAUCUCUAAUUAAUUGGUAGUCAACUGGAAGGUCUUGAUUCAUAGAAUUGUCCUUUAUAAUAUCCUCAUUGCUUUGUACUUCUAUGAUCUGCUGAUUUUGUUGUGUAUCACUCUCCGCCUCACUUUAGGCAUAGAGAUGUAGACACUUUCUGCACCUCAACUAGGGACUCUUCCCUAAUAGUUUCCCGAUGUUGUUCACUCUCCAUUCAAUGUAGCUCAGAUUCAUUAAAUGUGGCACCAUGAUAUUCUCACACCCUUUUGGCUUCUACCCCAUAACCUAUAGCCUUUAACUCUCUCACGAUUACCUAAGAAGACACACUUCUUAGCUUUACAUUCUAGUUUUUCCUCACUUUGAUGAUAGAGAGAAGCACUGUCAAAGGUCCUAAGAAUAGAAUAAUUAGUACAUUUACCUACCAUAUCUUAUACGUAGUAUCACCAUUUAAAGUAGCAAAUGGAGUCAUAUUACUAAAAUAAUAUGCAAUCAUAGUGGCUUCGACCUAAAACGAUUUAGGCACACCAACAUUCAACAUCAUACAUCUUAACUUUAUCAUGCAAAGUAUUUUUAGCAAUUCCAUUUUGCUAGAGAGUGUAAGGCACAACUCUUUGUCUAGUUGUGCUAGAUUCAUUACACAAACCAUCAAAUGCAAUAUUGAAAACUUGAGAUCAAUAUCAUUGUACAAAUAUUUCAUAUGUUCACUAGUUUGGUUAUCCACUUCAGCUUUCCAAAUUUUUAAAAUUCACAAAAGUUUUGGAUUUAUGUUUCAAUAAAUAAACCCACAUACGUAUGGAAAAAUCAUUAAUAAUAGACAAAAAAUAUUUGUUACCACAAAAGUAGGAUUGUUCCUUGGACUCCAUAGAUUAGUAAGAAUGUAUUCUUACCCUCUAAAUAUCUAGUGUGUGCUAAAUAUAAAUGACAUCCUACGAUCUCUACCAAAUACAUAAUGAUUGCAAAAUGGCAUGUCUGACACCUAAUCCUUACCAAAUAUACCCUUAUCAUUAAGGAACUUAAGUCUCUUAACAUUAAUAUUAGCUAACAUAUUGUGCCACUUCUAUGUAUGAUCAGCGUCAAUGACAAUGGAAUUUGAAUCAUUUGUUAUAUCGGCAUACAUUUUUCUUAGGCAACCCUAAAGGUUCUAAGUGCUCCCUUAAAAAUUUUUAACACUCCAUUACCAAGUGAACCAGUGAAACCUAUGCACUACAACUCCAACACAGCAGUGGAAUUCUUACUCAUACGUAGAAUGUACCUAACUCCAUUUAAUAUGUUCACAAAACCGUUGUCAAAUCUGAUAGGCACAUUACCUACAACAGUGAUUUUAUAUGCAACUUUAUCCCAUGAAACUGCAAUCAAACUUAUGCAAAUGGUCAAACCACAAUUUAUAUGAUGUAACAUGAAAAGAAGCACCAGAGUCAAGAAUGCAUUCAUGUAUAUGAAAGUUCAUAGACAGGUUCAUUUUGGUUGGUUUGUUAUUUAAGAGCAUGAAAGCUUCCCAGGUUCAUCUCUCGAGAUAACAACAUUUGCCUCACUGAGUUUACUAUCCCUCUAACUGCUCAACUUGUUUUUUCUCUUUAUGGCAUUCACUUAUAAAAUGUCCUAAUUUCCCACAACCAUAAUAUUUUCUCCCAUUUGCCUUCUCCCGUGAUUUAGAUCUACCUCUACCCUUCAUCUUACCACUACCAUUUUGCCUAUCUCAAUCCCUAUAAUGAGAUAUGCCCUUCAUUUUGCGAAUCUCUCCUAUUUUUCUCUUGUUUCUUUCAGCUUUUAUUUCCUCCUACGUACUCUUCAAUGAAUCGAUGAAAACAUUGGAUGUAAGGGCCUCCUUCCCAUAGUUGAUUGCAUUAUUAAAUUUUUUAUAAUUAACAGGAAUCAUAUUAAAAAGAAUAAUUGCUUUAUAUUCAUCAAAAACUUUUUACCACAAUUUGUAAUAUCUUGUACCAGUUUAUUAGAAAUGUCAAAUUGUCAUUCAAGUCUUUUGAGGGAUCAAUUUUGAAAUUGAAAAAACCUUCAAGUAAGAAACAUUUAAUGAGCAUGGAUUGAGUCAUGUAAAGUUAUUCAAGCUUUUCCAAAGAUUUUAGUGGAAUUAUGUUUACCAACUUUUCGCAAAAUGGAAUCGAGUAAGUGCAAGAUAAUAGAGGUAAAAACAAGUUUGUCGAAUUAUUUUUUCUUGACCUACAAUCACAAUUGCAGAAAAGGUAAUAUCAAUGGCUUUAGAUACUUUUCUUUGUAAUCCAAAUUCUAUUAGUCACCCUAGACGAUGAUUUGCUAUGGCAGAAAUUUAAAGAAUAUCAACCAAUUUACUAGAGCGAACCUAUAUCUGGUCCGUACAAAAAUGAGAGAUGCAAAUUUUAAUUAAGGAUUCAAGUCCUUAUUGUAAAAUUAGCAGCAAAAAAUCAAAGCAAUACACAUCCCAAGUCAUGAAAAAAAGUUAUGGGUUCAAUUUGAAAUCAUACAGAGGUAGCCACACCUCAGCCACAAUCACAGGAGCUAAAAUUAGGCUGUGAUACUAGUUUUGGAAUAAAUUUAACCUUCAAUUGAUAAACCAAUCACAAAGUUAGGCAAAAACAAUUGAUGAAUAACAAAUAAACACUAUAAAUUAAGCAAGAAAUCAAAUUCUCUUACAAAAUGGAAAUGGGACCCAAAGACAGAUUAUACAGGGCCAUAUCAAGACUUAAAUCACAAGGCGACUCUAAUACCAGACUGUCCCAAAGGAUCUGGUGCCAUAACCAUGAAGGAAUCACUAAAAUGAGGCUACAAAAUAGAGCCAGAGAAGUGAUCUUAACAGCCAACAAUGGGGGGCUAACAAGAGGCGCAAAUAGGGAUAGUUAAAGGGACAAAAUAAAGGCCACAGAUAUACUCUAGCAAGGAGAACAAUAACCGUUCACAGAGAAUGAAAGAGGGCAGCCAAAGUUUGAAAACUAAAAGCACGAAGGAGGCAAUAGCUAUUCUCUCAAAAGGGAGGGGGGCCAAAGGAAAAAUUGUGUUGUGUAUACAAAACCAAGGAUGGGUAAUAUAUAUAGGUGCCACAAGAAAUUGGUUAAGUAAUAACCACGUGGAGUGGACCUUGCACAUAUAAAUUAUCUACAUACAUAAGAGCCUUGGCUGGACUGCAAUAACUGGGUUGCCAAUUAUGAGUGGGUCGUUUAUUAAUAAGAGAUUCAAUAAGGAGCUUCUGAUGAAGCCUACGAAUAUUACUUUGACCCGAAUAAUCAUCAUAGCUAGGUUUAUUUGGUAUCAAAAUACCCAACACUCCAUACAUGGACCCUACGGAAUUGGCCAAUUUUUCCUCAUAAGUAUUUAUUGUGAAUUCCUCCUCUGUACAGAGACGUUGGCCCAAUUCGUUGAUUGAAAGAUAUUUUCUUAUCUUUAAGAUAUUUCUUGUAAUAUUUUUAGAAGAAUGGAAGCUUGUUAGUUAUAGAGGACACAAUAAUAGAUUCAUUUAUGUUCGUGUUUCAUUGCCAAAAAUUGAUUAUUGAUGUGGAUUAUCUUAUGAAAAAUAUCGACUACUUUUCCGUUCUUUACCAUACAGUACAUAAACUAUUUAGAGGCCACAAAUUUCUUACUUGUUGCAUCUUCUGAUAUAUUCUUAGAAUCCAAUGCAUCUCAUAUCUCCUUAGAGAUUUUCUAGUUAUGAUAUUGAUCGAAAAGAGUAUCAGACGUUGCUUUCUAAAUGUGACCAUUGCAGAUAUAAUUAUCUUGAUCCUAUUUUUGUCUAGCUCAUGUAUUUGCCAAUGGUUCGUUUUUAAAUUCUUCCAACUUUGAAGUUUUAGACAUAUAUACCCAUUUAAAUUUGUGAAAAAGAAGUGACGUUUAUCUUAUUGUGCCAACGCCUCAAGUUCGCAUUCUCAAACAUUUCCAAUUUCAUGAUGUCAUUUUUAAAAUCUUUUAGAUAUGACACAAGAAUAGUUAUAAAAAAUCUUCUAAAAUAUUGUCUUGCAAUUUUUGGUAAAUAAAUUCUUGAAAUGACUUGAACUAUUCUUUAAGAUAAUAUUUGUCCUUCACCGAAUGAGUGUACAAGGGAUCGAAAUAUACCUCUAGGGUACAAUGGAAUAAUAUGUAGUGUUUGUUUAAAUGUAUGCAUUUAACAAAAAUUUGAAAAAGGAAAUAUAUAAAAUUUUAUGGAUGUAUAUCUAAUCUGGUUAUGCAAUUUUCCAGAUCACAAAGCAAGAUAUAUGAAAUGAAAUUAGUGAAAAGAGUGCAUGGUUAGUAAAGGAGAACAAGAGAAAGUUUGAAAAUAAUUCAAUUCAUUCUAGGAUACUAUUAAUCUAAUUGUAGAUUUGUUUUACAACUCUUCAUAAAGGUGUAACUCAUCAAAAGCAACUUUUAGACCUCAUAUUAUAAUCAUUGCAAUUGGAAAUUAUGGAAUUUUGAACAAGAAAUCAAUUGAAAGGAUAAAUAGACACCAAGGUGCUUGAUCCUGAUAUGUAUCGUGGGGAAAUUGUUAGAUUGUGAUGAGGUCGUGCCAUAUAAGGCCGAGAUUCUGCCUCUUCUAGUCAUGCCAUAACAUGGCAACAAACAAUUUUGUGGCCAUGCUAGAGGCGGCUGACCGAAUUUUGCUAGCCACUCUUCAUCUAAACAUAACUUUGUCCCAUUUCCAAUGUUCCAUGACCCAUGCUUUUCAUCUUUGAUCUAUAUAGCAAUGUCUGAAAAACAUUAUUUUGAAAAUCUCUCCAGCAAUUGAUUUUCUAAAAUGCAAUUCUAGACUUGUGGUUCUACAUCAAGUACAUAAAUACAAUAGUAUCCUCUAAUCUAACAUGACUACAAAUUUAAAAAAAAAAAAAUUCAAACUCUUAUGAUGCAAGCUUUAUUUAUCAGAAUAAAGAUACGUUUAAAUUGCGGGCUUGUUGGAUUUUAAUACCCAAUAAAUCUAGGGAGGUGAUGUAAAAUCGAUGAUGAAUAAGUUAUAUGGACACCUGAGUAAUGGCUUGACCCAGAAAAAAUUUGGAGCCAUUUGAAGCAACUUAAUUGAGUUAGUGCUACUCAUGGCUCAUUUCUCACUUAUUUGGGUGGAUUAUAAAUGUUAGCUCCCUUAGUGAUACACUUAGCCCACUUCUCUAUCCUAUUGGGCUUGACCUUUCAUUAUACCCUAAUGUAAACUAUUUAUAUGUAUGUCUUCCUUGGUUUCAUGUAUGCGUGUAAUUGUUCCUAGCCUUCGAGAGAGAAAUGGUUGCUCCUUUCUCUGUGAUUGUGUCCACUAUUUUUCUUCAUCAUCUUGCCUUCAUGACAGAUUUUAUACCAUGAUUACACAUCUUUGUGCAUCCUUUUUGGAUGAUACAAAGCAACCAUAAGUGUGGGAUAGUUGAGAGGUUUUGGUUUGUUCUUCACUAAGGUGUUGAUUGAUUGAAAAAAUGAUCAUUUUGUAUUAUCUAAAGAUCAAGCUUCAUGUAAUUUGAUCUAAUGUAAUUGGAAAAUAGAAUACAUGAGUAGGAUUCCAUAUUCUAAUGUAAUUGGAUCUUUUAUGCAUUUGAUGGUUUGCACUAUAUCAAAUUUAGCUUUUAUUGUUAGUAUUUUUAGUAGGUGCAUGUCUAGUUCUAGUCCCAAGCAUUGAGAAGACUCAAAGUGGAUGCUAAGGUAUAUAAAUGGGACUAAUGAUGUAGGUUUAAAAUUUAGUGUUAAUAAAGACGGUGUCAAACUGAACGGUUUUGCAGAUGUGGACUAUGUGAGAGAUAGGGAUAAUAGAAAAUCAAUUUCUUCCUGUGUUUACUUUUUCUAACUCUUGCGUUAGUUUAAAAUCACAGUUACAACACAUAGUUGUAUUAUCCACGUUAGGAUCAGAAUACUUUACUACUACUGAAACAAUUAAAAAGGUUAUAUGGCCAGAGGUUUGCUUAUGAACUUGUGUUUCCUGAAAUAAUUUUUAUAUUGCUUAAACCAAUCACCUAGACUGUGGUAUAAAAGAUUUGAUUCUUUCGUACUCAUUACAGGGUUUCAAAGGAGUGAGUUUAAUCAUUACCGAUAUUUUCAACAUGAUGAUACUAAUAAUGACUAUGUAUUUUUAUUGCUCUAUAUAAAUGAUAUACUCUUAGUUGGUUCAUCACCCAAGUGAAUAAGCAAGAUAAAAAGAAAUUUGAAUGGAAAAUUUGACAUAAAAAUAUCUACGUAAAGCUAAUAAAAUCUUAUAUAUGAAAAUUGAAAGAUAAAGGUCAAAUUCAUCAUUAUUUAUGCAUCAGUCUUCUUAUGUUUCAAAGGUGUUGAAAAGAUUUGGACAUGGUGAAAUAGAUUUUCCUAAAACUAAUAAUAAAAAGAAAGAUAAGGAGAGUGGUGAGGCGAAUGUUGUCACUGGAUCGAAUUAUGAACCAUGUGAGGUUUAUUGAGAGUAAACCUAGUUACUGUAUGUACAUCUGUGUGUAAUCCUUUUCUGCAUUUGUGAUUACUUAAUUAUAUUGCAAUGUUGAUAUGCCACACUUUCAAUAUGUUUGAUGUGUGUAAUUACAUGAAUUAAAGUGAUUUUAUUAAUUUAUGUAAUGUGUUUGCAUGUAUAGGGGUUCAGAUCUAUGUUGUACUUCUUUUGCUUUGUGAUUGGUGUGAGAGAAUGGCAGUGAGAAGAAAGAGGAGUAGCAAUCUUCUCCUUUAAAUUUGUGAGCCUGUGUGGUUUGUGAGAUUAUAUGUGGUAGCCAUAUGUGGGUUAUCUUUUUCAUCUCUGUGAGCCUCUUUUGUGGGUGUAGUGAAGUAACCAACUCUUUUUCUACUCUUUUUGUCAAUGGUUCAACUUUCACUUUGUGAGAUAAAUCCUUUGUAGAAUUCUCAAGAUUUGUGUUGGAGUAAUCUUGUAGUGUGUGGAUCGAUUUAAAUUGAGCCCCAACUUUUGUGGUCGCCGAAGGUGUUGAUCUUUACCAUAAUCAGUUUGAGAUGCAUUAACAGUAAGGGUCUGUUUGAUUGUAAAGAUGAAAUUUGUGUGGAAAGAAAAUGAAUUUUAGGGAAUUGAAUUGCUUAGAAAUUGUUUUCUUAGGAAUUGUAAAUUAUUGUGUUUGAUUGGUUCGAUUUUCCACGUGAAAAAUGUUGAAAUAAAAGUGUUUUUUGGUGUUCGUUUGGUUUUGUUUUACAUAAAAAUUAUCAAUUAAAAAGAUAUAAUUUACUGGUAUUGGGGAUGAAAUUUGUUUCCAUCGCAAAAACAAAAACAAAAACAAAAACAAAAAAAAGCCAAAAAAAAAAAAAAAUCAUGUAUCUUUUGGUGUUCGUUUGACUUUGUUUUACAUGAAAAUUCUCAAAUAAAAGAAAAUAUUUUUUUCAUUUAGGGAUAGAAUUUGUUUCCAUUAUCAAAAAUAAAAAAGUCAAUAGUGCCUCCAACAAGACCAAGAAAUAUUCUACGUGGCUGAAAAUAGUAAGAAAAUAUAUUCCUUAGAAAAUAAUGCUAUCAAACAUGCAAUUUGUGGAACAUGGAAUUGGAAUUCCUAGUUCCAUGGAAAACUUUGGCCAAUCAAACAUGGCCUAAGUGUGUUGGCAUUAACAAGGAAGUGUGUUGUAUGUCUUUUGGUAAUGUGGAGUAGAGAUGCCUAGGGGUACAUUGAUGGUAUGUACCAGGGUUGUGGAGUGUGACAUUUGGAUCACUAGUAUAGAUGUUAUUUAAUGUUGGAAUCCUUUAACUGUGAAGACCCUCAUCAAGUGGAGUGUGAGAAAAACACUUCUCUCAAUUUUAUUAAGUGGAGACCCAUUGUCCACUUAUGUUGGAGAAGUGAGGUGGUGAUAGAGGAUUAUCCGUGGACUUAAGAUUUAUUGUGAUUUACCAAUUAAACAUAGGUUGAGUGAUCAGUCUAGUGAGCAUGGUGGCCGAAGAGAAGAGAUAUGUGUUCUCAAGGUGUGAGCAACAUAGAUUAGGAUAGGAUAAGUGGGGUGAGAUCUUUUCAUGAGGUUAUUUAUGCAUUUGUUGCAGGUGUUGGCCAUUGGAUUGAUUAACUUGGUAUUAAUUUGUUGUUUAGUAUGAACAUAGUUGAAAAAAUCUAUGUAUUAUCCUAUGUCAUAUUAUGUAGCAUGUUUAUUUGUUCUUGCUUAUUACAGCAAUCAUCUGCUUCUACUUGGGUGUUUUUGACCUUAUCCUUAGUGAGUACACAGAGCAGGUAUGGUUGUAUUUUAGGUCCGAAACAUGAGGUAAUGUCUGUGAUCCCAGUUUUACUAGUUACCUUGAUUAUGCAAUAUUAGCUGUGUUUUGAUUGCUUUCAGGUUAGUUGGGUAUUAAGGUGGAGAUUUGUUAGGUUUUGAUAUCCAAAAAAUCUUGGACGAUGAUGUUAAAUCAAUAUUGGAUAAGUUAUAAUGACACCUUGGUGAUGGCUUAACUCGAAAACAGACUUGGGGCCUUUUGAAGCAACUCAAAUGAGUUAAUGUUGCUCGUAGCCCAUCACUUUUGGAUGGUCCAAGUGGUGACUUUGCAUUGGCGGUGAUACAUUGGUUAUUAGGUUUGUUGGUCAAUUGUCUUGAUUAAUGGUUGUUGGCCCAUUAGCUCUUCAUUCUUGGCCCAACUUGUGACAACCUAAGUAAUAUAUAUUUGCCUUCUUGCUAUAGCCGUUCCUGUGUGUUGGUUUAUGAGAAAGAGAGAAAAAGGUGAGGUUAUUAUGGCAACCAAGUGAAAGUUGUAGGUCGAGUCAAGCUCAGUUGAUAUUCGUUUGACUGAUUAAACUGAGCCCGGAUGAAGACUUCUCGAUGAUUUUUGUGACAAGGCUUUAAUGGAAUGGAAAUGGAAAAUAGUACUCAACAUGACAUGACAUGUGAAAAGUGGCAUUGUUUGAUUUCCUUAAAUUUUCCAGCAGUUGAAUCAUCUCUUCGUAUUUUGUUCAAAAUGCGUAAUGCAUGACAAUGCGUUUUGUUUGAGCACCAAUCAUUACAAGAAUAUGCGAGCCUAUGCAUAAUUAUUCUUUUUUCAAUUUUUAAUAUUAUUUUUAAUAUUCUAAACUAACAAAUAAAUAAUAAAAUGCAUUAUUUAAACUUUAUACAUGUUCUUCAAAUUUUCAAAAUAAAUAAAAAUGUUGCUUAAAAUCAUAAGCACUGUAAUUAAUUGAACUUUAUACACAUCAAAUUUUUAACUAAAAUAUAACGUUCAAAAUUGUAAAUAUUACAAUUACUUGGUAAUUAAUUCUUACAAUUAGUUUAGCACAAACAUCAGUUUAAAAAAAAUCUAAGUAUUGUCUAACUCUUUAUCGGAUUUCAAUUCAAACUAUUCUUCUUCCAAAUCAUCUUUCGUCUCAUCCGAUGUAAAAUCAUCUUUAUUGGGCUCCCUUAUUUCAACUCGAGAAUUUAUGUUACUUCUUAUAGAUUGUAAAAUAUCAUUAUUAACAUUCUUCUCAUCAUCACAACCAUAAACAAUUCAAGAUUUUUUAUUACUAGCAUCAUUUCUAAUAAAAACAAAUAAUGAUCGAAGAAGAAUGAGGCUCGGGCUCGUCUAGAGAGCUUCCAACUCUACGAAAAAUUUGUUUUGAUUUUUGAUUUGUUUAAAUGUCAAAACCCUAUAGAUUGUUGUAAAUAAAUCAUGAAUUUGCAUGAUUUUGGUUAAUUUGAAGAUUUUGGGCUGAAUUUACUAUUUUAAGUUGUAAUCAUGGGUUGAACUUUGUUUGGCUAAUUUUGACACAAUUUUUAAAUAAACAUGUACAAAUUUUGGGGUUCAAGUGUGUAUAUGUGGACAACAAAAUGGGUUGGCCGCAUUAUCACAUGCAUACUGCAUAUGUGAUGUAUUUUGAAAAUGCAUCAAGUAUAUGAGGGCAUAUACAAAGCACAUGCAUGUAUUUUAGAACACUGAUUUUGUUAAAUGAAUGAUGAAAACAAUCAAAUCAUUUUCUAAUGUUCAUUCACCAGUUGAUAAAUUUCCAACAGUUGUAUCAAAAUGGUUUUUAGCCUUUUAUCUUUAAAUAUGGAGAAUUACAUGUAACUUAAACAUAGUCUAAUCCAAUGAAGGAGCAGAAAAUGUGCACAGAUUAGGACCUUCAUGCACAUAGAUGGCCUUGGAGGAUGGAUAACAAUAAAAAAUAAUGAUCAGUUCAGGUUUGAUCCGAGUUUAAUAGCAACCUCGAGGAUGCACAUAAUGAUUUAGCAGAUCAACUUCAACAGUGUGAUGAUCUUUGUGACUUAAUGCAUGCUUGUAUGUUUGUAACUUAAUUAGAGAUGUGUAAGUUUAUAGAUGAAAAUAGGAUCGAGGCUAUUUAUUAAUAGUGGAUCAUUCUUUCGACUGAGGGGAAAAUCGACAAGAACUGGUAAUUGAUAAAUCGUUCAUAUAUGACAAGGGUAGUCAUAAUCCUAGUGCUAUACAUGAUUGAAUGUUACUCUAAAAAUAUUCGUGCAUGCUUAACUUAGCUAGAUUAGUAAUAAUUUGAAAUCAAUCUUCAGAAACUAUAAAUUAAUCAUGCGUGUUCUAGUUAAAAUUCAGUGUGAUUAAAGUGAAGUCAAUAAACAAUCUUCAUAUUGUCCAUUCAUCAUUUUUUACUUGUAAACAAUUCAUUCUUUUGUGUAAUAAAAUUGUUGCAUAAUAUCAUCAGGUGAUUUCUUAUAAUGAGUGCAAGAGUUGAACUAGCUAUUACCUUCACUGAACACUUGAAAUGGAAAUUCGUCACAAAAAGAAUAUAAAAUAAAACCCAGAUUUGAGUAAUUUUUUGUAUCAAACUAGAAGAUAAUGAUAUUGUUACUAUAACAUGAAUAGGUGUUUAGGAAAUACCCAAGUAAGGUGCUUUACAAAAAAUUCCUUCCUAAUAUUCAUUUCUGUUCUACCUCAAACCUUUUUAUCUUCUUUAGUAUUUUCCAAGAAGUGAAUGAAUUACAAUAUUUUUUAUAAGUGUGGUCACAACAAUAAGGAUCCUCUAUUGUACAUGUUUAUGUGUAUAUUUAUAAUACUUUCUACUUUUAUUGUCAAAUUGUCUUCCAUUGCCCGGAACUAAAGAAUAUGGAAUACUGAAUAUGCAUACUAUGCUUCUCCAUAUGAACUUUGUUGUAUUAGAAUCUGAGAUCCUUAUAAUUAACUCUGCUUCAAACCGUUUUGUAAAGUAAUCAAUAUCAACUAUGCUCCAUCUAGAAAAUGGACCCACCAUGUCUGUGCUCCAUCUAGAAAAAAAGCCGCUGACUACUUAUUGUGAUUAGUUCUUGGGGAUGAAGUCGAGAUAUGUUAGAGAACAUUUGGCACAUGCCAUAUAGCCUACCAUGAUCCAAAAAGUCCUUAUUCAUAGUUGGCCAGUGAUACCUCUGCCUCAAUAUCUUUAGUGUCGUUGAUAAUCCAUCUUCACUAUUGUAACAAAUUCAUUCUCGUACCUCACACAAUAGAUUUAUAACUCGUCCAUUAUGGUUAGGGAAUGGAGAAAUUCUUUUUCUACAUGAUUUCAUUCCUUAAUAUGAACAGAUUGCUCCCAACUUCAUCUUUUGAGCCUCAACCAUAUCGGUUAGAAGCUUAUGAUUCAUAAAGUAAUUUAAAAAAUCUUUCAUCCGCUUGGGUUGUUGACAAAUAAUAAUUAUCUCAUAUUUAGCCUCGGGAGAAAGUACUCAAUUGGAACUACCCUCAACAGUUCUGAAUCCUUAUUAUUGGUCAAUUUGGACAGAGCAUCAGCAUUAUUGUUCUAUGCAUGAGGGAUUUGAAAAAUUUUACAUUUUUUGAAAUUUGAGAGUAAAUUCAUGAAAUGUUUCAAAUAAAGAGCCAUGCUCUUGUCCUUGGCUGCAAUGCAACCACUCAUUUGAUUCACUACAAGCUGGGAGUCAUCAUCUCCUUUACUAAUUACAUCCCAGCUAUCAGUGCAUCAUAUUCUGGCACAUUAUUUGGAGCUUGAAAAUUGAACCUCUGGCCGAAUUAGCAAUAUGUAUCGUCCUUACCCCAAUUCAGACUUUCAGGAUGAGAUAUCAAACAAUUUCCAUUGUUUAUGCCUGGCUGACUCAAGUUCUUUAACAUCUGUCGGAACUAGAGGCCCCUCAGUGAAUGCCACAAAUCUUGAUAGUUGUCCUCGGUCAAGACUGAAUGUCGAAUUGACUGAGUUCAAUUGUCCAUUUCGUUAACCUCCCUAAAAAGUCAGGCUUUUGGAGAACUUGCCACAAUAGAUAAUUGAUUAAGUACCUCCAUGAUAUGGACUUGAAAUAUAGCCUAAAUUUCCUAGAAGCUAUAAUUAAGGCAAGAGCCAAAAUUUCCAUGUCUGAUGAUCUCUUCUCGACAUAAGAACUUUACUUACAUUGUAGGUUCGAAAUUAUUACGUUCCUUCUGCCUAAACUAGUAAAGCACAAGUGGCCCUUUCCAAGUCAGACAAUUAGAUUUACUGGACUUCUCAUUGAACUGGUUUCGACAAUGAUGAGCUUUAUUGAAAUGCUUCUUUAGGGCCACGAUGACCUCUUCACAUUCUGGGAUCCAUUCGAGUUUCUUCCUUUCCUUGAUGAUUUUAAACAAGUGGACUUCAAGACUAAGCGACUUAUGGUUGCUAUCCUUCUGGUUUGACUUUGCACCUCCUUCAGAUUUUGAGGAGAUUUCAUUUCUAAAUAGUCCUAAUAUUUUCUGGAUUGGCUUCAAUUUCUCUUUCGUUAACCAUGAAUUCCAAAAACUUGCAGAGGCAGCCUUAAAUGAACACUUCAUGGGAUUAAGCUUCAUCUGAUAGUGUCGAAUAAUGUUAAAUGCUUUUUCGAGGUGAGUUCGUGCUUUCUUGCCUACAAGAUUUGCACCAACAUAUUAUCUACAUAUAACUCCAUAAUUUUUUGGAUGUAAUCAGCGGAUUCAACUCACUAAUUGCUGAUAGGUGACCCAACAUUCUUCAAUUCAAAAGGUAUCAUUAUAACAAUAUAGAUCUGGAUCUAUGAUGAAUGAGGUAUGUUCUUCAUUUGGUUCAUACUAGGGGAUCUCAUUGUAAUCUGAAUAAGCAUCCAAGAAGCUGACCAUAGCACACCCUGUUGUCGUAACAAUUAAUUGAUCAAUGCAAGAUAUGAGGAAGAUAUCCUUGGGACAUGCCCAGUUUAGAUUACCUUUGGACUUUCGUAUGAGGAUUUGGAUUGGCCACCAAAGUCCGGAUAAUGUGGUUCCUAAUAUAAAGUCAUUUAAUAUUAACUUGUCAACCUCUUCAACGUGGCUGCGUAUCUCUCUAGGUUGAGGAGCAUCCUCAUUUGCUCAUGAGGAUGAAAUUUGGGAUCAGUAUUCAAGACAUAUCACGAUACCUUCGAAUUGAUCCCACCAUAUCUUCAUAGCUCCAUGAAAAAACAUCUGAAUUCCUCUUAGAAACUCUUCGAUACCCUUUCCUAGUCUCUCAGACAAAUCAUUUUCAACUUGGAGUAAUCUGAUUCUGUGUCGCCACAUGCUUGGUUCUCGUAAUUAUCAUACUAUCUGGAUUAUAUAUGUAUUGAUGCUACAUUUACUGCCCAAUUAAUUUAAUUUAAUUUUUUUUAUUUUUUAUUUUUUAUUUUUGGUUGUUGUGACUAACUAUAGUUCUUGCAUUUGAAUGUGCACUAGAUGUCCUAGAAAAUCGACAUGCCAAUUUAAUUAAGUGUAACAUGUUUAUAGUUUUAGCAAACGUAGGUUAAAUUUUAUCCAAUAUAUCAAUUCUAUCAUGUACUUUUAACUUGUCUUACUUUUAAAUUAAACUAAAUGUCAAUUUUAGAAUAUUUCCUACUUAAUAAGUACAUUUUAGUGUAAUUUAGUAUAAAAUAAAAUUUGAAAAAUAGAAUGGGCUUUUAAUCAAUAAAACUAAUUAAAUUAUUCAAAUAAGUUAAUAUGAUAAAUUAGGAAUCUUAAAAUUAAUUAUCACGAAUUAAGCCAAUGAAUUGUCAUUAGGUUAGAAAUUAAGAACUAUUUUUCUUCACCUCCUUACAUAUGAAAGUCGACUCCAUCAUAUUCACGAACAAAUUCGUACUUUAUAUUCUGGAAAUGGAAAAUUUGUUGUGAGGUAGUAAAUUUUUAUUAUAUUACUUCGAAAUUGAUGUUUGUUUUCAUUUUGUAAUGAUUAUAUUCCAAUUGAAAUAAUUAAAAAAUGUUUAUAAUAAGUUGGUAAAAAAUUGAUGUCUGUGUGCAUAUAUGUUAGUAGUAUUUGUGUGUGAGUGCACGCAUAAAGGUCCAUGGGUAUUUUAUAGUCACAAUGUAUUUAUGUUGCAUGAAUGUACAUGUAUAUUUUAUAAAUAGGUAUGUGCAUAGUCAUUAGAACUAGCCCUAGAUCUAGGGUUACUGAUCAAACCAGUAGGUCAAUGCUUAAAAAUUAUAUAGAUUUAUUAAACAUAUAAUUUUUUCUGAGACGAUUAAAGUUUUAAAAUUAUUUAUUCGAAUUAAUUGUUAUAAACUAGAGGGAAACCAACAAAUUUGUAUGUACUAUAUUGAGCAACGUUUUUAAAAUCGGACCGGACAAGCCGGUUCAACCGGAAAAACCAAGACCCGAACCAAAAUCCGGUCCAUUUGCAACUUAUUAACCACUUAUAUAAUAACCGGUCAACUAACCGGUAAACCGGCUUAUUAACCAGUAAAUUGGAAACCAGCCUUAGUUUUUACCGAUUUGACCGGUUCAAAAAAUAUUAAAAAAUUACUCAAUCUUUUGGAAUAAUGUGUCUUGAGAGUUGCAACACAUGUCCACAUCACAUUAACCCAUUCCACCCACCCAUGGAGUACCUUUAUAGCAACUUCUUCAGUCCAUCAAUUCUUUACCUUCCGAUGUGGGAUUGAAGACUUUUGAAAAUUAUAUUAAUAAUUUAACAUAAUAUGAGCCUAUCUAAUUCCCUAACAGUUAACGCUCAUGGGUCAUAAGAAAACCUUCAAUAAAGUUAAUAUUAUAUUGAUAUAAUAUAAUUUACUUUCUUCACACAGUUGCAAUAACUUUUUUAUUUUAUUUUAUGAAUUCAAUAAAAUUUGGAAUGAAUUUCUAAUUAUUCAACAAGCAAAUUACAAACUAAUAAAUUUUAUAUUGUAAAAUACAUACACAUGACAUAUUUGUACUUAUUUUGAAUUGAUGGUAAGCAAAUUUAUUUAUAUUGUUGUCAAAAUAAAAUUAAACAAUUUAUAAAUAUAUAUAUUUUUUUAUCUCAAGUUCGACUCCGGUUCAAUCCUGGUUGAACCCUUUGACUCUUGACCCUUUACCUUUUUCGGGUCGGCUUUCAAAACAUUGAUAUUGAAAGCCAAAUCCCCUUUACAACACUUUACCUUGAAUGAUUAAUUACUCAAUAACUAUCUCAUUGAAAUAUUAUUUGGCAUAAGCCCGAUAUGACAAAAACGCCAACAAAUAAAAAAAAAUAAAAAUAAUUUGAAGCAAUAAAAGAUUAUCUCGUUAAAACCUUGUUAAGAAAAUCCAAUGGAACAAAACUUUAUUGAAGGAAAAACAGUACAGCUACUCCUCCUGAUUUUAAUGCUUGUAUUAAGAGAUCCAUGCUUUGUAUGUCAAUGUCUUUAGUAUUAUAUCUUGUACAUCAAUAUCUUCGAAUAACACUGUUUUCAUACAAAAUAUUUAUCAACAUUUAAUGAGUGUAGUAAUAUGAUGAUUCGAAAAAUAACUCUUACCGAUCUCUUCGUGAGUCUUAUAUAUAUAGGAGUAUGUUUUGAGGGUAAAUAUCUUGUAUGUUAUGGACAUUCAUCACGCAAAGAAUAUUCUUCAUUAAAGCCUUUUUAGAAAAAACUCUAUGGGAAAAUCCAAAUGAAGGAAUAAGUAUUAUUCUUUAAAUACGCUAUAAAAAUUGUCAUGUUAAAAACAUUACCAGGAAAACCCAAUGGAACAAAAUCUUGGUCAAGGAAAAAAGAAUACAGUGCAUAUUUACUCUCUCUCUCAUGAUAAUAUCACUUGAAUUAUACUUCAAACAUAUUAAAUCCUUCAAAAAUAACAUUAAUAGUCUUCUAGAUGAGUUGACUAUCACGUAUUCAAAAUUUCAUGCAUCGUCAAAAUAACAUGAUAUGGACUCGUGAUUUUAUCUACCACUAUCUUUAUGAAAUUCAAUGUGUUGAGAGUCGUGCAAUACAUAUUAUGACUUCAUUUUUCUCAUUUUCGUUUUACAUAAGUAUCUGCCAUUAGAUUUUCGGAUUGGAGGUCAAAAAACAUUAGAUUUCUCUAAUAAAUUCAAUUUAGGAUUGUAUCCUUUUUAUUUGGUCAAUCAUUACUCAAUCAAUAUAUUUCGAUACAUUUAUUUUGAUUCGUCGCUAUAUGAUGUAGUACAUUAUGUUCAAAGUUUUGUUGACAACUUCUUCUUUUUCGGUUCUAUUUCUUUUCUCAUAAAGAUAUAACUUAUUGAGAUAUCUUAAUUUUCAGCAUAUCGGAUACCUGAACUUCUUCUGGAGUUUUACAUUUUGUUAUGUAUGAACACUCUUCAAGAGCAUAUGCAUCCUUAAUUGGACUAUCUUUACUAAUCGGUUCACUUUCAUUUGGAGAUUUUUACAUUAGAACGCUUAAGGCAUGUCACAAAUAUAUCAAAUAUAAUAUUAACUAAUUUUCAUUCAAGACAUUAAUUCGAAUUAGAGCAUUUAAAGUUCGUUGUGAGAUAUUGUUCAUCUCUUUAAUUAAUAAAUACAUCUAAAUAUAUUAUCUUUUGAACUUUUGGUUCGAAAUAUUUUUGGUGAGGAUUUAGAUAAUGAUCCAAUAGGUAAAGCAAACUAUGAUAUUGGUAUGACGCAUAAUAGUACUACCUAAAUAGAAAUGGAAAAUACUUUGCUCUCAACAACAUUAAUUGAAGGCGUUUAACAAACAAUAGUAUUAAACCGUUUAUUGACAUCUUCACAACAUAUAUUAAAAGGUUGAGAUUUGGCAUCAAUAGCAUUAGCAAGGCAAUCUCUUGAUUGUGUAAUCUGAAAAUUCUGCUCAUAAUUUGAGCAAUAAUUUCACAAACUUCAAGUUACGAAUAUCAUGCAAUCAUCUAGUAUUUGUGUCAAAUCUAUUAGAUACAAAUAAUAUGUAGAUGGUCUACGUGGAAAAUGAUGGGACCCUUUUGUCACCCUAUAUAAUUUUAAGAAAUAUUGGGAAUUCAAUCCUUAUGUUUGCAAGUGAUAUUUAAGGAUCAAUUGUUGAUAAGGAGAAUAAAUAAAAGAUAGAAAUUCAUUGGAUUUAAAAGUUUCAUUGAAUAUCAAAUUGAACUUUUAAUUUCGCAUCAUUAUUGAUAUAAUGGUGGUCCAGCUAGUUUUGCCAAAUGACAAAAUCAAAUUGAACUCCAGUUUCAUAUAUAAGAUAUAAUUCAAUUAUUUAAUUUCAAAGAAUAUAAUUACACAAUAUAUACUUGUAUAAUAUUCAAUCAAAAAGGCACUAAACAAUGUCAAUAUGACAUGAAUUAUAUGUUUUCCUUCAAGGAUAAACACGAAUUCAAAAUAAUGUAUUCUUCAAAGCACGUGUUUCUUCGAGAACACAUUAUAUUUUUACUAUCGCUUCUUCAAGAGCAAAAUAUCAAUAUUGUUCUGGAAUAUUAAAAAUUAUAGAAGAAUAGAUCAUAUUUAAUUAUGCUCUUUGGGAGCAAAUGAAAUUUAAUUAGAAUGUUAGUGAGAAUUAUAAUGUGCUACUUAGAGAGGAUGUUUUUACUAUUGCUUCUUCAAAAGUAAUAUCUCAAUAUUAUCCUGAAAUAUUAAAAAUGAUAAUUCAUGUUUUUUAGGAAAAAAAUAAUAUUUUUCUGAAACAACAUGAUGAAUUUUUAAUUUAGAGUUUAUAAAGGAUCAACUAAAAAUAUUUAAUCAGGCUAAAAAUAUUAAUUAUUAUACAAACAAGGCAUGAAAUAAAAAUUAAUUACCAAACAGAUAGGAUAUGAAUUUAUAUACAAAAUAAUUACUUAACAUGCAUUAUGAAAAAGAAUCUUUAUAUACAGAAGUUAACAAAAUUGACUAAAUCUUUUACCAAUAUGCUAAGAAUAUCAAAUAUGCAUGUGAAUUUCACAUAUACAGAAAUUCAAGGUAAAAUUAAAGGUAAAACUAAUAAAUGAUAGAAUCAAAAGGUAGAAUUAAGACAUGAAUAAUAUGUGGCAGAACUAAUUGUGUAUGAAUCAAAAGGCAUGAAUUGAUGCUAAAGCAUGAAUUUACUUUAUAAACUAUGACUUAAUUUAUGUAUAGAUUACACAUACAAACAUGAAUUAGAACUAGUAUGCAUACAAAUGAAAAGUAGAGAAGAAGAAGCAACUCCUUUUGAUGCAUAUAUGCAUCGAAAAAAUUCACAUGUCACCAAAUUAAUUUUGAAACACGUGACAAAUGGUUGUGAUUAUAAAAAAUUACGAUCUUCUAACUAAUUUACUCUGAUUUUGAAAGAAUCGUACUGAUAACGUGUUAUAAACUAACGAGAAAAAGAGAGAAAAACAAAUAUAUCAAUAAAUUUGUGUGUAUUAUAAUGAGAACCAAAACCUCAUAUGAAUUUGACUGGAAGGGGCGCAACAGUCUUAAUGAUUAGGGUUGCAAGGAUAUAAAAGUCAUUUAUAAAUACUACUAUAUUUACAAUUUUAUUAUAUAUUUAAAAAUUAUUUUCUGACAUAUUCAAUUCAUCUUAAUUAAAAUUAAUCUUUCCAUACCUUGUAAAUUAAUAAGUGUAUAAAAUAAAUUCAAGUGUUGGAACAACUGAUUCAUUAUAUAUAUAAUUGCACCAAAAAAUAAAAAAUAAAAAAAAAAUAUUACAUUCUAGUGGCUAAGUGCUCUUCAUCUAACCUUAAGGUCCAAGGUUAAAGUCUUGGAUCCAAAAAUUUCAAAGAUAAUUUUGAAAAUUGGUCAAACUGGUUAACCGCUAGCUUUUAAUAUAAAAAUCACCAGUUAACUCGGUCAGACUCCGUUUUUCACUGAGUCACUAGUAUUUCAAUCUAAAUAUUGUGCAUGGCCUGGUUAAGGGUUCGAGUCAGUCGUGUUUUAUAACUAUAUCUAUGUGUGCAUUAUAUGUAUAUGUGUAUGUGUGUAUAUAUGUAGGCCUGUGUGGGCUGUGUGGGUAUUUUUAUGUAGGUAGCUAUAUGUAAAUGUAUAUGUCCCUAUAUAUAUAGACUUGCGUGCAUAUAUAUUAUACCUACGUUUCAGGUCCAUUUUUUUUUUAAUGAAAAUGAGUUUUAUAAAAAUGAAUUUUUGAAGAAUAUAUUGUUAAAAAAAAUGAAUUUACGUUCAAAAUAUUUUAUUGUAAAUAUGUAUGGUUGAAAACGAGCUUGUUAAAAAAUAUUUUUUGGAUAAUAAAAACUAAACAGGGUCUAUAUGUACCCAAUCGUGAAUCUAUGUUGCAGUUUGUAUGUAUAUGUUCUUUUUAUAAUUUUCUUGAAUGAAUUAUUAGUUUAAUAGUUAUUAAUUAGUUUGUGUGUAACGAAUUUAUGAUGUCCUUUUACAAUGAAUUCUAAUUAUAAUUUUAUGAAUCUUAAUAAUUUUGUUUACAUUAAGGGUUUUAUAAAAAUUAAUAUGCAAAACUAAUUUAAUAGAAUAAUGUUUUAGGUUCAUAUUUAAAGAGUGCAUUUUGACAAAAUUUCUAAAUUAAUGGUAAUGAAUUAGGAUUUUGGGCACAUCUAUUUCUAAAUAAUGUUAUUUGCGGUCCCUUACUACCAUAGUUGUCCUACAUGACGGUUAGUGAACUGAUGCAUGAGGCAGUGAAAAACUAAAACAUUAAUACUUCAAAUCAUUAAUCGCCACAUAUAUGCCACAUAGGGCGUAAGUGACUGCAAAUAGUAUUAUUGUUUUACUUUAUGGGUAGUUAAGAACAUCUCCACUUAUCAUUCAAAAAAUAAAUUUACUCGGACUCAACGUAAGUAAACCUUCUUGUAUUUUCAUGUGUACGUCAUAUGAUUAAAUGUAUAAAUGUGUUACUUAAGUUGUCAUUAUGUGAACAUGAUACUUGAUCAUGAAAUAUUCAUAAAUGCCAAUGCACCCAUAAGCAUACAUGAAAUUUCAAAACAUAAAAAUUGUUCAAAUGUCAAUCAAUAAAAAAAUAUUUUAAAAAUAUGUGUCCUGAACGUUUUUGUUAAGAGGUAAUACCUAUGCGCUGAAAGGUGAGAUUGGAAAAUGGGGGGUGGUGGACCGACACACUUGACCAAUGCUUAAUAAUGAGGUUUAAUGUUUAAUACUGAUCACUUUGCAAUACUACAGGUAGAAUAAAUUGGGUUCCAAAUAACAAUAACCCACUAUAUUUUGAAUGGUUAGACAAUACACCAAGUAAGCCCAUGAUAUUAAAGUUAAAGCUUUUAAAGAAAUUGAAGAAAAUGGGAUACACAUUGGAAAAAUGUAUUUAUUUUAAAGUAAUUCAAAUGUACAUCAGAAAACGUAUUAUAUACAUGAGGUUUGCUUACUAGACAUAUCGAUCUCCUUUUUUAGAUAAGGAAGGCAAGAUGAUUUGUGAUGACUACGUAUGGUGAGACUUCUGAAGGGAGACUUCGCCUGCCUCUUCGUCCCUUCUUUAGAGCUAUGCUUAGAUUUAUAUGGGCUAGCCCUACCUAGCUUGUCUCUAAUGCUUAGGCACAACUAGUUGGGGCUACUUCCAGUAGAAUAAGACCUCCCUAUUGAUGACAUGUCCCUCCUCGUCUUCUAAUCCAUUUUCUAACCUAAGAUCAUAGGAAAAGAAGACUCCAAGGGCUGCUACUCCUUGUGUCUGCUGGGGGGCACACUCUCUAUUUGGCAUAAGCUUUCUCUUAUCCAUCAAAGGAUGGAAGAAGACCUAGUUCUAGGUGAGAAAGUAGUGGCAUACGUGUGAGGCUGACAAAGUCCUUCACGUGAUAAUUCCAAAAACAUACUUCGAACCUCGGGAGUGUCCCAUCCUUAGUUGACUUUAUUUUACAAUGAAUUGAUUCUGACCUUUGUGUAUGUUGUAGGAUCGAUCAAUCGCUUUGAAUUGACCUAAGAGGAGUUUAGUGUUGUAGAUGACAUCUAUCUUCAUCCUCCAUCUUUUUGGGAGUUCUAACAUUCGAUCAUCGCUGGACAAUUUUUUGAGGAAUUCGGACUAAUAGCCUGAAGAGGUAACACUUGAGAAAUUUUCCUUACCGUUUGUCGAGUACCAUUCAUACUGACUAGGGCAUUUUUCUCAUCUACUGAAAAUUUUGAAAAGAUGAAGUACUCAGCCCAUAACAUGGCUUCCAUUGUAGCAGCAAGUUCCAAGGCUAGGAAGAAGGCCAAGCUCUCAACUGUUGCUAUUAAGAAGGUGAGAGAUAAAGUAGAGAGGAUCAGUAAGGAAGAUGCAGACCUUGAAGGUGAGGGACGAUCCUCUUUAAAGGAGAAUGGUAAGAGUUAGGUGGGGGAGGUUCCGAAGAAGAAAUUUUCAUUCUCUUCCACCAUGGAGAGGGGUCUUCGAUCUGAAGUCUUACAAGGAUAAGUUGAUGGCAACAUCUAUUACUGUAGCGAGGGGGAGCAAAAAAGGCCAUCUUCAAUCAAGCCUCCAAGGCAGAAGUCUUCAAACAAUUGGAGGUGUCAAACGAUACUUCAACUGCUUCAAAUGUGGUGCCUCCCUGGAUGAAGCUCUCAUUGUUGAAGAAGAGAGAUGAACUAGCUCCGGAAGAAAUAUCUACGCUACCUACGGAGGUCUAAACGGCUACUGCUACAUUCCAAAAGUACUGAUGGAUAGAUGGAAGACCUUCGUCGAGUCCAGUUAUUGGACUAAUAUUUUUGCUACAAUGGUAAGCUAAACAGAGAGGGCGCUUAUAAUCACCAUAGAGGUUGAUGUCCUCUAUAAAACCUUCAAAAGAAAAAUAAAGAGUUUUUAAAUAAGACCUCCCAAGCCAAAGCCAAUGCUGAGGCCAUUAAAAAGCUAAAAGAUGAAGAUUCUGUGAAGCAGGUCUUUGCUUAGUAGAGAUUGAGAAUUUAAAGAAGGAAGUCCACUUGUCUAGAGUGAAGUGGCUUCUUUGACUAAGCAAUAAGAGACUUUUGAUGCAUAUAAAAAAUUGACUACUGAGGCCUUGGAGAGGUUGAAUAAGGAGAAUGCUAUAUUAAAUCAGUAGGUAGGGGAGCUUAACUCCAGAGUUGCUAGUCUCACUAAAGAGGUAGAAUGUGUCAGGGGAAGCACAAUCUACUAGCAAGGAUAAUGUGAAACAGUAUAGAGCCAAUUUUCACUUGACAGGGAAAUAUUAGAGCUUCGCUAGAUAUACUAAAGGAAGUUUACCUACACCGUGGUGCAUGGAAUGGAUUGAGGUGCACUCAACUUUCAACACCAUUGAGUUAAGGUCGGAAUUCUUAGAGUAGGGAGAACGAGGAGAGCCUCAAACUCUAACGAAGGAUAGCUAUUUAAUGGAACUCGAAGAUGAUGAGGUUGGGAUAAUGUAACUUCUGUAGCAGUAGGUCCCAAUGCCAUCAUUCAUUUGUUGGUGUUCAUCCUCCUCUUCCACCUACUUAGCUUGUUAGGAUUUUUAUUUUCCUAUUUUCAAUGUACAUGACUUCGGUCCCUAUGUAAUUACGAAUUUUAAUGAACGAAAAUUCUUCUUACAUUUGUGUUACUUUGCUGAAUUUCAUUUAUAUUAAUGCCUUUCGACACGUUAUUGCUUCCCAAGUGCCUUAAUCUUCAUUAAGACUUCUUUUAAUCUAAGUUUAUUAAGUGUCAAUACUUUACAUAUUGUUUGACUUCAUCUUUCCUUGGUAUAGGGUUGGACGGUCCAUCUAUACAGAGGCUAUCCCUACGACUUUUGUCACUAGGAGAAGUGUGCUAUCCACUUUGAUAAAUAGAGAGAUAGCCCCUUUUGAGAUCCAGCUCUUUAUUGAAAUGUCCACGCUUCCCUACCUGGUGGAUGGUUCAUCAAGCAAAGGCUUCUCCCAUGAGUUUCAUCAAUGGAAGACAUUUUUCUUUUAAGAAGAAUUAAAUAAGGAUUUUUUUCAUUGAAUUUCACAAAUUAUACAUAGAUUAACAGUUUUUGCACACGUCUCUAUUGACAGUAUCUACUUACAUGUUCUACAUUCCAAGGAUGAGACUAUGUCUUUCCAUCCAAAUGUUAAAUCUUAUAGGUUCCAAGUCGAAGUUCUUCUUUGAUACGUUAGGGACCCUUUCAGUUGGGACUAAGAGUACCUAUCCUUAGUUUGUUGGAGGAAAGGAAUACCCUUUGCAGGACAAGGUCGUUUACAUGGAUGACCUCUUCAUGGCCUUUAGAAUUGUAGUACAAAGUCAUUUUUGUAGUAAACAGCUAAUUUUAUUUUUAAUAGACCAUCUAUUGAUCGAGGAAAUCGAGCUCGCACCUUCUUAACUCGUCAUUGGAUAUUUAAUUGAAUUAUAAGUGAUGAAGAGAGGGUAGACCUAUCUCAAUCGAGCUCAUAGCUAAUGCUCCAUAAUCCAUGUAGAAAUAAGUUUCUCCUAUUAUAGUCUUGCUAAUAAUUUGGAUAGCCUAUAAGACCUAAGAUAGCUUGUCCACCCAUGCCCCUUUGGAGGCAUAAAACUUCCAUCGAGGGUGUACUUGACGGUCUUGUUGAUGGCGUCCACCUACCCAUUGGCUUGAGAAUGGUGGGGAUGGAGAAGUGCUUUGAUUCCGAGUACAUCGCAUAAAUCUUUAAUUUUCUUAUUAUCAAACUAUCGCCCAUUGUCAGAUACGAUUGAUUGGAGAGUGCCAAAUCGAUAAGUAACAUUUUUCCACAAAAACUUGGAAGUGUUUGCUUUAGUUAUUUUAACCAGGGGCUCUGCUUCUACUCACUUAGUGAAAUAGUCAAUAGUGAUGAUAGCGAAGCUGGCACUGCCUUUUCCCUUAGUUAGGGGUCUUAUGAGGUUAGUUCCCUACUUGGUGAAUAGCCAAGGGCUGGAGACACUACUUAGCUCCUAGAAAGGUUCUUUGUACCAUCGAGAAGAGUUGACACUUGUCACAUCUCUUCACAAGUUGUUGUGCAUUCUUUUUAAAUGUAGGCAAGUAGUAUCCCUACCUUAAUACCUUUUAUGCCAGAGCUCACCCUCAUAAAUGGUUGCCACCAACCCUUUAUGAAUUUUUUGGAGAGCUAGGUGGGCUGCUCACCACCUAUGCAUUGGAGUCUUCUGAUCUCUUGUGCUCCCUCUUUGUCAGUGGAUAGGGCCUAAUCUUUUAGGAAUGCUAUGAUAGGUCACAUCCACGGAGAAGUGUUUUUGACCUGCAUCAUUCUUUUUCCUCUAGAAAUGGAUAGUCUAGAGAGGUGGUCUAUAGGUACCAUAGUGAGUAGUUUAGAAUUUUUGCAGCUUGCUAACUUAGGAGAGCGUCGACAUGAGCAUUUCCCAUGAUUGGAAUUUGUGGUAACUCAAACCUUUUAAAGGAUGGAACAAAGUCCAUCACAAACUUCAAUUAUGUGGCCAUGCUUUUGUCACUGGCUGCAAAAUUGCCAUUAACUUGCUGAGAGUCAUUGUUGAUAAUUACCCUCUUUACUUGCAUUCCAUUGGCCAGUCUAAGUGCAGAUAGUAGGGCCUCAUAUUCUACAGCAUUAUUAGUAGCCAUUAGUUACUUCUAAACAUUGCCUAAAAAAAAAAAUAUGAAAACAUUUGAUAAAGCUUUAAGAGCCGAACUUCCAUUAUAGUUAGCCCAUUCAGAUAUAUGUGGCCCUAUGAAUGUGAGGACAAGACAUAGAGCCUAUUAUGUCAUUACUUUUAUAGAUGGUUUCACUUAGUAUAGUUAUGCCUAUUUGAUUUCUCAUAAGUUAAAGGCACUAGAACAAUUAGAUGUUAUUGUGGUAGAAAAUAAAAUAGAUAGAAAGGUAAAAAAGUCUUAAGAGUUGACCAGAGCCUGAAUAUCGAUUGAAAGAGUUAAAAGAACUAUGUGAUGACAAGUGAAUUAUUAGGCAGAUAAUUAUUCCCAACACAUCACAACAAAAUGGUGCUAUUGAGAGUAGGAAUGAAAUGUUGCUAGAAAUGGUAAGAUCCAUGAUAGUACAGGCUAACUUGCCUAUCUCCUACUGGGGAGAUGCUUUGCUAACUUCGACCUAUAAUCGUGAAUAGAUUCUGUAUAAAUUGGUAUCUAACAUGAACCAUCCCAAAUCUCCCAAGUGGACCCAAAACGUAAUGUUCGUUGAUGGUAGAUGUUAACUAGAUACCAGAUCUGUCAUUAAAGCUGACUAUGAGUUAAUAUUUAAAUAUGUGCCAAAAUCAAAUGCUUAUGAAAAAAUAAUGUAAUGGGCCCAAAAUAAUUACUUUGUGCUUUAUCAAAAUGAAGAAUAUAACUCAAUAUGUUGUAUGGCUAUAAAUCUAAAAUCAUCAAGCUUUCAAGAACCAAUUGCUACCUCAAGAAAAGUUGUAAACAAUAAAAAAAAAAAAAAUGAAAAAAAAAAAAAAAAAAAAAUAUAUAUAUAUAUAUAUAUAUAUAUAUUAGUUUAUAACUGAUCAAGUGAAAUUUUUUGGAAAUAGUUCUACUUUCUCAUUUAUACGUAUUUAUUGAAUAUCGAGUUCAUAUCAUUUAACGGUCCAAAGUAUAGCACCAUGUACUAGCAAUCAAGAUGUGAGACACUUCAUAAUGCUGAAAAAUAUCAUCUCAUAGUCAUCAAAUAAUUAUCAACUCAAAACCAUAUCAUUAUUUCAUCACAUUAAUUGUAGUCCACCAAAAAUGUACCUUCUGACCGAAAUUUGUAAUCUGCCUCUUGGGCAAAGCACUUUCGCCACAUGCCUUUGGCCCCUUUCAUGAAUGAAUGCAGGUCUGAAAAACCUCUAACAAUCAAUUUUAGAACACAAUUAGAGCCCUUCUAUGAACUCUAUGUACACAGUCAAGACCCCUCCGUGUAGAAUAGAACACAAUCAAGCCACUAUAUGAACUAGAAAAAGUAUAUAAUCACAUAUACUUUUCUGGUCGAUCUCAAUAUAACAUGUCUAACAUUCCAAUUCAUAUUUAAUCCUUAUACAAUUUAUGAAUUCGACAUAUAUCACAGCGAAAGAAUCUUUUCAUGUUUAUCAUGUAACUGAACAAAUAAUUCUCAUAAGUGCACGUAAUAUAAUGGUUUAUGUACCUUAUCAAUAUUUGAAAUUAUAUAAGUUUUUGUACUCAUAGAUCUAUGGAUAGUCAUCUGGUUAUAUUGAUGAGCAUUUUCAGACUUUUACCUCACUGCCUGAAUAAUGGAAUAAUAACUCAAAUUAAAACAUGACAAGUAAAUUAAUGCAAGUUCACCACGUAAUUCCUCAACUUCUAUAUCUAUUUUUGCGUCUCUAAAUCUCUAAAUUUUCCACUCUUUAAUUAUCUACCAACAAGUCACCAUACAUGAUCAAAUCAAUUAAAUCACUACCUUAUACAUAUACAACCCCUAUAAAUGAUUUAAUCCAAUACCUAGAUUUCAAUAUUUAUCCUUUAGUUUCAUUCAAACUUGUAUAUGAGAAAACAAACGUUUGAUAAAAACGGCACUAAAAUUCCAGAGUAUUAAACUCUAUCACUAGUUUUUGUAUAUGGAAAACUGUCUCCAAAACCUUUGAUAAAAAUGGCACUUUCCAAGGUAGAAUUUCAAAAGUAGUAGUGAGAUUAUAAUUUUGUAUGAAAAUUGAAGAAAAUGACUUAAAAAAAUAUACCAAAAUCAGACAUGUAUCAAUAAAUAUUAAUUUUUGCUAAACCUCAAUUUUGAGAAAUUUUUCCAUAGACCCAAAAAUAAUUCGACAUACUUACACCUACCUCUAUAAAUCAAUGGAGAAAUCGAAAAAAUGGAGAACCCAAGCUUGAAAACCCACUUCUUCUUCUUUUUUUCUUUUUCUUUCUUCUUUUUUCUUCUUCCUUUCUCUUCUUGUGUUUGUCCCCAAAAAUGAUAAGAAUAAAUGAAUCGAUAUGCUUAAAUUUUGUGGAUGACUAUGAAUAAUUGCAUGUCAAGUCACCAAUCUUUAUAUAACAUAACAUUUCAUCUUUAUAUUUUCAAUAACAGAAACGAAAUCCCUAGAUUCCUUUUUGUAUCAUUGUUAGCCCUCAUGUGUUUGUAAUUACAAUUUAAGUCCCACGAAAAUCAUUUAUUUAACUUAAGUCCUUAAAUGACUUUGAUUUCGACCAAUUGAACUUUGGACUUUGACUAAAUAAUUUUCUUGACUUUGACUAUGAAUGAAUAGGAUGUAAACAAUAUCUACUACACCAUAUCAGCUUCGGACAGAUAGAUUCCCUAUAUCCAUGAUUCCUUAAGGAAGUCUGGGAAAUUGGAUUCGCGAGUGAAGAAGUGUAUUUUUAUAAGAUAUUCAGACCAAUCCAAAGGGUAUGUGCUCAUAGUUGAAAAUUAGGAUGGGACUAUAACCGAGAUAGAGUUACAUGAUGUGACAUUUCUUGAGAACAAAUUUCCUAGCAAAGGAGAAAUUAAAAGAGAGAACCUUUGUUUGAAUUUGAUGAUAGAGUUAUAUAUGAUAAAUUAACUGGGGUGCAAGAGAAAAAAUUUCCACAUGUUAAUCCAAUUGGGAGCAAUUUAUCUCCAAGUGACAGUCAUAUCGGAGUUUUCAAUUUGUAAGAGUACUAGAAAUAAUAUGCUUUAAUAUCAUUUCAAGAUUGAAGGGCAAGUUUUCCUAUUAUCUCCAAAAGAUGAUGAAGAAUCAAAAUUAGUACAAGAAGCUACAUCAUGGCCUGCAAAGGAAAAGCAGAAGAAUGUAAUGGAAGAAGAGAUAAAAUCUAUGAAAUCAAAUCCAAGUCUGGGAGUUGGUUGAUCUUUUAACUAAUAAAAGAGCUAUUGGGAACAAAUGAGUUUCCAAGAUAAAACAAAAAACUGAUGGGACUAUAGAAAGGUAUAAGAUUCUCUUGGUAGCAAAGAGCUACACUCAAUAAGAUGGUAUAUAUUAUAAAGAGGCCUUCUAACUAGUAGUGAGAUUUACUUAAUUUGCCUAAUCUUAGCCAUAGCGGCACAUUUAGAUUUAGAGUUACAUCAACUAUACGUGAAUAUUGCUUUUCUCAAUGGAGAAUUAUAUGAUUACACACAACAACCAAUAGAUUUCAUUAAAAUAGGACAAAAGAAUAAAGUUUGUAAAUUGAAAAGAUCAAUCUAUGGUGAUUUUAUUUGAAAAGAUCAUACACUUUUGUUAUGAUCAACGAAUUUAUUUGAAGAGGUCGAAUAAGAAACUUGUAAUUUUAUCUCUCUUUGUAGAUGAUAUCUUAUUGGUUAUGAAUGAUAAAGAGUAUUUGAAAACCAUUAAGAAAUGGUUGCCCUCAAAAUUUGAAAUGAAGGACAUGGAAAAGAAGAUUACAUAUUAGAUGUUAAAAUCCAUAUAGAUCAUUCGAAGUGGCUUCUUGUUCUAUCAUAAGAGCGAUAUAUAACUUCUUAAAUCUUUCAAAAUGGAGAAUUGCAAUCCUAUCGACAUUUUUGUAUCGAAAGGCGAAACUCUAAGUCUUCACAUGUGUCCUAAGACUCUCAAGGAAAAAGAAGGAAUGUCCAAAGUACCACACAAAAGUACUAUUCAAAAUUUGAUGUAUGUUAUGAUGUGUAUCAUCAAGCAUUUAUUAUGCCAUUGGUUUGGAAAAUAGGUAUCAAUUUAAUCUUUGAAAACAACAUUGGAAAGCUGAUAAGAUGGUAUUAUGGUACCAGAAGAAUACUGCUAGCUAUUCCUGUGCUAUCAAGGGAAUGAUUUUGAUGUGAUCUAGGAGUUGAGCCCGAAGAAGGCAAGUGUAGAACGAGACCUGUUGAUAAUCGAAGGCAGAUUGAUGACGCGAUUGAGGGCGAAGUGAGUAAAACAAGCGAUGGGGUUGCUAGUUCAAUCAACUAUUGAUGAAACAAUGUUCGAGAUGCAAAACGAGGCAACUUUUGUGUUUAGGUCGACACUCAAAGUAAAAUGGAUCAAUGCGAUACAAGCAUAUGAAGAAGGAGUUGUCUGAAGAACUAUGCGACUGCAUAGUUAUUCAUGCGUUGGGGUCACAUGAAGGUGUGCAGGAAAUAUUUUGGCAGUGACCUUUUCUUCUAUACGACUAGAUAGAAAUACUCUAUGCGGCCCCAUAGAUCAAAAUUUGGUAAAAAAAAAUUCCUUUUUUCGAAUUUUCCUUCUUUUGUUAGAUUUUUAAUUUUAGCAAGAUUCUUGUAAUCUUUGACCUAAAUUUUCACGUAUAUGUUAUUUCUUUCAAUUGUAAGUUUACAAGACAUUAUUAUUGACUGAAUUAAAUUGAAAGGCAUUUUGCUUUCUUCUUCCGUUCUUCAUAGAACAAUUUGAACUUAUCAAGAAUCAUAAUUCUUGUGGCAUUCUACAAUUCGGGUGUGGGUCUUGGAUUGUAUAGUCAAGGGGUCCUUCAAGUAACGCUCUUACUAGAUUUUUUGGUUCAUUAAUUUGGGGUUCAAACUCUAAACCUUUAAUUAGGAUUUUCUGGGUAUUUGGAACAAUCUUGUUGUGGGUUUUGUAGUCAAUGCUACUAUGUGGUUCGCAUUAGUUGGUAUUAGAUCACGGGCUCCCAAUUAACAAGUUAUAUCCUUUAUUUUUCUUUCGUUAAGUCUAGUGUUUUUGUUUUCCUCUUUUUUGUUAUUUUCUCUUUGAUGCGUUUUUCGUGUUCAUUGUUUUUCGAGUCUCCAAUUUUGUUUUUAUCGUUCCUGUCUUUUCCUUUGUUUGAGCCGUUAAAUUAUCGUCAAAUUCUUCCAAAGGUUUUUUGGGCAUCCAAGACCACUUUUGUUCAAUUCGUUGGUAGUUUAACUCUUGUUAUUUUUUUGUGUCAAAAAAGAAAAAAAGAAAAGAAAGAAACAGAAAAAGGCCAAAAAAGGGGUAGAAAAAAAGUCGGGAGACAAAAAAAAAGUUAUAUAGUUAUUCUUCCUUUGUUCAAUUUUCUGCCAACAUAUUUUAUUUCAAUUUUCGAGUUAAUUUUCAAGUCAAGUCAAUUACUUUGAAGUCUUAGUACCAUUAAAUUCUUCGAGUCCUUUUUGUUUCACAAUCUUGGAUUUACAUUCGAUUUAGAAUUCCACCAUUUUUUUUAAAAAUUCUUCUAGGUCACUAUUGUUCCUUGAAGCGCUUGGAAGAAAGCACCGAGUGGUAAAAGGCACAGAGGUGAGUUUAAUACAUGGAAAAGCCAAAAAUUGUGUGGUUUUUGAGUGAAAAACGGUGAGGCAGAAAUUUUUUAGUUUUAGGAUGUCUGAAAGAGAAGAUUCUAAUUCAAGCGAUACAACAAUCCCAACAAUUCUUCAGAUGAUAUGAUACUGCAUUUUGAAAGGAUACUUGGGGAUUUAAAGGAAAAAGUGGAUACGCAGGCAGCUUGGAUGGCACAAAUAGGUCCGACAAUUGUUAAUCUUAGUAAAAGGCAACCAGUAGAGGUGUCGAAUGCUAGGGGACCAGCUAGAUGAGAACCUAGGAAGGUAAAGCAUGAGGAGUAUGAUAGUGAUAUAGAUGAUUAUGAGGUUAAUGACGUUGAUUUGGGAUGAACAAGCACUAGAGUUGAUAGGAUAGAAAGUUGGGGUAGGAAUAAUAUUGGAGAUGAGGUAGAUGGCAAUUUGGAAAGUAUUAAAAUGGUGAUACCGCAAUUUAAGGGGAGAAGUGACCCCGUGGCAUACUUAGAAUGGGAGAGGAAGGUUGAAUUGAUUUUUGAGUGUCAUAGCUAUUCGAAAGAGAAAAAGGUGAAAUUAACGGUUCUCAAAUUUAUUGACUAUGUAAUAUCUUGGUGGGAUCAGGUGGUUACUUCACAGCGUAGACAUGGGGGAGACCAAUUAGCACUUGGAAUGAGUUGAAGACAUUAAUGAGAAAACGGUUUGUUCCCAAUCACUAUUAUAGGGAAAUCCAUCAAAGGUUACAAAGCUCGUAUCAAGGGCCAAAGAGCAUAGAGGAUUACCAUAAGGAGAUGUAGAUGCUUAUGAUUAGGGUGAACGUGGUGGAGGAUCGGGAAGCUACUAUGGCAUGAUUCUUGAAUGGGUUAAAUAGUGAAAUUGCAUGUGCCAUUGAAUUGCAACACUAUGAUCAAAUCGGACAAAUGACACGAUCGAGGGCAAAGCGAGUGAAACAAGCGAUGGGUUUCUAGUUUAAUCAACUAUUGAUGGAACAAUGUUUUGGACACAAACCGAGGCAACUUUCGUGUUCGGGUCAAGCGCCGAAGUGAAAUGGAUCAAUGCGAUACAAGCGAAUGAAGAAGGAGCUGCUGGGAACAACUAUUCGACCACAUAGUUAUUCAUGCCUUGUGGUCGCAUGAAGGCAUGCAGGGAAUUUUUCUGCACCGACCAUUUCUUCUAUAUGACCUCAUAGAAAUACUCUAUGCAGCCACAUAGAUCAAAAUUUGGUCAAAAUUUUCCAUAUUCUGAAUUUUCCUUAUUUUAUUAGAUUUUUAGUUUUAGCAAGAUUCUUGUAAUCUUUGACUUAUGUUUUCACGAAUUUUUGCUAGAUUUUGAGCUUAGUAUAAAUAUAGGUUACUACUUUCAAUUGUAAGUUUACAAGACAUUAUUAUUAAGUGAAUUAAAUUGAAAGGCAUAUUGCUUUCUUCUUCUAUUCUUCGUCGAACAAUUUGAACUUAUCAAGAAUCAUAAUUCUUGUGGCGUUCUACAAUUCGGGUGUGGGUCUUGUAUUGUGUAAUCAAGGGGUCUUUCAAGCAACGCUUUUGCUGGGUUUUUUGGUUCAUUAAUUUGGGGAUCAAACUCUAAACCUUUAAUUAGGCUUUUCUGGGUUUUUGGAACAAUCUCAUUAUGAGUUUUGUAGUCAACGCUGCUACGUAGUUCACAUUAGAUUUGUUCUUAGAAGCAUAGGUUGACGCCGAUUAGGGUGGAGACAUAGAUGAGCACAAAUUAACUUCAAGAUAUGGAUUCUUGCUUAAUCAUGAUGCCAUCUUUAGGAGUAUCAAGAAACACACAUGCAUUUUCUUGUCCAUAAUGGAAGUAGAAUUUGUAGCAUAUAUUUUAGCAAUAUAGUAAGCUGUUUAGCUAAGAGUCCUUAAUGGUGACUUGGGACCUAUAUUGAUUUAUUGCAAUAGUCAAGCAGCUAUUGCUUAUACAAAUGAUCCCAAGUAUCACAACAAAACAAAAUGCUGCUAAUCCAUUGACACAAAAUAUAAUUUUGUAAGAGAUAUCAUAGAAGAAAGAAGUAAGUUUGCAAUAUGUUUCUACACACCAAAUGGUUUUUGAUCCAUUUAUUAAACCUAUCUCUAGAGAUGCCUCUGUAAAUCAUGUUAAAUUUCUGGGAUUGCAUAGAAUCUGAAUUAUGUACUAUGUAGACUUCUUUAAUAUGUCCAUUAAUGAACAAUGUUUGUGAGUUUAUAUGUUAAGAGAACCUUUUGUUAUAAUUAUAAGAUUACCAUUUAAUAUACACACACAAAGUAUGUCAACCUGGUUGAGUUGAUUUACUUGCACAAACAAUCGUCUUAGACAAUUUUAGGUGUGUUGAGAAGAGAUACAUCAAUCGUAUUGUGUAUAUGAUCUAGUCGCUUUGAUGAGAUAUGAAGAUGAGAUUUCAAAAACUAAUCAAAAUCUAUUUUACUAUUCGUUAAAUCUAUUUAAUAGCCAGUCGAAGUUCUCGAUUGAGAUUGCCUAAAUGAAUAAAUAUAUGGAGAACUCCUAUUCUAUCUAACACCCUAGUUUGUAUUCAUCGACUAGACAAUUGUAUUUAAUAUUUCAGUUUUGCAACACAAUUGUGAAUAUAAUAUAAAUGAUAAAGUUGAUUAUUUUCAUUGAUUAAUUAAGGGGGGUAAGAAAUACUUGAACUGGUGUUACGACAUACGUUUGAGGUAUACCGAGAAUUAUAUUUCCUCUUGUAGAGCUAUUAUUUAUCCCUAACACAUUUAUAGUGUUGUGUACUCUUAAAUUAAAUUGUUGGAAUAAACGGGUCCCCUAUGUGCAUUGAGUCGACUCGAAUUGAAUGGAAAUGGGAGGGAGGAGUUUGAAAUUGAAUUUGAAACUCAACCUUCCACAACCCACAACUUCCAUGUACAACCUCCAUUGUACCCAUAUCAUAUAAAAAAUAAAUUUAGAAUUCGUGUGAAGAAAAUAAUGAGAAACACGUAAAGGCAAUGACUUGAUUUAGGAGUAUAACAUCUUAAAUUAGGCUUUUGGAUUGUGGCUAUAAAACUCCUUCCCAUGUGAUCGAAUUUCUAACCAGAAAGUGAGUACAAAGCAGGAUAGGAAGGAAGCAAAAGAAAGGUAAGUUAUUUAACCUCAUUUUUGUGAUUUCAAGUAAGUUUCACUUCUUAGAAUUCGGUUAUAAGCAUGCAAGUACAUUUUACAUACAAAAAUAAGGGAUUUACUACAAUGAAUUUUCCUUGUAGUAGUUAAAUAUACUAAUAAAUAAAAUAAUGCUAGCACUUGUGGCUCAGUUUGAUCGGUAACUUGAGCAAUUGGAUGUAAAAACUGCCAUUUUAGAUGGUGAGCUUGAAGAAAAUAUCUUUUUAUGUCAACUUGAAAGUUUUGUGAAGGAAAGCGACUCUGAUUCUAUUUGUCUUCUAAAGAAAAUGAUUUGGUUUAAAAAACUCUACUGAGAAAUAGUUUAAAAGGUUUAUUAGCUCAUUUGUUCAACUAAUAGGCUUCAAAAGAAGUAAUUAUGGCGUGCUUUAUAUUUCAAAACAAGUAGGAAAAACAUUUCUUUUUUAAAUACUUCUUACUAUAUGAUGACGAUACAAUAUUUAUAAGUCGUAAUAUGCAUGAAAUAAAUGGAAUUAAGAAAAAUUCAAAUAACUAAAUUGAGAAAAUGGACAUAGUUAAUGCUAAAAAAAAUACUUGGUAUUGACAUUCUAAGGAAUGGAAUACACAGUUUUUGUAUUGAAACAAUAUUCUUAUCACAAAAAAGUGUUUACUAACUAUUAGAUGACUGAAACUAAAGUGACUUCAAUAACUUUAGCAGGUCAUUUUACCUUAGUAAAGAUCUCCUUCAACUCGAGAAGAAAUAGACCACAUGAAAUAGGUCCAUACUCUAAUGAUGAAGGUACAGUGAUGUACAAUAUGAUAUGUACAAGGCCUGCAAGGCAACCAAUAUACUUAGUAUUUACAUGAAAACGCCCUUGGACUUUUAACAUUUGGUAACUAUGUGGUUCCUAAGAUAUCUUAAGGAACUUCAACUUUAGGGCCAAUCUUUAAACAAAGUAACGAGGGAUAAAGUUUAAAGGGUAUGUAAAUUGCAGCAGUGCAGAUGAUAGAAUAAAAGAAAAUCUAUUUUGUCCUAUGUGUUUAUGUUGUGUGGUACUUGUAUUUUUUAUGGUUCCGUAUGGUAAAUCUCAUUACACCAAAAGUUUUCUCAAAUGGUGAGAUCAAGAAGGUUGAAGAGGAAUGACUAUAGCAUAGUAUGUCAUUCGAUAUGGAAGAGAUAUGGAAGAAACUCUAUACGACAUCAAAAACUUCAAGAUGGGGAUUGUUAAGAUUUUCACUUGAUAUUGAUUAACUAGAAUGUGAUUGUAUUUGUGUAUCAGAAUAUGAUUCUUAAUUUUCCAAUUGUAAAGGGAUUGUUUAUAAUCCCAGAUUGGCUAAGAAACUAACAGCCCCUCCGUUUGCCAUCCUAUAUAAAAGAUUCUCUUUAAUGCUUUGUUUAUUACAAUUUGGAGUUGGUCACGAUUUAUAGUGCAUUGGAGUCAUGCACUCUAAUAUGUUAACACUUAAUUGGGGCGAACAUAUCUUGUUGUUCUUCUCGNNNNNNNNNNNNNNNNNNNNNNNNNNNNNNNNNNNNNNNNNNNNNNNNNNNNNNNNNNNNNNNNNNNNNNNNNNNNNNNNNNNNNNNNNNNNNNNNNNNNNNNNNNNNNNNNNNNNNNNNNNNNNNNNNNNNNNNNNNNNNNNNNNNNNNNNNNNNNNNNNNNNNNNNNNNNNNNNNNNNNNNNNNNNNNNNNNNNNNNNNNNNNNNNNNNNNNNNNNNNNNNNNNNNNNNNNNNNNNNNNNNNNNNNNNNNNNNNNNNNNNNNNNNNNNNNNNNNNNNNNNNNNNNNNNNNNNNNNNNNNNNNNNNNNNNNNNNNNNNNNNNNNNNNNNNNNNNNNNNNNNNNNNNNNNNNNNNNNNNNNNNNNNNNNNNNNNNNNNNNNNNNNNNNNNNNNNNNNNNNNNNNNNNNNNNNNNNNNNNNNNNNNNNNNNNNNNNNNNNNNNNNNNNNNNNNNNNNNNNNNNNNNNNNNNNNNNNNNNNNNNNNNNNNNNNNNNNNNNNNNNNNNNNNNNNNNNNNNNNNNNNNNNNNNNNNNNNNNNNNNNNNNNNNNNNNNNNNNNNNNNNNNNNNNNNNNNNNNNNNNNNNNNNNNNNNNNNNNNNNNNNNNNNNNNNNNNNNNNNNNNNNNNNNNNNNNNNNNNNNNNNNNNNNNNNNNNNNNNNNNNNNNNNNNNNNNNNNNNNNNNNNNNNNNNNNNNNNNNNNNNNNNNNNNNNNNNNNNNNNNNNNNNNNNNNNNNNNNNNNNNNNNNNNNNNNNNNNNNNNNNNNNNNNNNNNNNNNNNNNNNNNNNNNNNNNNNNNNNNNNNNNNNNNNNNNNNNNNNNNNNNNNNNNNNNNNNNNNNNNNNNNNNNNNNNNNNNNNNNNNNNNNNNNNNNNNNNNNNNNNNNNNNNNNNNNNNNNNNNNNNNNNNNNNNNNNNNNNNNNNNNNNNNNNNNNNNNNNNNNNNNNNNNNNNNNNNNNNNNNNNNNNNNNNNNNNNNNNNNNNNNNNNNNNNNNNNNNNNNNNNNNNNNNNNNNNNNNNNNNNNNNNNNNNNNNNNNNNNNNNNNNNNNNNNNNNNNNNNNNNNNNNNNNNNNNNNNNNNNNNNNNNNNNNNNNNNNNNNNNNNNNNNNNNNNNNNNNNNNNNNNNNNNNNNNNNNNNNNNNNNNNNNNNNNNNNNNNNNNNNNNNNNNNNNNNNNNNNNNNNNNNNNNNNNNNNNNNNNNNNNNNNNNNNNNNNNNNNNNNNNNNNNNNNNNNNNNNNNNNNNNNNNNNNNNNNNNNNNNNNNNNNNNNNNNNNNNNNNNNNNNNNNNNNNNNNNNNNNNNNNNNNNNNNNNNNNNNNNNNNNNNNNNNNNNNNNNNNNNNNNNNNNNNNNNNNNNNNNNNNNNNNNNNNNNNNNNNNNNNNNNNNNNNNNNNNNNNNNNNNNNNNNNNNNNNNNNNNNNNNNNNNNNNNNNNNNNNNNNNNNNNNNNNNNNNNNNNNNNNNNNNNNNNNNNNNNNNNNNNNNNNNNNNNNNNNNNNNNNNNNNNNNNNNNNNNNNNNNNNNNNNNNNNNNNNNNNNNNNNNNNNNNNNNNNNNNNNNNNNNNNNNNNNNNNNNNNNNNNNNNNNNNNNNNNNNNNNNNNNNNNNNNNNNNNNNNNNNNNNNNNNNNNNNNNNNNNNNNNNNNNNNNNNNNNNNNNNNNNNNNNNNNNNNNNNNNNNNNNNNNNNNNNNNNNNNNNNNNNNNNNNNNNNNNNNNNNNNNNNNNNNNNNNNNNNNNNNNNNNNNNNNNNNNNNNNNNNNNNNNNNNNNNNNNNNNNNNNNNNNNNNNNNNNNNNNNNNNNNNNNNNNNNNNNNNNNNNNNNNNNNNNNNNNNNNNNNNNNNNNNNNNNNNNNNNNNNNNNNNNNNNNNNNNNNNNNNNNNNNNNNNNNNNNNNNNNNNNNNNNNNNNNNNNNNNNNNNNNNNNNNNNNNNNNNNNNNNNNNNNNNNNNNNNNNNNNNNNNNNNNNNNNNNNNNNNNNNNNNNNNNNNNNNNNNNNNNNNNNNNNNNNNNNNNNNNNNNNNNNNNNNNNNNNNNNNNNNNNNNNNNNNNNNNNNNNNNNNNNNNNNNNNNNNNNNNNNNNNNNNNNNNNNNNNNNNNNNNNNNNNNNNNNNNNNNNNNNNNNNNNNNNNNNNNNNNNNNNNNNNNNNNNNNNNNNNNNNNNNNNNNNNNNNNNNNNNNNNNNNNNNNNNNNNNNNNNNNNNNNNNNNNNNNNNNNNNNNNNNNNNNNNNNNNNNNNNNNNNNNNNNNNNNNNNNNNNNNNNNNNNNNNNNNNNNNNNNNNNNNNNNNNNNNNNNNNNNNNNNNNNNNNNNNNNNNNNNNNNNNNNNNNNNNNNNNNNNNNNNNNNNNNNNNNNNNNNNNNNNNNNNNNNNNNNNNNNNNNNNNNNNNNNNNNNNNNNNNNNNNNNNNNNNNNNNNNNNNNNNNNNNNNNNNNNNNNNNNNNNNNNNNNNNNNNNNNNNNNNNNNNNNNNNNNNNNNNNNNNNNNNNNNNNNNNNNNNNNNNNNNNNNNNNNNNNNNNNNNNNNNNNNNNNNNNNNNNNNNNNNNNNNNNNNNNNNNNNNNNNNNNNNNNNNNNNNNNNNNNNNNNNNNNNNNNNNNNNNNNNNNNNNNNNNNNNNNNNNNNNNNNNNNNNNNNNNNNNNNNNNNNNNNNNNNNNNNNNNNNNNNNNNNNNNNNNNNNNNNNNNNNNNNNNNNNNNNNNNNNNNNNNNNNNNNNNNNNNNNNNNNNNNNNNNNNNNNNNNNNNNNNNNNNNNNNNNNNNNNNNNNNNNNNNNNNNNNNNNNNNNNNNNNNNNNNNNNNNNNNNNNNNNNNNNNNNNNNNNNNNNNNNNNNNNNNNNNNNNNNNNNNNNNNNNNNNNNNNNNNNNNNNNNNNNNNNNNNNNNNNNNNNNNNNNNNNNNNNNNNNNNNNNNNNNNNNNNNNNNNNNNNNNNNNNNNNNNNNNNNNNNNNNNNNNNNNNNNNNNNNNNNNNNNNNNNNNNNNNNNNNNNNNNNNNNNNNNNNNNNNNNNNNNNNNNNNNNNNNNNNNNNNNNNNNNNNNNNNNNNNNNNNNNNNNNNNNNNNNNNNNNNNNNNNNNNNNNNNNNNNNNNNNNNNNNNNNNNNNNNNNNNNNNNNNNNNNNNNNNNNNNNNNNNNNNNNNNNNNNNNNNNNNNNNNNNNNNNNNNNNNNNNNNNNNNNNNNNNNNNNNNNNNNNNNNNNNNNNNNNNNNNNNNNNNNNNNNNNNNNNNNNNNNNNNNNNNNNNNNNNNNNNNNNNNNNNNNNNNNNNNNNNNNNNNNNNNNNNNNNNNNNNNNNNNNNNNNNNNNNNNNNNNNNNNNNNNNNNNNNNNNNNNNNNNNNNNNNNNNNNNNNNNNNNNNNNNNNNNNNNNNNNNNNNNNNNNNNNNNNNNNNNNNNNNNNNNNNNNNNNNNNNNNNNNNNNNNNNNNNNNNNNNNNNNNNNNNNNNNNNNNNNNNNNNNNNNNNNNNNNNNNNNNNNNNNNNNNNNNNNNNNNNNNNNNNNNNNNNNNNNNNNNNNNNNNNNNNNNNNNNNNNNNNNNNNNNNNNNNNNNNNNNNNNNNNNNNNNNNNNNNNNNNNNNNNNNNNNNNNNNNNNNNNNNNNNNNNNNNNNNNNNNNNNNNNNNNNNNNNNNNNNNNNNNNNNNNNNNNNNNNNNNNNNNNNNNNNNNNNNNNNNNNNNNNNNNNNNNNNNNNNNNNNNNNNNNNNNNNNNNNNNNNNNNNNNNNNNNNNNNNNNNNNNNNNNNNNNNNNNNNNNNNNNNNNNNNNNNNNNNNNNNNNNNNNNNNNNNNNNNNNNNNNNNNNNNNNNNNNNNNNNNNNNNNNNNNNNNNNNNNNNNNNNNNNNNNNNNNNNNNNNNNNNNNNNNNNNNNNNNNNNNNNNNNNNNNNNNNNNNNNNNNNNNNNNNNNNNNNNNNNNNNNNNNNNNNNNNNNNNNNNNNNNNNNNNNNNNNNNNNNNNNNNNNNNNNNNNNNNNNNNNNNNNNNNNNNNNNNNNNNNNNNNNNNNNNNNNNNNNNNNNNNNNNNNNNNNNNNNNNNNNNNNNNNNNNNNNNNNNNNNNNNNNNNNNNNNNNNNNNNNNNNNNNNNNNNNNNNNNNNNNNNNNNNNNNNNNNNNNNNNNNNNNNNNNNNNNNNNNNNNNNNNNNNNNNNNNNNNNNNNNNNNNNNNNNNNNNNNNNNNNNNNNNNNNNNNNNNNNNNNNNNNNNNNNNNNNNNNNNNNNNNNNNNNNNNNNNNNNNNNNNNNNNNNNNNNNNNNNNNNNNNNNNNNNNNNNNNNNNNNNNNNNNNNNNNNNNNNNNNNNNNNNNNNNNNNNNNNNNNNNNNNNNNNNNNNNNNNNNNNNNNNNNNNNNNNNNNNNNNNNNNNNNNNNNNNNNNNNNNNNNNNNNNNNNNNNNNNNNNNNNNNNNNNNNNNNNNNNNNNNNNNNNNNNNNNNNNNNNNNNNNNNNNNNNNNNNNNNNNNNNNNNNNNNNNNNNNNNNNNNNNNNNNNNNNNNNNNNNNNNNNNNNNNNNNNNNNNNNNNNNNNNNNNNNNNNNNNNNNNNNNNNNNNNNNNNNNNNNNNNNNNNNNNNNNNNNNNNNNNNNNNNNNNNNNNNNNNNNNNNNNNNNNNNNNNNNNNNNNNNNNNNNNNNNNNNNNNNNNNNNNNNNNNNNNNNNNNNNNNNNNNNNNNNNNNNNNNNNNNNNNNNNNNNNNNNNNNNNNNNNNNNNNNNNNNNNNNNNNNNNNNNNNNNNNNNNNNNNNNNNNNNNNNNNNNNNNNNNNNNNNNNNNNNNNNNNNNNNNNNNNNNNNNNNNNNNNNNNNNNNNNNNNNNNNNNNNNNNNNNNNNNNNNNNNNNNNNNNNNNNNNNNNNNNNNNNNNNNNNNNNNNNNNNNNNNNNNNNNNNNNNNNNNNNNNNNNNNNNNNNNNNNNNNNNNNNNNNNNNNNNNNNNNNNNNNNNNNNNNNNNNNNNNNNNNNNNNNNNNNNNNNNNNNNNNNNNNNNNNNNNNNNNNNNNNNNNNNNNNNNNNNNNNNNNNNNNNNNNNNNNNNNNNNNNNNNNNNNNNNNNNNNNNNNNNNNNNNNNNNNNNNNNNNNNNNNNNNNNNNNNNNNNNNNNNNNNNNNNNNNNNNNNNNNNNNNNNNNNNNNNNNNNNNNNNNNNNNNNNNNNNNNNNNNNNNNNNNNNNNNNNNNNNNNNNNNNNNNNNNNNNNNNNNNNNNNNNNNNNNNNNNNNNNNNNNNNNNNNNNNNNNNNNNNNNNNNNNNNNNNNNNNNNNNNNNNNNNNNNNNNNNNNNNNNNNNNNNNNNNNNNNNNNNNNNNNNNNNNNNNNNNNNNNNNNNNNNNNNNNNNNNNNNNNNNNNNNNNNNNNNNNNNNNNNNNNNNNNNNNNNNNNNNNNNNNNNNNNNNNNNNNNNNNNNNNNNNNNNNNNNNNNNNNNNNNNNNNNNNNNNNNNNNNNNNNNNNNNNNNNNNNNNNNNNNNNNNNNNNNNNNNNNNNNNNNNNNNNNNNNNNNNNNNNNNNNNNNNNNNNNNNNNNNNNNNNNNNNNNNNNNNNNNNNNNNNNNNNNNNNNNNNNNNNNNNNNNNNNNNNNNNNNNNNNNNNNNNNNNNNNNNNNNNNNNNNNNNNNNNNNNNNNNNNNNNNNNNNNNNNNNNNNNNNNNNNNNNNNNNNNNNNNNNNNNNNNNNNNNNNNNNNNNNNNNNNNNNNNNNNNNNNNNNNNNNNNNNNNNNNNNNNNNNNNNNNNNNNNNCUUAAUUGGGGCGAACAUAUCUUGUUGUUCUUCUCGUUUUUCUAUUGAGUUUACAUUUUCCAAUUUACGUUUGUGCUGCUCGACAAACCUAAGACCAGAGAAUAAUGAAAGAUAGUGAAAUUUAACUAAUUGAUAUUACACUUAAACAUUGACCACAUAAAGUUCGAUUGAGCAAAAUGUGAAAACAGAAAACAGCAGACAGAUUUCAAAGCAAUCUACAUAUUCUGUAUUUUGACUAGAGAAUAAUGAAAGAUAGAGCACUUGACUAAUCGACUUUAGGCUUCAUCAUUGGCAACUUAAAGUUUCCCAGAGGAGGCAUGCACCUAACAAACCAAGUGACCAUAGAAGGUGCAGCAGAAAAGGCUAUACACAAGCCCCACUGGCCAAAUCCUAGCCUGGCUGUCCCUGAAAACCCAUUCAGAAGUUCCACCAUUAUAAACUGAAUGGAAAUAAUUAGUCCGAUGAAGCUCAAGAGAAGUUUUUUUCUUUUGCAUCUCCUCAAAAAUGUUCUUCUCCAAAAGCCUGGGAUUGAAUAUGUUGAUUGUUGAAGUCUUGACAGAGAAUGUAUGUACUAAGGACCAAAGAAUCCUUUUCCUUAUCAUUUACAUUAAAUAAUGAUUUACCUUUGAAAUGUAUAACCAGAAAGAUGGCUAUCUGAUAUAAAGCUUGAGCCCCAAUUUUUUCACGCAUUUGGGCUGUGAUUAGUGGCUCUUUCAAGUUUCUUGGUGGCCUCCGCAUAACAUCUUGAGAUGGCUUCUCUAUAUUGAGUGCAAGAACUGCUAAAGUACCAGCAAUCAGUUUCAUCCACAAAAGUUGAAAUACUGGAAAUGGAAUUUUUCCUGUUGAAACAGCUACCAUAGCACUCAAACCAGGGGGUUCACUAGAUGAAACAGCCAUCACAAAGUCAAUCACCAAAGCACAAAACUUGCAAUGAGCAAAAACUGAGUAUAAAUCUGGACACUGUCGUAUAUUCCCCGACCGCAUGUCAAAAUAUCAAUGAUGAAAGGAAAAUCUUUGCAUGACAUGACAAUGGCUGAGCAUGCUUUGACAAUUUCUGCCCCUUGGGUUCCAAAACAAAGUCCUACAUUUGCUUCUCUAAGGGCUUGUGCAUCUCCAAUGCCUCGUCCAAUGAAUGCAACCACAUGGCCUUUCUGCUUCAAAGAUUGGACCAUAAGUAACUUGUCAUCAGGAGUGGCUCUUGGCAGCACGCAGAUAUUUUCAAUUUUCGCCAUUAGCUCUUCUGAGCUAAACUUCCUGAAUUCCUCACCAUCUAUCACUUCACCAGGCUGGUAAUCGGGCUUAAUUAUUCAACACUUAGUAGCCAUGAUUGUGGCAGUUACUUUGUUAUCUCCGGUGAUCAAUUUGACGUUGAUUCCAGCUCUACGGCAAUCUUCCACUGUUCCCCUUGUUCCACUUCGACGCUAAUUUGUCAAUCCGACAAGGCCUAAUAGAAUCAGCUGCUGUCGAGAGAAGGUGAAAUAAUCUCUUAUUGAUGUUUUCCCGUGUGCAAAAGCUAUAUAUCUGAAGCCAUUUUCUGCCAUGCCUGCAAGAAUUUGCUCAGAUAAAGCCAAGGAACCUUUGUUCAUCACUUUUACAUUUCCAGUACUCUCAUAAUAAUGAGAACACAUUGGAAUUAUCACUUCUGGACCUCCCUUUCUAUGUACGUGAAUCGUAUUGUCACCAUUUUUACUAAUCAAAACCCCGCUUUGCCUAUUCUUCGAUUUUAAUGGGUUGAUUUCAAGAAUAGUGCAGCUUUUCUUCAGACUUUCCACAUCCAUAUCUAACUGCUUAAUUGCCCACUCAAAAAUUGUCUUCUCAGUUGAAUUUAUAGAGGAUGAUGAUGAAGACCUUGAAGGGGGUUGAGUAGUGUUUAAACCAAUUCCUUGGUGCAGUAAUUCAAGCACACUUGGAGCAAUCAAAUUAUGCUGAACUUCUUCAAUGGAGUUUAGACCUUGCCAGAACUUGGUCACCUACAGACAAGACAAAUGAAUCUUUUAUUUCCAUUGACAUCAAUCACGAAAGGAGCCUGUUGAACGUAUGUACUAUUGAAACUGACUUUGAAAUCUGUAUACUGAACCUGCCAUUAACACUUUCCCUGUAGCAUUUACAUUUUACCUAAUCUUCUUUAGCAAUUUUCAUUUCUAAUCUCCUGUUAUGCCUAUAUGACGGUAUUAUCUAUUCACAAACAACUUUGCAGAAGUUGUUAAUUGACCAUGAAAAACAGAUAAGUGCACUGGGAGAGGAAAAGUAGUACCUCCAUGGAAUCCAUAGUUAAGGUUCCAGUUUUAUUCAUGCAGACAGUGGUGAUAGAUGCUACUUUAUGGCAGAUUAAAGGUUCUCUCACAAUAAUUUGAAUCUUCAUCAGUCUCUUCAUUGAAUAAGCAAGACACGUUCGGACAGCCGAAACCAAAUCUUCUGGAGUAGAUGUCAAAGCAAUCAUUGUUGGAGUAGCCAGAAUCCCAACAAUGACAGCAAGAACAUCGCCAAUUCUUGUUUCUCCACCAAAAGACACUCUUUUUCCGUUAUCAUCAUGUAGUUUGCCUGUCAAGAAACGUACCAAAAAUACCAUAAAUGUCAGCAGAGCAACUGUCUUACCAGAUUUGCCUACUAUAGAGGUGAUUCUUUUGAGCUCGUCAAUUAAAGACCCCCUCAAAGAAAUUCCAUGGUGCUUUACGUUCUUGCCAAAUCCUGUCACUAGCAUUCUGGCAUAACCAUCCACAACUGUACUGCCAAGAACAAGAAUAAAUUCUCGUGUGCAUCCACUUCGAUUCGAUCAAUUUGCCCAUCUGUCUUCAUCAUCUCUGUAUUCAGUGAACAGCCAUCUAUGAACAAUCCAUCGGCAGGAACUUGAUCGCCAGGCUUUAGGAAAACUAUGUCUCCGACAAGAACAUGACAUAUUGGAAUUCGCUGCUGAUAACUGAAAAUUCGCUGCUUCUCACAACAUCAGACUCAGGAAUAUAGCUGCUGAUAACUGAAAAUUCAAGGCAUUGAGUGAUUGACCAGAAUUUUCCGCUGGAGGAAUCAAUUACCACUACAAGAAUAGCAAGUAUUUUUGUCAACCCUUCUUGCCAUCCUUGUCGUAGGCCAUGUUUUUCAAUGCCAAAACAUAGAGAAAGCACAGCACAGAUAAACAAAACAGCUAUCAUGGGAUCUCUAAUUGCUUCCAACACCAAACGGCGAAGUGUUUUUUGCAGAUUAUACUCGGGAAGAAGAUUAGAGCCGAAGGCUUUUCUUCUGCUGUCAAUGUCUGUUUGAUCACCUCUGACGCCAUUCUCCAUAUCUGUUUCCAGGGCUAACAGCACGCCUUCUAUACUAUACCUCCAUGCUCUCGAAGCCAUUUUUUAUCUUGUGUUCUUACAAGCUUAGUUAUAUGUGCAGGAUCAAACGAAGAGAAACGUGAUGACUCAAUGUCGACCAUUGUAGUUGAAUCUACUGUCUUGCCGGAGUCUCUGUCGGAUGCCUGAAAGCUACUACUGCUUGGCAUGUGGUUUAAGCGUGAUUAUAUAUAAAAGAGUCCAACGACAAUACUGUUUAAGAAAAAAUUUCUACGGAUAAUCUUGUCUAUUUUAUACAAGGAGAUUACUUGUCACGAAUAAUUUAAUAUCAGGCCUACCAGGAAUCUUACUCUCAUACAAAGCUACAUUUAAGUAAAUAAAUGCGACCUUUUAACAAGUCAAAUUUUGUAGAGAAGAUGAAACAACAAAUACAAGGAACCUUCUUCUUCCACUUUCUUUUUGCUCGUUUUCUGGAAAUUAUGAGAAGUUGGUAGUAAAAUGAUACAUUUAUAAUUGAUUUUAGGUCUUGGUCUAUGUAUUUUUAAAAUUUAACGCGGCAAGAGAAGAGAAAAGUAAUUUCUUUAAGUUUGCUGACGCCUUUAGGGAAGGCUACUUAGGAAAGUGCCAUAUAGUUUCUCCUUAUUUAAAGGGAAAUUUACACAAACUGGCAAGAAAAUGAUUGAUGGCAAUCUUUGCACAUCUAUUAUUUUGUCAUCCAAUGUUGACUUUGAUUAAAUUUACAUUCAAUGGAUUUUAAAACUUUCUUGAUGGGCCUCAUUUGGUUGCUUUCUUGUAGUAAGGUGUCUCAUUUUCGAAGAUAUUGAAAAAUAAAAUAGUUUUCUGCAAUUUAAUAGUUUUUUUAACAAUUGAAAAUAUGGACCCAACUGGGUAAAGUAAUGGUAAUUUUCUAAAGUGUUGGGUUUUGAUACUCAAUGACUUCUGGCUAUGAUGAUGUGAGAAUAUAUAUAUUUCAUGGGCCUCAACCAAUGAGUGAAAUAUAUACCAACAAUCAAGUCCAAUUACUCUACCCGACCCAUUUAUAUUACCUCGUGGAUGUCAUUGAAUUUUGGCUCAUUUAGCUUUCUUAUUGGUCCAAUUAAAAGCCUAACCUAACAUUAUUUAUAUGAUUCUAACCCUAGCCAUUUUUAGUGUAGUUUGUGAGUUUGAAAGGAGAAAACAUGGCUGCCCAUUGAGAGAAAAAUGACCACCUUUUGUGGUGCCAAAAUCGAUUGUUUUUAUUUAUGUAUUCGGCCUCCUCUUCAUGCCUUCUUUCAUUGCCUUUCUCCUUGUCUUUGUGGCUACAAAUCAUCAUCGUUAUCUUGUCUUUCGUAGGUGAGAUUGAGAAGCAACCUACGUAAAUAUAUUGGUUGUGGAUCUGAACCUAUUGGAUUUGUUAUUGGGUGGAGAAAGAUAACGUGAUACUGAGCCUAAAAAAUUCCGAUUUGACAAUCCUUGGAGUGAGCUUUUACGACAAUUGAUAUCAAAGCUUCAAGAUUGUACAUUUGGUUAGAGAAACUUAGCCUAAAAAAUGUCCAGGAAAUCGGCGAAAACGAAAUAGAAAACUCAGAUUGAAAACUGUCUGAAAAUUGUCCAAAAAUUAAGGGUGGGACUGGGCCUUUACCCGUUUAUGUACUCUCUUUUUUUUAAAAUGUUUUGAUGAUUCAUUUUGCUGCCUCCAUUCAUUAAAGUGUAAUAGUUAUUAAAUUUUUUAAUUAAUUUAUUUAUUUUUAAGAGUUAAACUAUUCUAAUAUAUUUGGUAAAUAAUAUUUUUUAGAUAAUCUUAGUUACCAUAUUUUAUUAGAAUUAAUGAAAUUUCAUGGAAUUUUUCGUUUAAAGUAUUAAAUUCUUAAAAAAAAAAUUAUCGUGGCGAAGCAGUGCAGGUGUUACCCGUACUCGUCUCGAGGUGGAAUUCCCCUCUCCAAACUAGACCUAAUACCCGAUUAAGCAGGCAAUCCCCACUUCGUCCGGGGGCGAGGCCUGCGAGUAUAGGGUUUAGUGACUUUUUUGCCAUCUCUAUUCACUAGGAAUAUAAGAAUCAGAGCUGGGAGUGCAUAGCUUCGUUCGGAAAACAAUUUUAGGAAACUAAAAAUUACUUCUACCAUCCCUAUUAAAAUCAUACAUUCAAAAUUUUUACUCAUAAUAAUCUGUACAUUUCGUAGUCCCUGUUCAUGAAAAUAUUGUUCAUUUGAAGUACCGCAAAUGUAUUGUUUGUUAACAAGUAAUAAAGUGGAUGUAAGUUCAAGUAUCGUCCCAUGAAGAUUGAUUUAGUUGGAUUUUGAGUAUCGCCUUGAAACAAGAAUAAUAAGAUGUGUUUGUGACAAAAUUAUAUCUAAAAGAAGUUAUUUGUGCAAUUAUGAGUGAAUUUAACUAACUAAAUGCAUAUUAUGCUAAAUGAAAGUUGAUUCGCUCUAACGAAUGACAAAUAAGAUCGCGAAUUCUCAUGUAAUAAUCCUUUUUAACCAUAAUUCUACACUUGGACAACACAAUGAUUUUUUAAGAAUCAAUGUUCCUAAUUUAUUCUUCAAUCUCUCUCGAGGAAUGUUAAAUAUCGUUACACCUUACUCAAUUACAGUCAAAGUUAAAUCCAAAUAAUGAAUUAAGUUAGAGGAAUGAUUUUCAUGGGGUUUAAAUUUGAAAUUGCUAGUACUUAAGAGGGCCCGAAAUGAUAAAAAAAUAAAUUUUGGGUUUUAGCUUCUAGUAUGAUAAAUACGAUGACUAAAUGUUAAAUUAUAUAAAAGUUGGGGACUUGUACUGUAAUUAUAGUUAUGGGGUGAAAUAUGAAAUACCUUAAUUUAACACUUUAAAAAAAAAGAAAAAAAAAAAAGAAAAAGGAAACUGUAGGCGGUUAGCCCAAACCAAAUCCAUUUCUAUUAUAUUUAUAUAUAUAGGUAAUCCAAAUCCAUUACCCAAAAAGACACACACAAAACAUGUAAGAGGGAAAAUGAAUCAGAGAGAAAAGGAAGAGAAAAGAGAAAGGAAAAAAAAAAAAAAAGGAAAGUUCGCCUAUGUUGUUACAAAAUAAGUGGUCUACAUUAUUAGGCUUGAAUUCCUCAAUUUUGAAAGGUAAGUAAAAAGUUACUUAUUGUCAAGUUAUGUUUGAUUUUAUAGUUGUUAGAUUGUUAGAUUAAAUUCAAUUUUAUUGAAGGGGUUAAGUAUAAUAAACUAUGAAAAUGAGUAAGAUGAAAGAAAAACUAGUUUUAGUAUUUAAAGAGAUUGUAGAAAUCGUCCAAACGUAAAAUGAUUGAGUUUGGGCAUUGUCUAUUUAAUUAUUGAAAUUAUUUAAAAUAAUUAAUUGUUUAUUUAAAAAUUAUAUCGUAUUUCAGGAGACAAUACUGACAUCAUAACAGCUUACCAAUCGGGUUGAUUUUGCGAACAUAGUACUGUGAGUGAAAAAUAUAAAUAUUUUUAAAGUAUUUAUAAAUUAAGUAUAUUGUUAAAGUAUAUGCAAUUAUGUACUCGAAUCACAUGGUUAUUAUGGGAAUUUCAAGGAUUAUUUAUUGUACGUUUGUGACUUGGUAUAUGAGACAUGUGAUAUUGAGAUUUGCUUGGUAUGUGGGACGUGAUAUUGAGAUCGACUAGAAAAGUACCCAUUAUUAUGUACUUCUUCUAGUUCACAGAGGGGCCUUGGCCGUAUUCUAUCCUACAUGGAGGGUUUUGACCUGACAUUGGUCUUGAUCGUGUACAUAUAGUUUACAGAGGGACCUUGACCGUGUUCUAGAAUUGAUUAUGAGAGGUAUUUUAGACCGACUUUCGUUCACGGAGGGGCCAAAGGCCCGUGGCGAAAGUCCUUAGCCUGAAGGGUAGAUUAUAUAUUUCAGUCAGAGGGUAUUUUUGGUGGAUUUUUCGGUACGGUUGAUGUGAUGAGAUUAUAGCAUUGUUAUCAGGUGAUGUCUAUAUCAUGAUUUUGAGAUGAUAUUUUAUGACCUUAUGUGAGUAUUUCACUUUUGGUUAUAAUUACAUGAUGUUAUCUUGUGAAUUAUUAAAUGACAUGAACUCCAUUUUCGAUAAAAAUGUAAAAUUGAAAAAGUAUAAUUAUUUUCAAAAUACUAUACGCACUGAGUUAUCAACUCAUAUAUUUUCCCACAAUUUUUCCUACAUGUGGAAAUUGAUUCUUUUUAGUUGGAAGAGCCUAAUGAUUUUGGAAUGAGAGCCACAUGGCAUGUUGAACAUUAUAACUCACAUUGAUGAAGCACAAAGUAAAUAUUUUUGGCCCAUAGCAUUAUGUUUUACAUAAGCAUUUGAUUUUGGUGCAUUUUUUGAAAUAAGUCAUAGUCAGCCUUGGUGGUGGAUCUGACAUCUAACCAGCAUCUAUCAUCGGCACACGUCAUGUUUCGGGUCCACUAGGGUGAUUCGGGACGGGUCGUGUCAAAGUGGUAUCAGAGCAUGGUUUUUGAAAAUUUUUAUGGUUCAUACAUGUUUAGUGGAUAUGAUCAUAUGUCGUGGUGGCAGAAAUAACAGACUCUCUAGCUCAAAUGUAUGGAACCAAAAAAAUGAUAGAAAAAUAUUUUUUUAAUAGAUCCAAAAAAAGACUAGUAUGUAAAUAUGAUAGUUGCAAUGAUCCGAUUGCUGGAAAGAGUUAUUAGUUGUUGGAUUGAAAUUGUUGUGUAUUUAACCUAUUAAGAGUUGAACAUAUUUUAAUGAUUUUACAGGUUGUUUAUGUAUAGGCAUUCAAAGUGAUAGGGUACAACCAUUUAAGUACCAAUCUUUGUGUAGAAUUUCGUGAUUUUUAAUAUACACUUGGGAAAUCCCUAGUUCUAGCUUGUACUAUAGUAACAGCGAAAACGAUAUUAUAUGUGUAAAUGGUGAUAAUCAGGUGAGGAAUUUUAAUUAUUUUGAGAAACUAAAUGAUUAGUGGCGUUAUCAAAAUUUUGUGGUGAUUUGUGGCCACUUUCAUGGGAUAAUAAUAGAAACUAUAAUGGUGUAUAUUUAUACUAUAUGAUAAGAAAUUGUGAACGACAAAUGAUGAUUUGUUGAUUGAUAGAUGACAAUGUGUUAUUGUGUAUUUUAGGCAUCGAGAAAAUUAAUAGUAGUUCCAAUUAUUUUGAUUAUUUAUGAGUGGUUUGAUUACAAGGAAUGUGAGAAAAAUAUGGAUGAACUUUAUUAUGAUUAUCGAUUACGGGAUUAUUUGUUGCUUAAGAAAUAUAAUUAAAUGGAUAUGUGUAUUUAGAUAUGUUUAUGUGAAUCGAGAAAUAAAAAGGAGUAGAGAAUUGUAGAGUUGGAAUUUAUUUAGAUUAGAAAAUUAACAUAUGAAAUCUUGGUGGUAUAUUGAGGUGUGAAAGGUUCACAUGAUAAAUAUGAAGGUUAUUAUUUUGUGAUCUUAAGAAAAAUUGAUGUAAUUAAAAGUUAGAAGGCAUAUGGUAUAACCAUAAGUAUGUGAUGAGGUUAUAUGAUUACAAUAUAAUAUGGUGAGUAUGUAAAUGAACGUAAUGGUUGUCCUAUAGCAAAAUAAUGUAAUCAUUGAUUUGGUUAUUAAGUUAAUUAAUUUCGUUAAGGACAUUCGUUGGAUUAUUGUGUCAUAUUCCAUACAAUUUGGAAGCGUUGAGUUAAAUUUUGAAGUUAAGAUGAAUUUAAUGAAUUUUUAGUGAUGUAAUUUUUGGAUAAUUUUUAAUUGUAUUUUUGGAGUUCACGUAUAAAGUAUUUCAAUUUUAUUGAGAUCUAUUUGUUAUGGAAUAUAUGGAUGAUAUGUCGAACAGUUUGAAAUUUAGGGUGAUCAUUGAAUGUAAAUUUUAUUCAAUUGUGGGACGGUAUCUUUGGGUUAUAAUCUUAGUUAAAGGUCUUUAUGCGAUAUACAAAAAGGAUUAUGCAGUGACGAUAGAUCAACGACCCAUUUAUGGAAUAAGAGAAUAGAUUUUAAUGAUUAAAUGCUAUUAUUUUCUCUUCGUAGAAAGAAAGAACAAAAUUUAUAUGGGUAUAGAAAUGUCAAAAGUUUUGCUAUUAGGAAAUUCUGAGAAAAUACUUGCUCUUAUAUCUAAAGAUGAUAAGUGACUGAUUCACGAUAAUGAUUUAUGUUAAGGUUUAGAAAGUAUUCUGAAUUAAACUUAUAAAUUAUGGAUGAUACUAUAGAUUGUUGAAGAGUCAUGAUUAAAACAUGAUUUGGAGUUGGUUAUAUUGGAUUUUGUCAUCACAUUGCAAGAAAUAUCAAUAGUUAUCAAUUAUCAGACUUUAAGGUAUAUUUUUAUUUGAAAUGGUGAAAAUUGAAGUUGGCAUAUAAGAACUCGCUACAAAGAACUAUUUUGAGGUUAUAUAUGAUGCUUACAUAUUUCGAAAGCUUAUUUAUUUGGAUGAAAGUUGCAAAAGAAAGCUAUUGAAUCUUAAUAUGUGAGCAUUGUUAUGGUGAAAAGAAAAAGGGAGGUGAAGAUUUCGAGUAACAUGAAAGGUCGUAUCUUGAACUUUAAUUGGGGAAAUAAUUGAAUUUUUCUACGAUGGGGUAAAAUGAAAGGUUGAGAAUAUCAUAUAUUGCUCCUUGAGGUGUUAUUUAAAACUUGGGCCUAAUUGUUUAAUGGUGGAGCUACAACGGUUAUUUGGUAUUAAAGAAAGCAUUGUCUAUUUCUAAGGCUUAGUAAAUAGAUAUUAGAUUUAACUUGCGCUUUGAGGUUAUCGGUGAAAUUAUAGAGAUCUCAACUCGGAAAAGCCAAAUAAGAUGCAAGAUAUGAAAGAAUGAAUUGUGUCUAGCUAAGGUUAUUACAGAAAGUCAUUCAUUAGGUAUGUUUUGCACAUUUGGGUAUUCAAAUCUUAGUUGGUUGAAUUUCGAGGACGAAAUUCUUUGAAGGUGGUAAGAUUGUUACAUUUCACUCAAUUACAGUCAAAGUCAAUGAAUUAUAUAGUCAAAGUUAAAGCCAAAUAAGGAUUUAAGUUGGAGGAAUGAUUUUCAUGAGGUUUAAAUUUGAAAUUGCUAGUACUUAAGACAGCCCGAAAUAAUAUCAAAAUAAAUUUUGGGAUUUAGCUUUUAGUAUGAAAAAUAAGAUGACUAAAUGUUAAAUUAUAUAAAGGUUGGGGACUUGUAUUGUAAUUAUAGUUAUGGGGUGAAAUAUGAAAUACCUCAAUUUAACACUUAAAAAAAAAAAAAAAAAAAAAAAAGGAAACUGAAGGCGGUUAGCCCAAAACAAAUCCAUUUCUAUUAUAUUUAUAUGUAUAUAGGUAAUCCAAAUCCAUUAAAUAAAAAGACACACACAAAAUACAUAAGAGAGAAAAUGAAUCAGAGAGAAAAGGAAGAGAACAGCUUACCAAUCGGGUUGAUUUUGCGAACAAAGUACUGUGAGUGGAAAAAUAUUAAUAUUUUUAAAGUAUUUAUAAACUAAGUAUAUUAUUAAAGUAUGUGCAAUUAUAUCCAAUUAUGUGUUCGAAUCACAUGGUUAUUAUGGAAAUAUCUUUUAUUAUGAUACAUGUGGAAUUUCAAGGAUUAUUUAUUGUACAUCUGUGACUUGGUAUACGAGACAUGUGAUAUUGAGAUUUGUUUGGUAUGUGGGACGUGAUAAUUAGAUCGACUAGAAAAGUACCUGUGAUUAUGUAUUUCUUCUAUUCACAAAGGAGCCUUGGCCGUGUUCUAUCCUACACGGAGGGUCUUGACUUAACAUUGGUCUUGAUCGUGUACAUAUAAUUUACAGAGGGGCCUUGGCCAUGUUCUAGAAUUGAUUAUGAGAGGUCUUUGAGACCGACUUUCGUUCACAGAGGGGCCAAAGGCCCGUGGCAAAAGUUCUUAGCCCGAGGGACGGAUUAUAUAUUUCAGUCAGAGGGUACGUUUUUGGUGGAUUUUUCAAUACGUUUGAUGUGAUGAGAUUAUAGUAUGGUUAUCAGCUCAUGUCUAUAUCAUGAUUUUGAAAUGAUAUUUUAUGACCUUAUAUGAAUAUUUCACUUUUGGUUAUAAUUACAUGAUGUUAUCUUUUGAAUUAUUAAAUGAUAUGAACUCCAUUUUCGAUAGAAAUAUAAAAUUGAAAAGGUAUAAUUAUUUUCGAACUGCUCCACUCACUGAGUUAUCAACUCAUAUAUUUUUCCCACAAUUUUUCCUAGAGGUGGAAAUUGAUUCUUGUUAGCUGGAAGAGCCUAAUGAUGAUGUGAACCCCAUAGCAAUGGAAACUACGAAACUCACAACGAGAUUAAUGCGGAACCCAAGAACGCCAAUACUAACCAGGUUUUGGAUCUUGAACCCCAAGAAUUGAACCAAGAAACCCUAGAUUAGCGAAGAACCUAAAACCCCUUGAUUACAAUUAAAAGAACCCACAAUCUGAUUGUUUAGAACGCCACAAGAAGUUGAAUCUUGAUAAGUUCCAAUAUUGUUCAAGAGGAACAAGAAAUUGAAAGAACAAUUCUCUCUCUAUAAUAUUAAGCAAAAGUCAAAAGUGUUUACAAUGAAAAGUAUUCUCCUAUUUAUACUAAUGAGUAAAAACGUCCAAAAUCCAUCAAAUUAUGGUAAUAAUUUGAUUUCAUAAGAAUUCUAUCGAAACUAGGAAAUUCGGCCAAAAUUAGAAAAUUCGCCAAUUUUUUUGGCUUGUGCGGUCGCAUGGUUCAACAAGAAUUGGUGUUUUGAUUUUCGGUAUGCAUGUGUGCGGCCACAUGGUGUUUUUCCUGUGCAGCUGCACAGACUUGUUUUCAGCCUCCACUUUCGUCGCUUGAUAACAAAUUUAUCCAAGUUGACUCGGUCUUCGACCCGAACAUGAAAGUUGCUCCAUUUUGAGUCCCGAACAUGGUUCCAUCAAUGGUUUCUUAAACGAGCAAUCCCAUCUCUUGUUUCACUUGCUUUGUACUUGAUCACGUCAUUGGUCCACCAUCGACUAUCAACGGGUCUCGUCUCACACUUGCCCUCGUCGGGCUCGACUCCUGGAUCAUAUCAUCCCCUCCCUCUUCAAAAGGCUUCGUCGUCGAAUUUGAACCUGCAUUAAACAGAGAGAGAUCAGAUACAUUAAAAGUAGCUGAAACAUUUUACUCACCAGGUAAAUCCACUUUGUAUGCAUUGUCAUUGAUCCUCUCGAUGAUUUGAAACAGUCCAUCGCCUCGUGGUUGCAAUUUUGACUUCCUUUGUUCUGGAAACGCUUUUUUCUGAAAUACACCCAAACCCAAUCUCCAGGCUCAAAUGUAACGCGUCUUCUUCCUUUAUUUGCUUUUGAUGCAAUCAGUUUUCCUUUCUCUUCGAUCUGCAUCCUGACCUUUUCAUGGAGUGUUUUCACCAUUUCGGCUUUUCAUUUCCCAUCCAAGCUGUCUCGUUCAUGCACAGGCAAAGGCAUUAAAUCCAUAGGUGUUAGUGGAUUAAAACCAUAAACAAUUUCAAAAGGAGAAAACGAAGUAGUAGAAUGUGUAGCUCGAUUAUAUGCAAACUCUAUAAACGGUAAACACUCUUCCCAUGAUUUCAGAUUUUUAUUGAUCAUUGUCCUAAGUAGUUGAGUCAUAGUUCGAUUAACUACCUUAGUUUGUCCAUCUGUUUGUGGGUGACAAGUUGUAGAAAAUAAUAACUUAGUUCCUAACUUACUCCACAGAACACGCCAAAAAUGACUCAAAAACUUCACGUCCCUAGUAGACACUAUACUUUUAGGUACUCCAUGUAAACGUACUAUUUCUCUAAAGAAUAAGUCUGUAAUAUUAGUAGCAUCAUCAGUUUUAUGACAUGGUAUGAAGUGCGCCAUCUUACUAAACCUAUCGACCACUACAAAUAUUGAAUCCCGACCCGUUUUUGUCCUAGGCAAGACUAACACAAAGUCCAUAGAUAUGUCUACCCAACGCUCACUAGGUACAGGGAAAUGAGUAUACAAACCAUGGGGUUGAACCUUAGACUUAGCCUUUUUACAAGUUAUGCACUUUCCACAUAUUUGUUCUAGGCCAAUAAAAAUGUUCCUCUAACAUGUCUAAAGUCUUUUGAACCCCGAAGCGUCCCAUUAAACCACCCCCAUGUGCUUCCCUUACCAAUAAUUCACGCAAAGAACAAUUAGGAAUGCACAACUUAUCUUUCCUAAACAAAUAUCCUUCAUGCCUAUAGAAUUUAUCAAAUGCACCAUUGUCACAUGAAGCAUAAAUACUAGAAAAAUCACAAUAAGAUUCAUACAUGCCCUUAAUAUGCUCGAAACCAAGUAAUUUAGUACUUAAUGAAUUUAAAAGCACGUACCUUCUAGACAACGCAUCAGCAACUAUAUUUUCAUAACCUUGUUUGUACUUGAUGACGUAGGAAAAUGUCUCGAUAAACUCCACCCAUCUCGCAUGUCUUUUGUUCAACUUACCUUGACCUCGCAAAUGCUUUAAAGAUUCAUGAUCAGUGUGUAUCACGAAUUUCUUUGGCCAUAAGUAGUGCUGCCAAGUCUCCAAUGUUCGAACAAGUGAAUACAGCUCCUUGUCAUAUGUUAGAUAAUUCAAUGCUGCCCCACUCAACUUUUCGCUAAAGUAAGCAAUAGGUCUCUUUUCCUGCAUUAACACUGCUCCUAUACCUAUUCCUGAUGCAUCACACUCAACCUUGAAUGUUUUAUCAAAAUUUGGUAAUGCCAAAACAGGUGCUUUACAUAGCUUAUCCUUAAUUGUGUUAGAUGCAAUUUCUUGAGAUUCUCCCCAAUAGAGACCUACACUAUUCUUUACUAUUUCAGUCAACGGUGUGGUGAUGGUGCUAAAAUCUCUUACAAAUCGCCUAUAAAAACUAGCCAAUCCAUGAAAAUUCCUAACUUCAGUUAUAGUCUUAGGUGUUGGCCAUUCGUUUAUAGCUUUUAUCUUUUCUUCAUCGACUUCCACCCCGUUAGCACUAGCCACAAAUCCUAGGAAAACAACUCUAUCCAUGCAAAACGUGCACUUUUUGAAAUUAGCAUACAGUUGUUCCUUUUGCAACACAACAAGCACACAAUUUAAAUGUUCUAAAUGCUCAUCUAGGUUUUUGCUAUAGAUUAAGAUGUCAUCAAAAUAAAUUACAACAAAUUUCCCAAUAAAAGCAUGCAAGACAUGGUUCAUUAAACGCAUAAAAGUGCUCGGUACAUUAGUGAGUCCAAACGGCAUAACUAACCAUUCAUACAAUCUAUACUUAGUCUUAAAUGUAAGCGAAUUUGGUGAUACCCACUUUUAAGAUCAAUCUUACUAAAAAUGCAAGCAUCAUGCAACUCAUCAAGCAUAUCAUCUAGCGUAGGUAUUGGGUGAUGAUACUUUACCGUGAUAUUGUUGAUAGCUCGACAAUCCACGCACAUUCUCCAAGUCCCGUUCUUCUUAGGCACUAACAAAAUAGGUACAUCACAUGGACUCAUGCUCUCCUUAACAUAACCUUUGCUCAUCAACUCCUCCACUUGCUUUUGAAGCUCCUUCGUCUCCUCGGGAUUGCUUCGGUAAGCUGGUCGAUUCGGUAUGACAGCUCCGGGUACAAAGUCAAUCUGGUGCUUGAUGCCUCUGAUUGGUGGCAAUCCAUUUAGCAUCUCCUCAGGAAACACAUCGUCGAACUCCUGCAAUAAAGACUUAACCAAACUAGGGAGGAAUGUGUUAGAAUCCUCAAAAUUGAGGAGGGACUCCUUGUACACUAACAAUAUCAUUUGCCUAUUAUCACUCAUAGCCUUUUUCAACUCACUCUCUUUUGCAUAGAAGUUGACCUUUGGCUUUUAUCUCCACUCAGCUGACUCUUUUUCUCUCCUCUCAACUGACUCCUUUUCUCUCCACUCAUGUAGCUUCUCUCUCUUUUCUCCACUCUCAGCCACCUCACUAUUUUCUCUCUUAUUGAUGGUUUCACUAUUACCUCUUCUUUUUCCUGACUCUUUUAUUCUCUCGUCUUCCUCACUUAAGCUUGAUUUGUUCUCCAUACACUUGUGCCCGUGUUAAUGGUACAAGAGUAAUAGUCUUCUCAUCCUUGCCAAAGCUAUAACGAUUCCUAUAUCCAUCAUGUGUGACCCUUCUAUCAUAUUGCCAUGGUCUUCCUAACAAAAUAUGACCCACAUCGCAUACUACUUUGUCACUAUAACUCCCAAUUGAGAAAUCAAUUAAAACUCUUCUAUUCACCCUAACUUCCCCACUUUCAUUCAACCAUUGCAACUUAUAAGGCCUAGGGUGUCUUAACAAUGCUAAUCCUAAUUGCUCGAGUAAAGUUGUGCUAGCUACAUUCGUGCAACUCUGACCAUCAAUAAUCAUACUACAUACCUUAUCGUUGAUGUAACAACGUGUGUGGAAUAUAUUUUCUCGCUGCUGCUCCGAAUCAUCCACUUUGACUUGAGUGUUAAGAGCUCUUCUUGACACCAAAGAUUCCCCAACAGCAAACUCCAAUUUUUCUUCUUCUUCAACAUCCUCCAAUGCAGGCAUGUCCUCAAACUCUCCUUCACUUUCACUUAUUACCUCUCCAUUAUCUAACAACACCAUUACCCAUUUAUUUGGGCAUUGAGAAGCAAUGUGCCCUGACCCCAAGCAUCUGAAACACUUGACGUCUCGAUUCCUUGAUGGUUGUGAAUCUGUUUUGGGUGUUGUUUUGCUAGCACUUUCUUCUUUCCCUUUCUGCCACUCAUUCCUACCUUUAGGUACAACUUUAUCACCUUUGUUGUUGUUGUUCCACCCUGGCUUCCAAGAUGGAUUAACACUCGAAGUUCCUAACGGCUGCCUAGCUAUCCCUUUCCUCUUUCAGUUUUCUCUCUACCUUCAUAGCCACAUGCAACAUGUCUUCCAACUCCACAUAAUGUUGCAACUCCACUACAUUGGCAAUUUUCCUAUUCAACCCAGUCAAGAAUUGUGCCACGGUAGCCUCCCGAUCCUCCACCACAUUGGCCUUAAUCAUGAGUAUUUUCAUCUCCUUAUGAUAGUCCUCUACACUUUUCGACCCUUGAUAUAGACCUUCCAGUUUUUGAUGGAUCUCUCGGUAAUAGUGGCUAGGAACAAACCUCUUUCUCACCAAUGACUUCAAUUCCUCCCAAGUGUUGAUUGGUCUUCCCCAACUCCUACGUUGUGAAGUAAUCACUUGAUCCCACCAUGAAAUUGCAUAGUCAUUGAACUCCAAAACUACUAACUUCACCUUUUUCUCCUCUGAGCAGUUAUAACACUCGAAGAUCAUUUCAACCUUCUUUUCCCACUCCAAGUAUGCCUAGGGAUCACUCCUUCCUUUGAAUGAAGGAACUGUCAUUUUUAUAUUUCCCAAGUUUCCAUCCAGCUCCUCCCCGCGAUCAUUCUGACCCCGUCUGUCGAACCUAUCGCCUCUAUUUCUCAUCCUUCCCAUCUCAACACCGUCGCCCAUGUCACUCCCAUAUCCAUACUCCUCUCGCCUUUCCCUCCUAGGCUCCCAUCUAUCCGGUCCUCUAGCAUUGGAUACAUCCACUCGAUGCCCCCGACUAAGAUUAGCUAUCGAUGUAUCUAAUCUAUUCAUCCAAGCCUCCUGCUUCUCUAACCUUUCUCUCACAUCUCCAAACGCCCUCUCAAAACUCUGCAUUAAAUCCUCCGAUGCAUUGCUCUUAUUGCCUUGUCGGCUUGAGUUUGAUUCUGCCCCUUCUGACAUCCUAACACUAAAAAUUUUAUUUUACUACCUCACCAAAAGUCACUCGGAACACACAUAGGGCUUUUACCCUCUAUUAAGCUCUCCUUUCUGCCUUUUACCACUCAGUUCUUUCAACAAUUGCUUCUAGGAACAAUCAAUCAAUCAAUUCGUGUAGAAUUCUCCAAACUGGAUGUGACUCAAUAAUUGUAACAAAGGACUCAAAGAAAACUUUUAAAAUUUGACUUGAAUUGAAGGAAUGGAAUGAUUCAAUGUGUCCAAGUAAUUUAGAAACGAUAUUGAAUAAUAAAAGUUGGUAUUUGAUGGAUCAAUAAUAUUUUAACAAUUUUUUUUACUGUACGAAUGAACAGUAACUUUUUUUUUCAGAUCCGAAAAUCAAUAACAAAACCAACAAAGAAAACGAAAAUUGAGCCCAAAAACAGAAUUUGAAGAUUUUUUAUUAAACUUUUGGAUCAAAGGAUCAAGAAAACCUUCUGGACACAAGAACACAAGGAACUGAAAAAAAAUUCGAAAACAAAGGAUAUAACCUGAUAAAUUGGAGCCAAAGCUCUGAUACAAACUGAUGCGAAGCCCGUAGCAAUGGAAACUAUGAAAUCCACAACGAGAUUGAUGCGGAACCCAAGAACGCUAAUACUAACCCGAUUUUGGAUCUUGAACCCCAAGAAUUGAACCAAGAAACCCUAGAUUAGCGAAGAACCUAAAACUCCUUGAUUACAAUUAAAAGAAACCACAAUCCGAUUGUUUAGAAUGCCACAAGAAGUUGAAUCUUGAUAAGUUCCAAGAUUGUUCAAGAAGAACAAGAAAUUGAAAGAACAAUUCUCUCUCUAUAAUAUUAAGCAAAAGUCAAAAGUGUUUACAAUGAAAAGUAUUCUCCUAUUUAUACUAAUGAAUAAAAACAUCCAAAAUCCAUCAAAUUAUGGUAAUAAUUUGAUUUCAUAAGAAUUCUAUCGAAACUAGGAAAUUCGACCAAAAUUAGAAAAUUCGCCAAUUUUUUUGGCUUGUGCGGUCGCAUGGUUCAACAAGAAUUGGUGUCUUGAUUUUCGGUAUGCAUGUGUGCGGCCGCACAGACUUGUUUUCAGCCUCCGCUUUCAUCGCUUGAUAACAAAUUGAUCCAAGUUGAUUUGGCCUUCGACCCGAACAUGAAAGUUGCUCCAUUUUGAGUCCCGAACAUGGUUCCAUCAAUGGUUUCUUGAAUGAGCAAUCUCAUCGCUUGUUUCAUUUGCUUUGCCCUUGAUUGCGUCAUUGGUCCGUCAUCGACUAUCAAUGGGUCUCGUCUCAUCUCGCAAUUGCCCUCGUCGGGCUCGACUCCUGGAUCAUAUCAAAUGAUUUUGGAAUGAGAGCCACACGACAUGUUGAACACUAUAACUCAUAUUGAUGAAGCACGAAGUAAAUAUUUUGGGCCCAGUGCAUUAUGUUUUACAUAAGCAUUAUUUUGUUGCAUUUUUUGAAAUAACUCAUAGUCAGCCUUGGUGGUGGAUCUGAGAUCUAGUCAGCAUCUAUCAUUGGCGUACAUCACGUUUCAGGUCCACUAGGGUGAUUCGGGAGAGGUCGUGUCAAAUAUACUCUCAUAUAUGACUCGACUAUAUUUUUAUGAUGGAUGCGAACGUACAAGAAUGCAUGAAUUUUUAUUAACACUUAAAGAUUCACAUAGAGUAUAACGGUAUAUUUCUAUCCCAUAUUGGACCCUAUGAUAUUUACAUCCAUGUCGAGCCUAUUUUGCUUCCUUUGAAUGCAAAAAAUAAGCCACCAAAUUCAUACAAGUACCAUGAACAACAAUUAAGGAAAAAAGAGAUUGGGUCAAUAAACGUGUUUUCAAUAAUUUUCAUAAACGUGUUUUCAAUAUCAAAUAUGUAAACUAGUACCGAUUGAUGGGAAAAAGGCACAUGUGGAUUAGUACAAUUAUUGACAUAUUUAGAAAGAGAUUGGGCCAUUGAGUGUUCUGCCGCUUGAGAAAGUAUGUGACAGGAUCGAUGUUAAGGCGGAAGAGGGGUUAAAGCAACCAACAACACAUCACUCUUUACUUAGUAGGGCUUGAAAGGCCUAUGACUUGAGCUAGUUUGUUUUCUCGUUUCUUGAACUCUUUUCUCACUCUUUCUUCCAAUACUUCAUGUCUUCACUAAAUUGGUCACUAACCCUUUCAAAUCUUCAUUAUUUCUUCUUGGUCGUCUUUCAACUAUUUGUACCUUGGUUCUUGAACUUUUAUUUUCUUCUAUUUUAGUCAUUUUUCGCUUGUUUCUCGUAGAUUCCACCACGUCCAUCAAUGUUAUCCUACAAAACAUAAUUUAUAUAGAAUUAAUCUAUAUUCCAAUAUAUUUGUCAACAAUUAUCCAUGUUUUGUGGCCUAAAUAAGUAUGUAGAACGUACUUAUCAAACCGCUAAACUUGAACUAUUAUUUGUCUUCAAACAAGACUGUAGUUUAACUCUACACAUAACAUGAUUUGAUAACUUGCCAUAUCUCAGAAUUUGAAUUUAGUAAUCUACAUAAUAAACUUCAAAAUUGCAAAAUCAAAUCAACCUCUAUCUCUUAUAUGCAUAACUGGACGUGUGUGUAAACUCAUUUAAACAUAUCAAGCUCAUGAUAUGUUUAACUCCCGACUUGUAAUUAUCAAAUAUUAAAUUUCUUCACUUGAGAGAUAAACCCCCCUUCAAACGUAAUAUUUUCACCUAAUUUUCCUGGGAUGUUUUCUAAAGUUGAAGUUUAGUUAAUUCUAAUUCUUAGCCUCUCUUAGUUGGGAUGGAUCUUACCAUCCUAAAUUUAGACUUCAACAAGUAAAGGUUAUCCCAUUUUUUACCAUGUCAAUGUUUAAGACUAAAUUAAGCUACUUGCCUCACAUUAAAUGUGUAGUUCUAUCAACCAAAUUUCUUAGGGCUUAAUAAAUGCAUUUGUGUUUUUCCUCACUCAUUCUUGUUCUCUCUCUCUCUCUCUCUCUCUCUCUCUCUCUCUCUCUCUCUCUCUCUCAUAACAUCCUCUCAUUUGCUUUCUAUGUAGCCCAUGUAUUGAGUUUUAGGUAAAUGACUCCCAACUCAGUUGACCUUAGGACAUCGGGCUUUAAACUCUUUUAGGCUUAUUCAUUCCAGUUACAAAAUGCUCAAAAAGAUGAUUUUUAUUAACUUUUCUCUUUCUUGCUUUCUAUUUGACCCUGUAUCGAGUUUUAGACCAGUGGCUCCCAAGUUAGGUGACUUUAGGACACCAGGUCAAAUACUUCACAGGUUUACUUGCUCAAGUUGUAAAGGCUUCGAGAGAAAUUUUAUUCACACAUACCAUUUCUUUUAGCAUUUAGUGUUCAAAAUCAACCCCUGACUUAAGACUUUCACCUCAUCUUCAUCUCACUAGUUUUAGAUAAUUCACACAAGAUAAUUUCAUGCACGCAACCUUUACUUAUCUCAAUGUUUACCUAUAAUAGCUCAACCAAUUUCAAACUACUCUAAUAAUAGAUUAUGAACGAGUGCAAUAGGGUUUUUUCAAAUUUAACUUAUUUUGUUCAACUCUUCUCUAAGUAAUGAGCCAAAUCACCAACAUAACGUGUAAACAUGAGUGUCUUGCACAGAGAAUGUCAAAUUUUAUAUAAACAAGUAUUAGCUAACUAAUCAUACACUAUUUCCAGUAUUCCUAGUCCAUACCUAUUCCAAUAUUCAACAUCAUUAUCGGCAAGACCAUUAAACUCACAUAAGCACACAAAACAAUAAACAAAUACUAAAAAGUUAAAAACCAUAGCUCAUUUUCUCCUUUCUUUUAAUUUUUUAACAGUUGAAAAAUAAAUAUCCAAUGUAUCAUAACACUUACUUACUCCCAAAACACAAAUAUUGCAUUGUUCUAAAUUUAAAAGCAAAAAUAGUCAAAAUAAAGUAGUAAGGAUCAGAAACUCCCCAAGGUAGAUGCAGAUAGGUAGAAGGAUCAGACUGGUCAAGUUGGUAGAUGUCAUGACAACCACUACUUUUCUUUGUUGCUAGGUUUCAAUUUUCUAUUUUAAAAACUCAAAAUAAAUAUUAAUGAUUGCAACUGAAGUUUAAAUAUUUGUAAUGUAUUCAUAUCAAGAAGAAUUCUAAUCUUCUAAUAUUUAAAAGACUGAAAUCUAGAUGCAGUAUUAAGAAUGAAUAUCACAUCAAUGUAAUGCUAGGAUUUAAAUGAUGAACUAAAUAAAUAAACUAAAUUAGUAAACAUGCCUAAGUUACAAGUGCAAUUCUUAAAGAAUUGAUGAUAAGUGCAGUUUCUACACUUAGUCGAAGUCUUAAAUGAUGAUAUUUUGUUAUUCUUUGGACAAAUUAGUACGUAAUUUGUUAUUUAUUAUUUUUAUUAGGAAAAACUCAUAUUUGGACAAAGAACUGAAAGAAAGAACAAAAAAGGGCUAAAAUGAAGCUAAUUCAAAAUUUGAAGAUUAAAGUUUAAAUGUUGAAAAGUUGUUUUAGACUCAUGAUAAAGAUUCUAGAGUGCUAGAGGUCAACUGGAUUAGAAAAUAAGUCAAAGAAAUGAAUUAUGGUCAAAGUAUUAUCACACAUUAACUUUCAACCAAAAAAAGGUAUACUUGAAAUCUUCAAUCUCAUAUUGAGACCUAAUUUUGGCAUAGUAAACUUUCAAAUUGGAAAAAUGAUAUUUCUAAAAGAAUUGUAACCCUCCAAAUUAGCUUUCUAAUGCAAUUUGAAUCAUAUCAAUCAGAUAUCAGAAACAAUAGUUAUGAUAAAAAUACUGAAAACUUUUUGACUUUCGAAAAUUAGGUGAGGCGUACACCCUAACCUGCAGAAGGGACGCGUCACCCAACCAAAAAUGUGAUGAUUGAAUUCCAAACUAAGCAAGCAGGUGCCUUAGAUAUGCCUAGGCAUGCACCUCAGUACAAAAAAGGGAAAAUUUUGAUUUUCCUUAUUUUUGCUUUGGUAACAAUUUAAUGCAAUCUUUUCGGCAUCAUUUAAAUACCAAAACUCGGCCAAAAUGUAAAAACCUCCAUUCAACCUAAAUUUCAUCAUAUUCUACAUAUUUUGGCGGCGAACAAUAGUCUAUACAUCAAUGCAAGGUGAAUCAUACAAGGAUUUUGAAGAUUCAUAGCACAGUUUCAAGAUUUGAGCCAAGAACGUGAAUUUCUCCUACUUCUUCCAUCUUUCUUUUUUCGGGGUGAUUUUUUUCAAUUAUUCUUGUGUAAGUUAAUCAUAAGAAUGUUAUGAUAAAUGAUGAACCCUAUUGUUUGUUUAUUUCAAUUUAAGACAAUUAGUUUAGUAUUUCUUGGAUUUUCUUGAUUGAUUUUGCAUUCCCAUUAAACUAUUUGAUUGCUUGAUCACAAAUUGGAUAGGAAGUUGCUUGUGGUAGUGUAAGAAUACUCACAAUAAGUCUAGAACGUGAUAAAAUCAUCACAUGAGCAAAUGAUAUUAAGAAUAAUAUCUAUGGCAUGUACAAUCAUAUGAGAUAAUUCCUGUAAAUUAAUGCGUGUUUUUCAUAUGAAUUCGGACUAAGAAUAGGACCAGGUCAUGUUAUACAUAGGUUUAAUAUAUCUUGAAAAAGAAUAUUGAAUAAAACUAGAUUAUCGAUUGUCUUGAACGCAUAAAUUUACUAGAUUACAAAUUAAGAAUUGAAUUAAAUGGCGAUAGAGGGAUUCAUGAUUCCAAUACAAAUAUUCACAUAUUAGAUAAUUAUUUUAUUUACUUUCUUAGUUUAGAUUUGUAUAGAAAACAUACCAACCAUCUCUUUUGAUAUUACACAACUUCAAAUUUGAUAAAAGUCAUUGAACUAGAUAUUAGACUUUAUUCCUCGUGGGAACGAUAAACUUGAAACUCACUAAUUUCUAUUUCUUAUCAACAAUCAUGUACGUUUGUGGGUUUUCUACGUACAGAUUUUUGGCACCAUUGCUCGGGAACAAUGGUUUUGAUUUUAGUUAAGCUGUUUAUAUUAGAUUCAAGUUUUUCUAUUUUAUUUUGUUUUUUCUUGUUUAGGCUAUUCAUUAUACUACCUAAUCUCCUUCUGUUUCGCUUCUCUUAGGGUGACAUCAAUUUAUGCAAGAUCCUAAGGACAUCGAGCUAGUUUCUGUAGAUAAACAAUGCAGGAGCUAAUAGAGAAGAGCAAGGAUAAUGGCAAAAAACUAGAAUCAGAGUCGGGAUAUACUUUAGGAUCCAAUUCACAUAGCACCUUCAGUUCAGCAAAGAUCCAUCACCAAUGAGUGCCCAAUAUUAGUAGGGGAUUAUGUAAAUAUAGUGUCAAUACCAGUGCAACCGCCUAAUGUCUACCCACCUUUUGGAUAGGCAAACUUUUACGUUCGACCUGAUGUCACAAUCUCUUCUAGAAAUGACAUGACAUCAUAUUUUGUGGAAAAGCCAUUGAGAAUCCACAUGAACACAUUCAUGCUCUUCUCAUGUUGUGGAAAAUCAUCUACCACGAGGAAAUAUCACGGUAUACAUUUUGAACGCGUCUAUUCUAUCACACUUUGAAGGAGGGACAUAAGCAAAGAUAUAUUCACUAUAUCCCAAGAGCAUUAUAUCAUGGAAUGACAUGGUACAAAAAUUUACCAUGAGAUUCUUCCCACCAUCUCGAGUCCAUCAAAUCAGAAAUGAAGUGUAUCUUUUCCGAUAGAGGGACUUUGAGACAUAUCUAGAAACAUGAGACAAGUUCAAAAAUGCGUUUAGGAAUUGCCCAAAACUUGAUGUUCCUAAACUAGCGCAAAUAUAUCUCUUUUACAAUGUAUUACGCUCAAAAUUUCAUAAAAUUGUAUAUGCUUUAGUAGGUGGAUUGAUUUUGACGAUUGAGGUAGAGAAAAUACAUGAUCUAUUUGAGAGGAUUGUUGAGAAUCAGGCCAACUAGUCAACAAAGAGGGAGGUGAUUAGCAUCUAAAAGUAUUUCAAGAUAUAUCAUUUACAAGGCAUUUUACAUUCACUUUGUUUAGAAACACUAAUGUUAGUCUCUAAUUUAAAUUCUCUUGCCGUAAAUUCAAUUUCCAUAAAUACAUGGUUAAAAAUGCAAUUAAUUGAAAUUGUAUUUAUAUACAUGUCGGCAUAAGUAUUAUACAUUUGAAAGAGUAUCUAUUUGAUGUAUUUCACUUGUAUUUCCAAUUUAGAACAAGUGGAGCAAGUGGAGGAAAAUAAUGUUGAAAGUCAAAAAUAGUGACUGCUUCAAGCAAAAAGUAGCUGUCGGUAAAAUGAUCAUAACUUGAGCUGCAGACAUUGGAUCGAGGUGAUUCAAGUUGGGUUUGAAAGAUAAGGAAUUUUUCUACAACUUUUGUGCUUUGGAAGAAGUCAAAUUAGUAAUAAAGGCAGUCAAAAUUACCGUUCAAAAUCCAACUUGUUACCUGCCGGAUACAGAUUUACCUGUGAAGCAACACUCAUUCUUUUUAUCAUAUCUGGAGUUAUAUAGAUCCAAUGAACCUGAUAUUUGAACCAAUGGAAAUAUAACUCAAUUGGAAAUAAUUUAUCUUUUGAUCAUAAGUCCAAAUUAGCUUCAUAAUGUAUCUGAAAAUUGGCAUCAAGUUGCAUGUUCCAGUUGUCUUGAAGCUGGACAGAAACAAGUUGCAUUGCCUACUUGAAUUUUGGAUGUUCCUUUGCCUAUAAAAGGGGACCUUGGCUACAAUUUUGAGAGAAUCAAUUCCUCUCCACCAUAUUUUAGUUUCCUUCAUUUUCUUUGUAACAUUUCAUUAUGUAUUUCUAAACCAUUAGCUAGAGCUAGAGGUGAAACUUUGGUGAAUGCAUAGUAUUGUCUUUGAUCUUUCAUUUUGUUCUUCAAUGUUCAUCUUCUUAUUUGGUUGAAGUAUAUGUUCUACAAAUGGUUUUGGUUUGUUAAAGACUUUGGUUUAUUGUUGACAAUUUUGGCACAAUAAAUGCUUAGAUAAUCUCUACAUUCCAACAACUUAUUUUGACAUAUUUUCUCAAACAAUUGUCAAGAUCUAUCUUUUAAUAUAUUUGUGAUUAAUGUUUUAUCUUCCAUAUGAGAUCACUCCUUAGUUGAUUUUCAUAUGAGUUAAAUUAAAGAUCAAGGGCAAUUUCUACUCAUUUAUCUGAAGUGAAUCCCCGAUGCUCUAGUGUUUGUCUUCAUCGUAUUUUCACCAACCGUUCACUACUCAUAGACUAGUUUAUUUCCUUCCAAUUCCCUGUGUUUCGACCUCGGACUUCUGAGAUUUACUAGCAACAACCUGCACUUGGGUUUGCAACCUGAAAGUUGUAGCAAGUUUUUGGCGCCGUUGCCGAGGAUUUGCAUCAAGGAUUAUUUUCUGCUACUUUCUGUGAGGUUUUCUUCUCUUUCAUAAUCUUCACAAAUUAGGUACACUCGUUCCUUUUUCAAUCUUAUUACUUUAGUUAUUUUACUUUAAAGGAAGGCUGAGCCUCCUUCGUUUUUUUUUUUUUUUGGUUUUCUUUCUUUCUUUAAAGGGAAGGCCAAGCCUCCCGAUCUGCCGUUUCUUUAUUAUAUGGUUGGUCGUGCCACCUAAUUUUCAUUCUUUUUAUAUGGUUGGCUGUGCCACCUAAUUUUCGUUCUUUACUUAUAUUUUAUGUUAUUUUAUGUCAUAUUGGUAUCAUGAAUUUAAUUCUCAUCGUUCAGUUAAAGAUAAUUGUGAAACUUUCUUUAGUAAUUUAUUUGACUCACCUCAACACUCACUCGUAUCUUCUACCAUGGCUGAUAAUGAAAGCGUACAUGAUGAAAAUGAAAACCAACGAGUACGAACCAUGAGUGAUUACUUGCAACCUCCUCGAAAUUAUGCUCCUUCAUGUUUCAUUUUCCCUCCUAAUGCUAAUAAUUUUUUAUUCAAGCCAGGUAUGAUUCCAUUAGUUCCUAAUUUUCAUGGCUCAGAAUCCGAAAGUCCAUAUUUGCAUCUUAAAGAAUUUGAGGAAGUAUGUACAACAUUUAACGAUCAAACUUGUCCCAACGAAAUUGUUGAGUUGAAAUUGUUUCCUUUUUCUCUAAAAGAUAAAGCAAAAAACUUGGCUUAACUCUUUAAAACCUAGGUCGAUUGGCACAUGGCAAGAAAUGCAAAGUGAGUUUUUGAAGAAUUUCUUUCCAGCACAUAAAAACUAAUGCUUUGAAAAGACAAAUUCAAAAUUUUUCUCAGAAAACCAAUGAAGCGUACUUUCAAUGUUUAGAAAGAUUUAAAGAUUUGUUAAAUACAUGCCCACAUCAUGGUUUUGAAAAAUGGCGUACUAUAAGUUUCUUUUAUAAGGGCCUAACUCCUGAAACAAAACAAUUUGUAGAAACGAUGUGCAAUAGUGAAUUUUUAGAUAAAGAUCCAGAUGAAGCCUUAGAAUUUCUAGAUCAUCUAGCUGAAAAUUCUCAAUCUUGGCAAAUAGUAAAACCAAUCGAAAACUCAAUUAGAUAUAGUCUUGCAAGUUCUAGUGGAGGAAAAUAUCAAUUGAGUCAAGAUGAUGAUCUAAAUGCCAGGAUUGCUAGUUUGUCUAGAAAGGUUGAAGAUAUGGAAUUAAGGAAAGUAAAGGAAGUUAAACCUGUGCAAAAUGAUGAAAUUUGUAGCAUUUGUGAAACUUUUGGUCAUCUUACUCAUAAUUGUCCUAAUAUUCCAGUCUUCAAAGAAGUUUUACAUGAUCAAGCCAAUGCUAUGAACACUUUCAAAAAGCCUUUUUCUUCUCCAUACUCAGAAACAUAUAAUCAACAAUGGAGAAAUCAUCCCAACUUUAGUUGAAGAGAUGAUAAUCAUGUUCAUUUAUUACAACCUCAAGGGCUUUCAAAAUUUCCUGCUUUUCCACCACCACAAUCAAAGACUCUUGAGGAAACAUUGCAGUCUUUUAUGCAAGGACAAGUAAAUAUUAAUAAUCAAACUUCACAAGCCAUCAAUGAAAUCAAGAACACACUUUCUUCAUUGACCUCUUCCUUGCGUUCUCAAGAGAGAGGCAAGUUUCCUGCUCAACCUCAACCAAAUCCUUCUGGGCAAUUUAAUGUAAAUGCUUCAAGUCAACAAGAAAAUGCCAACUCCAUCACGACUCUUAGUAGUGGAAAAAUUAUUGACAAAACCAUCCCUUCAAAAGAUCUAAAAUCGGGUGGGACUUCAAAGAAAGAAAAUGACUUUCCCAAAAGUGAGGAAAAGAUCAUUUCUGAACCCAUUGUUGAAAAAUGUCCCAUUCUAGCGCCAUUUCCUCAAUGAUUGCAACCAAUUUCAAAACUCAACCAUAAUUCUAAAAUUUUUGAACUUUUCAAACAAGUCAAAAUUAACAUACCAUUAUUGGAUGCAAUCAAACAAGUUCCUUCAUAUGCAAAAUUUUUAAAAGACUUGUGCACUGUCAAGAGGAAGCUUAAUGUUCAACAGAAAGCAUUUUCGACAGAGAAUGUGAGCUCAAUCAUUCAACAAAACACUCUACCUAAAUUCAAAGAUCCUGGUUGUCCAACAAUUUCUUGUGUGAUUGGGAAUAAUAGGAGACCGUGCAUUGCUUGAUCUUGAUGCUAGUGUUAAUCUAUUACCUUUUUCUGUGUAUGAGCAACUUGGUUUGGGAGAGCUUAAACCAACAGCAACAACACUUCAACUUGCUGAUCGUUCAGUAAAAGUUCCAAGAGGGGUUGUAGAGGAUGUUCUAGUUCAAAUUGAUAAAUUCUAUUAUCCUGUUGAUUUUAUAGUUUUGGACACACAUCCUGUUUUAAAUUCAAAUGCACAAAUACCUGUCAUUUUAGAACGUUCCUUUCUUGCUACUUCAAAUGCAUUGAUAAAUUGUAGAAAUGGUAUUUUGAAACUCUCUUUUGGAAAUAUGACAGUGGAAAUGAAUGUUUUUAACAUUUGCAAGCAACAUGGAGAUGAAGAUGAUUUGCAUGAAGUAGAUCUUAUUGAAAAAGUUGUUGAUGAUCAAUUUAUCGCUACAUGUUCACAUGAUGCGCUUGAAUUUGAAUUCAACGAUAAUUCUAAAAAUUCGCACAUGAUUUCAAGUGUUCAAGAGCUAAAGCUCGAUUUGAAACCAUUUUUUGAGAAUUUCUCUAGAUUGGAAGAGUCCGUUGCUGUACAUGAUUCUAAAGAUUGAUAUCCUUUUCUCAUUAUUUUAUUUUGUAUGUUUCUUUUCAGUUUUAUAAUGUUGUGUGUUUGUUUUAGGUGUGUUUCUUUUAUUGUUGUUUUUUCUUUCACUAAUGAAAUUGAAGGAACAUUUAGGCCAAGUUUAUGCAGACUUUCCAGGUAAAGCUCAAAACUCGUCCCUUUGUUCAAAAUUUUCCUCCUUCUUGUCCUUCAUAUAUUUUGCACAUUUAAUCUUUACAUUGAGGACAAUUUUUCAUUUAGGUUGGGGGAAAGGAAUCAAAAUGUUUAAAAAAAAAAAAGUUCUUACCGAUCGAUGAUAAUAUUUAGAAUUGUUGUUAUAUUAUUGUGACUAGGGGAUGCUGCUUUGAUUUUGUUUAAGCUUGAUCAUGUUAGAUUGAUCUACAUUGAGCACAAUAAUCAUGAAAAUCACAUAUUAUUUAGAUUGGAUCAAUGGAUAGAAUAUGUAGAAUUAACUAUGACCCAAAAAAAAAAUCCAACUAUUAGAAUUAACUAUGACCCAAAAAAAAAAAAAAAAAAAACUUCCAACUAAACCAAUUCUAGGAUAGUUUGGGGUGGUUGAGCUAUUGUGGGGAGACAUUGAGAUAGAUGUGGAUUCCAUUUGUGUUAAAUUUUGUGUGGAUUGCUUAAGACCAAUGAGAUGAUAAUUAAGUGAAAAUCUUAAGUUAAAGAUCGAUUUUCGAGAAUAAGUAUUUAAUGAGGGGCAUUGCACUAAUCAUUGCAUAGAAGGGAAAAAGCUGUCAUGUUGUGCAGCUACCCUAAAAGAGCCCAAUGAGGACAAUUUUACAUUAAAAAAGAUAGGCUACUGCAUGAAACAGACUACGCACGGCAAACUUGAAAAAAAUAGGUGCAUGAAAUAGAAGACGCAUUACAUGCUUUGAUUAAGUCCCAAACACUUAUUUUAGAGAAUUAGACCUUUGAUAAGGGAUUAGUAGUUUAGUUGAUUCUUGGAGGUUGAGUCAGUUAAAAUUAAGGAGAAUCCUCAUUUAUUGAUGUGUUGAGCUACGAUUAGUAAAAUCUAACCAAACUAGAGAGGGUGAGUAGUAGCAUAUAAAUUUAACCAUAAAUCACACCUUGAGAAAAUAGUUACAAAAUCAAGUUUGGGGGUGUGCAUCCAACGAGAGAAGAGAGAAAUAGUUGAACAUUGAGGGUCGGGAUGAGUCCAAUUUGAAAAAAGUAUAUGAUUGAAUUGAUUAUGCACCCACACACGUUGGUCAAGUAUUGGACAAGUUAGACUAUAUUUUGGUAGCAAACCUUAGAAGAGCUUUGAUAAACAAUUUCAAAUCCUAAGGCAAAUGCGACAAGCUAUAUCAUUUGAAAUAUUUUUGAAUUUUCAUUGCUAGAGAAUAGCAAUAUCUUGGUUGGGGAGUGUGAUUAUUGUCUAAAAGUGCUUCAAAGAGAUAUCAUUUACAAGGCAUUUUACAUUCACUUUAUUUAAAAACACUAAUGUUAGUCUCUAAUUUUAAUUCUCUUGCAGUAAAUUCAAUUUCCAUAAAUACAUGGUUAAAGAUGCAAUUAAUUGAAAUACGUAUUUACAUACAUGUCGGCAUGAGUAUUAUACAUUUCAAAUAGUAUCUAUUUGAUGUAUUUCACAUGUAUUUCCAAUUUAGAACAAGUAGAGCAAGUGGAGGAAAAUAAUGUUGAAAAGUAAAAAAUAGUGACUAUCUCAAGCAAGAAGCAGCUGUCGGUAAAAUGACUAUAACUUGAGCUCUAGACAUUGGAUCGAGGUGAUUCAAGUUGAUUUUUAAGGAUAAGGAAUUUUUCUACAACGUUCAUGUUUUAAAAGAAGUCAAAUUCGUAUCACAAGGUAGCUAAAAUUACCAUGGAAAGUCCAGCUUGUUACCUGCCGGAUACAGCUUUACCUGUGAAGCAGCACUCAUUGUUUUUGUCAUAUCUGGAGUUAUAUAGAUCCAAUGAACCUGAUAUUUCAACCCAUGAAAAGAUAACGCAAGUGGAAAUAAUUUAUCUGUUGAUCAUAAGUCCAAAUUCACUGCACAAUAUAUCUAAAAAUUGGCAUCAAGUUGCAUAUUCCAGCUGUCUUGAAGCUGGAUAGAAACAAGUUGCAUUGCCUACUUGAAUUUUGGAUGUUCCUUUGCCUAUAAAAGGGGACCUUGGCCACGAUUUUGAGAGCAUCAAUUCCUCUCCCAUCAUAUUCUAGUUUCCUUCUUUUUCUUUGUAACAUUUCAUUAUGUAUUUCUAAACCAUUAGCUAGAGCUAGGGGUGAAACUUUGGUGAAUGUAUAGUAUUAUCUUUGAUCUUUCAUUUUGUUCUUCAAUGUUCAUCUUCUUACUUGGUUGAAGUAUAUGUUCUACAAAUGGUUUUGGUCUGUUAAAGACUUUGAUUUAUUGUUGACAAUUUUGGCACAAUAAAUGCUUAGAUAAUCUCUACAUUCCAACAACUUAUUUUGACAUAUUCUCUCAAACAUUAAUCAAGAUCUAUCUUUUAAUAUAUUUGUGAUCAAUGUUUUUUCUUCCAUAUGAGAUCACUCCUUAGUUGAUUUUCAUAUGAGUUAAAUUAAAGAUCAAGAGCAAUUUCUACUCAUUUAUCCGAAGUGAAUCCCCGACGCUCUAGUGUUCGUCUCAAUCGUAUUUUCACCAGCCAUUCACUACUCAUAGACUAGUUCAUUUCCUUCCAAUUCCCUGUGGUUCGACCUCGGACUUCCGAGAUUUACUACUUGCGACAACCUGCACUUGGGUUUGCGACCUUAAAGUUGUAGCAAGUUUUUGGCGCCGUUGCCAGGGUUUUGCGUCGAGGAUUAUUUUCUGCUACUUUCUGUGAGGUUUUCUUCUCUUUCAUAAUCUUCAUAAAUCAGGUACACUCGUUCCUUUUUCAAUCUUAUUACUUUAGUUAUUUUACUUUAAAGGAAGGCUGAGCCUCCUUAGUUUUUUUUCUUUCUUUAAAGGGAAGGCCGAGCCUCCCGACCUGUCGUAUUUUUAUUAUAUGGUUGGCUGUGCCACCUAAUUUUUGUUCUUAUUAUAUGGUUGGUCGUGCCACCUAAUUUUCGUUCAUUACAUCUACUUUUUGUUAUUUUAUGUCAUAUUGGUAUCGUGAAUUAAAUUCUCAUCGUUUAGUUAAAGAUAAUUGUGAAACUUAUUUUAGUAAUUUAUUUAACUCACCUCAACACUCACUCACAUCUUCCACCAUGGCUGAUAAUGAAAGCGUACAUGAUGAAAAUGAAAACCAACAAGCACGAACCAUGCGUGAUUACUUGCAACCUCCUUGAAACUCUGCUCCUUCAUGCUUCAUUUUCCCUCUUAAUGCUAAUAAUUUUCGAUUCAAGACGGGUAUGAUUCCAUUACUUCCUAAUUUUCAUGGCUUAGAAUCCGAAAGUCCAUAUUUGCAUCUUGAAGAAUUUGAGGAAGUAUGUGCCACAUUUAACGAUCAAACUUGUCCCAAUGAAAUUAUUAAGUUGAAAUUGUUUCCUUUUUCUCUAAAAGAUAAAGCAAAAACUUGGCUUAACUCUUUAAAACCUAGGUCGAUUGGCACAUGGCAAGAAAUGCAAAGUGAGUUUUUGAAGAAAUUUUUUCCAGCACAUAAAACUAAUGCUUUGAAAAGACAAAUCCAAAUUUUUUCUCAAAAAACCAAUGAAGCGUACUUUCAAUGUUUAGAAUGAUUUAAAGAUUUGUUAAAUACAUGCACACAUCAUGGUUUUGAAAAAUGGCGUACUAUAAGUUUCUUAUAUGGGGGCCUAACUCCUGAAACAAAACAAUUUGUAGAAACGAUGUGCAAUGGUGAAUUUUUAGAUAAAGAUCCAAAUGAAGCUUUAGAAUUUCUAGAUCAUCUAGCUGAAAAUUCUCAAUCUUCGUAAACAGUAAAACCAAUCGAAAACUCAAUCAGAUCUAGUCUUGUUAGUUCUAGUGGAGGAAAAUAUCAAUUGAGUCAAGAUGAUGAUCUAAAUGCUAGGAUUGCUAGUUUUUCUAGAAAGGUUGAAGCAAUGGAAUUAAGGAAAGUAAAGGAAGUUAAACCCAUGCAAAAUGAUGAGAUUUGUAGCAUUUUUGAAACUUUUGGUCAUCUUACACAUGAUUGUCCUAACAUUCCAGUUUUCAAAGAAGUUUUACAUGAUCAAGCCAAUGCUAGGAACACUUUCAAAAAGCCUCUUUCUUCUCCAUACUCGGAAACAUAUUAUCAACAAUGGAGAAAUCAUCCCAACUUUAGUUGGAGAGAUGAUAAUCGUGUUCAUUUAUUACAACCUCAAGGGCUUUCAAAAUUUUCUUCUUGUCCACCACCACAAUCAAAGACUCUUGAGGAAACAUUGCAGUCUUUUAUGCAAGGACAAGCAAAUAUUAAUAAUCAAACUUCACAAGCCAUUAAUGAAAUCAAGAACACACUUUCUUCAUUGACCUCUUCCCUGCGUUCUCAAGAGAAAGGCAAAUUUCCUGCUCAACCUCAACCUAAUCCUUCCGGGCAAUUUAAUGUAAAUGCUUCAAGUUCCUCUGAAAGUCAACAAGAAAAUGCCAACUCCAUCACGACUCUUCGUAGUGGAAAAAUUAUUCACAAAACCAUCCCUUUAAAAGAACUAAAAUCGGGUGGGUCUUCAAAGAAAGAAAAUGACUUUUCCAAAAGUGAGGAAAAGAUCAUUUCUGAACCCAUUGUUGAAAAAUGUACCAUUCCAGCUCCAUUUUCUCAAUGAUUGCAACCAAUUUCAAAACUCAACCAUAAUUCUGAAAUUUUUGAACUUUUCACACAAGUCAAAAUUAACAUACCAUUAUUGGAUGCAAUCAAACAAGUUCCUUCAUAUGCAAAAUUUUUAAAAGACUUGUGCAUUGUCAAGAGGAAGCUUAAUGUUCAACAGAAAGCAUUUUUGACGAAGAAUGUGAGCUCAAUCAUUCAACAAAACACUCCACCUAAAUUCAAAGAUCCUGGUUGUCCAACAAUUUCUUGUGUGAUUGGGAAUAAUAAGAUAGAGCGUGCUUUCCUUGAUCUUGGUGCUAGUGUUAAUCUAUUACUUUUUUCUGUGUAUGAGCAACUUGGUUUGGGAGAGCUUAAACCAAUAGCAACAACACUUCAACUUGCUGAUCGUUCAGUAAAAGUUUCAAGAGGGGUUGUAGAGGAUGUUCUAGUUCAAAUUGAUAAAUUCUAUUAUCCUGUUGAUUUUAUAGUUUUGGACACACAUCCUGUUUUAAAUUCAAAUGCACAAAUACCUGUCAUUUUAGGACGUCCCUUUCUUGCUACUUCAAAUGCGUUGAUAAAUUGUAGAAAUGGUAUCUUGAAACUCUCUUUUGGAAAUAUGACAGUGGAAAUGAAUGUUUUUAACAUUUGCGAGCAACAUGGAGAUGAAGAUGAUUUGCAUGAAGUAGAUCUUAUUGAAAAAGUUGUUGAUGAUCAAUUUAUCGCUACAUGUUCACAUGAUGCGCUUGAAUUUGAAUUCAACGAUAAUUCUAAAAAUUCGCACAUGAUUUCAAGUGUUCAAGAGCUAAAGCUCGAUUUGAAACCAUUUUUUGAGAAUUUCUAUAGAUUGGAAGAGUCCGUUGCUAUACAUGAUUCUAAAGAUUGAUAUCCUUUUCUCAUUGUUUUAUUUUGUUAUGUUUGUUUGCGGUUUUAUAAUGUUGUGUGUUUUUUUUUUUUUUGGUGUGUUUCUUUUAUUGUUGUUUUUUUUUCACUUAUGAAAUUGAAGGAUCAUUUAGGCCAAGUUUAUUUAGACUUUCUAGGUAAAGCUCAAAACCCAUCCCUUUGUUCAAAAUUUUGCUCCUUACUGUCCUUCAUAUAUUUUGCACAUUUAAUCUUUACAUUGAGGACGAUGUUUCAUUUAGGUUGGGGGGAAAGGAAUAAAAAAAGUUCAAAAAAAAAGUCUUUAUCGACCAAUGAUAAUAUUUGAAAUUGUUUUUAUAUUAUUGUGAUUAGGGGAUGUUGCUUUGAUUUAGUUUAAACUUGUUCAUGUUAGAUUGAUCUACAUUGAGCGCAAUAAUCAUGAAAAUCACAUAUUAUUUAGAUUGGAUCAAUGGAUUAGAAUAUGUAGAAUUAACUAUGACAAAAAAAAAAAAAAAAUCCAACCAAACCAAUUCUAGGAUUGUUUGGGGUGGUUGAGCUGUUGUGGGGAGACAUUGAGAUAGAUGUGGAUUCCAUGUGUGUUAAAUUUUGUGUGGAUUGCUUAAGACCAAUGAGAUGAUAAUUAGGUGAAAAUCUUAAGUUAAAGAUCGAUUUUCGAGAAUAAGCAUUUAAAGAGGGGGAUUGCACUAAUCAUUGCAUAGAAGGGAAAAAGCUGCCAUUUUGUGAAGCUACCCUAAAAGAGCCCAAUGAGAACAAUUAUAUACAUAAAAAGAGAUAGGCUAGUGCAUGAAAUAGAAUACGUACGACAAACUUGAAAAAAGCAGGUGCAUGAAACAGAAGACGCACUACAUGCCUUGAUUAAGUCCCAAACACUUAUUUUAGAGAAUUAGACCUUUGAUAAGGGAUUAGUAGCUUAGUUGAUUUUUGGAGAUUGUAUCAGUCAAAAUUAGGGAGAAUCCUCAUUUAUUGAUGUGUUGAGCUACAAUUAGUAAAAUCUAACCAAACUAGAGAGGGUGAGUAAUAGUAUAUAAAUUUAACCAUAAAUCACGCCUUGGGAAAAUAGUUACAAAAUCAAGUUUGGGGUGUGCAUCCAAUGAGAGAAUAGAGAAAUAGUUGAACAUUGAGGGUCGAGAUGAGUCCAAUUUGAAAAAGGCAUGUGAUUGAAUUGAUUAUACACACACACACAUGUUGGUGGAGCAUUGGACAAGUUAGACUAUAUUUUGGUAGCAAACCUUAGAAGAAUUUUGAUAAGCAAUUUCAAAUACUAAGGCAAAUGCGACAAGCUAUUUCAUUUGAACUAUUUUUGAAUUUUUUAUUGCUAGAGACCGGCAAUAUCUUAGUUGGGGAGUGUGAUUAGCAUCUAAAAGUGCUUCAAGAUAUAUCAUUUACAAGGCAUUUUACAUUCACUUUGUUUAAAAACACUAAUGUCAGUUUCUAAUUUCAAUUCUCCUGCCGUAAAUUCAAUUUCCAUAAAUACAUGGUUAAAAAUACAAUUAAUUGAAAUAUGUAUUUAUAUACACAUUGGCAUGAGCAUUAUACAUUUGAAAGUAUAUAUAUUUGAUGUAUUUUACAUGUAUUUCCAAUUUAGAACAAGUGGAGCAAGUGGAGGAAAAUAAUGUUGAAAAGUCAAAAAUAGUGACUGCCUCAAGCAAAAAGAAGCUGUCGGUAAAAUGAUUAUAACUUGAGCUGCAGGCAUUGGAUCGAGGUGAUUAAAGUUGGGUUGGAAAGAUAAGGAAUUUUUCUACAACGUUUAUGUUUUGGAAGAAGUCAAAUUAGUACCACAAGGUAGCCAAAAUUACCGAUCAAAGUCCAGCUUGUUACCUGCCGGAUACAGCUUUACCUGUGAAGCAGCACUCUCUUUUUUUUUGUCAUAUCUGGAGUUAUAUAGAUCCAAUGAACCUGAUAUUUGAACCAAUGGAAGUCUAACUCAAUUGGAAAUAAUUUAUCAUUUGAUCAUAAGUCCAAAUUCGCUGCACAAUGUAUCUGAAAAUUGGUAUCAAGUUGCAUGUUCCAGCUGUCUUGAAGCUGGACAGAAACAAGUUGCAUUGCGUACUUGAAUUUUGGAUGUUCCUUUGCCUAUAAAAGGGGACCUUGGCCAUGAUUUUGAGAGAAUCAAUUUCUCUCCACCAUAUUUUAGUUUCCUUCAUUUUCUUUGUAACAUUUCAUUAUGUAUUUCUAAACCAUUAGCAAGAGCUAGGGGUGAAACUUUGGUGAAUGCACAGUAUUGUCUUUGAUCUUUCAUUUUGUUCUUCAAUGUUCAUCUUCUUACUUGGUUGUGGUUUGUUAAAGACUUUGAUUUUUUGUUGACAAUUUUGGCACAAUAAAUGCUUAGAUAAUCUCUACAUUCCAACAACUUAUUUUGACAUAUUCUCUCAAACAAUUAUCAAGAUCUAUCUUUCAAUAUAUUUGUGAUUAAUGUUUUAUCUUCCAUAUGAGAUCACUCCUUAGUUGAUUUUCAUAUGAGUUAAAUUAGAGAUCAAGGGCAAUUUCUACUCAUUUAUCCGAAGUGAUUCCCCAAUGCUCUAGUGUUCGUCUUCAUCAUAUUUCCACCAACCGUUCACUACUCAUAGACUAGUUUAUUUCCUUCAAAUUCCCUGUGGUUCGACCUCGGACUUCCGAGAUUUACUACUUGCGACAACCUGCACUUGGGUUUGCAGCCUUAAAGUUGUAGCAGGAGGCUCUGAGAAAGGUAGCUAGGAUGCAUAAUGUGGAAGCAAUAAUGAAGAAGUUUGGCACUUUAACUCAAUUUAUGCACAUGGUACACAAUAUCUAGCUCCUGUUUGCAUAGGUUGUGGGGUAAAUCACAUCACUACAAUCACAUAGGUCAGCUAGCAGAGGUCAGUUGUGUGUAAAACUAUUAGAGAUAAAAUGGACCUUACCCACACAACUACCAUCCGAGCUUGAACAAUUAUCCAAACUAUGAGAGGCUGGAUAAUUUGGAUCAAGUAAAUCAGAUAAAGGAUAAUCCGCCAGUGAUUUAGCAACAAGUAGAAAAGAGGCAAUCAUUGGAGGAUCUACUUGUCAUGUACGUCACCAAGACUGAGAUGGCGAUGCUGAAUUAAUAAGACUUGAUUCCUAAAGAAUCAGGUAGGAUAGAUAGCGGUUGUUUUAGCCAACGGACCACAUGGUACCUUAUCUAGCGACACAGAGAAGAAUCUACAAAUGAAGACAUUAGCAAUAGAGGCAGCGAAUUCUGAUAUUAAAGAACCACCAUCAUUCAACUUGCCAUCUCGGUCAAGGCUUAUGUACCAGCCAUUCCAUUCCCAUAGAGUCUAUGAAGGCAGCCAAUAGUGUUGUAGGGUCAAACCAUCGCUACUGAGCGUGGUAUUCAAUUUUCAAAACCACUGCAAAGAGGAGUGAGAUAGAGAACAAUCAAAUAUCUACUAAAGGGAAAGAACAUGUGGAACAGUUCAAAGAAGCAACACAGAAAAAUCAACAAUUAGUCUCAGACAACCCAUAGUUUAGGAUAAUAGUUUCUGGCACUUCAUUCACAUCUCUAAUUCCUUCUCUACAAAGACUACAAAAAUACCAAACUUGAAAGACAGUUUACUAAGUUCUUGGAAGUCCUCAAAAAGCUGCAUGUCAACAUCCCACCAUUGAUGCGAUCCUUCAAAUCCCAAACUACUCCAUGUUUUCGAAGGAGAUGUUGACCAAAAAGAGGAAGCUGCCUGAGCAUGAAAUGAUAACACUAUCUGAAGAAUGCAGCGAUCAUCCAGUACGGGAUCCCGUCUAAACUAAAAGAUCUAGGAAGUUUUACUUUACAUUGCUCCAUAGGAAAUUUACAUAAUAUAAGUUGUUUAAUUGAUUCAGAAGUAAGUAUUAAUUUAAUUCCCUUGCCUUUUUAUAGGAAACUGGGAUUAGGAGAUCCUAAGACGGCCUCUAUUAUCUUUCAGCUGGCGAACAGUUCACAGAAGUACCCUAUGAAAUAGUCGAAAACAUACUUAUCAAGGUGUGAGAGUUUAUUUUUCUAGGUGACUUCAUCAUUUUGGACAUAGAAGAGGCAUAUCAAAUGCCAAUAAUCUUGAGGUCAUUAUUAUCUACAAAUCAAGCCUUGUUGGAUUUUUAUAUUAAUGAAAGUCUUGAGGAUAGAGGAUAAGCAGCACACUUUACCAUGGAGAAUCCAAUCAAGAAAAUCUCCUACUUUGAGGAUUGCUAAGAAGUGGAUCACUGGGAGAACUGCAAAGAUAGACCAAACACAGGAGGAAUCAUUAGGAGGGGCAGCAAUGGAAACAUGAUUGUUUAGAGAGUCAAGGAUGAACCAAAGAAGUUCAACCAGUGUCUAAAAUGUAGGACUCGAAACUCGCUUUUCAAGCCACCAUGAAGAUUCUAGAAACAACAGGAGUCAAACUCAGAACUUUAAACAAGUGCUUGUUAGAAGGCUACCCAACACUUCUAUUCCUUUUAUUUAGUCUGCUUUUUAGAUUUGAAAUAGAUUAAUAUAAUUUAGAUUAAUUUUUAUUCAAUUUUAGAGAUUCAUCAUCCACACCCAAUUUCUCUUUAUGUUCUUAAUAUAUUAGUGGUUUGUUACAUGUUUGAGCUAAGUAACUGCAUUGGAUACACAAAACACUUAACCAAAAAUGACCAAGAAGACAAUGGAGAGCAAAAGGAAAAACUAGCUAUUGGAUUUCAUGCGCAUAUCAGAGGAGAAUUUUCUUACAUAUCUUCCCCACCUCUUUUAUAUGAAGACUUAGAAUUUAAGACACUAGGACAAUGUCUAAUUCAUGUUUGAGGCAGAAAACAUGAUUCUUCUUUUGUUUUCUGUGAUUUUAUGUGUUUCAUUACUUUAAAUAUGAGAAAAAAGAUUAAUUUUUUAAAAAAAAUUCAAAAAUAUUUUAUUUGUGUGUGUUGGCUUGAGUUAGUUAGCCUGAUUGACAAUGAGGAAUAUAUUGAAUUAUAAAUUGAUCUAUGAAUGGUGAAUAUGUUACUUGCUUAUGUUAAUUUUUACUUUUCAAUGUGAAGUUUGAUAUACAUUAAGCACGUGAAUUAACUUUGUGUAGGAAUGAGUUGAUUUCAUAAUGGAGAGGUGAAAUGGUGGAUCAUAGAUGCCAAACCCAAAAAUCACUAUAUUUUACGUCUUUAGACCAAAUUUAGAAUAGUUUAGGAGAAUUUCUCCAUUGUAAGAAGAUAUUAAGAUAAAUGGAAAUUUCGUGUGAAAUUGAAAUCUUGUGUGGAUUGUCUAAGGUCAAUAGAUGAAAUUGGGUGAAAGUCUCAAGUUAGAAGUCGAUUUACUUGGAUAGGUGUUUAAUGAAGGACAUUGCACUAAUCAAGGUGUAGAAAACAUUUUAUUUGGAAAAUUCUCUUUAUAGCCUUUAUGAUUUGGGUUAUUACCUGUGUAAGGAUAUUAAACCUAUUGCCCUAAAGUCAAUUGACUUUGGAGUCAUUCGUCUAAAGCUCACUAAAAUGGUCAUUUAGAAAGUUUGAGGAAGAGAAUGCUUCAAAUAAAGAAAAAAGAAAAAAAAGUAUUGAAAUAAAAUUUGAGAAAAAAGGAAAAAGAAAAAGCAGGUGCAUGAAAUAAAAGACGUAGUAAAUUCCUUGGUUAAGAAAAUUUAAUUUUUGAUAAAAGAUUAUUAGCCUAGUUGAGAAUUGAGAUUGAAGCAAUCGAACAAUAGAGAAUUAUUGUUUAUUGACAUUCGACUUGCAAUUAGUGAGAUUUAUCUAAACUAGAGGGAUGAUGAUAGUAUAAAAUUCAACCUUCAGUUACACACUUGAAAAGAGCGAAAAUAAUAAGUUUGGGGUUUGUGAAUCUUAUGAGCGAUGAAAGAAAAUAUUUGAUCAUUGAAGGUCGAGAAUUGAAGCUAUUAUGAAUUCUUAAUAUGAUCCUUAAUUUUUCACAUACACGUCGAUUUUACAUUGGAAAGUACGUAUUAAUUUAUGUAUUGUGAUUAUGAUGUUGCACAUAGAUUUAAUUUUAUGAUUUCAAUAUUGAGAUAAAAAAUCAGGUUGGAUAGCUAAAUCUUUUCACAUUGCUUAAUUGGCUGGCCACCAAUUAGGCAAUUAGCAUUGUGUAUUUGUGUGUUUGUUAGAUUUUAGUUUCGUUUGAGGACAAUCAAAGAUUCACGUUUGGGAUUUGAUAUGUGUAAUUUGUACACUUAUUUAAGUUCCUAAAUGAUGAUAUUUUGUUAUUCUUUGGACGAAUUAGUGCCUAAUUAGUUAUUUAUUGCUUUUAUUAGAGAAAACUCAUGUUUGGACGAAGAAUUAGAAGAAAGAAUGUAAAGGGCUGAAAUGAAGUAAAUCCAAAGUUCGAGGAUUAAAGUUUAAAUACUCAAAAGUUGUUUCAUACCUCACGAUAAAGAUUCAAGAGUGCUAGAGGUCAAUUGGAUGAGGAAAUAAGUCAAAAGGAUAAAGUUUAAUCAAAGUAUUAUUAACCAUUAACUUUCCACCAAAAAAGUUAUGUUUUGGAUUUUCAGCCUUAUAUCGAGACACAAUUUUGCCAUAGUAACCUUUGAAUUGGGAAAAGGCUUUCUAAAAAAUUGUAAUCCUUUGAGUUAGCUUUUCAAUGCAGCUUGAAUCAUUUCCAUCAGAUAUUGAGAAAGGAAGUUAUGACAAAAAUAUUGAAUACUGUUUGACUAUCGAAAAUUAGGUGAAGCGGCUUCCUAGCCUUCAAAAGAGGACCAUGCCCCAACCAAAAGAUGAGGCAACUGAGGUGCCCCUAACCAACCAAGUGCAUGCGCUAGAUAUGCCUAAGCUCGCAUCUCAGUACAAAAAGGAAAAAAAUCCGAUUUUCCUUAUUUUUCUGUUUUGGUAACAACUUAAUGCGAUCUUUUUGGCAUCCUUUAAACACCAAAACUCAACAAGAACAUUAAAACCUCCAUUCGACCUAAAUUUUCAUCACAUUCUACAUAUUUUCGAGGUGAAGAACAAGUCUACACAUCAAUUCAAGGUAAAUCAUACAAGGGUUUUGAGCCAAGAAUGUGGAUUUCUCAAUACUUUUUCCACCUUUCUUAUUCCUGGGGGAUGUUUUUCUAAUUAUUCUUGUGUAAUUUAAUCAUAAGAAUGUUAGGCCAAGUUUUUCAUUGGAUUGGAUGAGUGAUGAAUCCUAUUAUUUGUUUAUUUUAAUUCAUGGCAAUUAGUUUAGUAUUUCUUGAUUGAUCUUGCAUUCCAAUUGAACUAUUUGAUUGCUUGAUCACCAGUUGGAUAGUAAGUGCUUGUUAUAGUACAAGAAUACUCAAAAUAAGUCUAGAACGUGACAAAAUCAAUGCAUGGGAAAUAGAUAUUAUGAAUAAUAUCUAUGGCAUGUACAAUUAUAUAUGAUAAAUCGUUUAAUCAAUUCAUAUUUUUCAUAUGAAUUUAGAUAUCUUAAGAAUAUGGGCACCUGUAUCUCUGCAUCAGUGUGAAUAUUUAAGUCUCAUUUUGGCAAAUUUUAUAAAUCAAUUUAUAAAUGGUCAAAUUUUAUUUUCAACCACACAUUUUAAUUGAUAUAGAAGUACUAUCCACCUAUCCACCAUUCAUUUUUAUCUAUCUAUAAAUUAAAUCACUUACAAAAAAUGGAGGUCAAAUUAUUUAGACUUUAAUCACCCAAUCAAUAUUUCUGAAGCUUGGAAGAGCUUACUAAAUUACAAAUUAAGAAUUGAAUUAAAUGGCAAUAGGGGAUUCACAAUUUCAAUACAAAUAUUCACAUAUUAGAUAAAUAUUUUAUUUACGUUCGUAGUUUAGAAUUAGUGUAGAACCAACCACCUCUUUCGAUAUUACAUGACUUCGAAUUUGAUAAAAGUUAUUGAACAAGAUAUUAACCCUUACCUCUCAUGGGAAUGAUAAACUCGGAACUCACUGAUUUCUUUUUUGUUGACACAACCUCUUACACAUAUGGGUUUUCUAUGAACAACUGCCUAAAAUGUGUUAAAAAUAAUUUGAGAGCAUGAAUUCCUAAAUAUAUCUCUGAAAAUACUAAUUCAAUCCGUAAAAAUCUACUUCUAAUGCAAUACUUAACCAAACUAAGAAGUAAGUGAUAGGAAAAUGGAUUUUCUCCCAUUAAGCAUUUAAUUUAAAGUCUAGAGCUUGAUAUUUUCAUUAGUGUUUCAUGGGACUUCGAAUAUGGCUUGGAGAUACUGCUUAGCUUGCUUAAUUUGAUUUUGAUCAAUAUUGUAAUUUUCCUCAAAAUCUUAACAUUGUACUUCUCCAAGUAAUAUGACUUUUCCCCAUCAUCUGUUUCGAACUCAAUAAUGUACACCUCAAUCUUCUCAUAAUGUUUAAUCACAAACUCAAUUUUUGAGCAAACGAUGAAGUUGAGAAAUUGCACACUAAUUUUGUCUUCCUUGAAUGCUUCAAAUUCUUUUUUGCCCAUUAUGAUUAAUUUCUCAAUCUUAUGCAAUUAUGAGUGAAUUUAACUAACUAAAUACAAAUUAUGCUAAAUGAAAGUGGAUGUGUUCUAAUGAUUGACUAACGCCCUAGGAUCAUGAAUUUCCAUGCAACAAUUCUUUUUAACUUUAAUUCUACACUUUGACAAUACAAUUGAAUUUUGAAGAAUCAGUGUUCCUAUUUUAUACAACAAUCUUUCUCGAGUACUGUAAACCUACUUUCAUAUAUGACUCGAGUAUAUUUUUAUAACGGAUGUGAACAUGUAGGAGUGCAUGAAUUUUUAUAAACACUUAAAUAUUCAUGUAGAGCAUAGCAUAUAUUCUAUCCCUAUUGGAAUAACAAUUUACACCAUGUCGAGCCUAUUUUCCUCAUUUCGAAUGCAUAAAAUCGGCCAUCAAAUUCACACAACUACCGUGCACAAUAAUUAUACAGAAACGAUAAUCGUAUAACUCAUUCAAUAUUUAAAAACUUAUUUUUGAUGUCAAAUAUUUAAAAUAAAGAUUAAAAGCUCAUAUUAUAAAGUUCAUCAUUCUCCUAAUACAAAGAAAUCUAGCCUAAAUUAUGAAUCUUGGUUGGAUCUUGAUGUUGUGAAAUCUGUCCUCUCGUUCCUUACUGUCUUCUAUGCUAUCCAAUGUGUUGUAAUGCAUCGUAACCACUUUUGAACAGUCCUAGGUUUUUAAAAGACGUCCCAAUCAUGUUUCCAUAAGAGUUAAAGUAAUAUAAAGAAACUAGAAUUUUUCCUCCGAAUACAUCAUAGUUCAACAAAUUUCAACCUUGGGACCUUCGAUGCGACCACAUGGAGAAAAUAACUAUGCUAUAACAUAGUUCAAGUAAAAUUUCAUUCUUUGUGUUUUGAUCCCUGAAUUCUAUUUUCUCAUUUCUUGACCUCUUUUCUCACUAUUCUUCUUCAAAUACUUUAUGCCUUCCUUAAAUCGGUCUCUAACUCUUUCAUAUCUUCAUUUCUUCUUUGGGUCAUCAGUCAGCUGUUUACACUUUGGUCUCUAAACUUUGGUUUUCUUCCAUUAUAGUCCUUUUUUCGAUUGAUUCUCCAAAAAUUCACCGUUUCCAUCAAUGUUAUCCUACAAAAUAUAAUUUAUAUAUAAUUAAGCCAUAGUCCAAUAUAUUUACCAACAAUUAUCUAUGUUUUGUAGCCUAAAUGAGUUUGUAGUAUGCACUUAUCAAUCUCCAACACUAUUUCUAUUAAAAAGUUCAGUAAUGCCAUUUAGCAGUAUAUUAAUAAUCUUUUUUUGAAGUUAAAGCAUAAUACCAUGGACCACCUUCUUGUUGCUCUUUCCUUUUUUUAGUAAUGUUAUUAUCACCACCUGUGUUAAGUACCAAUUUAAGUGGUAAUUAAAUGACAUUAAAUGAUAGCGUCGUUUAUAUGCAAAAUUACAUGAUUUAUUUAAUUGAACUCAUAAAGAAUAGCCACUUAGACUGGUGCUAGAUAAUAUUAUUCUUUUUUCCCUUAUAUCUUAUUAAUGGAAAUUACUAAGAAAAUAUAAGAACUUUGGUUAAUUUUGCAUUUGGGUGCUGGUUAGUUUCAUAGGGCAGCUGCAUCAGUCUCUUGGAACUUUAGAAAUUACAAUUGCAUUGUUUGGGUCAAUUGAGGAUAAAAGUGUUUUUACUUCGAUACAUUUAUCUCUUUCUAAUUUAUUCGAUUAUGUUUAGGAAAGUAGAAAAAUUGGAUACCACCAAAGAACUAUCUGAUAAUCUAGAUGUUUCAGCAAAUUGGUUCAAUAUAUAAUCAAUCAGGGUAGAAAGAUAUUAGAAGAAUAUAAAGAUGUAAUUCUUUCUUAAUUCUAUCCUAGAUAUAUAGAGAUAUUUAAAACAUUGGCAUUUAAUGUGGUAGAGAUACUAUAAAUCUUGAAAUUAUUAGUAAUUUACUUAGGAGUAAAUUACAAUAACUAAAAGAAUAAAAAUAGGAUUCAAACAUUUUUGAAACACAUGUAUGUUAAAAGCAUAUGUCGAUAUGUGAAGAAUUAUCAUUAGGAAUGAAUUUAGGCAAUUGUGGAAAUAACAAGAAAAAGAAAAGAAGAUAGAUCCAAAUUAAAGGCAAAGGGCUUAAGUGCUAUGGUUGUAGCAAAAUGAGGCACUUUAUAAAAGAUCUUACAAAAUAGAAAAGACGAAAUCCUUGUAGGAGACAUGAAGUCUUUGUUGGUCAUUGUUUGCUAGUCACUAGUUGCUAGUGAUUAGCAUAUUGUAACCACUGUUGUUUUAGACUCUGAUCAAGAUUGGUCUAUUUUGAUUUAAAAUCAACGGUAAAUUUGGUACCUUAGAGGUGCACCUUUGAAGACUUUAGAAGAAGCUAUUCUAGGCCAAGAAAAUCAACAUAUUAUAGAAUAUCAUUGAGCAUUACAAGAAGCUUCACAUCACGAUCAUUACGAGUUUCUUGACGGCAAGAUCAUAAAGAAAUUCAUCAUUAACAGUUGUAUUAUUCUCUUUUUUCAAACUAUACAUGUAAUGAUUUCAUCCAAUUUGCAAUACAUUAUUUCAACAGCGAAACGGCUAGAUAGCUCUUUAGCAUUGCUCCUACUGUUUGCUUUAUGUAUUGGAGGUAUUAGAUUGGGCCUCUCCUUCCCUUUCUUGAUAUGAAGUUGUUUAAGAUUUGCUUCUUCAGGUCCAGCCAACCCCUAAUGCUAACUACUUAGAACCUAUUGUACUAUCUUUUUACUACCCUACAAAGUGUUAGAUGGAAGACUUUACACUUCAAAGCUAGAGAAGCUCCUCUUAAGCUCAUAUGAGUCAUAAAAGUUCUGAGGUACUUCUCUGGGUCUCAUCUACCCUCAUACAUGGGUAUUUUGGAAGAAGCAAGUGAUUGGUAACAUGGGUACUCCUUAGCUCUUAGGAGAAGGGGAGAUUGUCUCCAUAUCAAUUUCAUAGGAUCUGCAUUGCUUACUAGAUUCUCCUCAUCAAUUUGAUUGCUAGGUGGGUGCUCUGCAUUCAUAGCUUACAGAGGUCUCGAUUGACAUUUUCUCUUGUCAUUUUUAGGUUGGGGUCAUUUUGAGGAAUAUUUCAUUGUAUUUGCUCGUGGUGCCUAAUUAUGGAAGGCUCUUGUCGUGGCCUAUUUCUAGGAGCUUUGAUGCCUAACUUAUUGAGAUGCUAGUAGACUUUCAGGUCUUUAUUCUCAUUCAUAAACUAGAGGAAAAUUAUCCUUUCCAUUGAAUGGAUUAUUCAAAUGUUUACUAGAUGCAUAAUUUGUAGCUAUAUCCAUUCCUACCUUUCUUACAAUAAGGUUGGCACCUCUUCUUUGACCUUAGGAUUAGAACCCGUCAAUUAGUUCCUCAUCAUUUUCUUGUUGGUUUUUCUCAUUGGGCUCGUUGGCUUUGGAAGAGGUUUGGUUGAGGUGUAAUUCAAGGUAUUUGAGCACCUAUUUGCCCUUGCAUCAAUAGGAGGAGUUUUCGAUUAUUGUGUUCAUCUUUGUAAUGUUUCUCAUGUUCACAUCUUUUUCACCACUUCUCUAGUGAGGCAAAUUGCAAACCUUACAAAAUCUUAGAUGAUGUGAUUGACCUUAGGGGACAUGGGUUUAGAUGGCCACUUUUUCAGGGACAUCCCAAUCUUUAAUUGAAUCCUUUUCUUCUUCAGUUGCACUCAUGGUAGAUGGACCAUCUUUUAUUCAGUAAAGGGUCUUCCAAAAUAGAUUUUUUUUCUUCAAAUCCUCAUUUUCAAGAAUGACUUGAAACACCCAAUAGAAAAGAACACUUAGAAUUUCUUCUUUUGAAACUUUCACUUGUUCUUUGCUCAAGAACAUAACCUUUUUAAGAGUGAAGUUGAAGCAUUUUAUGGUAAGCUUUUUGCAUGUGUUUAUGCAUCAUCAAUAGUGUGUUUUUAUACAGAUGAUGUCAAUCUAUUGACCUCAAUAUCUGUACAAUGAGGUAGCCAAUAGACUCCAACUUCACUCACGUCCAUGUAACCUCUUGCCUACACACUUGGACAAACCAUUAAUCAUACAUGUCCUUCUUUAUAGGUAGAUAAGGCAGUCAUAUGUAGUUUACUAUCAAGUCAGUCACUCAUUUGGUUGUAGGACGUGCUUAGACAUGAGCUACAAGGGUGUUCGAAUACCAAUGGUUAGUGUAGAACUAGUUUAUAGAUGGUAAAAUGAGAUAGAGUAAAUUGCAUUAUCUUCAAUGAUAUAAAGUGUUAGUUGUUCUAAUCGAAGGUAAGAAAUGGUAGAGGUUAGAUAAAGAGACACGUGUUAAUAGUCUUUACGUCUUGUUAUAGGCAUUAUUCCAAAAGUCCUAGGAUUAGGGACAAUUAAUGACCCAGACAAGUAGCCACCCUAUGACCUAGGCCUAGCGUGUAAGAAUACACUUAUGCAUUGACUUGGUAGAAUAGCUAUUACAGAGGUCUAAUGGUGUCAAAAAGCUUAGCCGAGUCGAUUCGCAAGCUGAAACUCGAGGCUCGAGGUCGACUUGAGUAAAAUGUUUCAUGGUUUUUUGCGAGCUUGAGCCAAGCUGAACUUUCGCUUGGCCAAAAACUCAAGGCUCGACCCUAGCUUUCUAUUCGGGCUUUACCUAGUCGAGCCUAGCUGGCAAGCUCAGUUAUUUUUUUUAAUUUUUUUUAAAAAAAAUACAGCAGUACACUGCUUUUAUUUUUUUAAAUUACGCUCGUGAGCCUAAGCUGGUAAGCCACACGGGCUAGCUCGGGCUAGGCCCAAGCCUCGAGCUAGGUGACUCGAGCCUUUUACAGGGUGAACCACAGGCAGCCUGAACUGAUGAGUUUCAUUGCCAUCCUUAGAGAGAUCACAUCAAUCAAUCAUAUAUCUUGUACAAAAAAUCUUUUAGGGAACGCUUCUCAUAUGCUUAGAGGCCAUUCACUUCGAGUUGGUGUUGUACGCCUUCACAUCAUAUCGCAUCGCAUCGCAUCGUCUAUAGAGGUUCAGCCUCUAUAUGGACGUUAGGUAAGUUCAUCACUUAAACUACAAAAGGCCUUGGGUAGGUCAAGAAUAUGAUGGUGAUUUGAAGUGCAUGCCUAGAUUUGCUUAAUUACUAUAUGGCUGCCACGGGGCUGUUCCUGAAGCCUUGUUGGAUAAGGUAUAAUAGAUAUUUUAUUCUACAUGCGACACACAUCUAAGUGUAGAUACUAAGUCCAACAGUAAUUUUUGGAGAAGUAGAAUCUUGUCAGAGAGGUUCUGGGUUGGAUAAUCAGUGAAGAUGUCUUAUGCAAUGAAGGACGAAUCAGGAACAAAAAUAGUUUCUAUCAAGCAAACUUGUAUAUAUACUUUGUCAAAAAAAUGGCUCAUGUAGAAAAGGAAUGACCUUUUUGCAACCUAAUCGAUGUCCUUUAUUGAUAGUUCUGCAUAUUUUUUUAAGCUGUAAAUUUAGUCUAAUAAGUCAAUCAAGUGAAGUUGAACUUCUGCCAUUUCAGAUAUAAUAAUUAGAAUUACUUAGUAGUAGUCAAAACCUAAAUAAAUUGUGUUUAGAGCUUCAAAAAUCUAUAAUGAAGUUAAAUACAUGUAAUUAUGAAGAAAAAGCCUUCAAGAAUCAUUUUUGCAUACCCACGGAAGUUAGUUGAUCCUUUUCAUAUUCACUAAUAAUGGAAAUCCAACAAAAUAGGAUUGAGAGAACAAAACCUUUGCUUGACAAGGUGAGAUACAUGAUUAUUAGCUUUAGACUUCCCAAGUCCUUUUGGAGAGAAGUUGUGACAAUAGUUUUUUAAUGAAUAGAUCCGCAUCUAGUGCUUUACAAGCAAAAUCCCUAUGAUAAAUGGAUAGAAAGCAUGAGUAUUAUCACAUUAGAACUUUUGAUUGUGUAACACUUUCUCAUCAAGAUAAAGAAAAAUUAGAGCCGAUGGGACCGCAAAUAUAUUUUUAUAAGCUAUCCACAAGGGAUCAAGGGCUAUAGAUUGUGGGCUAGGGGAUUCAAAAUGUGUAAAAUUCACCAUAAGAAAAGAUGCGCACUUUAAUGAAACUGAAAUGCCUUGUUUAAAUAAAAAUAAAAAAUAAAAAGGGUAAAUAGUUAGAAGAAAAAUGGGAAUCUCAAACCAAUAUAAUUAACUAAACAUUUAAGCCUUAUCCAUAAGUCCUUCCAAAUGUCCUACAUAGCAAGCAAUUGUUGGACCCCAACACCAAGUCAUAGCAUCACAACGCUAUUCUGAUCGAACCCCUUUUCGGGUGGCCGAGCCAAUACGUCUGCUGAGUGUACUAGCUGAUCUUGAGAGGAGGAAUCGAACCAAGGGGGAGGAUUGACUAUAAGGAGAAUUCAAAAUAUGCUAUCCUAAACAAUCUAUGGUGUGUGAUUGACGUGACAAAUCAUUGCUGCUACCACCACUUACAGCCCACUAGAUUAAGUCUAAAGUCCCGAGUUAGGCAUUUCGGAUAAUACUAUAGUAUUGGCAUUUAAUGCUUAUGAUUGAUUGAUGUCUCCAACAAGAGGCAUCAACCCACAGAUGAAGCCACGUGUCUCUUCAUUCGACGACCCACAUUCUUUUUCUUCCACUGUAAAUACUCAGACUCAAUGUCAUACAAAGAUAACGCAAGUUUAGACUCUCAAGUUAUAACUUUGUCAUAUCAUUUUUUUAUCUAUCACUUCCCAAAGUCGACCAACUUUUUAUGCCGGAGGCUUAUGUCUACAGCACUCCUACAUUUAUAUACCUACUUUUCCAACUAACUUGCUCAUCGGAAUGUGAGUGGCCAAUUCCACCCCAUCGGGGAUGGCCACGUGUAGCUAACGUAUUUUCCAAGUUCGUAGCAAUUAGGCCUAUGAGGACGUGAAAGGUUUUGGAAUUUGUUGGCCAUGUUGGAGGUAGACUUUUUGGGAACAACAGAUUGACGCUGUCUGUAGAAACCAUACUAUUAUCAUGAAUAGUAUUGUGGAGAAAAACCAUUUGGAGAGUGAGUGUUCUACAACUUAGCCUUCGAAAGGGGGCCUUAGUUCUUGAAGAAAGAAUAAUCAUGGAUAAUAAAGGGACAUCACUGAAAACUUCAGUCAAUAUUAAAAGCUAUUGCUAUACCAUGAGUUCUAGCUAUUGCGGCUCUUACUGUAGGAAUCGAUUGGACGAGGCUUCUGAAAAAAAGUCAUCUUGACGAAUGUUAAAACCCAUCGACCCCACACCAACAUCGGAGUAAUGGUAGCAUUAUAGCAAAAAUGAAAAUGCUGGCAUUCAAUACUUACUCAUGUAAAGGCAAGGACAAGCUAGAUAGCAAAUGCCUCAGCUGGGUCUUUCGAACAAGAAGAAGAGGAAAACGAUGAGGAUUACUUCCGAAGACAAUAAAUGGAGCCUAGCCCCUUCGAAAUGGAGGUGGAAGUGGAUAUGUCUACAAAUUAGACUUCAGUCGACUACGUGAAGGCUUACCACGUGGGGCGGAAAACUUUUUCCCAAAGAAUUCAUAAGAGCAAGAACCUCAAAGGUCCACCGGUGUAUUUGAUGGAAUUGGACCAUCAGUGCCUAGAAAUAGGCCCCCACAAUCACAUCCUAUACAGAGAUAGCAAGGUUACGGGUAGAGCCAUGAACCCUAUGGAGUCCCUCUACUAGAAAUGCGAGGAAGAGAAAGAAUGUUACAAACUUAAGAAACUAAGUCGGUACUUUGCAACAGCCCUAGUCGGUAUUUCGCAUACUAGUGGAAGUAUUAGAAGUUGGUCGGAUGUCAAAAAGGCCUCCCUAAAUCAAUAUUGAGGGCUUUUUUUUUUUUUUUUGAGAAUUUCGGUGUUUCAGACCUGAAGAAUUGAGGUUAAAGAGUAAACAUUGAAGUGCACAGAAAUAGUAUAGGUUUUAGGAAGAACAUAAAUCUUGUAUAAGAUUGGUGUUGUUGGACAUGCCCACGUUGAUAACUGAUUUCAAGGACGGGGUGGUGGGUUGGGGAUGGGAUGGGUGAAGAAGAAGACUCAUUUUAUUUCUUUUGUUGUUUUUAUUCUUUUGUAAUUUUUAUUUAAUGUUAUCAUUUUAUCCCUUUCAAAAUUGGUUGAACUAAAGGUCAAAUUAAUAGAAAUCAUCCAUUUGGACUUCAAGUGUGAAUUUUUGAAAAGUUGUGUUGUGGAUGCAACAAAAUGAAGGUUAGGCAAAGUCUACUUAAAAUCGAAAGUUUUGGUAUCAUGGCUGCAAUUUUCCCUAAAAUUUUUAUUGAAGAUUUUUUUCUUUCUUUAGUCAAUGUUUCACAAUACAAGAUACUCUGUUUAAAAAUGAAGACCUUUUCCUUCAUUUUCAAAUUUUUAGCUCAAUAAACAUGUAUUCACAUGUACGAGGAAAACGUAAUGCGCUAAGAAUGGAUUUAGCGUAUGGUUAAUAAGUUGUAGUGUAGUGGUGAAUAUUCUUGUCUCUCACGCGGGUGAUUUGGGAUUGAUUCUUGUUAAUGAUGUCAAAAACUUGUUUCUUGAUUUCAAUGAUAUCAUUAACAACGACAAUAAUGAAUCUAAUUAUUAUUCUAGUUAUUAAAGUCUAAUAAAAUAAUUAAAAUGUUUACAAAUAGAAAUUAGGAUUGUUAACGUAUAUGUGUGAAAAGUGUCAGGAAUUACGAUUCACCAUACUCAUCCAAUUUAAUCUCGGAUCUAAAGUUUGAUUCCUAAAGUUGUAUUCGAUCAAAUUAACUAGUUUAAUCAAAUUUACCUCUUUUGAAUUCUAUUCAUUUCUUUCUAACCAAAUUCACCGAUUAUAGCUCUUUGUGAAUUAGAAUAAGCCUCAACUAAACAUAUUAUAUCACCUAGAGCUCUUUCAUCUUUUCAAUCACAUAUUUUUUUGAUAAAAUAAUAUUACACGUAAACAAAAAUCUUUUUCCUUCUUUAAUCUCACAUUCUACAAAAAUACUAUUCCAGAAUACUUAUUUCCCUAAAAUCUCAUUAAAAUGGAGGUCAAAGAAAGGUAAAAGUGUAUAUCAACCUUUUAUCUAAUUAAAUAAUUUAAAUACAUCCCUAUUCAUUAUAAAUUUACAAUUCAUUGAAAUAGUCGCCAAUUAUUUGAAACAUAAUAAGAAAAAUUGAAAUAAAACAUGAAAGAAUUAAAAUAAAGAGUCUUGAGAAUUUAAAAUUAAGCCCAAUUUGAUUUGGAUAAUUCCAUUUUUUUAUUCUUUUUUUUAAGAUUUUGAUAAAAGUUGGUAAAAUGUGUGAUUAAAAAGUUGAUAAAAGUUGUAAAUAUCUUGAAAUGUGUGGUUGAAAAUGAGUUUAGGAAAAAUCGAGUUAUAAGAAAUGGAAUCAAACAAGUGCUACUUCUUGAUUUAUUUUUCUUGAUUCUUUCCUUAUUUUCUAUAAUUUUUCCUCAAAUUUUCUAUGAUCUAAACGAGAUAUAUUUAUAGGUCUGGACGAAUUUUGAGUGUUGUGCUUUGAAAAUGAGUCAAAUAGAUCAAGAAAAGUUAAAAUAAAUAAAUAAAAAAAGAUACAUCAGAAUGGACCAGGUCGGACCACAGUGAAUAGCAGCAAGAAGCACUUGGGUCCAUCUCGGUGCAUCGCAGUCCCCCUAAACUAUCCGAUUACAUCACUUUGGUCCGCAAAUUCGAUUUUUUGUAUGACCUUGGACAUUUCUUCAAGUUUCUGCUCAAGUUUGGACAUUUUCAUCAUAAUUUUCAAUUUUGAGGUUGAAACUUUCGUCUCAUGCAUCCAAAAGUGUGCAAUUUAGUCCUCAAACUUUGUAAAAGUUGAAUUCCAUCCCCCCAAGACUUGCAAUUUUCUUUCGAAUGCUCUCUUAAUACUUCUUAUCACUCAAGUACAAUUUGAUUAGUUUUUAAUUCUCUGAAACAAAUUCAAAUUAGCUCAAAAUUGCCUCUUUUGUGCAUCUAUUUCAUUGAAAUAUGAGUUUUCCUAUAAUUAAGGGAAUUAAAAUAAAUUAGAUAAAAAUUCUCAUAAUUAGUAGCAAUUUAUUAGCUCUAAUAUUACGGAUCAAUAUGUGAAGAUGAGAGAAAAAUAAUAAGAAUGGAUAUAUGCAGAGGUCACAUCAACUUACUCAACUAGGAGCUAAAUUGGAAGGAGUUAGAGGAAUGGGUAAUUAGAUGAAACUUCCUUUCCUUUCAAUAUUAUUGUGCAAAACGUCCAUACUUUUCAUUUUUGGCACUUUUAUCCAUACCUUCACCUUUUAUUGCAAAAAUCAUCAUUUCCAUCAAAUUUCUCGUGUAAAAUGGCAAAUAUACCCCCUAUGUAAAUAAAACAGUAAAAAAGGAAAGAAAAGUUAAAGAAUAAAUCGCAAUCAUACUCCCAAACUUUUUUAAAAUGUACGAAUGAGUCCAAAUAAAUUAUUAAAAGUGUAACUAGCACAAAACGUCCUUACCUUUCAUUAUUAUUGUGCAAAACGUCCCUUUUAUUCUUUGACAUUUCCACCCUCAUUUCAUAUUUCAUUGCGAAAAUUAUUAUUUUCAUCCAUUUUGUCAAUUAAAAGCUGUAAACUAACAAAUACACACCCUCUUUAAAUAAACAAAAAUUAAAAAAUAAAAAUAAAGAACAAAUUACAACUAUAUUUUCAAAAUUUUCAAAAAAGUACAAAUAAAUUUCAAAUAAAUAAUUAAAAAAGAAUUUUUUUAAAAUGAUUAUGAAUUGGUAUCAUUCGAUGUAAAUAUAGAAGAGAUUGAAAGGUUACGAAGAAUGAUUAAUGAGGAAACAACCAAUCUGGAUAUUGAAGGAGGAUCUAUUUGUGCAACAACCUUAAAUAAAGAACAAUAGUUUGCGUAUGAUACAAUUAUGGUCAAGUAAAUAAUCAAUCAAGUGAUGCUUUCUUCAUUGACGGUCCAGGUGGGACAGGAAAGAUAUUUUUAUAAAAAUCACUAUUUGCUGCUGGAAGGUGUCAAAAUCUAAUUGCUUUGGCAACUGCACCUUUAUUACCUCGAGGUUAGACAAUAGAAUCAAGGUUCAAAAUUCCUCUGGAAACUACUAGUCAGGUUAGUUGUUCUAUAAGUAAGCAAUCAAAGCAAGGAACAUUGUUAAAAAAUUGUCUCGUUUAAUAAUUUGGGAUGAAGUUCCCAUGAUAAAUCAAUGUUCUGUAGAAGGUGUAGAUAAAAUGCUCAGAGACAUUACUGAUUAUAAUUUGCCUUUCAGUGGAAAAGUAAUUAUUCUUGGAGGAGAUUUUCAACAAGUUCUACCAGUCAUACCAAGAGGAAACAAAGAACAGAUAAUGAAAGCUAGCUUGGUAUCUUUAGAGUUGUGGCAUUUUUUUACGUUUACCCUUGCUUCAAAAUAUGAGAGCAAAAUUUGAUCUCAUCGUUUGUGAUUACUUGCUUAGAAUUGGAAAUGGAAUAGAGCAAAAGCAUAGUUGUAAUUGUAUUAAGCUUCCAGAUAGUAUCAUUUUACCAUUUGAGGAUGAAAUGACAUCUUUAAAAAAAAAUAGAUACACUAUGUCUUUCUAGAAAUAGAAACAUGUGUUGAUAAUUUACAUAUAUUGCAAAUCGAGUGAUUCUUACGUUUAAAAAUGAGUGUGUUGAUGAUAAUAAUAGAAUUCUACUCAAUCAAAUUUCCAUUGAAAGUUUCACAUUGUAAUACAUUAGUUUAAUUAAAAAAAAAAUUAAAAAUUAAAAAAAAAAAAAAGGAACUAAAAAAAAAAUAAGGAGGCGGUGGAUUGAUUUAUAUCAAUCCACCCAAGUUCAAAUCUAUCCAAUUACACACACAACACACCAAGAAGUUGAGGCAGGGAAAAAGGGAAGAGAAAAGAGGGAAAAAAAAUGAAGAAGAAGAAAAGUUCACCUAUGUUGUUAAAAAAUAAGCGGUCUAUACUAUUAGGCUUGAAUUCCUCAAUUUUGAAAUGUAAGUAAAAAGUUAUUUAAUGUUAAGUUAUGUUUGAUUUUAUAAUUGUUAUAUUGUUAGACUAAAUUUAAUUUUAUUGAAGGGAUUAAGUGUAAUAAACUAUGAAAUCGAGUAAGAUGAAAGAAAAACUAGUUUUAGUUAUUAAAGAGACUAUAGAUUCGCCCAAACGUGAAAUGAUUAAGUUUGGGUAUCACCUAUUUAAUUAUUGAAAUUAUUUAAAAUAAUUAAUUGUUUAUUUAAAAAUUAUAUUGUAUUUCAGGCGAUGAUACUGACAUCAGAACAGCUUACCAACUGGGUUGAUUUUGCGAACAUAGUACUAUGAGUGAUAAAAUAUAAAUAUUUUUAAAGUAAUUAUAAAUUAAGUUUAUUGUUAAAGUAUGUGCAAUUAUAUGCAAUUAUGUGUUCGAAUUAUAUGGUUAUUAUGGAAAUAUCUUUUAUUAUGAUACAUGUAGGAUUUCAAAGAUUGUAUACGUUACAUUGUGAUUUAGAAUAUGAGAUAUGAUUUUGAGAUCAACCAGAAAAGUACCCGUCAUUAUAUAUUUCUUCUAGUUCAAUGAGGGGCCUUGUCUAGGGGUGGGCGCAGGUCGAUUCGGUUCGGUUCUCUUUAGAACCGAACCGAACCAAAAUUUUCGGGCAUCUAGUAAAUGGAACCGUCGGGUUCAAAUAUAAUUAUGGAGCCGUUCAGGUUCGGUUCCAUUCCAUUCGAUUCUGUAUUAUAAUUAAAUUUUUUAACAUUUAUAACAUUAUAUAAAUACAACUAAUAAUACAUUCAAUGUUUUUGGAAUGCCAUAGACUGGUAGACUACUUGUUCAAAUGACUGCUAAGGUCAAAGUUUCGGUUGGCGGAGGUCGCAGCUUCGAUCGGAGGUCACAACAUCGGUCGAUGAUUGUAUAGGUUUCGAAAUAUCAACAAGGCUGCGAGAGUGAGUGCGAGAGUCGAGAUAACGUUAUGCACUUUAGUGUAGGUGUUUAGAGUUAUUUAGUGGAUUGGAUCUUGUUGGGCUAAGAAAUGAAACAAUAAAAUGGGUAAUGGGGCCAAAAAUUAAAAAAAUUAGAAAUGAAACAAAUUAUUGGGCCAAAAAUUUGGAUUUAGAAAUUGUUAAUUUGUUUAGAAAAAAUUAAAAUUAAAAUAAUUUGAUUUACUCAAUAUAAAAAAAAAUUAGAAAGAUUCGGUUCUUAUUCAGUUCUUCGAUUCUUGGUAUAGAAUCGAGAACCAAACCGUACCCGUCGGUUCUCAAUUCAGGUACCCGUUCGGAUAUUUAAUUUGACAAGAACCGUCAGGUUCGGUUAGUUCGGUUCGGGUUCGAUUCAGUUCAGGAGAUUUGCCCAACCCUAGCCUUGUUUGUGUUCUAUACUACACUGAGGGGUCUUGGACAAGGGAUGAAAGAGUCUCAACCGUGUACAUAUAGUUCACUAAAGGGCCUUGGCCGUGUUUUAGAAUUGAUUACUAGAGUUCUUUGAGACCGACUUUCGUUUACGGAGGGGCCAAAGGCCCGUGGCAAAAGUGCUUGGCCCGAUGAGACGGAUUACAGAUUUUAGUCAGAUGGUACAUUUUUUGUUGAUUUUCCAUUACAUUUGAUGUGAUGAGAUUAUAGCAUGAUUACCAACUUAUGUUUAUAUCAUGACUUGAGAUGAUAUUUUAUCACGUUAUGUGAAUAUAUCACGUUUUGGCUAUAAUUAUAUAAUGUUAUCUUGCAAGUUAUUCAAUGAUAUGAACUCAAUUUUUGAUAAAAAUGUAAAAAUGAAAAAGUAUAAUUAUUUUUGAACUUCUCCAUUCACUGAGCUAUCAACUCAUAUAUUUUUCCACUAUUUUUCCUACAGGUAUUGAUUCUUUUUAGCUGGAAGAGCCUAAUAAUUUCGAAAUGAUAGCCACACAACAUUUUGAAUAUUAUAAACUCAUAUUGAUGAAGCACGAAGUAAAUAUUUUGGGCCCACCGCAUUAUAUUUUACAUAAGCAUUUGAUUUUGUUGCAUUUUUUGAAAUAACUCAUAGUCAGCCUUGGUGAUAGAUUUGACAUCUAGUCAGCAUCUAUCAUCGGUGCACGUUACGUUUUGGGUCCACUAGAGUGAUACGGGACGGGUCGUGUCAAAGUGAUAUCAGAGCAUGGUUUUGAGAAUUUUUAUGGCUCAUGCAUGUUCAGUGGAUAUGAUCACAUGUUGUGGUGGCAGAAAUCACAAGCUCUCUAGCAUAAAUGUAUGAAACCAAAAAUGAUAGAAAAAUAUUUUUUUAACAGAUUUAGAAACGACUCGUAUGUAAGUAUGGUAGUUGUAAUGAUCUAAUUGCUGGAAAUGUUAUUAGUUGUUAGGUUGGAACUAUGUGGGUAUGUAACCUAUUAAGAUUUGAACAGAUUGUGAUAAUUUUGAGGGCAUUCAAAGUUACAGAUGUGACAACUACUAAAUUAUCAAUUUAUUUGCAGAACUAUAUGAUUUUUGUUAGGAGUACAUAGGAAAAUUUUUUAGCUAUAGCUUGCACAAUAAAUAAAAGGAAAUGAUAUGAUGUGUGAUUGUGAAAAUCAUUUGAGAAUUUUAAUUAUUCUUGAAGCCAAAUGGUCAUUAGUAUUAUCAAAAUUUUGUGGUGAUUUGUGGCCACUUUUAUGGGACGAUAAUAGAAAUUAUGAUCGUGUAUAUUUAUGUCAUGAUAAGAAAUUGUGGAAGACAAAAUGAUGAUUUGUUGAUUGAUAGAUAAUAAUGUUUUAUUGUGUAUUUUAGGCAUCAAGGAAAUAAACGGUAAUCCAAUUAUUUCGAUUAUUUAUGAGUUAUUUGAUUAUAAGGAAUGUGAGAAUAAUAGGGAUGGACUUCAUAAUUAUUACUGAUUAUGGGGUGAUUUGUUACUUUAGAAAUAGAAUCAAAUGGAUAUGUGAGUUUAGGUAUGUUUAUGUGGGAAAAAAAUAUAUAUUUUGAGAAUGAUUGAGUUGAAAUUUAUUGAGAUUGAGAAAUUAAGAUGUGGUGUAUUGAUGUGUGAAAUGGUCAUGUGAUAAAUAUGAAGGUUAUUAUCUUGUGAUAUUAAGGAAAAUUGACAUAAUUAAAUAUUUUAGAUCAUACGAUAUGAUGAUAAAUGCUAAGGUUACAUGAUCACAACAUGAUAUAGUGAAUAGCAUGUAAAAUUAAUAUAAUGGUUGCCUAUAGCAAAUAAUGUGAUGAAAGAUUUAGGUUAUUAAGUUAAUUAAUUUUGUUUAAAGGCCAUUUGUUGGAGUAUUGUGUUAUAUUCCAUAGAAUUUGAAAGCUUUGAGCCAAAUUUCGAAGUUAAGGUGAACUUAAUGAAGUUUUAGUGAUGUAAAUUUUGAGUUAAUUUCGAUUGUAUUUUUAGAUUACAUGAAUAAAGUAUUCCAUUCUUCUCGAAAUAUGCACAUUAUGGAACAUAUGGAUGACAUGUUGGAUAGCCUAAAGUUUAAGAUGAUCAUCACGUAAAUUUAUUCCAAUUGUAGAACGGUAUCUUUAAGUUAUAUUCUUUUAUUGAAGGUCUUGUGCGAUAUACAAGAAAGCUUAUGCAUUGGUAAUAUGCUGAUGGUCUCUUUAUGGAAUAAGAGUAUAGAAUUAUGAUAGAUUAAUUGUUAUAAUUGUCUCUUCAUGGAAAGAAAGAGUACCAAAAUUGUGUGGAUUUAAGGAUGUAAAAAAUGUUGCUAUCAGAUUAAAUUGUAAGGAAACAUUUACUCUUGUAUCAAAAGUUGAUGAGGAUUUGAUUUAUGAUAAUGGAUUAUGUUAAGGUUUAGAAAGUGUUCUGAAGUAAAAUGAUGAAUUAUGAAUUAUAUGAUCGAUUAUUGAAGAGGAAUGAUCAAAACAUAAUUUGGAGUUGGUUAUGUUGGGAUUAUGUCAUCACAUUGCGAGAAACAUCAAUACUUAUCAAUCAUCAGAGUUUAAGGUAUAUUUUAUUUGAAAUGGUGGAAAUGGAAAUUGUGUAUAUAUUAUCAUUGGGUGAUAUAGAAUUAAAGGAAAAGAACACUAUAUUGAACCAUCUCAAUUGUUUUGUUGGGGAUAACUAGAAAUUUAAAAAAUCAUGAACAAUUGAAUUUUUGGAGAUUAGAAUGGUGGUAGUUACCCUCAAAUGUUUUUGUUUGGAGAUUCCCAGUACACGAAAUGGAGACAAAAUAGUAUUUAAAUCAUUGUGGAUAGAUUGAUAAAGGUUACAAGAUUCUUUUAAAAGAUAUGGUCAGUUCAUAGGAUAGACUUAAAAAAAAAUUAUAUAUAGACAAUUUUGUUAAUUACAUGGUGGAAUUGGUGUAUUUAUCUUUGGUUAGUUACAAGAAGUUAUGUGAUUAAAUUACAUAGUGUAUCUUCUUUUAAUAGAAUGUCAGACACUAUAAAGAUAAGUUCAAAAAAGAGGCUAUCAACUAUGAUUGAUUAAUUAUAGGAUAGUUGGAUAAUUAUUUAUUCUCAUGAAAUUGACAUAUAAAACCUAGACACAAGUGAUGAUACUUGAUGUUAUAUAUAUAAUAUUGAAAUAUUCCAAGGACGUAUAACGAAAUGGUCGAAAGAAUGUUGCUCGAUCUUACUAUGUAACCAUUGUUAUAGAAAAAGAAUGUGAUUAGAGAAUGGUUUAAAUUAGGACGUAAGGUGAAGAUUUGGAGAACAUGAAAAGUAGUAUUUUAAACUUCAAAUUGGAAAAAUAAUUGAGUUUUCCUAAGGUUUUGGAACAAAAAAAUAAAUAAAAAUAAAAAUAAAGAUAAAAAAGAGAACAGAUGAGGAUAUCAUAUAUCCACUUAGGAAUUUAUUAAAAGUAUGAUACAAAAGAUUAAAUUUUGAGACUAAAAGUUUGUUGGAGAAAUCAUGCUGCAGAAGAAACGACAUAGGAGAAUGAAGAGUAGAUGCGUUCUCAGUAUCCACGACUUUUCCGCACUUAAUUAAUUGAAUUUCGAGGAUGAAAUUCUUUUAAGGGGGUGAUUUUUGUAAUACGUUAGUUAAUUAAAAGAAAAGUAAAAAGUUAUAAAAAAAGGAACUAAAAAAAAUAAUAAGGAGGCGGUCGAUUGAUUUGGAGAACAUAGUAUUGUGAGUGGAAAAAUAUAAAUAUUUUUAAAGUAUUUAUAAUUUAAGUUUAUUGUUGAAGUAUGUGCAAUUAUAUGCAAUUAUGUGUUCGAAUUACAUAGUUAUUAUGGAAAUAUCUUUUAUUAUGAUACAUGUAAGAUUCCAAAGAUUGUAUACGUUACAUUAUGAAUUAGAAUAUUAGAUAUGAUUUUGAGAUCGACCAUAAAAGUACCCGUGAUUAUAUAUUUCUUCGAGUUCACUGUGGGGCCUUGGUCGUGUUCUAUACUACACUGAGGGGUCUUGGACUGGGGAUGAAGGUGUAUCGACCGUGUAUAUAGUUCACUGAAGGGCCUUGGUUGUGUUCUAGAAUUGAUUACCAGAGGUCUUUGAGACCGACUUUCGUUCACGGAGGGGCCAAAGGCCCGUGGCGAAAGUGCUUGACCCGAUGAGGGGGAUUACAAAUUUUAGUCAGAGGGUACAUUUUUGGUGGAUUUUCCAUUACAUUUAAUGUGAUGAGAUUAUAGCAUGAUUACCAGCUUAUGUUUAUAUCAUGACUUGAGAUGAUAUUUUAUCACGUUAUGUAAAUAUAUCCCGUUUUGGAUAUAAUUAUAUAAUGUUAUCUUGCAAGUUAUUCAAUGAUAUAAACUCGAUUUUUGAUAAAAAUGUAAAAAUGAAAAAGUAUAAUUAUUUUUGAACUUCUCCACUCACUGAGCUAUCAACUCAUAUAUUUUCCCACGAUUUUUCCUACGGGUAGCAAUUGAUUCUUUUUAGCUAGAAGAGCCUAAUGAUUUCGGAAUGAUAGCCACACGACAUGUUGAAUAUUAUAAAUUCAUAUUGAUGAAGCACGGAGUAAAUAUUUUGUGCCCACCGCAUUAUAUUUCACAUAAGUAUUUGAUUUUGUUGCAUUUUUUGAAAUAACUCAUAGUCAGCCUUGGUGAUAGAUUUGACAUCUAAUCAGCAUCUAUUAUCGACGCACGUCACGUUUCGAGUCCACUAGGGUGAUUCGGGAUGGGUCGUGUCGCACAUAUUAUAGCUUUGAUGAAACAAUUGACAAAACAGAGAAAAGCUUGAAGGAAGAUUUCUUGAAUAUGUUGACCUUAAAUGGUAUUCAAGCACAUGAAUUAAAGUUUAAAGUAAAUUGUCCUGUAAUUUUAUCACGAAAUAUCAAUCCUUCAGAAGGAUUAUGCAUUGGGACAUGCCUCAUUUGUUGAAAAUUUGAGAAAAAAAUGUGAUCCUUGCUGAAAUUACAGAUGGUGAAUAUUGUGGAAAAUUUGUUUUCUUGCCGAGGAUCCAUUUUAUACCUCUUCAUCAUAAUCGAAAUUCAAUUCCAUUUAAAAGAACUUAAUUUCCAAUUAGACCCUACUUUACAAUGACAAUAAAUAAAGCACAAGGUCAAAUGCUUGAUUUUGUUGGCCUAUAUCUUUUAGAACCAGCCUUCUGUCAUGGCCAAUUGUAUGCAGUAUUAUCAAGAGCAAGAAAAAGUACCUCUAUUAAAGUAUUACUUAAACCAAUACACACAGACCAUUUACACAAUACAUGUACUCAAAAUUUUGUAUACAAGAAAAUUAUUCCAUACAUAAAUCAAUAGAUGUACAAAUUUUUGAAAGGUGUUCUUUUAUAUUUGAUUAAUAAUUACAAAUCAUUAUUGUUUAAAAUCUUUCUAAUGUUCUCAUUUAUUAAAAACUGUUAUAACUAGUACAAGCUAUUAUUUGCAACAUCUAUUUCUUCCAAAAUAGUCUUUUUGUUCAAUUAUAUGAAGCUUGUGUUGUUUUGACUGAAGCUAGGAUUCGCAGAAAAAGUGGAAUUUCUAACAAUCUUUUUUUAAUUCCUUACACAGAAAUCCUUGCUCCCUAUGAAUGUUCCAAAGUUUUUGUGGUGUGCUAUCAAUUGUAUCCUUUUCGUGAAAAGGUGCAAAAUCCUUAUGGAUUUUGUUAUUUCUAGAUUUGGUGACAUUUUGAGGCAACCUGGUCCUCGAUGCUCUCCACCAAAUAGCCAAUUAGGUGCAGGGCAAGAAGAAAACCACUCGAAAGAAGACGGUAAGUUAAGUUUAUUGUAAUUUGUUUUAGGCAUUUGGUAUUUUCCUUGAUUUUAAUAAUUAGCUAUUUCUAGAUUUCAUCCAUGGUUUGGAGCUUCUCAAGAAAAAUAAAAACAAGCUCUUCAAUGAGGUAUAUUUAGGGGGUGAAAUUUAAGUGUUUAAUUUUUUCCUUUCUUCCUUGCACUAUCAUUUUGUUGUAACCGUGCUUCUGUUAUCUAGUAUAUAUUAUGAUGAAGAAAUAUAUGAAUUAUUGGAAACUGAGAAAGUCAUUAUAUAUUAUGGAAGUGAAAAAAUCAUCACUGACUUUAGCAUGAAUUUUCUAGAUUCAUCUAGGAUUUACCAACUUUAUUAUUCCUUCUCAACCAUAGAAAAAUCUAGAGAAUACAUUAUAGAUAUUGCCCAUCACCAUUCUAAGAUUUCCCUAGGAAAAUGACUUAGAAUUAAUUAAUGAAAUUAUCUAGAAUCAUCGACUGUUGUGUAGAAGAAUUGUCACUACCAACUUACCUCUAUAAAUAGGGGAUGGUGUAUAGUGAAAAGUGUGUGAAGAGAGUGAGAGCAAAUAGAAUAAGUAGAGAAAGAGAGGCAUAGUGAGGUAGUGUAGUGUGUCAGCAAGGAGUGUCUCCAUAUAAUCAAAGUGUAUCCAAAAAAGUGUAAAAUUGUUUUUUAUCAAUAAAAAAAUAUUUUAUUUUGGAGUUUAAACUCUAUAAAUUUGGUAUCAGAGCUAGGCAGUCAGGGAAGGAUUUUUGAGCUUUUAGAGAUCGUGCACAAAAAGAGUUUGCGAAGCUUUAUAAAGAUUACUUGAUUACGAGGAGGUAAAUCAAGUCACGAUGGGCGAUCUACAAGUGCUAGGUGGAAUGAGGAAGCUUGACAAUUAGAAUUAUAUCACAUGGCAAACUUGCAUGGAGUCAUAUCUCUGAGGGCAAGACCUAUGGGAAGUAGUUGACGGAAGUGACGUAAUGUCGCUAGAGGAAGUCGGAGCUUUGAAGAAAUGGAGAAUCAAAGCGGUCAAAGCUUUGUUUGUUAUAAAGAUAACAAUUGAAGAAAUAUAAUUAGAGUACACAAGAAACAAGACUAUACCAAAGGAAGCGUGGGACACUUUAGCCUCACUAUUCUCGAAGAAAAAUGACCCGAGGUUGCAAUCGUUGGAGAACAAGUUGCUCUUGAUUAUUCUAGGAGAAUUAACGGUAAGUCAAUAUUUUAAUAAAUUUAAAUAUCUGUGUCGUGAAAGUUCUGAGUUAGACGCUUCAACUAAAAUUUCGGAGUCUUGAAUGAGAAGAAUAAUUAUACAUGGAUUGAGACCCAAAUUUAGAAGUUUUAUCACUGCAAUACAAGGUUGGCCCAAGCAACCUUCAUUGGUUAAUCUAGAAAACUUGUUGGCCAAACAAGAAGUAUUAACUAGGCAAAUGUUAGGGGUCUCAAUAAAGAAAGAAGAGGAAGAAUCAUUAUAUAGUUAUAAAAAAAGAGGUCGACCCCGUCAACAGAAUAAUAAAGAAUUAAAAGAAGGUAAAUUUGAAGAACAUAUUAAAAGAGGCUACCAGAUAAGGGGAGCUUAGCAGAAUUGUGACAUGAGAGGUCAAAGAUAUCAACAAACUAAUGGUGCGUGCUUUGUAUGCGGCAAACGAUGCCAUUAUGCUAGAGACUGUUGGUUUAUAAAUGAACUGACAGAAGGAAAUAUAGCAACCUCCAGCGAGAAAGAGAAGUACACUAGUGAAGAAGAAUGGGAUGCGGAGGCAGCUACAGCAACAAUUGAGCAGAUUCGAGAAAAGAAAUUUAAUACAAAUUUAAAAGAUGAAUCAGCAUUAGCGGUGGUCCUGCCUGGACAGUUAGAUUGCGAAAAUGAUUGGAUUGAUGACUUCGAAGAAGAUGAUUGGAUUGAUGAAUAAGAUGAGGACAUUGUGUUUCACAAAGAGUCUUCAGUGGACUCCGCAGAAGGGAGAACUAUUUGAAUUAGAAGAAGUGUUGGAAGAAACGCAGACACCACAGAGGAUGGAUCUGCUAGAUCAAACAUCACAGAUGGUGGAACAGACACCGAAAGGAGUGGAUCUACUAUAUUUAAAGGAAAUGGAUGACAAACUGUAAGAGGAAAUCAUGGAAGCACAACGAAGCCCUGUAGAAACUAAAGAUUUACGAAUGCUAAGUAAUAAAGAAGAGUUUAUUAGAGUAACACAGAGUACGGAGGAUCGACAAAGUCAAGAAGAUAUCAAGCUACGUACAAAUUUACAAUCACAAAUAAAAAAGUCUGGUGGACUUGAGAAAGCAAGUAUCAAAUAUGCAACUUUCGAAGAAGACGAGAGUGCGAAAAAGCUAGACAUAUUUAAAGUCAUGGAUGUGUUGAAUAAAUGAUCAACCACUUCAAAAGUCAACGAUCUUAAGACACGACUAAACAAGAAGAAGAAGAAGAAGAAAAAGGUUAAAAUAAAAAGUCGAUGCUCAAGAGGAGAAUUAAAAAAUCAUCACCGACUUUAGCAUGAAUUUUCUAGAUUCAUUUAGGAUUUACCAACUUUAUUAUCCCUUCUCAACCAUAGAAAAAUUUAGAGAAUACAUUGAAGAUAUUGGCCAUCACCAUUCUAAGAUUUCUCAAGGAAAAUGAUUUAGAAUCAAUUAAUGGAAUUAUCUAGAAUCAUCAACUUUUGUGUAGAAGAAUUGUCACCAACUUACCUCUAUAAAUAGGGGAUGGUGUAUGGUGAAAAGUGUGUGAAGAGAGUGAGAGCAAAUAGAAUAAGUUGAGAAAGAGAGACAUAGUGAGGUAGUGUAUUGUGCUAGUAAGGAGUGUCUCCAUAUAAUCAAAAUGGGUCCAAAAGAGUAUAAAAUUGUAUUUUAUCAAUAAAAAUUAAUUUCUUUUGGAGUUUAAACUCUACAGGAAGUUCAUAGGUGUAUUCUACUAAUUGUAUUAUGCAACAAGUACUUGUAAACUUCUAUUAAUUUUUGAAAAAACACUCAUAAAUUUUCUAAUGCAACAGUCUUAAGUUUUAUAAUGCAUUUUUUUUUUCUUUUUUUGGGUUAUGAAAGGAGUUCUUUCUUCCUAAUUUGACCAUGAUCAUUAAAUUAUACCUCAAUGUCCCUGUCCCUUUAAUCGUGAUGUCAUGAAUCCUAGAAUAUAUUAAGUAACUCAGUUACACGUUAGUUCUAUUAUUGCUGAAUUUUUUAUAAUUUGCAAAUGAAGUACUAUUUAUUAUGCUUAAAUAGAGCAUUCCCUGUAUUUUCACGGACUGUUAUGAUUUCGAAUGAUAAUUAUUUCUCAAUUUAGGUUUCUUUGGACUCAUUAGUGGAAACUGUGGUAGAUUUUAGUUAGGGUAAUAUAAUUUUUAUUUAUCUGCACAAAUGAAUAAAUGAUGGAUGCUUGUGAUACUAUGUGCAAUAAUUUGUUCUGUGCGAAUUCACUAAAUGCGGUUGGACCAAAGAUGUAAUUGUGGUUCUUAUCCAAAUUAGCAUUUCAAAAUGAUUACAAAUGUGUCCACUUCUGAUAAGUUGGUGUUUGAUUUUUCUAUAUCAUAAACUCACUUUUGUUUCUUAUUUUUAUGUAGAAAUAAGUAUGAUCUUUGCUUGGUGGAAUACACAGCUGUGUUGGCAUGAUUUUCUUUAGGUAAAUUUGGCUAAAAAUGUUGUGACUUCAGUUAAAUUCUGCAGUUUUUUAUACUCUUCUUUUGUUUAAAUAGUUUUUUCCUUCAAGGUUUUGUAUUCUUUAGGUUUUAAAUAUUUCUACUUCUACAUUCAUGCUUGUUUGAAUAGCUCGAUUAUAAUCACUUCAAUUCUUUUUUAACUCGUGAAUGAACUCGUAUAUUAACCCCCCCCCCCCCCCCCAAAAAAAAAAAAAAUUACUAAUACGAUAAUAUCUUGUGACGAAAAUAAAUAUGAAUAUAAACUUCUUUCAAAUAUGGAGGUUAAUGUUUCAUUUCAGUAUUUAUUUUCCUUAGUUUUUCCUUUAUCAUUAGUAUGAACUUAAACUUACUCUGUUUUUCUUUUUAAAUUUGAAUUUACCAUGUAGUUCGAUCUGAUGUUGUUAUGUUUAUCGUUCUCUGGUAAUUUGUUUAUUUUUAUCCUACUCUGGUAAAUUGUUUUAGUUCCUAACUGUAUUUAUAUGAAAUGUAAACUUCCAUGUUAAGUGUACAUUCUCUAUUUUGUUUUCUUUCUUUGGUUCUCUUUUUUGUGCAAAUUGAAAUCAAUAAGAAUUUUCAUUAAUUUUUCUAGUUUAUCUCAUAAUUAACGAAUACAACGGAAUUAUUGAACAAGAAGGUGAUUUAGUUAAAAUUAGCAGAUGAAGAAAAAAAAUACGCAAGCAAAGUAUUAGCUAUGUUAAAAAACAAGUCUUCCUGAGAGGUUCUGAAACUCGAGUAGAAUCCUCAUCAUCUAAAAACUCCUCCUCCAACAUGAGUAAAGAUCCCCUGAUUAUUGUCAAAAAAAUAUUGAUUAGCCAGUAGGCAACCAACCCCUUGACAUUCAACAUAUAGUUACGUACAUAUCAUGUCGUAAUAACUUCAAGUGAUAAAUGUCUGUUAGACAAUUGCAUAAUUAUUUAUUUGCAAAACAUGUAAUUUUUCGGAAAGUAAGUUACUUAUUUUACCAUUUGAACUUGAAUCUUCGCUUACUUUCAAGAAAAGUAACAUCUUAGCAUACUUGGGCAUAAUCUAAUUCAUCUGAUAACAACUUCUAGCUAGAAGUCCAAUCUUUGUAGCAUGUUGCCUUGAAAUGAUAUUCAAAACUCUCAAUGCUUCUUGGAAGUUCUCUAAACUUAUCUCCACUUUAUAACUCUUGGAUCAAUACGAGAACAAUGUACUUUUCUUGUCAUUAUCAUUAGUCCUUCCAUGCCUAACAGAAUUAGCAUUCCCAUAGUUUUCUGUAUACAAAUCAUGCAUUAGCAUAAAGACACAAUGAAACAUCAAUGGAAACAAUUAAAACAACAGAUAUUCAGACAAAUCUAUUUGAUGUAAUAUCAUCAUGCUCAACAAUAAACUCAAAGUUUGUUUUUUGGAAAUGCACCAACUGUCCCUAAUGAUUCUAUGUUGGAUCUUUGUUUGUUUAGUUCGAAGUUUUGUGAAACGUUCUCAAAAUGGCAGAAAAUCUGUACUGGUGAUGUCAAGUAGCAGCACAAGCUUCGUCGGGUAACUUUCGAUUUUGUUUGGUGUUGAGAUCUCAUUUAUUGCUUUUUUUUCAAAGAGAUUUUAAAGUCAUUCUCAUUAAUUUUUUAUCUUUCAGAGAAAUCGCCAAACAGCAACACAUUUAUAUGAUCUUUCCAUUUUUGGGAUUUUUACUUGAUUUUUUUGGUUAAAAAAAAAAUAAUAAAAUCCUUACCUUUGUAGUUCCAUAUGUUUUUAGCAUUUUAUUUCAGCGAUUAAUUAUUAUACUUGAUAUUUAAUUUUUUCAGAAAAAAAUAGGCAACAAUGAUUUGCAUCGAUAAUUCUGAGGUUUCCCUGUUGGAUAAUUUAAUGCUUUUAAAUCACUGGAUCUUUAAUGUUAAAUCAUCAAGAAAUACAAGAAUUAAAGUGGAAGCGUAUCUGAAUCAAACAUGGUUAAUACAAUAAUGAAUUUAGCGGUAUAGUCUUCCAAUGCACACUCAGUUUCAUUUUUCUCUUUGUGAUGGGAUGCAGUAGAGAAUGAACAAUACGUACGUGUAAUCUGGGGACCAUAACCUAUUUAUAUAGGGAUGCCCUUUGACCUAAUUCGGCCCAUCAUAGAAUUAGGACUUGGGUUCAGUCUCUACAUAUAUGUAAACCCACACUUUAAUUAGAUACAUUAAAACCCAAAAUCGAAAUCUUAUUAGAUCACUUUAAUUGGGCUCAACCGAAUUCGACAGCCUAUAAUUUAACACAUAAUUAUUCACACAUAUAAGUCCAUCUAUUGAUUAAAAAUCCUUACAAUCUCCCACUUGGGCUAUAUGUGUCACCUUAUAAUUGUGCAUUAAACAUAACCUUAUAAGUACUUAGAAUUUUGCUAUCAUUACUGAAUGUAUCCCCAAACAAUCCCGUCCAUCAAUCAUAUCAACAUAGGAUCAAAGAAGCUUUCGCUACCUUCAUUGUAGCUAAACCCAUCAAUGGUCACAUAUAUCAAUAUAACCGAAUGACAUCGAUCAAGCAUGGAUGUGUAGCAUGAAAAUUACAUGUAAUGUGAUCUGUAACAUACCUAUUUCCAACUGGUCUACCUUAAUACCUUAGUGAGAUCAUUUUAAACAAAUUCAGAGAUAAUAAACCAAAUAACUUUAACUUUAAAACAACAGUACAUGUGUCCAAUAUGAAAAGCAAAAAUACAAACUCCCACUGAAACUAGAUAUCCUCAAGAAACAUAACACCCAUAUGAGCAGUGUGCCCAUGAAAGACCUUGGGUAUCAAUCCCUAAGUAAGCGGAUUUGCAACCAUGGAGUUUGUCCCAAUAUGCUCUAUUGAUACCUGUCCACUCUAAACUCUUUCUUUAACAGCCAGGAACUUCAUCUCUAUAUGUUUUGACUUCGUCGAGCUCCUGUUGUUAUUAGAAUACAGCACUGCUGAUUUAUUGUCACAAAAUAUCUUAAGUGGUCUUUCUAUAUUGUCUACAAUGCGCAGCCCUGUGACAAAAUUACGCAGCCAUAUUCCAUGAUUUAAUGCCUCAUAACACGAUAUAAACUCCGUUGCCAUGGUGGAAGUAGCUAUGAGUGUCUACUUAGUACUCUUCCAUGAAAUAGCACCUCCAGCAAGCAAGUAAAUAUAGCCUGAAGUGGAUCUCUUACUAUAUUGGCAUCCCGCGAAAUCGAAAUCAGAAUAACCAAUGAUCUCCAACUGAUCCGAUCUCCUGUAUGUGAGCAUGUAAUCUUUUGUUCUCUGUAAAUACCGCAUGACCCGUUUGGCUGCUUUCCAAUGAUCCAUUCUUGGGUUACGUAAAUAUCUCCCUAGCAUCCCAACAACGUACGCUAUAUCCAGACGCAUACAAACCUGAGCAUACAUCAGACUCCCUAUAGCUGAGGAAUAAGGAAUCUUCUGCAUUUCUUUAAUUCCCAAGUCAUUUUUAGGACACUGACUUAAGCUAAACUUGUCUCCUUUAGCCACAGGGGUGUCACAUGGUUUACAAUCUUGCAUGCCAUAUCUUUUAAGUACCUUUUCGAUAUAGCUCUUUUGUAAUAAUCCAAGAAUACCCCGAGAACGAUCUCGGUAUAUCUGAAUUCCUAAUACAAAAGAGGUGUCACCAAGAUCUUUCAUCUCAAAAUUCUUUGUUAGAAAUCACUUGGUUUCGUGCAAUAAGCCUAUAUCAUUGCUGGCAAGCAAUAUGUCAUCACAUAUAAAAUCAAAAAAAUAUACUUGCUCCCACUGAACUUGUGGUAGAUACAAUCAUCGACAAAAUUCAUCUCAAAACCAAAUGAGAUGAUCACCUGAUGAAACUUUUAAUACCAUUGACGAGACGCUUGUUUGAGCCUAUAGAUGGAUUUCUUUAAUUUACAAACUAUUUGCUUUGUAUCGUCCGAUACAAGGUUUUCUGGUUGUACCAUAUAAAUUGUUUCAUCAAUGUCACCAUUGAGAAAUGCUGUCUUAACAUCCAUCUGAUGUGGCUCAAGAUCGAAAUGCGCUACCAAUACCAUUAUAGUCCUGAAAGAGUCUUUCGAAGAAAUUGGAGAGAAAGUCUCUUUAAAAUCGAUACCUUCUUUCUACGACAAGACAAGCCUUAUACCUCUCUACAUCACCUUUUGAAUCCAUCUUGGUCUUAAAUAUCCAUUUGCAACCAAUGGGUUUCGCACCUUUAGGCAAUGGAACGAGGUCCCAUACGUCAUUGUCCUUCAUGGACUUUAUCUCUUCAUUCAUGGCAUCGAGCCACUUUUGAGAGUUAGAACUUUCCAUGGCUUGACAGAAGUUGAUCAGAUCAUCUUCCACCAUUCCAAUGUCAACUUCAUGUUCUUGAAGAAAUACAAUGUAAUCAUUCGAAACCGUACUUCUCCUCUCUCUAGUGGAUCUUCUUAAUGACAUUGGUUCUUAAGGCUGUAGAGUUUAUUCUUCUGGAAUAAUUUGUUGAUCUUGAGAGGUAGGUAUGACAUUGUCUUGAUCUAGAGUUACUUCUUGAACAAUAUCAAGGAUAGAAACUUGAUCAUUGUCAAUGGCAAUUGGAGGAAUUUCAACAUAUUCCUCCUCAAAGACGAAGCCUGUAACCCUUUCUCCCCCCACAAACUCAACAUCCUCAAAGAACCGAGCAUUUCCUGUCUUGAAAAUUGCCUUAGUUAUGGGAUCAUAAAACUUGUAACCCUUGGACAUUUCAGAACAUCCAAUAAAAUAGCAACUGAUGGUCCUUGCGUCCAGUUUCUUUUCAUUUGGCUUUUGGGACCUUGCCUCAGCUGGACACCCCCAAAUAUAUAUAUGCUUCAAACUAGGCUUCUUGCCCGUCCAAAGCUCAUAUGGGGUUUUAUCAGUGGCCUUAGUUGGAACUCUGUUGAGUAAAUAGGAUGCGGUCUUCAAUGCUUCACCCCAGAGAGAUUCUGGUAAGGUAGAAUGACUAAUCAUACUCCUCACCAUAUCCUUAAGCGUUCUAUUUCAUCUCUCAGCAACACCAUUCAUAAUGGGUGAACCCGUCAUAGUGUAUUGUGGGACGAUACCGCAUUCCUCUAGAAAUUUAGCAAAUGGUCCUAGACGCUGUUCAACUGAACUGUCAUAUAUGCCAUAGUAUUCACCCCCACGGUUAGAUCUGACGCUUUUAAUUCUUUUGUCGAGUUGGUUCUCAACUUCAACUUUAUAAUUUUUGAACACGUCCAGUGACUGUGUUUUUUCAUGAAUAAGAUAUACGUAGUCAUAUUUUGAAAAAUCGUCUAUGAACGUUAUAAAAUAUUGUUGACCAUUCCAUGAACCAAUAGGGAAUGGUCCACAAAUAUCCGUAUGUAUAAGUUCUAAGGCGUCCGAAGUCCUAUUGGCUUGAAAUCUCCUUUUAUUGGUUUGUUUUCUCUUCAUAUAGUUGACACACAAUUCAUAAUCUGUGAAGUCAAGAGGGUCAAGAAUCCCGUCAGACACAAGUCUCUCAAUUCUCCUUUUGGAGAUGUGACCUAAUCUCUUGUGCCACAACGAGGCAGAAUUCUCACCGUUUAAUUUUUGCUUUACACCUCGGGUACUUACGUGCAAGGUUUCAUUAUAAGAAGCAAUUGUAGCAAUUGAAUAAAGAUUAUCGUAGCCUAAUAAAGAACUGGAACUAACCAAUUUUGAAUCAUGAAACAAACUAAAUUUUUCAUUUCCGAAUGAACAAGUAUAACCAAAUUAGUCCAAAACAGAAAUAGAAAUCAAAUUCCAUCUAAAAGAGAGUACAUUAAAUGUCUCAACAAGAUCCAAAUAAAAUCCAGUCUUUAACGAUAAUCUAAAUUUUCCUAUUGCCUCUACUUCCAUUCUUUUACCGUCGCCAGCGUAGUAUGUCUUUCACCAUCACUUGGUUUUCGGCAACUCAGGCAACCCUGCAUAGACAUAGUGAUGUAAGUUGUUACACCAGAAUCUAUCCACCAUGUAUAUCUAGGUACCGAACUUAAAUUAAUCUCAGAACAAACCAAAUGAAGAAGAAUACCUUUCUUUACACGCCAUGCGUGGUAAUUGGUGCAAUUCUUCUUCUUAUAACCUGUAGCUCCACAGAAGAAACAAUUAUCUUCAGUUGAUUCCUUAUGUUGUUUCUUUUGCGGUGCCGUACCCGCAGCUUCCUUAUUAAUCUUCAUUUUCUUGUUCCUUUUGUCCUUAGAGGUGGUGGUCAAAUAAGCACUUUCUGUCUUCUUAUGCUUCAGUCUUUCCUCUUCCUGGACACAGUGUGAGAUGAUCUCAUUAAGAGACCAUGAGUCCUUUUGACAGUUGUAGCUCACCUUGAAUUGACUGAAAUGUGCCAGAAGGAAUAUCAAAACCAUGUGCACCUACAACUCUUCAGAUAAAUCCAACUUGUGUGUCUUUAGUUUUGAAGCAAUGUGAGACAUUUCCAUAAUAUACUUUCAAAUGUUUCCUUUCCCUUUAUACCUCAUUAAGACAAGGUUUGUCAAAAGUGUACCUGUUUCAGCCUUUUCAUUCUUGGCAAACCUCUUCUCAAGAUCCUCAAGGAAAGCCUUAGCCGUAGUCACCUUAUCGGACAUAGUACCCCGGAAUGCUUCUGGAAUAGCAGGGUUCAUGACCAUUAAGCUUAUGCGGUUCGAUCGUUCCCACUUUUCCAUCUCCCUCUUGUCAUCAGAGGUACUCUUAUCAGUAAGUGCAGUAGGUUGAUCGACCCGCAAAGCAAGGUCCAGGUCCAUGACUUCGAGAACAAUCAUCACGUUCUCUUGCCACAUCCUGAAGUUUGUGCCAUUUAACAUUGGAAUUGAAUUGAUGCUAGCCGAGAUAUUAGCAACAGAACCUAAAAUUGAAUUAGAGAACGAUUAUUAUAAAUAGUUCACAUGAAUAUCUUUAAUAUGCAAAUAAUAAUAAUCUCAAAUAGUUGUAGGGCCCAUCACAAGAUACCAAGCACAACAUCAAUAUCUAGUCUUUGGACAGAGAUAUUGACUUGUAAGCAGUAUUCUUGGCGUAGUGAUCAAACAUUGACGAUAAAAUAACGUGUCAAUCAACAAACCUUUCUUUGGAUCGAUUUAUUGAUCACACAAUAAACCAAAUAAUCGACACACAUUUAUCACCACAGGUGCACGUAUAUUCGGCUAAAUAUUGACCUUCCUUUGGACCGAUCAAUAUUCCCAUUAAUAACACAUGCACAAACACUUUUUAAUAUUCUAAGUUAGUCAAUUUUCACAAGAGAGGUUGCUUUGACAAUAUGUUGCUUUAAUUAACCAACUUUUGAAUAUUAUAUCUCUUAAAAGAGUCCUUAGUACCAAAAUUUGAGAAAGAGAAUCACCAAUUUUGCAUAUUUUGAUUAGUUUUAAACUUUAGGGGCCUUAGGAUUAAUAAUUCAAAACUUUAGGGAUCAAAUUUUAAAAAAUUGAAACUUUAGGGGUCAAUUUGAAUUAAUUAUGAACUUAGGGGGCCAGUUAGAAUUAAUAAUUAAAUUUUGAGGGCUUUAAUUACAAAAUUUAGAACUUCAAUUGCCCGAAUUAAUUAAUUUUAAACCUUAGGGACUGCAUUAUUAAAUCCAAAACUUAAAGGCUCAAAUCUUAAUAUAACUUAAAGGUUAGGGACUGAAACCUUAAUUUUAUAACCCUAACCCUAAUUGCAAGCGGGGACCUCAAAUUACCUAAUUUACAUGUGAGGCCCCUGCCCCCAUAUCAAUCGAAAACUUGAAAACCCCUAAAAAAAAAUUCUUUUCUUCUUCUCCUUCAUUGGGCGGCGCCGAAAUGGUAGCAGCGCCCCGGCGCUGCAGCAUAUAGCAGCGAAAAAAUGGUAGUAGCACCCCCGCGCUAUAGCAUACAGCAGCGUGCGCUGUUGCACUGCUGCAGCAGCGCACGCUGUUCUGCUGCGUCGUUGCCGCUGUUGCGACACGGCGGCUGCCCCCCAGGCACACAACUUAAUUAUUAUUAUUAUUAUUAUUAUUUAUAUUGUAAAUCUGAAUCCAUAAUCUGAAUCACAAAAAAACUCAAAAUCUGUAAUCUUAAAUUCCUCAAACUGAAUAUCAAAGAUUUAUUCCAGAGCUAUGAAAAUAAUCAAGAAUAUCAUGCAGUAGAAUUUUUAGAUUCCACAAAAAUUAAAUCCAAAAUUGUCAAAUCUAAAAAUUUCAAAUAUAUUGUAAGGACCAAAUUAAAUUAUUCGAUUCUCAAUGAUUCAGCAUGAAGAGGAUAUGAUACCACUUGUUGGAUAAUUUAAUGCUUUUAAAUCAUUGGAUCUUUCAUGUUAAAUUAUCAUGAAAUACAAGAAUUAAAGCGGAAGCGUACCUGAAUCAGACAUGGUUAAUGCAAUAAUGAAUUUCGCGGUAUUGUCUUCCAAAUCUACACACAGUCUCCUUUUUCUCUCUGUGAUGGGAUGUAGUAGAGAAUGAAUAAUACGUGCGUGUGAUCUCGGAACCAUAACCUAUUUAUAUAGAGAUGCCCUUUGACAUAAUUCGGCCCAUCAUAGAAUCAGGACUUGGGCCCGAUCUCUACACAUAUGUAAACCCACACUUUAAUUGGAUACAUUAAAGCCCAAAAUCGAAACCUUAUAGAUCACUUUAAUUGGGCUCAACCGAAUUCGAUAACCUAUAAUUUAACACAUAAUUAUUCACACAUAUAAGCCCAUCUAUUGAUUAAAACUCCUUACAUUCCCAUCUGGGAAUGGGGAAGUAAUUUGGUCAUGGCAUAGGUCACGCGGAAUCCCUAGUUUGUGUAAAGCCAGUGGUGUCCUCCUUUUGAUGUGGAAUGACGACUACUUCCCCAAUCGAUUCCAGGCUCAAGCUGAAGCACUUAAUCUCAUAUGUAGCCCAAAAAACACAAGUAUUUUCUUUUCUUUUUCCCUUUGCACACUUUUUGCCCACUAUACAUGAUGGUUAUUAGGAUUUCUUCAUUGUUGUUGUGUAUAAUUUUAAUUCGUGUUAAUUUGGAUUAUCCUUCUUACCUAAUAAUGCUUAAGGUUUCUUUGAAUCAUAUGACUUUUAUUCAAUUUCUGGCUAACAGUAAUCUAAAAUGACAAAGACUUAAAGAAUAGAAACGGAGCUGCAUUUGCUGUUAUACAAGUACUUAUUUAUUCUAUAAUAGUGCGUUCUUUCACUAAUUUUUUUUAUAUACAUUGUAUUGUUUUCUUUCGAAAAAAUAUAAGUUGAUUUUUAAAUAACUUGUACAAUUAUAGUUGUUUCCCAAUAUGAUGAGUUAUAUUUUAAUUUUUCUUAAAUAAGCAUUACAAUUCUGUAUAUUAUGGAUUCGGUACUGGUAACUAUUAGAGGGUUAUGUACACUUCUAAGGAUAUAAUUAUCCUUUUCUCAUAUUCAUCUCUUGUUAUUGAUUUCAUAUCCCAGAAAAGGAGCCAACACAAUCCAUUGAUCCCUUCUAUAAAGAAGACUAUUUAUACACUCACAAAGUUGUAUAAGGUUAGAAUUGAAGAAAAAGUACACUUGCAUAGAAAAUCGGACAGUUCUACGAUAACUUUCCAAAAAAAAUACCACCACUUGAAUAGAAAUCGAACAAAACGAAUUCAAAUAUGUUAAUUUCAUAUUUCCAUUCAUUUGGCUAAUUUCCUCUUUGGAAAUGAAUUUUUGACCUGCCGUUUCUUGAUGGAUUACCUUAGAAUUGUUUGUAUGUUUCAACAAACUCUUGCCUUCCAUUUCUUUUAUUCAAUCUUCGUUCUCCAUUUUAAUGGUAUUUUGCCUAAAUUGUUUCCAUUCUUUGAUUUGGAAUAUUUACUUACGUACAUCUUUAGGUUCUCUCUUAGAUCCGUUUUAAUUCAAUCUUUUACAUUUUUCUGGGUUUUUGGAGAGAGAUGCUCAACAGGAUUUAAAUGAUUCAUACAGAGAACCUCCGUGAGUAAAUCACUUUAUCAUAUAUGUAUUUUUUUUUUUUUUUUUUAAACUUUCCUAACAACUUGUAAUUUUUUUAUGAAGUUUUGAGGUUCUUCUAAUGCUAAUCAUGUCAUUUGCAAGGAAAAUUGUCAUUGCUAUACCUAAAAUGGAGCAGAACAACAUUUUUCAGUAGUAGAGAGCUUCGUUUUCUUCCUCUUCUCUAGCCAUAGAUUUAAUUUUAAGGUUUGGUUCUUUUCAUUUCAUCCGAAUCUUUUUCCAUCAUGUAAAAUAUUUCUUCUAUUUUUCAUUCUUUCCAUUUCCCACUGUUCAAUUUCUAUUGUAAGUAAUUUCUUUAAUUUUCUUUGAAGCUUAAAUGAUUUAUUCCAGCAAUUUCCAGUUGGAGUGUUCAUUAUAGUUUUCUUUAUGAUUUCUGAUUGUCCUUUUAGGAUAAAUAGUCUGUGAUUCAGAUAUGAUGAUGUUUUCGUGGCCUUUUCUGGUACUCGCAUUUACAUAUGCUAUAUGUAGAUUCUCUUUUAUGCUCAUCCCUUCCAAGUUGCCGUCUAUAAGAUGCCUCUGACGGUUUAGCUCUACUCUACUUACUCUGGCUAUGUGUUUUUACGUUUGAUUCUUUACUUUUUUUUUUUUUUUUUCAAUUUUAUAUAGAUUUUGUGUGUGUUAAAAAAUGUAUCUAUAUGAAUGCUAGAACACACUCACAAACGACUUAAUUAUCUAUUUCUAUUGAAAUGCAGCUAAAGGUUUAGGAAAUUAAGAAAACAAGAGUUCGGUUAAAUUUUCGUUUCUCUAAUUUUUUUAAACUAGUAAAUUUGUGUUGUGAAUGCAGCCCCUAUCAAUUUUUAACAUUAGACACGCUAAUAAUAUCUUAAAAAUAAAUGCACAAGCAUAAAACUAUAUUAUAUAAAAUUAUGCAAAAUUUUCUUCAUAUUGGCUUGCUUUAGAAUUUAAAUGUUUCGUUGGCCACCGAAACUUUUUCCAUGUCACGGUUUACUUACUAAAUUUCAUCAAUUGCCUCAUUGACUGCUGAACUUUUAUCCGUCCAACUCCGUCACUCACCCAAUGAAAAAUCAUUGGGUGAUUGAAGGAGUUGUACAAAAGUCGGGAUCACAGAAGCCGGCCAGAUAACUCGCAAAAGAGUAGCCCCACAAAAUAAAAAAUGCCAAAAAUUAAUGCACCCCCUAAUUGUGAGGUGUCAGUAGGAACCCUACCUAGACACCAAGUGCAGCUCACAAAUAAUAACUCCUUCGCCAAAUCAGCUUCCACGUCAGCAAAUACGCCUUAAGCUUUACCAAACACGACUUACAAAUUUCGUCAAACCCAAAUUAACAAAAUAGAAAUUCCCUUUCUGCUAAACACGAACUUAUAUUCUCCUUCCAAAUCAAUUGCUCCAUUCGCACAUGAAGAAUCCUAAUUUUACCUCUACCAAGCUUCUUCCCCAAAUGAAAUGAUCCUCAAGGUUCACUUGAAGAACCCUAACCCCCAAACUGGAUUUGUGAAGUAUGUGAACAAAAAAUCGACCAUUGUUCUCAGUUGCGAUCCCAACUUUAGCUCAAGCACCUCAACCUACAAAUCCAAACGAAAGUCUGUGAACAAACAAUUGGCCAUUUUUCUUUGUUGCAAUGCGCAAUUUCACCUCAAGAACCCUAACCCUCAAUUGAAUUGCUAAGUAUGUGAGCAUACAAUCUCCAAUUGUGUUUUACACACUUGAAGGCGUACACAUGAACGGUUCUAAAAAAGGUAAUUCUGCCAUUUUAGUAGGCUUAGUGGAUUAAUUUUAUUUUAUUUUUAUUUUUUAGCCUCUGUUUUGGAAUUUUAGAUAAAUCACCUCAUUUUUGGCUUAGUUGUAAUUUAAAAUAUGAUUAUAUUUCUAGGUUCUCAUUUCUAUGCUUUUUUUAUUACGUGAUAACUCAACUUGAAAAAAUUGAAGUUGUGUGAUAACUUACUUGGAAAAGUUUCUGUAAUGUUUAAUUGAUGUGAAAACAACCACUUAAUGUUGAUUCUGUCAAACUUUAAUAGAAAUGCAUGAUUUUUGGAUUUGUGUUUUUGAUAAAGCUGAGUCUCUUGUUAACAAUUCUCACAUUUAGCACCUUAAAUGUGAGACAGUGAAAUAGCAGUACAUUUUGAAUGCUAAAGUUGAAUAUUUUCUUCUUCAUAUGUUACUGCCCUAAUGUUAAUGAGCUGUAAUUUCUUCAUCAUAUGUUACUGUAAUUUUAUCUUGGACUUUAUGGAUUCUGAGAUCGAUUUGGAGUCCGAUUGAGGCAACAAUGAAUAUGACAAAAAUGUGACACAAAAGAUAGAAAUGGGAAUGGUUGGCCGUGAAGAUCAAGUGCAUAUGGAGAUUUAGCCCUGGAUUGAGUCCCAUUAAAUUUAUAAUACAUUUUUCUAUCUUCUGUUUAAUCACACAUCCUCCAAUAAAAUAAUAUUACACAUAAAUAAAAAACUUUUCAUUCUCUUUCAACCACACAUUUUCCAAAAAAACACUAUUCAUAAAAUUAUAUCAUCAAAUAAUUGAAGGAGUCAUAUUAGUCACAUAACAUACAGUCAUAACAGCUUCAUCCCAAAAAGACGACACACCAAAAUUUAAUAUCAUAUACUAAUUUUAUCAAGCAAAGUACAAUUCAUCCUUUCAGCAAAUUAUCAAAUUCAGCAUUGCAAAACUCAAGAUCAUUAUCACUGUGCAAAUAUUUCAUUUUCUUACCUAUCUCGUUCUUACAAUUUUUAAAAUUCUCAAAAGUUUCGGAUUUAUUUUUUAGCAAAUAAACCCACAUGUCUAGAGAGAUCAUCAAUAAUAUAUAGAAAAUGUUUGUUACCAUUGAAAGUGGUAUUGGUCAUCUGAUUUCACAAAUUAGUACAAAUAUAUUAUAACACUAUAUGUCUUGUGUGUGCUAGAUGCAAAUGACAUUUUACAAUCUUUACAAAGCACAUAACGAUCGUAGAAUGGCAUGUCAAACAAUUGAUGCUUACCUAACACACCCUUACUGUUAAGAAACUUAAGUUCUUUAACAUUCACGUGAGCUAACAUAUUGUGACACUUCUGUUUGUAUUUAGUGUGAGUGACAUUGGAAUUUAAACCAUCCGUCACUUCAGUAUGCAUGAUGUAGAUGCGAUUGUCUAGUAGCUUUAAAUGCUAUAGGUGCUCCCUAAAACUUUUUAACACUCCAUCGCCGAGUGCACCAGUGAAACCUGUAUGCUCCAACUCUCCUACAAAAAUUAGAUUUCUACCCAUGUGUAGAAUAUACCUAACUUUUCUUAGUGUGUGCCAAAAACCACUAUCAAAUCUAACACCCACGGUAGUGAUCUUAUAUGCAACUCCUCCCCAUGCAACUACAUGUCCAUGAUCAGACUCAUGCAAAUGAUCAAACUACAAUUUAUUUGAUGUAACAUGAAAAGAUGCACAGGACUCAAGAAUCCACUCAUGUAUAUGGAGUUCAUAGACAAGUUUAUUUCAACUGGUUUAGUAUCUAAGAAUAUGUAGACAUCACUAGGUUAUCGAUCUGGACAACAACGUUUACCCCAUGGGGUUCACUACCCCUCUGAUCUCUCAACUUGUUUUUCUCUUUUUGGCAAUCAUUUGUGAAAUGUUCUAGUUUCCCACAACCGUAACAUUUCCUCCCCUAACCUUCCCUAUGACUUAUAUCUAACUCCCCACUUUUUCUUGCUACCAUUGUUUUGCCCCUCUCUAUCCAUAUACUGAGUUCCACCCCUCAUUUAGCGAGUCUCGCCCACUUUUCUCUCGCUUCCUUCAACUUUUAUAUCCCCCUCCUUAGCUUAGGAAUCAAUAAUUAUAUUGGAUAUAAGGGCCUCCCUCCCAUAUUUGAUUAUAUUCUUAACAUCCUUAUAAUUAUCAUGAAUAGCAUCCAAAAGAAUAACAGCUUUAUAUUCAUCAAAAAACACUUUCACCACAAUUUUUAAUUACUUGAACCAAUUUAUUUAAACUGUCAAUAUUGUCAUCUAAAUCUUUUGAGGGAUCAAUUUUAAAACUGAAAAAACUUCAAGUAAGAAAAGUUUGUUGGGCAUGGAUUGAAUCAAAUAAAGCUCCUCAAGAUUUUCCCAAAGUUUUUCGGCAGUGUCAUGUUGGCCAACUUUUCGCAAAAUAGUAUCACAUAAAUGCAAGAUAAUACAUGUAGAAAUAACUUCAUCAAACUCAUCUUUUUGAUCCUUAGUUGUAGUCAUAGCAAAAUCAUUAUCGAUGGGUUUUAAAACCUUCUGUUGUACUAAAAUUGCUUUCAUCUUUUGUUCCCAAAUAGAAAAAUCAUCUUUAUCGUUAAAAAUGCCUAAGUCAAAGCGGUAAGCAGACAUCUUAACAAAUAAGAUAUGUAGUAUGUAAGCAACCUUCCAAGAAACAACCACAUAGAGAAUGUCCUAUAGCUUGUACUUAUACAUCGGUCCAAAUUUCGAGGAUUGUUGUGAGAUUUGAACCCCAAUCUCAAGGGAAGUUUUUGAAUGGUUAACGUUAAAAGUAACAUUCACAAAUUGCUCAACAAUAAUACGGAAAUUAGUCAACGAUCAAUAUGGCGACCAAAAAUAUAAUAUCACAAUUUAGGCAAAUAGUACAUCAGCAAGCAAUCGAGCCACUAGAGGCUCUAAUACCAACUUGUGGAGUUAAAAUAAAACCUUAAGUUGAUCGAGCAUAAACUAAGGGCCCGUUUGGGAUGGCUUUUGAAAAGCCAAAAGGAGCUUUUGAGAGCCAAAAGCUACUUUUGGACCGUUUGGCUAUUUUUGUUUAAAGUGCUUUUGGAGGUUAGAAGAGCUUUUAGAGGAAGCUGGUUUUUUUGGCUUCCUCCAAAAGCACUUCAGCUUCCUCCAAAAGCACUUCCAGAAUGGGAAGUGAUUUUAAAUAUUAAUUUUCAAACAAAAAUUAAAAUAGCUUUCUCCAAAAGCUCUUCUACAAGAAGCAAAAGACAAAGUAAAAGCCGUGCCAAACGGGCCCUAAAUGAGUUCCAAAUCAAUAAUAAUAACGAAAUAAAAUUCGUGAAUAAAUAUCCUUUUCAAUAUCACUAAUAUUAGCACCAAAAUAGAGUGUACAUGACUCGGAUUAUUAACCUGAAUACACACAAGGUAAAAAAAUCUUACUAAAUUGGGAUGACUUAGAAUUUUUUCUUGUUAUAUUUUCAGAACAAAUGGAAUGUAGCAUUUGAGUAGCUCUCUCCAUUGGAAAUAUCGAGAUUCAAGCUGCUUUAAGGGGCUUUGAAAUGUUUGUUUCUUUAUAGGGUGAAAGCAUCAAUUGCAAAAAACAUUUUGUGUAGAUAGACUGGAGUUUUGCGCAAGUACUAUAUUGCAACUACUAUUAACAAGAAGUUGUUUCACAUGAAAUUUUCAGAAAUAUUAUGUAACAUAUAUAUCCACAAUGUCAUUUUUCCUAUGGAUUUUAGUACAAAAGGCACAUUAAAAGACUUACUCACUCUUUUUGUUCAAAGAAUCAUUUAUUCUUUACUCUCUUGGUUAUGAAUCGAAUCCAAAUUUUCAGGCUAAAGCUUGGAUAGAACUUUCUUCCCAGAAUCUCAAUCCCUUUGGUUGAAAAUACGCCCUCACUUCAAGGAUUAAAAAAAUUAAACUUAAAUUCGGGGCAGCUAUUCGAAAUGGUUCUUUUUCGAUGGAAUCAUGGGUUUGGGGCUUCACUGGAUAAAAGCGUGGAGAAAGGCCACUCAUCAAGGCCUGUAGCGUGCAUCGCUUUGAGAACUUUUCAAUCCAGCAUUCGAAUCCAAAUGCGGUUAAGGUAAUGGCUUUUGUUCCACCUAUAAAUUACGUGACAUCGACUAUUCAAUUGAUUGAAACUAUUUAAUUAAACAAUAGCAUCUUGGGAAUGGAUUGGCCUAUUUAAUCAAGUAACAUCAUAUUGGGCUUGGAGCUCGGUCUAUCAUGCCCACUUGUCCCAUUUGUUUCUUUAUAAAUAUGAGUUCAUUUCAUAAUAAUGUAUGUUCUAAAACCCUUGUUAAACUCUCUUUCCCAUCUCUUGCACUCUUUAUAUUUUGUCCGGCCAUUGAUUUGAUUGUUGGAGUACAAACGGUCACAGACCAUUUUCUCGACUGGUGGCAUUCCCCUUUUAAUGGGGAGUUCGAGUGUCUAGGUGAUACUUGAGUGGAGCGAAGGUGGAACGGAUUCUGUUGAUACAUUUUUGAGGUCAGCAGGUUGGCGCCUUUAGUGGAAAAUUGGUACAUUAACCAUGUUAUUACAAUAUCUAAAAGGCUACUAGAAAAUAUAGUUUUUCGGGCAACUGUCUAUUGAAAACCAGCAAAGAUAGCUACUAAAGAGGAUUUUUUAAAAAUAUUUCGUUUUGCUAAAAAAGUGAAAGAAGCCAUCCAUUGCAAAUGAAGAAAAUGGAGCAACUAGGAUCUGAAAAUUUUUGCUUGAAGAAUGAACUUUCAGGCAAAGGAUUGAAGAAACUAUGGGUUGAAAAAUUAGGCAUGACAAAUGGCUAUUUUCAAUUGAUGGUUGAAGAAAUCCACCUUGAAAUCGAAUACAACAAACAAAACAAAAAUGAAUGCUUUUCCAAGUAGUACCUUCAACCAAAAAGGAGAGUAAAAAUGGAAAAAAAAAAUCCCGUUUUUUAUUCUCAGACAACAAUAGAAAACCAAAUCAAGAAAAUAGGAUUUAUGCAAUUCACAUAAACAUAUGGGUUUGUCAAACAAACACUCGGGAAGAGAUGAAAAUAAAGAGGUGAACACCAUUGUUUGAUAAUUCAAGCAUUAAAAAACUUAGCAACAAAGUGGAGGCCGUUAUUAGUCCUGCUAUGGGCAUUUGGCAAAAUGAAGCUCAAUAUCACCGGGAUACACAUAAAUGGAACAAUUGACAAAUGAUAGAAAAUUAGAGAUUGUAGCUAAUAGUACAACCAAAUUUCAAAUUAAACAGCUCUACUACCAACUGAAGAAGAAAUGAGUUACGUAUUUUGGUAUUUAACUACCGUCGAAACCUCCAUAACCACCGUUCAACCUUUGGUUCGACACCAUUCAAUAUACUGCCGAUAAUACAAUGCUUGGUACAGUUUUUUUGCCAACAUUGUGAUAGCGACGGGACCAUGGCGGUGGCCUUUUUGGAAGAUGUGUUUGUCUAAUAAUUGGUCCUUCUGACGUUUGGCAACUCAAUAUCUCUUCAAAUUUUGGGGAUUUCAUGCCAUUUGCUAGGACAAUUUGGCCCAUAAUGUGAUUAGGUUUUCUUCUUUCAAAUUGCGGCCUAAUAAUUCACAAUAAAAAAGUGUUUGAAGAUUUCUUUUAGGCUCUUUUCCUGGACUAUUCUCAAUUAGGCCUAGAAAUUUACUUUCUUGGGCCUGUUGCUUCUCAGCUUGUCCAGAAUGCUAGAUCUUCUAGCUUCUAUAUGUGUCUACUCAAUAGUCCUAUUUGGUUGGUAGUUAUUCUCAUACUACAACAUCUAUUUUCAAGUAUUCCUUCUUCAAAAGCAAAGGGCAUCCCAGCAGAGUUUGAGACUUGAUUGAUUAUAAAAUAUUUUAUCAUCAAAUCCCAUUCAUUCAUCCACUGUGAAUUUGGAAAAUUAUUUUAGUAUUAUGAUGUGGCAAUAUUCUUUUAUUUGCAUGCAAAUUUAAUAGCAACUAUACCAUUUGAUUUGUAAUUCUUGGUGCUGUUGUGGAUGGACAACAAACUUCAUUUAUGCUAGAGGAAUUAUAUUUGUAAGUGUAUGCAAAGUGCUCAACCAAAUGCCUAAUCUUGUCAUUAAAGGCUAGCGAUAUCUUGUGACCAUCUCUUUAUUUGAGGCAAGUUCUAAGAAUUUGCAUAUCCGAGGCUAGCUUGUAAGACCUAGCAUCUUCGAAUGCAAACCCUAGCUCGUAGAUUUUUUAUUAUCAUAUGCAGCACUUUGAAGGCCUUAUUCCUUGAAUAAAGAAAGAAAUAGUAUCUCGAAGCCCUUGUUCCUUGAAUAAAGCAACAGAUGAAAUUUAAAAGUAUUUGCCCUCGAAAAAGAAGCAUCUUUUGGCACUAGCUAGAUGUGUUUGCUUUUGGCAAAGGAGCCUUUUCUAACCUCAUCUUUGAGAUGCCUUGCUAUGCAAGAGUUUAGCUCUUGCUCUUUGAGAUACCUUACAAUGCAAGAUGUUUGUUCUUCAUUCUUUGUGAUGCCUCGCUAUGUAAGAUAUUUAUCCCUCACUUUGAGAUGCCUCUUCACGCGAGAUGAUUGUGCUUAUGCUUCCAGUUUGGGAUUCUCUCCAUCUUAGCACAGUUCUAAGAAAUCAUCAUGACAAGGCUAGCUUAUAUGACUCCGAUAGUUCGAGACGAGCCAGCAGACUAGCUCAAUGUUUAUUCUUCGAUCUUCAAAAUGCCUCAUCAUGCGAGACUACAUCAGAGAACUCAUCAUGCAUCUUUGUUAGCUACAUUACAGCUGCCUAUCUUUCAGAGCUUUGCCUUUACUUUAACUAUGUCACAUCUACUUAUUUUUAGAAAGCUUAUAUUAUUUACCGCUUCAUAAGGAGAGGGGUGGAUCCAUCUUAAAACCUAUGACAAAAAAGUCUUUCAUGGGUGGACCAAAUACCAUGAAAGAAGCCUUUGCAAGGAAGAGCCACCCCCUUGCAAGGAAUAAAAACAACCUUGACAAGAACUAGUGUGAUGUCUCCUACAAGAAGCCAUACCAUGUUACACUUAAAGAUUAACCCCUUCCAUGGCUGGAUCAAAUACCAUGGAGGAAGCCCUUGACAUGGAUGCGCUACUCCCAUGAAAGGUUGUUAUCUUAUAAAAGUUACUUAAGUUCAGAGCAUUGCCUCUACUACUCACAUUCAAAGCAUCGCCUCUGCUACUUAUAUGUUACCUCUACAACUUAUGUCCAAAGCAUCACCUCUGCUACUUAUACAUCUAGAGCAUCAUCUAUGCUACUUACAUUCAGAGCAUCACCUUUACUACUUAUACAUCUAGAGCAUUGCCUUUGCAAUUUAUGUUCAGAGCAUCACCUCUACUACUUACAUCCAAAAUAUUACAUCUACUACUUAUGUCCAGAGCAUCGCCUCUGCUACUCAUAUUCAGAGCAUUGCCUCUGCUAUUUAUACAUCAAAAGUAUCGCCUUUGUAACUGAUGUUCAGAGCACUGCCUCUGCUACUCACAUUUAGAGCAUUGGCUAUGCUCCUUACACAUCCAAGGCAUCACUUCUACUACUUAUACAUCCAGAUCAUCGCUUCUACUUACUACAUCCAAGGCAUCCUCUCUGUUACUUAUGUGCAGAGCAUCUUCUCUGCUACUCACAUUCAGAGCAUCGCAUCUACUACAUAUAAUCCAGAGCAUCGCCUCUACAACUUAUGUUCAGAACAAUGCCUCUCUAGUCACAUUCAGAGCAUCGGCUAUCCUACUUAUAUAUCCAAAGCAUCGUCUCUAUUACUUAUGUCCAGAGUAUCAUCUUUGCUACUUUUACAUACGAAAUAUCACCUCUGCCACUCACAUUCACAGCAUCGCUUCUACUACUUAUGCAUUCAAAGCAUCACUUUGCAACUUAUAUCCAGAGCAUCGCUUCUACUACUUAUAUCCAGAGCAUUCCCUCUACUACUUUUGUUCAGAGCAUCGCCUCUGUUACUCACAUUUAGAGCGUCGCCUCUACUACUUACAAUCGAAAGCAUCAUCGCUAGAACUUAUAUUCAAAGUAUUGCCUCUGCUACUCAUAUUUAGAGCAUUGGCUUUGCCACUUAUACAUCUAGAGUGUCAUCUCUGCUACCUAUGUCAAGAACAUCAUUUUUGCAACUUAUACCCAAAGCAUCGCCUCUAUUACUUAUAAAUCCAAGGCAUCGUCUCUGCUACUUAUAUGUCCAAAGAUCAUCUGUGCAACUUAUGUCUAGAAUAUCAUCUCUACUACUUGCACAUCCAGAGCAUCACUUUUACAACUUAUAUUCAGAGUAUCGUCUUUACUCUUUACGUACAGAGUUUACCUGUACUAUUAUACAUCUAGAGCAUCACCUCUACUACUUACAUUCAAAGCAUCCACUCUGCUACUUAUGUUCUGAUAAUCGUCUCUGCUACUCACAUUCAGAGCAUCAACUCUUCCAAUUAUAAUCCAAAGCAUCACUUCUGUAACUUAUGUUUAGAGCAUUACCUUUGCUACUCACAUUCAAAGCAUCGGCUGAGCUACUUAUACGUCCAAAGAAUGGCCUCUACUGCUAAUGUCCAGAGUAUCAUCUCUGUUAUUUAUAUAUCUGGAUCAUUGCCUCUGCUACUUAUACAUCUAGAGCAUCGCCUCUACAACUUAUGUUCAAAGCAUCACCUUUGUUACUCACAUUUCGAGAAUCGCCUCUGCUACUUAUGUCCAGAGCAUCGCCUCUGCUACUUACAUUCAAAGCAUUGGCCUCUACUACUUACAUCCAGAGCAUUAUCUCUGCUACUUAUGUUCAAAGUAUUACCUCUUUUGUUUACAUUUAGAGCAUCGCCUCUAAAACUUAUGUCCAGAGUAUCGCCUUUACUACUUACAUCUUGAGCAUUGCAUUUGUUAUUUAUGUUUAGAACUCCGCCUCUGCUUCUAACAUUUAGAGCACCGCCUCUGCACUUAUACUCCUAGAGCUACACCUCUGUAACUUAUGUCUAGAGCAUUGCCUUUGCUAUUUAUGUACUGAGCAUUCCUCUGCUACUUAUAUUCGUAGCAUCGCUUUUGCAUCAGUUCGUCACAGCUACUUAUAUGUUCAAUCUUAUCUCUAUAUCAGCUUCAUCACAGUGGUUUAUAUUUCAACUUCAACUCGCAUAUAAAUAUUCAACUCAGACUUGGGGAACUAUUGUCAUUACUAGUAGUAUAUGCAUUAUAUUAUUGCUGCCAAGUACGCAUAUCCCAUCAUUGCUAGUAUAUCAUAACACUAUUUUAACCAUAGCCAUAUGUUACUUGCUUCAUUGUAACACUACUGUUACGUUGAGUUGUGCAAGUAUAUGACCUACUAGGAUACAUGAUAGGCUCUUUUUAUAUUAUACAUUGGAGAAAUUCGAUAUGUUAUUAACCUUAUGGGCAUGAGUAAUUUGAGGGACAAAUAGAUCCCAAUUUAUUUGAUAUAUGUGCGGUGGGAGAAUUAUUUUGUAUUGGAGGUUGGUUUGUUCCAUAUUACAGAGGGAGAUGCUGCCAAAUUUUUGAUAAAUUAUAUAUAGUAUCUAUCUUUCAAGGCAAUUUAUAAGUUCUCGCUUAUUCAAGCUCUAACACAUAUUUUCUGAAGCAGUUCAUAAGUCCUCACAUAUUUAAGAUCGAUGCAUAUUUUCGAGGCAGUUCAUAAACCCUCAUUUACUGGAGCUACUCAUAUUUCUGUGGCAAUCUAUAAGACCUCAUCUACUUGAUAGAUUAUGUUUCAAGUCCGACUUGCAUAAAGAUAUACGACUCAGAAUUGAAGGACCAUACAACUAUAAAUUACAUGCAUCAACUAUUCAAUUGAUUGAGCCUAUUUAAUUAAAUAAUAGCAUCUUGGGAUUGAAUUGGCCUAUUUAAUCAAGUAACAUCAAAUUGGGCUUGCAGUUUACCUUAUCAUGCCUACUUGGCUCAAUUAUUUCUUUAAAAAUAUGUGUGUUCAUUUCAUAAUAAGGUAUGCUCUAAAACUCUAGCCAAACUCCCUCUCCCGUCUCUUGUACUCUUUAUAUUUUGUCCGACUUUGAUUUAACCGUCAGAAUGCAAACAGUAGUCAGACCUUAUUCUCGACCAGUGGCCUUUACCUCCUAACUAGAUGUUCGAGUGUGCAAGUGACGCUUACAUAAAGGGGACGUAGCUGGGUUUUUGUUGACAUACUUUUUGAGGUCAACAACUUUCAACAUGGUUGGCGCUAUAGUGUGACAAGCUGGUGUAGUAAAACCUGAAUAUGCCCUUGAGAAAAAAAAAUGAUUUUUAUCUAAACUGAAAAUGAGGGCUGAGUAAAUUUAUAAGUUAAGUAAAUUUUGAUUUUAAGUAAUAUUUUUUGCUAGUGAAAAGUAAGGAAAGAAACAUAUUCAAAGUUACUUUGUGAUUAGAAAGUAAUAAAAAAUUAAGUUAUCUAAACAUGUCUGAAGAAAAAAAUAUUUUAAUGUGGAUUUUUAUUCAGCUUAACCAACUAUGCUCUAAAUAUUUUUCAAAAUACUAGAUGUAAAAAUCCUAGUUAUAUAUGUAUGCUCAUACAUGUAGAAUGUCUUAUUAAAAACCUUCCCAAACAUUUCCUCUGCUUUAAUCAAUGAAGGAAUUGUUAUUCAAAUUAUUUUGAAAGAGAAAGAGAGAGAUGUGUGAGGGAUGAGAAGAAUUACAAAAGCUUAUUAUGAUUGCAGAGCAAGUGAAGAGGAAAAGAAGCUAGCACUCAAAUUCUUCAAAAGCCUGGAUAAAAUGUGGAUGGAAAAGUAGGCCUUUUGUAGUUUCAAGGAAUAUACAAGCUCGUUGUUGCCAAAUGACGAAGUCUCAAAUAUGGACACUUGAUAAGGUAAUUACGUGGAAGGUAUAUGAAAUUUAUAUUCAAAACUAUACUUGAAUUCUACAAUUGUGAUUUAUCUUUUAUAGUUGUGUUUUCUUUUCUAGUUGUAAUAUGUUAUAUAUUUUUAUUCUCAUUUCUAGUUUAGAAUAAGAUUUCUAGUUUUUUUUUUAUUAGAAUAGAAUUUUCCAAUUUCUUUUAAAUUAGGAUUUAAGUAGUUUCUUUAUUUUAGUUUCCUAGUAUUAGCAGAAGUGGAAAAUUAUCUUACCUAUAAAUACAGAGGCAUUGUACACUUUUUUAUCACAAUCAAUUAUUAUUCAAUAUAUACAAAUCAAGAUUAUUCCAAUAUCGUUCUUAAUUACUAUAUAGCUUUUAUUACAAGAAUUUUACAAGUCCUUCCACACACCAAAUUGGUGUCAGAGCCAAGGUUCCACAGUUUCUGGGAAAGCUAGUUUGAUUUCAUACUAGAGUGAGGUUUGUUCAACUCAAAAUGAGGUUUGAUUGUUUCAGAACGGCAAGUAUCAAGUUUGACAUUCCGUUUUUGGAUGACAACAAUAUAUAUAUAAUUAUUUUUUAUUAUUUUUUAUUUAUGAUAGAUUUUUUGUUUGGACACUAGAGGAAAAGUAACAUAAGGAGAUAGUUGUGAUCUUGUUGCUCAUGAUGAUAAUUCUAGCAAAUUUGGUAACUCAAAUGGAGUUAGUUUUGAACUUGAUGAUUUUGUUGUUCAUGGUUAUUCGAGUAAAUUUGAUGCCCAAGAUAAUUCUGCUAGUAAAUUGUUCUUGUAUUUAGUUAACAAUUGUUGAGUUUGCCCUUAGAGAUUAUGUGGAAGAGGGAGAGUGUUUUUGUUUGGAGUGUUCUGUUUAGAGAAUUUUAUUCUUUAUAGUGGAAUUCGUGUCAAGGUAAAACUUGUUGGAAUUGAGUUAUAACCAGACUUCUUUUGCUAUUUAUCACCUAAUUUAUGAACAUUUGCAAGGUGUUUCUUAAUUUGCAAAAUGUAAAUAUAAACUAUUAAACAUAUUCACUUAUCAAAUUGUCAAAAAAAUAAAAUAAUAAAAUAAAAUCAUUAUGAUUUGGGUCUAGUACCAACCCAUCUUGAAUUGAGUAAAUUUUUUUUAUCGAAUGGGGUUGGUCAGUUUUAGGUUGGGCCAACUGACCAAGUAGGGUUGUUUCUAGGGAAAAAUUCAUAAUUAAGAGGUUAACUACCCCAUAUUUCAAAAUUAAGAAUAAAGGUUUUCAAUUUCAGAAAUAUGAUGUUUAUUAAAAAUUAUUUAUGAUUUAAUUAAUUAAUUAUAUAUUUUAUUAAUUAAACAUAUUAAGAUUACAUAUGUAUACAAUUUGAUCACAAACUAACGAUUUAAUUGGUCACAUAUUAUUUUUUGAUCACAAGUAAGAAUUUUUAUAUGUCACAAAUUAUUAUAAGGUCACAAUUCAAAAAUUUUAUAUGUCACAAUUUGUUCACCGUUCACAAAUAAAAACUUUAUAUGUCACAAUUAAUUUAUUGGUCACAAAUCACAAAUAUUAUAAGUAACAACUUAUUAGACAGUAACAAAUUAUCAAAUCUUGGUUCACAAAUUAACAAUAUUUUAGGUUGCACAUUAUUUAUUUUUUGUCACAAAUUACAUUUUUCAUUGGUCGAUUUAAUAUUUAUUGGUCAUAGGUUAACCAAUUUAAUGGUCACAAUCAAUUAAAUAACUUGUGACCAACACCUCACCACUGCAUCCAACAGCAGUAGCACCACUGUUGCCAUUGGAACCACUACCACAACCUCCUAAAAGCAAUUCCCAACCAGCAAAAAAGUACAAAUUUUACUGCUAUGAAUGUGAAAAUAGUGAAUGCAAGAAAAGUCAAUUACAACCCUAAUAAAAAAUGAACAUAUCCCAAUUUAUUGCCACAACGACCACCGCCAUCACCACGACAAAAAUUAGGGAUUAAACGACUACCACCACUAGGGAUGUCAAAAGGACCGAGCGGCUUGGCCUUGUAAAAUCACGAGCACGAGCCGAGCGGGCCUCGCCGGGAGGCGAGCCGGGCUGGUGGCUUGUUACAGACGAUGAGCCAUGAGUCGCUCGGCUCGUGGCUCGCCCAGCCACAAAAUUUAAGUGAUCGUUCAGUGACCAUUUGGGUCACUGAAUUAUUAUUAUUCCCCUCAUCCCUUCUACUAUAAAUACCUCUUUCCCCAAAUAUUUUUUUCAUAUCAAUUGUUAUUCCAAAUCUCCAAUUCUCUAAACUCUCUUUUAUUUUAUCAAUUAUUGAGUUUUUACUCUCUUAUGCUGAAAAAUAUACAAUAUCAAUUCAAUUUUUACAGUUUAUUAGUUACAAUUUCAAUUCAUCCAAUUCUCAAUUCUCACAAUCUUACUACAUUUAUAAUCUUCUGGUUAAUAUUUCAUCAUAAACAAUCAAACAAAUGGAUCAACGCUCAUUUGUUGAAAGCUUGUUCGAUACAGGAUGUGGGCUACAUCAUGGCGAAUCGCCUAGGACGCCGCAAAGUCAAUUUUCAAUGAAUUUAUCGAUCUAAAUGACUUACCGAUACCUGACAAUGUUUACAUUCAGGGAAACCACAAUCCAAUUGAUUUGGAUGAUAUUAACGUUCCCGAAGCGGAACAUAAGGAUGAAGAUGCUGAAUUAAACAUUCCAGAUGAGAAGGGAAAGCAAAAGGCCAAAAAAAAGCAAAAUGUUGGGAUCAUUUUAAAUUGAUUUCAACUGAAAAAGUCGUCGAUGGCCUUGCAGAAUCUAAAGCAGUAUAUAAAUACUACCAACAAAGAUUGACAUGGCAGAAAGAAAUUGGUACCACCCAUUUCAACCGCCACUACAAAGCAUGUGCGGCUAGACAUGGACUUCUUCUAACUGGUCAAACACAAUUGCAAUUUGGCAGUCCAUGUGCUGAUUCUACAACUUCACCCCUAUCCACGUGGGUUUACUCGGAGGAUAAUACUCGAAUCAGAAUGGUGAAAUUUGUUGUCGCCACUAAGUUGCCUCUGACUAUUGCAGACAACCAACACUUCUUCGUCUGGGUAAGUCGAAACACUUUUCGUGUUGAUACAAUAAAUUAUUUCAAUAAUUUAAAACAACAAUUAAUUAUAGAUUUGCAACAAUAUGGGGGUGUUUUAUGUUUAACUUCUGAUAUAUGGGAAGGAGUUAAUAAAAGAGCAUAUAUAGCUACAACCGCACACUAUAUAGACCCACUUUGGUACAUGCAUAAGAAAAUUAUUGCUUUUAGAAUUAUUGAGUUUCUUCACAAUGGUAAUAACAUAUAUAAUGCUAUUAUCAGUAUUGUUAGAGAAUAUCAUUGCGAGACUAAAAUUCGAUCUUUUACUUUUGAUAAUGCUAGUGUUAAUAAGGUAGUCGUCGGUAAAUUGUGCAGGACACUUUAACCUGAUUUUGGUGGGUAUUUGUUUCAUAUUCCUUGUGUGUGUCAUAUCUUGAAUUUAAUUAUACAAGAUGGUUUAAAACAUAUAAAGGAUGAACUUCAAAGGAUUAGGAAUGCAUUAGUAUAUAUUACGAUCUCUUCUAGUAGAAAAUAAGCAUUUGAAGAUUUUUGUGCCGAACUAGGGGUGAUGACUACUAAAAUAUUUGUUAGCGACGUAGGCAAUAGAUGGAACUCUACUUACUUGCUAUUAAAGUCAUGUGAAGGUUUUGAAAAUUUAAUAACUAACUUUUAUAAUAAUAGACACGUUAGAAGUGAUGACGAUGGUAUGUUAAAUGAAUCCGAUUGAAUUUUAGCUUUGAAAGUUAAAUGAUUUUUGACAUCUUUUUAUGAGAACACAAAGAUUUUAUCCGGCGUUUAUUAUCCCACAAGCUAUAUGGUUCUUGAACGCCUUUAUAUAAUUGCAAGAACAUUCCAUAAAUAUAAAAAUGAUCCUGCUUUUAUUGAAAUUUUAAGUUCUAUGGAAUUAAAGUUUAGAAAAUAUUGGGAAGAGCUGCCUAUGUUAUUUCCUUUAGCAUGCGCAAUGGACCCACGAUAUAAUAUUUCAGGAACCAGAUUUAUGAACAUUUGCAAGGUGUUUCUUAAUUUUCAAAAUGUAAAUAUAAAUAUUAAACAUAUUGACUUAUCAAUUUGUCAAAAAAAAAAGGGAAAAAAAUCAUUAUGAUUUGGAUCCAAGACCAGAGUACCAACCGAUCCUCAAUUAAGUCAAUUUUUGUUAUCGAAUGGGGUUGGUCGGUUUUAGAUUGGGCCAACGACCAAGUAGUGUUGUUUUUGAUUGGGUCCAAAACCUUCGUAGUGUAAAAUCACAUUUCAGCUCGAGCUGAAGUGUCAUUGUUCCUUUUAAAGCAUCCUAUCAAUGGUUAAAGGUGAUUUUGGAGAGAAAUCUUGCUUCCCUUACCCAUCUAGUUCGUCAUUCCAUACAUGAAAGUCAUCUUUAAUAUCCACCAAAACAUCAUGAUCUGCUCUCAUUUCUAACCUAUGGUAUUAUUCUAUUUCUCUCACCACAAGACAACCAAUUUGGCCAUACUCUCUCAAACUACACUGUUUGGAAAUCCCACUUCACACAUUUCUCACAUCAUUAGCCCAGUUUCAUGACCCCCCCCCCCACCUCCCGUUGCCACGGCUCACACCAAUGUAAUACAUUCUAAGUCUUUUUGCAGUAUAAGAAGUACAGUUAUGGAUUAUAUUUAUUUUUAGUUGAAGCCCCAAACUAAGCCCAUAUUUGACAACUAUUAUUUCAAAAUUCUUUUUAAUACAUAAUCGUUUUCAACCACACAUUCACAAAAUAAAAUAUUUUACACGUAAACUCACAGUUUUUCUUUACUUUUCCACCACACGUUCUCCUAAAAAUCACUAUUGACAACAUUUUUUUGAGAAUAAUGGUUGUCAAAUAGGGGCAACUUAAUUUUUAGUUUAAACCCGCCAAAAAUCCAUAAUAAUGUUCAAUUCAUAUUUCAUGUUUUCAAAUACUUUUUGGUCAAAAAGGUUCCCAAGAAUUUCUGUGAAGUUUCUUUGAAAUUUUAAAUUUAACUAAAAAAAAUUUUAAAAAUUGGAAAGCUUUACCGAAAGUUCCAAAAAGUUUUCUAUCAAGAUUUUUAAUUAAAAAUAGAAAAAAGUAGCAUCGACAAUUGAUUUUAAUUUAAUUUAUCUUUAAUACCUAACGCAAUGUGGAGUCUAGCUCAUUGAUUCAUUAAUUUAUCUUUAACACCUACCACAAUGUGGAGUCUAGCUUAUGUCGGCAUUUAAGCCAAUCAAAAUAUCAAAUAUACUAGUAAUCAUGGAGAUUAAUGCUAUUAUUGAUAUUAUAAAAUCAAUCUAGAUGAUAUUGAGUUCCUGUUUGUAGGGAUUAAAAUUAUGUUUUUAAUAAAUUUUAAUGAAAGUUGAUAUAAUAUAUAGUUGAAAAGUUUUGAGUCUAAUUAAAUAUGUAGUUAAAUUAAUUGUUGACUUGAACUUAAAUUAAAAUUUUAAUUUUAAGUAAAAUUAAAUGAGAAAUACUAUUACAUAAUUCUACAUUUAAGCCCCAUUUGAUGUAGUUUAUAAUAAAAUUUUAAGUAUGUUUUGAUAAAAAAUAAUGAAAUGUAUAGUUGAAAAGAUAUGGAUCUUAGAAAAUGUAAAAUCAAAAUUAAUUGGGAACUUUGACUUGACAUUAAAAUCAGAUUUUAAUUAAAAUCAAAUAUGGACUUAAUUGAGUCUAUUACAUAAUGACAACUAAAAUGGUCAUAGUGUAACAUCGAUAAUGGCAAAUUACACUACUCAAAUAGUAAAGUCAUUCAAAGCUUGAGAUGAUAAGAUCAGGUGAACCUGCCAACUAUAUCUAUUUUUGAAUAUAUUUAGCCUCUAUUUAAUGGGAAUUAUAAUUAAAUUUUUAGUAGAUUUUGAUAAAAAUUGAUAAAAUAUGCAGUUGAAAGGAAGUGGAUCCCAUGAAAUACUUGAUUGUUGUUGAUUUUGACUUAAACUAAAAUCGGACUUAGUGUAAAAAAUAGUCAAUUAUGCAACUUUCAAAGAUUGAAAGGCCAACAAUAGUGGUUACACGAUUCAAAGUCUAUUUUGCCCUUCUGAUAAUGCGUGUCUAUGAAAUUUUGUGAAAAAGAAAAAACAAAGAAAAUAGCUCCACAGGGGCUUAUUUCUAUAUACAUAAUUGCGAAUUUGCAAUACAGCUGCCUAGAGACACAUUUUCUAUUCUCCGGUUAAACUAUUUGUAGCGAGAAAGAGAGAGAGGGAGAGAGAUUUAAGAAUUACAAGAUACUGCAGAAGCUCAUUAUCAAACAGGCUGUCCAAAAAUUCAGGAAUUAGCAGGGGAAUUCUUCAAAUCAAUGGACAGUAAUCGAGAUGCCCUAUCAACUCGUGAAGAGGUUAGUUUUCUGCACUGUUCUAUUUUUAUAUACUAAAAAAAAUCUUUCCAAACCAAAAGAUUUGCACAAACAAUCAUACAACAUUUUUGUUCGCGAAAUUAUUUCUUAGUGUACAGUUCGUUGACAAGUAAUAAAGUGGAUUAAAUGAGUCCGAAUAUAGUACCACAGAGAUUGAUUAGUUCAAUUUUACCUAUCGUCACCUUAACCGAAACAAUAGAAAUUCUUGAUAUUUUAGUUAACUAAAUUAUGAUUUAAUAACCUACUUAUAAAUAUAAAGCCUAAAUUAACUAAAUUAAAUGCGUGAUUAUAACUAAAUGCAAGUUUUAUAAAAAUAUGAUAAUGAAAUGCGUACUAGGAUCCCGAAUCCCCUUAUAUCAAUCCUCUUUAAUCCGAAUUUUAUAAAAUUUACAACACGAUUCAAUUAUGAAUACCAAUAUUCCUAAUUUGUUUAACAAUCUCUCUCGAGUAGAAUUAACCUAUUUUCACAUGUUAUCCGACUAUAUUUCUAUGACGGAUGCGAACAUAUAAAAAUGUAUUAAAGAUUUUUGAAUACUUAAAGAUCACAUAAAGCAUAGCGGUAUAUUUCUAUCCCCUAUCGAACUUCACGAUAAUUAACAUAAUGUCUAACUUAUUUUCCAUCUCUCGAGGGUAAAACAAGCCACAAAGCUCAUACAACUAUUGCGCAUAUAAUUGUAGAGAAAAUAAAAUCCAUGUCAAUCAUUCAAUAAUUAAAAACAGGUUCUAACGUCAAAUUAAUAAAAUUCAAGAUUAAAGGUUCAUACUAUAAGGUUCAUUGCAAAUCCUAGCACAUGAAAAUCUAGCCUAACAUAAUGGGAAAUAAAGAAAAACAAUAAUUAAAACCAAUGAAGAACAUCACCCAAUUGAUUCUUGAAGUGAAAUCUUGAAUCUUGAAGUGGAUUGCCUUAUUUUUGCCUUGUUCUUCCUCUCCAAAUCCUCCAAAUUGUGUAUAAUCUCCUCCAAUUCUGUAAAAGUGGCGUCCCCUCAUUCUGUUCGAGUUUUAGUUUAUAUAGAACCCUAAAAAUCUCCUUUCCAUAAGAGUUUCGGCGAAAUAAGGAAACUGCUGAAUCGUCCCCGAAUCUUGUUCUAUGCGACCGCAUAGUACAUUUCUAUGCUGUUGCAUAGAGUAAAAAAAUUUGAGAAAAAAUUCUCGGGAUGCUUCUAUGCGACCGCAUAGUUAUACCAUUCUUUCCGUUGGAUAGUUUUUAGUAUUUUGGUUAUAACUUUCUCUUCUGAUUUUCGAUUGAAGUGACUCAAAGUGCAUUAGGAAGAAAACUCAAAGAUCUACACUUUUGAUAGAAAUAGGCUUCCUCAAAUUCUAAUUUUUACUAUGUCAAAAAUGGAUCUCAAUUAGAGACUAAAAAUCACAAGCAUAGUUUUCGCUUGAAAGUUGAUACUUGAUAAUACUUCGAUCAUAUUUCGUCUCUUCACUCCUUUCCUCAUCCGAUUGACCUCUAAAACUCUUGAAUCUUCAUUCCAUUUCCAGUCUCAUCUAUGGAUUAUUUGCAACUUGGUCCCCGAACUAUCACUUUGCUCCAUUUUAAUUUUUUUCGGCUCUUUUCUUCUGAAUUUCACCAUGUUCAUCGGUGUUCCCUACAAUUUACAAAUAUAAUGAGAUUAAGUCACAAUUCAAUCAUUUUACUCAUUAUUAAGUGAUGUUUGUGACCUAAAUAAGUGUGCAAAAACACACUUAUCAAUUUUCUUUAGCUUAUGUUGAGGAAAUCUAUAUCUAAAAACUUGUCCGUAAUUUAACAAAGAACUUACGAAUCUAACUUGAAGAAUAAACUAAAGUUUUCCUACUAUUUUUCUUUUCGUGACAGGGAAUUGCACCAUUCGGGCGUACUAUGGUCAGUUUUCCACAAUGUUAUGUUUAUAUAUACUCAAAAAAAUCUUUCCGAAAUAGGACAACUUGAAGAUUUUCCAAAUUAUACUUUCAAGAAAAAUGGAAUGCAGAAGCCAAAGCGUUUCAGGUAGCACUCUCCAUUCCCAACACUUUGAUUGUUCAUGCAAACAGAUCUUUGAUUUUCAGUGUGUUAAUUUUGGCAAUUCAUUGCUAGACAAAGUUAUGCUUGACACUAAACGAAUUGCUAACACCAAAAUAUGAGAUCUGUGCACACAAACUAUCGUCAAGCUUUUUCUUUAGCUUAUAUUGAGGAAAUCUAAACCUAAGACUUGUCACGUAAUUUAAUAAAGAACUUACUGAUUCAACAUGAAGAAUAAAGUAAAGCCUUUCUAAUAUUUCUUUUCCUGGUAGCAGCCAUCAGGAUCAAUGUUUACUCGGGUAAGUUUUCUACGUUGUUAAACUUUUAUAUACAUAAAGAGAAAUCUUGCAAAAUUGGGACGACUAGAAAAUUUUUUCAUAUUAUAUUUUCAGAGAAAAAUAUGCAAUGCUGCAUUUAAAGCAUUUUAGUCAGCCCUGGCCAUUCCCUAAACUUUGAUCGUUGAUGCAAACAUAUCCUUGAUUUUCAGCGUGUUGUUUUUAGCAAUUUAUUGCUAGAUGAAGUCUUGUCAGACAAUAAAUAAAAAUAUCAGUGUAAAAAUUUGAGAUUUGUACAAACAAACUAUCAUACAACAUUUUCUUUGGCCUAUAUUGAGACUUGUGCAAAAAGUAUUGUGCAAUAUUUUCUUUAGCUUAUAUUGAGGAAAUCUAUAUCUAAGACUUGUCACAUAAUUUAACAAAGAACUUACCAAUUUGACGUGAAGAAUAAACUAAAGUUUUCAUAAUAUUUUUAGUUCAGUGGCACGGAACUGAAGCAUCAGGUCGUACUCGGGUAAGUUUUCCGCAUUGUUAUGUUUAAGUAAACUGCGCCGAUUUCGAAAAUUUUCAUAUUUUCUUUUCAGAAAAAAUUGAAUAUAGACUUUAAAGCAUUUGAAGUGGCCUACUCCAUCCUCUACACUUUGAUUGUAAAUGCAAACAGAUCUUUGAUUUUCAGCGGUUAAUUUUGACAAUUUAUUGCUAGAAAAAGUUGUGUUGGACACUAACCAAAUUGCUAAUAACAAAAUUUGAGAUUUGUACACACAUACUCUCCUGCAAUAUUUUCUUUAGCUUGUAUUGAGGAAAUCUAAAUCUAAGACUUGUCACAUAAUUUAAAAAAGAACUUACCGAAUUGACAUGAAGAAUAAACUAAAGUCUUCCUAAUAGUUUUCUUUUCGUGGCAGGGAACUGCAACAUCAAGUCAUGAAGAGGUCAGUUUUUCGCAUUGUUAUGUUUAUAUAUACUUAAAAAAAAUCUUUCAGGACGACGACGACUUGGAGAUUUUUCAUACUAUAUUUUCAGGAAAAAUGGAAUGUAGCAUUUAAAGCAUUUGAAGUAGCCGUCACCAUUCUCGACACUUUGAUUGUUCAUUCAAACAGAUCUCUGAUUUUUAGCAUGUUAAUUUCGGCAAUUUAUUGCUAGACGAAGUUGUGUUUGACCCCAAAAAAAUGGGGAAUAAAAAAAAUUUAGAUUUCUACACACAAACUAUCGUCAAAGUUUUUCUUUACGUAUAUUAAGGAAUCUAAGGCUUGUUACGUAAUUUAACAAGAACUUACCAAGUUGACAUGAAAAAUAAACUAUCGUUUUUCUAAUAUUUCUUUUCGGGGCAGCCACAGGCAGGAUCAACUUUUACUCAGGUAAGUUUUCUACUUUGUCAUGUUUUUAUAUACAUAAAAAGAAUAUUGCUAAACUAGGAUGACUAGAAAAAAUUUCAUAUUAUAUUUUGAGAAAAAAAAAUGCAACGGUGCAUAUAAAACAUUUGAGGCAGCCCUGGCCAUUCUUGACACUUUGAUUGUUGAUGCAAACUUAUUCGUGAUUUUCAGCAUGCUAUUUUUUGCAGUUUAUUGCUAGACGAAGUUGUGCCUGACAAUAAAUAAAAAUAUCAAUGUAAAAAUUUGAGAUUCGUACAAACAAAUUAUCAUACAACAUUUUCUUUAGCUUAUAUUGAGACUUGUACACGAACUAUAGUGCAAUAUUCUCUUUAGCUUAUAUUGAGGAAAUCUGUAUCUAAAACUUGUCCGUAAUUUAACAAAGAACUUACAAAUCAGACUUGAAUAAUAAACUAAAAUUUUCCCACUAUUUUUCUUUUCGUGGCAGGGAACUGCACCAUUCGGUCGUACUGUGGUCAGUUUUGCGCAUUGUUAUGUUUAUAUAUACCCGGGUAAGUUUUAUACAUUGUUAUGUUUAUGUAUAAAUAAAGAAAAUCUUGCUAAACUGUGAUGAUUUCGAAAAUUUUCAUAUUUUAUUUCCAGAAAAAAUGGAAUAUAGCAUUUAAAGCAUUUGAAGUGGCCCACUCCAUCCUCUACACUUUGAUUUUGAAUGCAAACAGAUCUUUGAUUUUCAAUGGGUUAAUUUUGGCAAUUUAUUGCUAGAAAAAAGUUGUGUUGGACACUAAACAAAUUGCUAAUAACAAAACUUGAGAUUUGUACACACAUACUCUCCUACAAUAUUUUCUUUAGCUUGUAUUGAGGAAAUCUAAAUCUAAGACUUGUCACCUAAUUUAAAAAAGAACUUACCAAAUUGACACGAAGAAUAAACUAAAGUCUUCCCAAUAUUUUUCUUUUCAUGGCAGGGAACUGCAACAUCAAGUCGUACUUGGGUCAGUUUUCCGCAUUGUUAUGCUUAUUUAUGCCUAAAAAAAUUCUUGCUAAACUGGGACGACUUGUAAAAUUUUCAAAUUAUCUUUUCAGAAAUAAUGGAAUGUUUUAUUUAAAGCAUUUGAAGUGGUCCACUCCCUCCUCUACACUUUGAUUUUUAAUGCAAAUAGAUCUUUGAUCUUCAGCCGAUUAAUUUUGGCUAUUUAUUGCUAGAAAGGUUGUGUUUGACACUAAACAAAUUACUAAUAUGAAAAUUUGAGAUUUGUACACACAAACUGUCGCUCAAUAUUUUCUUUAGCUUGUAUUGAGGAAAUCUAAAUCUAAGGCUUGUCACAUAAUUUAACAAAGAACUUACCAAUUUGACUGGAAGAAUAAACUAAAGUUUUCCUAAUAUUUUUCUUUUCCUGGCAGGGAAUUGCAACAUCAGGUCGUACGCAGGUCAGUUUUCUGCAUUGUCAUGUUUAUAUAUGCAUAAAAAAAAUCUUUCUAAACUGUACAAAUUGGAAAAUUUUCAUAUUACGUUUUCUGAAAAAAUGGAAUGUUGCAUUAAAAGCAUUUGAGGUAGCCCACUUCAUCCUCUACACUUUGAUUGUCAUAGCAGAUAGAUCUUUGAUUUUCAGCGGGUUAAUUUUGGCUAUCUAUUGCUAGAAUAAUUUGUGCUUUGACAAUAAACAAAUUGCUAUCACAAAAAUUUGAGAUUUGUACACACAAACUGUCGCACAAUAUUUUCUUUAGCUUGUAUUGAGGAAAUCUAAAUCUAAGGCUUCUCACAUAAUUUAACAAAGAACUUACCAAUUUGACUGGAAGAAUCAACUAAAGUUUUCCUAAUAUUUUUCCUUUCGUGGUAGGGAACUGCAACAUCAGGUUACGGGGUCAAUUUUCUGCAUUGCUAUAUUUAUAUAUGCAUAAAAAAAAAAAAAAAAAAAAAAAAACUUGCUAAACUGUACAACUUGGAAAGUUUUCGUAUUAUGUUUUCUGAAAAAAUGGAAUGUCGCAUUUAAGGCAUUUGAGGUAGCCCAGUUCAUCCUCUACACUUUGCUUGUUAAUGCAAACAGAUCUUUGAUUUUCAGCGGGUUAAUUUUGGCUAUUUAUUGCUAGAAUAAGUUGUAUUUGACACUAAACAAAUUGCUAAUACAAAAAUUGUCGCGCAAUAUUUUCUUUAGCUUUUAUUGAGUAAAUCUAAAUCUAAGACUUGUCACAUAAUUUAACAAAGAACUUACAAAUUUCACAUGAAGAAUAAACUAAAGUUUUCCUAAUAUUUUUCUUUUUGUGGCAGGGAACCCCAACAUCAGGUCGUACUCAGGUCAGUUUUCCACAUUGUUAUGUUUAUACAUACUUUAAAAAAAAUCUUGCUAAACUAGUACAACUUGGAAAAUUUUCAUGUUAUGUUUUCUGAAAAAAUUGAAUGUUGCAUUUAAAGCAUUUGAGGUAGCCCACAUCCUCUACACUUUGAUUGUUAAUCCAAACAGAUAUUUGAUUUUCAGUGGGUUAAUUUUGGCUAUUUAUUGCUAGAAAAAGUUGUCUUUGACACUAAACAAAUUGGUAAUAGAAAAAUUUGAGAUUCGUACGCACAAACUAUCGUGCAAUAUUUUCUUUAGUAAUAUUGUGGAAAUCUAAAUCUAAGACUUGUCAUAUAAUUUAACAAAGAACAUACCAAUUUGACAUGAAGAAUAAACUAAAGUUUUCCUAAUAUUUUUCUUUUUGUGGUAGGGAACCGCAACAUCAAGUCGUACUCAGAUCAGUUUUCCACAUUGUUAUGUUUAUAUAUACAUAAAAAGAAAUCUUGCUAAACUGGUACGACUUGGAAAAUUUUCAUAUUAUGUUUUCUAAAAAAAUGGAAUGUUGCAUUUAAAGCAUUUGAGGUAGCCCACUUCAUCCUCUACACUUUGACUAUUAAUGCAAACAGAUAUUUGAUUUUCAGCGGGUUAAUUUUGGCUUUUUAUUGCUAGAAAAAGUUGUGUUUGACAUUAAACAAAUCGCUAAUACAAAAAUUUUAGACUUGUACACACAAUCUAUCGCGCAAUAUUUUCUUUGGCAUGUCUUGAGGAAAUCUAAAUCAAAGACUUGUCACAUAAUUUAACAAAGAAUUUACCAAUUUGACAUGAACAAUGAACUAAAUUUUUCCUAAUAUUUUUCUUUUUGUGGUUGGGAACCGCAACAUCAGGUCGUACUCAGGUCAGUUUUCCACAUUGUUAUGUUUAUAUAUACAUAAAAAAAAAUCUAGCUAAACUGGUACGGCUUGAGAAAUUUUCAUAUUAUGUUUUCUGAAAAAAUGGAAUGUUGCAUUUAAAGCAUUUGAGGUGGCCCACUUAAUCCUUUACACUUUGAUUGUUAAUGCAAACAGAUAUUUGAUUUUCAGCGGGGUUAACUGUCGUGCAAUAUUUUGAGAUUUGUGCACACAAACUGUCGCGCAAUAUUUUCUUUAGCUUGUAUUGAGGAACUCUAAAUCUAAGACUUGUCACAUAAUUUAACAAAGAACUUACCAAUUUGACAUAAAGAAUAAACUAAAGUUUUCCUAAUAUUUUUCUUUUCAUGGCAUGAACUGCAACAUCAAGUCUUAUUCAGGUCAGUUUUCUAUGUUAAGAAAUGACUCAAGAGAAGAUACAUUAUACAACUCGUGCAACUUGAGAUUUAAAACAAUAGUCUAAAUGUUUUCUUAAGUUCCAAUGAGCUUUUCUAUCGGCUAGGAUUAGAUAUUUCUGUUACGAAUAAUUCUAUUCAUUAUUAGUAGUUGAAAUUUUCCUAAACAAGUAAUGUGCUAACACUGGUUGUAGGAUAUUAUUAUUGUUAGACCCAAAUGAGAAAGUAAACAAAUUAAAAACACCAAGUCAUUUAUUAAUUAUGUCUAGAUGAUUAAGGUAAUUAAUUCAAUUAAAUUAAUCCUAAGUGUCAAUCAAAUAAAUAUUUAGAUCAAAUCAAUAAAAUAAAUAACAUCAAGAAUUGAUCAUGGAUGAAGAUCCUCGGGAUAAAAUAACCUCUUGGCAAACUUGCCAGUAAACGAUCCAAUAGAAAAGUUAACUUACAUUUAGUCCAAAUACUAACUCUGGUGGUUGUGCAUGCCCACACUUCCUAAAACCAUGGGCCACUUUUCUCCUAUUGGACCACCAAGAACGAACCUUUAUUCUUCAACACUAGAACUCCAAACACCUCUUCUCCAAGCUUAAGAUUUCUCAAGGUUUAUAGAUGAAGGCAGAGGGUUGUUUAGUGUUUGAAUGGCUAAAGCAAGAGAUUUAUUAGAAUAUGUAAUGGAUCUUCAAAUAAUGUUCUCUUGACUUAAAAUAAAAGCUUAACCAAUGGAAAACAAUAAAUGGGAAAAUAUUAAAUAUAUUUGUGAUUGAAUCAAGAGACCUUUUGAAAUGAGUUUAUGAUCUUCAAAUAAUGAUCUCUAUAAUGAAUAUAAUGUUCAACCACACUUUGGAA
rnacentral:lncRNA from 1 species